CGGAAUGCGAACGUAACAACAUCAAUAUCGAAUAGUGAAAGAGGUUUAAUCUCUCUCACACACAGACACAUACUUCAGUUUAACUCCAAAAAGUCCUCCUAAAUAAAGCAUUUGUUAGGAAAGAGAGUAAUAGAGUAUUGCUUCUCUUAACUCGCGCGUUCUCAUUCGUCAAUAAUAUGUUUUAUCAUGAGAGGGAGAUUCCUAAAAACCCGGGGCAAGAUCAGGACAGAUGAUGAGUCAACCGUGCGAUUCCUUCAUGCAAAACAAAUUAAUUUAAAAUAAUUCCCAGGUAGGUGCAGCAAGAUCCUCACUCUUUGACCCUUUUCUGAUUCAGUUGACUAUUCUAGAAAGAGAUUUUCUUCUUCUGACUUUUUCUUUACCCGGGUCCCAGAUGGGUUUUGGAGCGUGGCUUCUUCCGGAUGAUUUGGUCUACCCCUAACUCUUUAUAAUGGUGUUAAUGCGAAUCUUGUGAUCUUCAUGAUGAUCCAUAUUUCACACCAUGUUCUCAUGAUCUACAGCAAUUUAUAUUAUUAGUCGAUAUCUUCACGACAAAUUGUAAAGUACAAAUCUGUUGAUUUCACUGAACACUCAUUGGAUUUAACCCGAUUCUUUCAAUUGUCCAGGUACAUCGAAUUUGGUCUUGAUGCAGUGUAAUUAUUUCUUUUACCUAAGUAAGGAUUGUGUGAUCAACCGAUGUUAGUUCAUUGAAUUCAACGACAGCAUUCAUUGCAACAGUAAUAUAAUUGGAUAGAUCCCUUACUCCUUGAGAGCCACCCCAAAAGUCCGUAGCAUUUUAUUUCACUAUAGCAUUAAUGGAUAAGAGAAGUGUUGGAAAUUGUGAUUCAUUUUCUCUAAAAUUAUCCAGAAAUUACAUACUUAAUGAUGAAGGCAAGAAUUGCUAGCUGAAUCUAGAAGAUUUACGUGGGAAUGCAAGCAAGCAGAAGCCAAGCUGAAUAAGAAAUUCUAGAAUAAGCUAGAGAAAUCUACGUGCAUGAGAAACACAUGAAGAAGCCACAAGCUGAUAAAGAAAAGGGGCACACAUUAAAAUAAUAUUAUAGCUGCUGGACUUUUCAAGAGAAGAACGCUUCAACUUGCUAACUUGAACGUGAAGGAAAAGUUGCAGCCCACGAUUGUUGACCCAUGAAGGAAGAAGGAACGAGAAGAUUGGAAGAAAGAAGAAAAGAAAAAGCAAAGUCCAACUUGACUAGCCGCAACAAGCAAGGAGACGAAGAAGCAAGAUGAAAUUUUAUAUUAUUUUGUGUACUCUUAAGUCGGUAGAAUAAGGCGGUAACUCACGCCUAUAAAUAGGCUUGUACUUGAUGUGAGGUCCACCUUGUGUGGGAAAACCAUCCACCGUUAGAGGUCUUAGACCUCCACCAAUCUCUAUCAAAUUGUUUUGUUCAAUUAAUGAAACUAUUUCCCCCAUAUCUCAUAUUUUAUAUCUUUCAAUUAUCAUAUCUUAUCCCUUAUUCAUUAUCUACAAAAUAUACCAUACAUUUACAUCACUCACCAAAAACUAUAACUAAUUCCAAAAUCAUGCUUCAGCAUGAACACAUCCAAAAUAUUUUUAACAAGAAGACUAUAAUGGGCAUCAUAGGAUGUUGGCUUCAAAUUUGAGCACCAGCAAUGGGUUGACCGGACUCGACUCGAAAUUUCGACCACAAAUUGAAGUCAUCUUUAAUAAGAAGUUCUCAAGGAGUUCUAAACCGUCUGCUCAACCCAGACCCAGUCACCCAAUCCUAUAAGGAAUGCAAUCGACUCCUUGCCUCGGACUCUUAUUAAUAGAGAAAACAUAUUAGGAAUACACCCAAGAAAAACAAUAUUUUUCACACAUCUUUCAUUCUCCGACUCCUCCCUAAUAGGGAUUUAUCCUCUCACAAGUAGAAAACUUAUAUUAAACAAUUAUCGGCUCCAUAUAGAUAUUCUCGUAAUUAUCAUCCUUAGUUUUUCCAAAUUUGAAUCAACAUGAUUCGAAAUAAGGUUGCAAACCGGGCAAGCAGGUCAUGCCUAAUGAGUUUUUUUGGCACGGGUCAAUAGCUCUAGCUCGGCUUAUCCGGCUUGGUGUGUCGGUCCGACCUUGUGAAAGAAAUUGACUCGAAUCAAAUUGAAGCGCUUCAGGCCAAAACCAGAAACUCUCUUUUGAUACGGCCUAAAAUACCGUGCAUUCACGGUUUGCUCCUUAUGACGCUAGGAAAUGAGAGAAUUGCCUUGAAUUAUGAACAAAUCAUGUCGUGAAAUAUGCAUGCAACUUCAGAUACCAGCAAGAAGAAUGACGAAAUCCAUGAGACGAUGAGUCACCGGAAUCACUGGCUCACAGCCUGGCCACAGCUAGCACGCACGCAUCUUCGUGUCGCCAUCGCCCUCGGGCGUCCGCCUGAGUCAGACAGAAAAAGAGCACGACCAUCCCUCCAUUCUGUUUUUUUAUUUAUUAUUGUUUUCUAAUUCUUUCUUAAUUUAGUUUAUUCUUUUAUUCUAAUUUAAAUCAUAUUUGGAUCAAAAUGACAUUGUUCUAGUCUUAUCAUUCAUGUCUUAGUCAUGUUAGAGGCACAUAAAAAAUUUGAGUGCAUCAAUUUAAUAAAUUUUAGGAUUUAAUUAUACUUUUUAUAAGUUUUUUCAGUGCACUUGUCUUUUUUUUCUUUUUUUUUUUCGCUUCAUGGGUUUGGAGCGGGGCUUUUUAUAUAAGAAUUUAUCUGUCCCCUAACUCAUUGUAGUGGUUUUAGUGUCACUCUGCGUCCUUACGAUGCGUGAUCGCUUUGUCCAUUGACCUAGAUUUAUCAGGAAAAGUUGACACGUAAAAUGCUCAAUACACUCCUUUGAAUGAGGUUCGGAAUUCUAAUAAUUACCGUGUACCACAUGUGAAACGACACUAUUUUUGCUUACCUUGAGAAGGGUGUAUCGAUAGAAGGUCAAAUAAAAAUUGCAAUGGCUUAAUUUAUCGUUAAUGUUCUUACAUGAGAUUUGAUCAGGCCAUAUAAUGGCACUUGAUCGAGCCAUUUCAUGAAGAGUACUACUAUAUUUACUAAAAGUAUUAUCAAAGAGUUCUUGCUAAAUGUGUUUGCAAUCUCCAUGACCUUAGCCAAAGAUGACAAUAAAGGAGUCUAUGAAUAGGGAGGCAAUCUAAGGUUUUUGUGCUAAGAGAGAGAGACAGAGUAAAUGUGUUUGCAAUCUCCAUGACCUGAUCAAAGUCCCUUAAAUGAAGGUCUCAAGUUUGAGCAGUGUAUGAGACCCGACCUAAUUGGAGAAUAUAUAUCGAUCCUAAUUGCAAUAAUAAUUAGGCUUAGAUUUUCUUGGGUGGUUAUAAUGUGAUAUAUAAUAUUUCUUCAAUCGGCGAUGGUCAACCCAUGCAUGUCCAAGAUGACCAACAAUUGAACCCUAUAGAGUUUUAUAUUCAAUGGACUUGUAUAUUUAUUAACACUAUGGGCUAGUCUAAUUUAGGCAUAGGAAAUACUUGAGCAAGUUAGCGACCAUAAUUCCCAUUCUCCAAAUAUUUAUUAAAUAAUUUGUUGCCAACUCUCAUCACAAAGCAAAUACCGACAUUCAGAUCGAACUAGAUAAAAAUCUCUAGCGUCCUCUAUUGUUUCUUGUUUAUUAUUUUUUAUUUCAUGUUGAUUUAAUUUUAAGAUCCCGUCAGAUUUUGUUAGAGGUGAGUAUGGUUCCAAAGUAAAAUUUGGAAUCAAAGAACUAGACAGGUGGAAUAUGUUCGAUUCAAAAUUCCAAGGUAUGCAAAGUAGGUUUUAGGUUCCAAAAACUAGGAAACCUGUUUCAAUGGAUAAAUUCUAGGUUCUAAGUGGAACUUGGAACUUAGAAUCUAGAACCCGUUUUUUUAUAUUUUUCUUGAUCUAUGUUUUAACGCAAUCCUAUGGUACUGCAUAACAUCUGAUCUAAGCUUCCUUUUUAUAACUAAAACUUUUGCUUUAUUCUUGUAUCUAAAUAUAAGUUGUGGGUAGUUGAUUGUAAUAAUAAAUGGUAAUCAUUAAACGUGAUAAUAAUUAAUAAUAUAUGUUGAACUUGAGUAAAUCUUAAAAUCUAUCAUGAACUUGUGACGGGGUAGGUUCUAGGUUUUAAUAUAUGCAAAGUAAAUUUCAGAUUUCAAAAAAAAUUCCAAAGAGUUAAUUACAGGUUUCAAAUGGAAUCUGUACAAAGCUUAAAACCUUGUACAAAAUCUGAAACUUUUCAUCUCUAAUUUUUGCAUUAAUUUUAUGAACGGUAUCUUCAGCUAAACCUUUCAUUGGCGCAUUGUGUAUGCCGACAUCAUCCCCCAUGAAUAAAUGUAAAAACGAAUAAUCAAUCUACCAAUUAGAAAUAGAUGGAGGGGAGACACGACACAACCGUGUCGUACCGUGUCAUUUCUGGACGGGCGGGACGAAAAGUAUAACAAACAAAGCAUGGAAUCUCUGAGUGAUGCGUCACAUUCCGUACGCGACGGCCGCAGGAACCACCACUCACCACCGUCUCUCUCACGUCUGCAUGUUUUCAUUCUUUUGGGUCAGCGGGAAACCCGAUCGCAGCUUCCCCAUGCGGAUAAACGUACUAUCCAGGCAGCGUCCCCCUUAACGACCUCAACCGCCAGUUCGGCUUAAGCACAGGUAUAAAUGAAACCUACGUUGCCUCGAACACCAUCCCACAAAAUUCAAGGUUUUUCCUAUUUUCGUCUUGCCAAUUGCACUGCCGCGCGGCCCUAUCUCUGUCAUCGGAGGAUCCCAAGAAGCCUGUGCAUCUCUCCCCGGCGACGACGAGCAUUCUCCGCGGCAACUGCGUCCCCCGUUUAGGAGGUCUCUCUCCGCUUGCCCGCCAUGCACAAGUUCCCCGCCAUCGCAGUGCCCGAGCCCUCGCUAACUCCGCGAAGAAAACCCAAGAGUUCCCGAGGGAAUCUCCUUCCCGCACUUUGAUUUCAAACCCCGGUCAGGCUACGAGCGCUCGCUCUGAUCAACCCAGCUCCUUCGAGAUUGAUCAGCCACAGCUCGGAGCACUCGCUCCUUCCUGCACUUUGAUAUCGAUCCCCGAUCAGGCUCCGAGCAUUCGCUCUGAUCAACCCAGCUCCUUCGAGAUUGAUCAGCCACAGCUUGAAGCGCCCGCUCCUUCCUGCACUUUGAUUUCGAUCCCCGAUCAGGCUCCGAGCAUUUGCUCUGAUCAAACCAGCUCCUGCGAGAUUGAUCAGUCACAGCUCGGAUCACAGCUCACCAGGCUGGUCGAGGACAAGGACCUCAACCGCCUCAGCAUAUUCGGCGGUGUCAACGGAGUUGCCUCAGCCCUUGAAACUGAUGUAUCUGAUGGAAUUAGCGGCGAACUGGAUGACAUCACUCGCAGGCAAAAUGCAUUCGGCAUCAAUACAUUCAACCGGCCCACCAAGCGCUUCUUCCACUUUUUGCUCGAGGCUUUCAAGGACCUCACACACCUGUUCUUCUUGUUUGCGCCGGGCUUUCACCCGCGCUUUGCCAUCAAGGAGAACGGGGUCAAGGAAGGGUGGUACAAUGGCGGGAGCCCAGUCUUCGCAGUUUUCCUCGUGAUCAUGGUGUCCGCUGUGAGCAAAUACCAGCAGAACCGGCUGUUUGAUAAAUUGUAUGGCGCUAGCUGUGAUAUUCUCAUCCAGGUGAUAAGAAAGGGUCAGCAGCAGCAAGUGUCCAGAUCCAAGAUUGUCGUCGGAGAUGUCGUUUGUCUGAAGAUUGGGAAUCAAGUCCCAGCAGACGGUCUGUUCCUCGACCGGCACUCCUUGCAGGUAAGGAGGAGAAUUUGCACCGGUUUGAUCGCAUUAAUUUCACAUAGUAACUCAUGUUAGUUUCCUCCAGAAGUAUAUAGUAUUAGUAUUACCAAGUUCAAGCCCAGGUUGAUUAAUUAGUUAAGUAAUUAGUCCAAAGAAUUGUUAAAGUGUACGAUAUUCUGUUUGAUACGGCACGGUUUGUCAUUUUCAUAAUCUUAAUUCUGUGAAAAAAAAAGGAAAAGUAAUGGUCGUAGAUCUAGUCGUAGGAGAACAAACUCUGUUAAAAAAAAUUUUACUAGACAAAAUUAUACUUAAGCAUGAUCCAUUUCUUCUCGUGUCAAUAUUUAUUCAGGUUUCAUUUUCGUUGUUUCAACUUGAGACCGGAAUGCAUCCUAGCGUCUCUUCCUAGCGUCACUAAGUCAUGUGCGACGUUUGUAUUGUCAAUUUAGGUUGACCAAUCGAUCAUGACAAGGGAGAGUGAUCACGUAGAAGUGAACAGCGAUCGGAAUCCAUUCCUGUUCUCCGGAACAAAGGUCGCUCAUGGGGAUGCUCGGAUGCUGGUCACAUCGGUUGGGAUGAACACAACAUGGGGCAAGAUGAUGAGUUCAAUCAACCGCAGCAGCAGCGAGCAGACCCCUUUACAGGCUCGGCUUAACAAGCUCACCUCAUCAAUUAGCAAAGUCGGCUUAGCGGUCAAUUUUGUGGUUCUUGUGGACCUGCUAAUUCGCUACUUCACGGGAAAAAACAGGACGAGAACGGGAAACGGGAAUUCGUUUCAGGCCAAACGAUGGGUGACAAUAUCAUAAACUCCGUGGGGGGCAUAAUAGCAACCACAGUAACAAUUGUGGGGGUCGCGAUUCCCGAAGGCUUGCCGCUUGCGAUAACUCUCACUCUUGCUUAUUCGAUGAAGAGGAUGAUGGCGGAUCAGGCGAUGGUGAGGAAGCUUUCAGCCUGCGAGAUGAUGGGGUCGGCCAACACCAUCUGCGCUAACAAGACUGGCACCCUGACGAUGAACCAGAUGCAGGUGACAAAAUUCUGGGUCGGCCAAGACUCCGUUGCAGAAAAUGCGUACUCCUUUCCCUCAAAGUAUGUCCUGGAUUUCAUUCGUGAUGGGGUCGCUUUGAACACCGCAGGCAGCGUAUAUAGACUGUCCUUGGGAUCGGAGUACGAGUUCUUGGGUAGUCCCACCGAGAAAGCGAUUCUUUCCUGGGCUGUUUCGCAAUUGAGCAUGGACAUGGAGGAGACAAAGAAGAGCUGUGAAGUCAUCCAAGUCGAAGCCUUCAACUCGCAGAAGAAGAGAAGCGGUGUCAUAAUAAGGAAGAGCGUGGACAACACCGUCCACGUGCACUGGAAAGGAGCAGCAGAGAUGGUCUUGGCUAAGUGCUCGAGCUUCUACGACGGGUCAGGGAUAGUGAAAGAUUUGGACCAAGAUGAAAGGAUGAGAUUCGAGCAGAUUAUUCAGGGGAUGGCAGCGAGCAGCCUCAGGUGCAUCGCCUUUGCUCAUAAACAAGUCUCUGAGGAAGCGAUCAACGAAACAGAAGACCGGAAGAAGAUCCAAGAGGACGGCCUGACAUUACUAGGACUUGUUGGUAUUAAGGACCCAUGCCGUCCCGGCGUGAAGAGCGUGGUCCAAGCUUGUCAGGACGCGGGAGUGAACAUCAAGAUGAUAACAGGAGACAACAUCUUCACCGCUAAGGCCAUCGCCACAGAGUGUGGGAUUCUUAGGCCCGGGGAUGAUGCCUCCAAUGAAGCCAUUGUGGAAGGAGCUGAGUUCCGCAGCUGCACGCCCGAGGAGAGGCUUCAAAGAGUCGAGAAAAUCCGGGUCAUGGCAAGAUCUUCGUCUUCCGAUUGAGAUAGCUAGUAUAAACACCUAGAGGGGGGUGAAUAGGUGCACACACAAUUUAUCACGAUACGGGAGUGAUUCUUCGCAAACGAUAGAAACGAAAUUCUCUCUUGAUUAACAAAAUGAAAUACAAUCGAGGUAGAGAGAGUGAGGAAGAGAAAAUUGAACACAUAAUUUAUAGUGGUUCGGCUUAUUCCAAGCCUACGUCCACUCUUCCGCACUGACAGCCCACCGGCUGGAUUUCACUAUGAUCAAAAGAGAAGUUACAGCUCAGCUUUGCCUUGAUUUCACAGUGUAGAUGUUCUACCACACCUCCUCAAGGUUUCUCACAAAUAUAGACUCUCUUUUGUAUACAAGUAUUCGCUCAAAGGAAUUGUCUAAACAAAAAGGAGCUUCAGACUUUGGAAUUCUUCUAUCGCGCACACCUUGAACAACUAAGACCGUCUUCCUUAUAUACUUCUUUAUGCCAUCAUACCCGUUGGCACUUACCAAAGGAAUUCCUCCAAUCUACCAGUUGGACAGAAUCAAUUAGGAAGAUUGUUCGAGCUAUUAAAGGAACGUGUUGAUAGCCCAUCAAUCCUGUUCGCCCAUACAAUCAGGAUCUCGGUUUCCAUAAGUCGAACUUUCCAAUAAUAUUUAGACAAUCAUCGAAUCUUCAAUCAACGAAUCAAUCUUGAUCAAUCAAAGGAUUCUGUUGCGUCUUUUCCAGCCACGAGAUCUUCUCCAGAUGAUAAGGUUAAAUCCUUAACAAAACAUCCAGUUUUGGAUAACCUUUCUUCAACGGAUUAGAGACUGUCAAUGAGGAUAGACUUUGAGUCUUGAGUCUGGCUGUCCGGAAGUCUUCAGACUUUAAAUAACAGAGUCUGCAAGCCUUCAGACUAGACUGAUAGAAACGUUUUGUCAACUUCAAAACUCUUCAAGAAGAUUUCUCCAACAAUCUCCCCCUUUUUGAUGGUGACAAAACUUUCGUGCAGAUUUGGAUAACUUUGACCUGCAAAACAUUUCUCAAACACAUAUGCAUAUCUUAUAGAGAUAAAUGGCUAAAAGAAUAACACAGAAAAUAGGUUAGUCUUGUAUAUGAUAAAGCCAUCCAUAAGAUAUCAAUACUAGUUAAUAAAAGCAGUCAAGUCCAAGUCUAGUUCAGUUCUCAUCCAGACACAAAACAAAGUCAAACAGAGUUUAAACAACAAACAAUCCAACAAACAGUUAAAAGUUUAAUGAUUGAAAGUUUUGAUCAAAUCUUGCAUCUCUCCCCCUUUUUGUCAUCAUUAAAAAGGAUGAGAUGAAGUCAAGAUUGCUUGGGAAUGCGGACAAGCUGGAAAUCUUCCAUAGACUGAAUGAUGCCUUCCAGCCUUAUGAAGUCUUCCUUCAGUUGUGCAAUCUCCUCACUCUUGGCAUUGGCCUGAUUCUGAACAGAGAGGGCUUGCAUCUUAUCAUUCAAUGAACAGGAAGAAGCUUGACCUUCAUUCUUCAAGCUUUGAACCUCGCAUCCCAAGGCAUAAAUUUGACCUCGCAUCUCCAAGAGAAUAUCCAUGAUUCUGCGAAAAUCUGCUCCAUUAUCAGUCUGAGUACUUGCUUUGGCUCGAUCUGAUGGAGUAAAUGCAUACGAUGGUAGAUCAGCAUAGUCUCGCAGGUUUGGCGAUGAAACUUCUUGACCUUCCUCUGGAAAUUGAGAUGCAUAAACAUCCUCUGGGUCUGCAGGUGAGCGAUUGACUCCUUCACUUUCAUCAGGAUAUGAAGACUUCACUCCUUUCUCCUGAUCUCCCCCUGUUUCCAUGCCUACAGGUGGAGAAGAGAUUUCCUCAGGUUCUCCUUCUUCUCUUCUUUCUUCUUCAGGACUUUCCUCCUCUACUUCUUUUUCAGCUUCUCUUUCUUCUUCUUCCUUCUCCUCUGCUUCUUUAGAUAUUUGUUUCGAUUCUUUCUGUGGAACAGGACGACUCAAAUUCUUCAAAGCCAAUGCAGAGAUGGUGAUGUCUUCCUCAUCAUCUUCAUCGUCAGCGAGGAGAGCUCUUCUUUUCUUGGAUGAAGCAACCAUGGGCUCCUUCCCUUUUCUCUUAGCUGCAGAAGAGAUUUGAUGAGAUUUGACAGGAGUCUUCUCCUUGAAUUUCUCCAACUCCUUGCUCAGUUCCUUCAGACUCAUUUUGGUCACCAUUUUCAGUCCUACCACCAUAUGAUCGCAUGGUCGAACACAAAAGAUUUGUGGAGGCUGAAUAUUCAGAUGUCUGAAUAACUUCGUAACAAGGCUUGGGUAAGGGAGUUGACCUCUGUCCUUCAUCAUUGCUCUAUACAUGUGAAACAUAACAGUGUGAGGGAGAGAAAACCUUUUUCCAAAGAGAAUGGCAUACAUCAACUUGGCCUCUGAACUUGAAACAUCAGUCUUGGAAGUUGAUUUCGGUCGGAGGCAAUUAAUCACAAUCUUGUGAAGCAAGAUGUUGAAUGCACUCAUCCUUAAAUAGGUGAUCUUCUCAUCUGUUCUCUUGUCCUACACCAGUUCCAGAGUGGCUCGAGCAAUGGAAACUUUAAUUGAUUGAUAUUUUCCUCUUUUGACUUCUAACACAUCUGCCAGCAUAUUCAUAUCCACAACAUAAUCUUGGUCUUUAACGCUGAAGGAGAAUCUAUUUGCAUCCAAAAAGCUAAGAUUUGAAUAAAAAUAUGCAGUUAAUUCAGCAUAAGCCUCUGUAUUGUCAGAACAGAAUUUUUCAAGUUGAAGAUGAUUGAACUUUUCCCUCAAGUUCACAUUCACAGCAUCCAGAAAAUCAAAAUCCACACUCCUAGGAUUUAUUACCCCACGCUUCAGCAAUUUCGAGUACAGAUCCUUUUGUUCCUUUGAUCUGAACAAAUCUCCCCUUUUUCCUUGAAUUUCAGCCGCAAUAUCCAUUUUCGGUUGAAAUAGGCUGUACAAAUUAUCAUCAUCAUUCCCAUCUACAGGAUUCGGCCCCCAGUCACGAGGAUCACUUGGGAUAUUCGCAAGGGUUUCCUCUGCCACUCCUUUACGAGCAAUUCCCAAACUUUCCAUUUUUCGCAGAAAGAUAUACUCGUUCCUAUAUCCUUUGUCUUUAAGAAAAUCAUCAACAUAGUUCAAAGGAGUACGAGUUCCUUUUAAGGCACGAUAUAGCUUGUAAAUAAAAGCGGGCUUUUGAACUCUUACAGGGUCUGCAUCCUCGAUGAUUUCUUCUUGUUGUUGAUGAUCAACUCCUUGAGGACUAGAAUGUGGAGAAUGACGCUGCUGAGAAUGUUGUGGGCUCGGUUGCUGAUCUGGAUUCACUUCUUCCUUAGUAAGAUCGAAGUGCGUAGGCCCCUCACUCAUUCGCCGUGGUCCCCUGCUUGCUAUUCUCGAAGACUUUCUUGAAGAUGACAUAUUUCUCAGUUUUUGGAAGAUUCCUUGCUUGACUUUCCCAGGAAAGAUGACAACUUUUUGAAGAUUAAACAAAGAAGACAAACGGGAAUGGAGGAUCGAUGCUUUCUAGGGUUUUCGAGAGUAAAGUGAAGAGGAAUCGACAGUGCACGAUCGGUUAAAAGAAGGGAUAAACGAACCGUCACAAAGGAAAUAAAAAAUGCCUUUUCAAAAUAACUGCCUUUUUCUGCAAAAAUAGCCAUUUCAAGAAUAACUUCCUUUUUGAAAAUAAAACGAUGCAAUAUUUACGUCAAUUAAAUAUAGCAACAAUUUAAACACAGUCUGACGAUCGUACAUUUUCAAGAUAAGAUUAGGGAGAGAAAGACUUACAGUCUGACGAUCAUGCCAAGACUAUCUUUCAGAUAAAGUCUUGUAAGUCUAAGUCUGAAAGUCUUUAGACUUUGAUAUCCUCAUACCUCAAAAUGUUGAGUCUGGAGCGUAUAGAUUCAAAUUGAUUUUUCUUCAAAGGCUUUGUGAAUAUAUCUGCCAGUUGAUUCUUUGAGUCAACAAACUGAAUUGAAACAUCUCCAUUUUGAACAUGGUCUCUAAUAAAGUGAUGUCGAAUCUCUAUAUGCUUUGCUCUUGAAUGAAGAAUUGGAUUUUUGGUGAGGUUGAUAGCGCUGGUGUUGUCGCAAUUAAUCUUUGUGUAUGAGUCUUCAAUUUCAAAGUCUCUUAGCUGUUGUUUUAUCCAUAGAAUUUGCGAACAGCAGCUUCCAAGAGCUACAUACUCUGCUUCUGUUGUUGAAAGAGACACAGUGCUUUGUUUCCUUGAAAACCAAGACACUGUCCUGCUUCCAAGCAACUGGCAAGUUCCUGAAGUGCUCUUUCUAUCAACUCUACAACCGACCAGAUCUGCGUCUGAAUAUCCCAGAAGAUUAAAGUCUCCCCUCUUAGGAUACCAAAGACCGAUGCUUGAUGAUGAAGCAACGUAUUUAAUGAUGCGUUUUGCAGCACUAAGAUGAGAUUCUCUAGGAUCUGAUUGAAACCUUGCACAAAUGCAAACACUUGCUACUGGAGCGUAAGUCUCAUCAUAGUCUAUUCCUUCUUCUUGCGUAUAUCCCUUGGCCCGAGUCUUGCUUUGUUUCGUACGACUUUUCCUUUCUCAUUCAUCUUGUUUCUGAACACCCAUUUAGCUCCAAUAACAGUUUUACCUUUUGGUUUGGAUGUCAAUUCCCAGACAUCAUUAAUGUUGAACUGUUUGAGCUCUUCUUGCAUAGCUUCAAUCCAGCUUUCAUCAGAUAAAGCUUCUUCUAUGCUAUUUGGUUCAAUUUCAGAAACGAGAGCCACAGCACUAGACUCUUAUCGCCUUUUGGAUCUGGUGCGAAUUCAUUCAUUAAUUUCGCCAAUAAUAAGAUCUUUGGGAUGACUGGACUUAUGCUUCUAGUUACUUGUUGAUUUAUCUGGUUGAUGAUCUCUUUCUUUAUUUGGAUCUUCACGAACAAUCUGAUGCUGGUCUUCCAGAGUUUGAGAUGCUUCUUGAGUUGUAAGCUUUGAAAGGUCUGGAAUAGGUUCAGACUCUUCUUGAUGAGUUUGACUUGAUUCAUCUUGCGUUGAGUCUUGAAAUUUGACAUUCAUUGACUCCUCCACAGACUGGCUCUUCUUGUUAUAGACUCUGUAGGCUUUGCUUGAUGAAGAAUAUCCAAGGAAGAUACCUUCAUCUGAUCUUUCUUCAAACUUACCAACUCGAUCUUUUGCAUUUUUCAAUAUAAAACAUUUGCAACCGAAUACAUGAAAGUAUGAAACAAUAGGCUUCUUAUCUUUGAAUAAACUCAUAAGGGGUUUUAUCUAGAAUAGGUCUUAAGAAGACUCUAUUGAUAAUAUAGCAAGCUGUUGAAACAGCUUCAGCCCAAAAUCGUGAAGAAAUCUUACUUUCAAUUAAAAGAGUUCUAGCCAUUUCUUGAAGAGAUCUGUUCUUUCUUUCCACAACUCCAUUUUGCUGAGGAGUAUAUGGAGAGGAGAACACCUGCUUAAAGCCAGAUUCAUCACAAAUCUUGAUUUUCAAAUUCACCUCCAUGAUCUGUUCUUAUACUUGAGAUAACACAUCCUUUUUCAUUUUGAACCCCCAAUACUCUGUGUUCUGGUUGGUCUGAAGAGAUCCAUAUGCAGCAACUGUAGUACAUGAUUAGUAGAGACAUGAUUUAUUGGCUUAAAUGAAUUUCUUACCUGCUUUUCCAGAAUACAUGGGGUGCAUGGAUCAAUCUUUUGGUAUGGCAAUUUGGGUAGACCUCGAACAAGCUGUUUUGAUGAGACUUUGGCUAAUUGCUUCAUGUUGACAUGACCAAGCUUUCUGUGCCAUAGGCUUGCUUCAUCUUGAAUUGAGAUAAGACAUUGCGAUUCAUUUGGUUUCACAUCCAGAAGAUAGAUAUUUCCAUGUCUUCGACCCAUGAAAGACUGAGUAGAGUCUUUACUGAUUCCAGAACAUGUUCCUUCUUGAAAGAAGAUCUUGAAACCAGUAUCACACAAUUGACUAAUGCUGAGAAGAUUGUAAUUGAGUCCUUCCACUAAGGAAACAUUACUUAUUGUGAGACUUCCAAUUUUCAUAGUUCCAAAUCCCACAAUACUUCCUUUACUGUUUCCUCCAAAUGAAACUUUUCCACAUUUUACUUGAGCAAGCUUUAUAAAACAAUUUGAGUCUCCUGUCAUGUGUCUUGAGCAUCCGUUGUCAAGAUACCACUUUACCUUUUCCUUGACGGUGACCUGCAUUUAAAAUAAAGUCUCAAGCUUUCUUUGGUACCCAAACUUUCUUGGGUCCUUUGGUGUUAGUAACAUAAGCAGUAUUAGCCCAUAUUUUCUGAACAGGUUUCCAAACCUUAGGGCACUCUUUUUCAAAGUGAUCAGGACUGCUGCAUUUUGAACAUCUGAGAGCAUUUCUACCUACAGAUUUUACAAAAACUUUCUUGAAAUGAUUUUUGUAAGCCUCUCUCGAGGGUCUUUUCUUAAUUCUUUCUUUUACUUUAGGAAAAUCAAUCAAGGGAAUUUUUUCUGCUGUCAUACCUAGACCGGACUUAUUGAAAUAAGGUCUUUGAGCUGAAAGAAUUUUUUCAAGUUUUUCAGACCCUAUUGAAAAUUUCUUUGAAGUAUUUGAUAAGUCAGUUUUUAAAAGAGCAUUUUCUUUUGAAAGAUUAUCUUCAUUUUCUUUAAGAGUGGAAACAGUCAAGUCUAGACUUUUAACUCUUUCUACUAAAACAUUUUCCUUUUGUUUUAGAGCUGAGUUUUCCUUUUUCAGUUCGGAAAUUCUUUUGAGAGAAGUCUUAAGACUGAAACACAGUUCAUCAAUGUAUUUAGAAACUUUGACAGGAAUUUUAACAUCACUUGCCUCAAAUUCACUGUCUGAGUCUGAUCCAGAGUCUAAUUCACUGUCUGAGUCUGAUCCAGAGUCUAAUCCAGAGUCUGAGUCUGAUUGUGCCAUCAGACAUAGAUUGGCAUAUUCAUUAUCACUUUCUUCAUACUCUGUAUCACUCCAGGUUUCGGCUUUGAGAGCUUUUCGAAAUUUUUCAGCUUUUCCUCUCUUCUUCUUCAGAAGAGGACAGUUGGGUCUGAUGUGUCCCUUUUUCUUACAUUCAAAGCAGACUACAUCUUUGUUUGGUUCCUCAUUAUCAACAGACUUGGUCUGCUGUCUUUGAAAGCUUUGUUUCUUUCAGUUGAAUCUUCUUCCUUUUCUAUUCAGUUUUCUGAAUCUUCUUAUUAUGAGAGCAAGCUCCUCAUCAUCCAUAUCAUCUUCAGAAUCUGUAUCAUUAGAAUCAUCAUUUGAUUUUAAUGCAAUGGAUUUCUUACCUUUUGGAUCUUCAUCUUCAUUGAUCCGUUCCACUUCAUAAGACUGAAGAGUUCCAAUUAGCUCGUCGACAGAUAGUGGCAUAAUUCUUUACGUCUCUCGUAUCGAAGUCUUUAUGUGAUUCCAAUCCUUGGAGAGUCCACGCAGUAGCUUGUUUACCUUCAUGGGAUCAGAAAUUUUUUGUCCUUGAUUCUCAAGACCAUUGACAAUAUCUGUAAAACGGCUAAACAUGUCAGUUAUAGAUUCUCCUGGUUUCAUUUUGAAGGCUUCAUAUUGACCGAGAAGAAUAUUAAUCCUGGUUUCCUUCACUCGAUCUGUUCCUUCAUAAGUGAUAUGCAAUCUGUCCCAGACUUCUUUUGCUGUAACACAAGAAGAUAUUCUAUUAUAUUCAGUUGGUGACAAAGCACAAUAUAAAGAGUAAAUUGCUUUUGCAUCGAGUGUUUGUCUCUUUUUUAUUUCUUCCUGAGUCAUUCCGCUGGUCUCAACAGUUUCUUUCCCUCUUUCAAAGACUGAUGCAGCUGUAGGAGUAAUUCCUUUUUCUACAACGUCCCAUUCUAGAGGAUCCUUUGAUCAUAGGAAAGCUUUCAUCUUGUUUUUCCAGAUGUUGUAAUCCUUUCCAUCAAAAUAGGGUGGUCUGGUAUUGCUUUGCCCUUCCACCAGCCCUAGUGCUAGCAUACUAGCCAUGGAUCUUUAACUCUGAAGUAAAACACUUCAAACAAAGUGAGUACACAGGCUCUGAUACCAAUUGAGAUAGCUAGUAUAAACACCUAGAGGGGGGUGAAUAGGUGCACACACAAUUUAUCACGAUACGGGAGUGAUUCUUCACAAACGAUUGAAACGAAAUUCUCUCUUGAUUAACAAAAUGAAAUACGAUCGAGGUAGAGAGAGUGAGGAAGAGAAAAUUGAACACAUAAUUUAUAGUGGUUCGGCUUAUUCCAAGCCUACGUCCACUCUUCCGCACUGACAGCCCACCGGCUGGAUUUCACUAUGAUCAAAAGAGAAGUUACAGCCCAGCUUUGCCUUGAUUUCACAGUGUAGAUGUUCUACCACACCUCCUCAAGGUUUCUCACAAAUAUAGACUCUCUUUUGUAUACAAGUAUUCGCUCAAAGGAAUUGUCUAAACAAAAAGGAGCUUCAGACUUUGGAAUUCUUCUAUCGCGCACACCUUAAACAACUAAGACCGUCUUCCUUAUAUACUCCUUUAUGCCAUCAUACCCGUUGGCACUUACCAAAUGAAUUCCUCCAAUCUACCCGUUGGACGGAAUCAAUUAGGAAGAUUGUUCGAGCUAUUAAAGGAACGUGUUGAUAGCCCAUCAAUCCUGUUCGCCCAUACAAUCAGGAUCUCGGUUUCCAUAAGUAGAACUUUCCAAUAAUAUUUAGACAAUCAUCGAAUCUUCAAUCAACGAAUCAAUCUUGAUCAAUCAAAGGAUUCUGUUGCGUCUUUUCCAGCCACGAGAUCUUCUCCAGAUGAUAAGGUUAAAUCCUUAACAAAACAUCCAGUUUUGGAUAACCUUUCUUCAACGGAUUAGAGACUGUCAAUGAGGAUAGACUUUGAGUAUUGAGUCUGGCUGUCCGGAAGUUUUCAGACUUUAAAUAACAGAGUCUGCAAGCCUUCAGACUAGACUGAUAGAAACGUUUUGUCAACUUCAAAACUCUUCAAGAAGAUUUCUCCAACACCGAUAAGCUCCUCAUGGUUAAGUGCAUGAAGCAGAAAGGCCAUGUGGUCGCCAUCACUGGGGAAGGCACGAACGAUGCACCGGCCCUCAGGGAAGCCGACAUAUGGAUCUCGAUGGACAUCUAAAGCACUGAGGUCGCCAAAGAGAGCUCGGACAUCAUCAUCCUCGAUGACAACUUUGCCUCCGUGGAGACGGUGUUGCGGUGGGGUCGAUGCGUCUAUGAUAACAUUCAGAAAUUCAUCCAGUUCCAGCUCACGGUGAAUGUUGCGGCCCUUUUGAUCAACUUUGUGGCCGCGGUCACUUCCGGCGACGUCCCCCUGACAGUCCUCCAGCUCUUGUGGGUGAACUUGAUCAUGGACACACUUGGCGCCAUUGCCCUGUCCACAGAACGGCCCACCAGGGGGCUCAUGGAGAAGCCCCCCGUGGGCCAGAUGGAGCCGCUCGUCACCAACGUCAUGUGGAGGAAUCUGGUGGGACAAGCAAUCUACCAAGUGGCCGUCCUUCUCACUCUACAGUUCAAGGGCAAAUGUAUUUUUGGCGUGGAUGAGGCUGUGAAGCGGACGCUGAGAUUCAACACGUUCAUCCUGUGCCAGGUCUUCAACAAGUUCAACGCGAGGAAGCUCGAAAAGAAAAACGUGUUCGAGGGCACACAGAAGAAUAAGCUGUUCCUCUGGAUCAUCUUCGUGAUGGUGGUCCUCCAAGUGGUGAUGGUUGAGUUCCUCAAGCGGUUCGCCGGCACAGAGCAGCUGAGCUGGCGACAAUGGGGAGCAUGUGUCGGGAUUGCGUCCGCGUCUUGGCCUAUCGGUCGUCAAGUGCAUCCCGGUCCCUGAUACGCCAAUCUUCAGCUACUUGAGAUCGAAAAUCAAGAAACUCGUGGGGAAAAUUGUGCACAUAGAACAGUUAAUUAGGUUUAGGAACGCUAAUUGGGUUUAACUCGAUUCUUCUCAUUGUACAUAUACAUUAAAUUUCUCUUGAUACGGUGUGAUUUUUAUUGUCCUUUUACCGAGAAAAAUAAGUAAAGUGCAUUAAUGAGUAAAUGAGAAGACUCUAAUUGGCAUCAUAGAACAUAACCACAACAAAGUUUUUGGGUCCACACUUUUUAUGUCACGACCAAUUUCUCCGCAAAAUUUUUUGAGACAAUAACAUAAACAGUCCAUAAACUUUGGCUUAAUAUGUAACGUGGUUGAUUAACUUUUUAUUUGUUCAAUGUACUCCUUGAAAUUUAUUCCAAUAUGCAAUGCAGUCCCUAAAAUUUUAAUUUGUUCAAUGUGAUCCCUGAAUUUUUUAUACAUGUUCAAUCGCAUCCCUAAUUUUAUGAAAAAUUUUCAAUAUUACAAAGGGUACGAUGUAUAUGUAAUCGAGAAAAAAAAUUAUAAUAAGUUGAAAAGGGUAUUAUUGCUACUUGGAGAAGAGCAAGUAAACUUUUAGAAAAAUAGGAUUUUCCAAAAAAAUAAUUAAAUUAACGAGAGUAAAGUCAAAAAGACACUCUUGUGUUCUCAUUCAUCAAUGCAAUGUUUCUUUAUGAGAGGCGAAACAACUCAAGAAUGUGGGUGGAAGGAAACAUCGAAGAAAGUGGGCAGACAUGGCUUAAACACGGAGCAAGGUUAGUACUGAAGAAUCAACCAUGCAAUUCCUUUAUGCAAAAUAAAUAAAUAAAUAAAUAAAUAAAUAAAUAAAUAAAUAAAUAAAAUUAUUGUUAGAUGCUACAAGAUCCUCAAUCUUUGAUCCUUAUAUGAUUUAGAUGGAUUUUCUAGAAAGAGUAUUUCUUCUAUUGUUCCGGAUGAUUUGGUCUAAUCCCCUUAACUCUUUGUAAAUGGUGUUAAUGCGAAUCCAUGUUCACACGACACGUAAUAAUCCAUAUUUGACAUUGUGUUCUCAUGAAUUAUAGCAAUUUUUAUCCUUAGUUGGUAUCCUCACGACGAAUUGUAAGGUACGGGGCGCAAAUUCUAAUUGCACCAAUACUAAUUUUGAGUUUUUUGUAUUUUUUUUUCUUUUUUCAUAGAGAGCAAUGCAUGCUCCAUGUAGGAGUUGAAACCUUCCAAGAAACAACACUCUCCAGCGCACAGCAUUGGGUCUCAUCCUCCCUGCAUACUUUUGACUAUUCGUUGACUCCCCUUCCCAGCCCGUCAAAUGAAGUCAAUCGCUGGCGGAGCUUCGUUUCGUGGAAACACGUUUUCCCACUGCGUCCCUCAGUUUCGCUAUGAACUCACAAAAUUCAAUCAAGCAAAAAAUAAGAACUCAGAGUUAUGUAUCUCGCAAUCAUUGAACAAAAACAAAGAAACCUGAAGAGAAAAUUCAACUGAGGAGAAAGAGUGCACAAGAAUUCCUAUUACACUUAAAAGGCCAUGCCAUUACCUUCCACAAUUUCGGGAGUUCAAUUAAGUGUGCAGAUAUGGGAGUUUGCGGACGUGGCAUGUUUGCAUUGGUCCACAAUCAGCCGUCGUUUGCAUUGGGUCUCUUCUCUACAUGAGUCUUUCGGGUCGUCCUUUCACGGAGACCCGUCGGCAGCUUCUGUGUCCCGCAAUUACGCUGCAACCCGGAUCGCCACUUGACAACAUCGCCCUCUGGUUCCCUUGAGCAUGUAUAUAAACCCCAUGUAAUCGAUGGGGCUAUUGUCUCAAGUGAAGCGGACAGGUAAUUUUGAAAUUGCCAAGUGUCUGGAGUCGUCAAGUAUGUAGAGUGCCACUAAGAUAUUUUCCCGAUCUUUGUGAUCUCUCGCAAAAUGAGGAUAUCUACUGGUUGGAAUUCUUUUGAUCUUGCAAGAAAUUUAACAAUUGAAAUGUGGAUAUCAAACGUUGUGCUGUCUCUGACAAAUUAAUCGAGUCAUCCGGAGAUGGACACGGUAAAGAGAUAAGAUCGUUCAUGCAAGAAAUGAGCUUCAGGGUUACGGACAUAUCAGCGAGGGCAAAGGUGUUAAUUAUUAAAGUUGACAAAUAUUUAUAGUCGCGAAUGCUGGAACCAUGAUAUAGUUAACACGACAUACUUCCGUGAUUCUGUGGAACGCUUGCUGUGCUCGUAAUGCCCAUGGUUUCUUCAAAGAUCACGGGCUUCAGAAGCACUGGUUUCGACCGUUCAAAAAGGUGCUUUCCAUGAAGAACUUGUGGUGGAGCAGGAUCUCGCUCGACGAGGAGGGCGCGAAAAUGUUGGGCACGGCUGUGGUGUUCCCAUAGAUUCCUUUUUCAGACUGUUGCAGCAUGUCAUUGAUUUGAACAUCCACGACGUAGGGAUUGCUCAGAUUACACGUUUUUAAGGCAUAUCCCUCUCGUUACGUAGUAGCCUCUUGUUCUGGCUUUUCGGGGCUCGAGGAUGGGGCGGGUUCGCACGGAGAGGAGACGUGCAUCGGCUGUAUAUCUUGUCUCACUCGAUAGGAAAGUGAGGGACGUGGCUAUCUUGAAAAUCUUGCUGUAACUAAAGAAAGUGUAUCGCGGUCAAGUUCAUUCCUCAAUCUUCCUGACUCAUCUUUGCUGAUACUCAUGUGACUGAUAAUCCGAAUAAUCUUGUGACGUAGUGCCUUACCAUGGCUACAAUAAUGUGAUAGUUGUGAAUGGUACAUUACUGUCAAUUACUCAUGUUGGGACUGGUCCAUUUGGCAGUGAGACCGGUCGGUUUUCACUUAAUAAAGUUCUGGUUGUUCCACAGAUUAAGAAAAAACUAUUAUCUAUUUCUCAAUUGACGAGAGAUUAUCUUUGCUAUUUUGAGUUCGAUGCCUUUGAUUUUUCUAUACAUGACUCCAGGACACACUGGGUAUUACUGAUGGGAACUAAUCAUCUAGGAUUAUAUAUCAACAAGGAUCCGCGCUCCAUGGCAUUCUUUUUCCAGAGAAACCAGGUUGCGGAUGAACUUCGUGGCGUCGCCUAUUAGGCCAUCCAAAUAGUCUCAUUUUACAGCUUUUGCGAUCUGAUGAUUUGAUUUCAGUCAAUAAAUCCACUAGCACUUUAUAUAUAAGUUGUCAUAUUAGUAAAAGUUCAAGAUUGCCAUUUUAUUUAUCUGAUUUUCGAUGUUCCCAUCCAUUGGAGAAAAUACAUUGUUAUUUAUGGGGACCGAGCCCAAUUCCUUCUAUGCAAAAAUUUCAAUAUUAUGUCGUAUUUAUUGAUGAUUUCUCCCGAUAUUGUUGGUUGUACCAUUUAAGCAAAAGUAAGAUUUCUUUGAGAUUUUCUUGUCUUAGAAAUUAGUUGAAAUUCUUCUUGAUAGGGAAAUUAAAGUUUUUUAAUUUGAUGAGGAGGUGAAUUCAUGAGGAAAAAUUUUCUCGCGCAUCUUCAUGAAUGUAGCAUACAACAACUCUCUUGUCCAAGAACACUGGAGCAAAAUGGUGUGGCUGGGAGAAAACAUCAACAGAUUGUUGAAUACGGUCCAUUGCAAUAGCUUCCCCUCAGUCAUAGCAGUAAUCUGAGAAGAAGAUGCAAAAGGAAAAUAAUGUUCGUAAAAAACAAGUCGAGAUAAAUAAACACCACUGGUAGAUUGGUGAAGAUAACGACAUCCUUUGUGUUUUUCAUUGUAUCCCAAAACAUGCAUGGCAAAGAGCAUUUGUCAAAUUUGUUCAUUGUGUAGUUGCGUAGAUAUGGAUAAUAGUGAGAGCCAAUAGUUGAGUGACAUAAAUGCCUCAAGGGAUCAUUGAAUUAUGCUCCAACCUAGUCUAGAAGUUGGUCAAAAUGGUUGUUCACCAGUGGAUCUUGUCUUUGCAAGUGAACGUACACGUCUGUUUGUUGAGAUAGAACCAGAGUCAAAUGUUUCAUCUGCUAUUCUCUCUAAUUAUGUGCCACAUCCAGCAGAGAGUGAAUCUUCAGUUCAAUCUCAAUGUGAAUGUUCCACAUCCUCAGUGCAUCCUAUGGUUACAUGUUCAAAGGCCAUGAUCUCAAAGCCAAACCCAGGUAUGCUAAUAUAGCAAUGGAAUCUAUCCCUCCCAAACCACAAACUGCCCAUUCAACCUCAAAACACUCUUGUUGGACAGCUAACAUGCUUGAGGAGUUGGACGCUCUUGCAAUCAACAAAUUAUGGGAACUUGUUCUCCAUCAUCCCUCGAUAAAUAUAGUUGGAUGUAAAUGGGUAUACAAGGCAAAGCUAAAUACCGAUGGUUCACUUGACCGAUCGAAAGCCCGACUUGACUUUCAUCAAGAGGAGGGCAUUGACUUUUGAUAAACUUUUAGUCUGUUAGGCAAACAAGCCACAAUUUGUAUUAUCCUAUCUGUUGCUACUAUUCAGAAUGGGGAAAUUCGCCAAUUACAUGUAAAGAAUGCCUUCCUACAUGACGAUCUUGAGGUUCCUAUCUACAUGGAAAUAACAACCAGGUUUUCGUGAUUCAUUUCAUCUUGACCAUGUCUGCUUACUCUAGUGUGUGAUAUGUGGCCUCAAACAAGCUCUCAAGGCAUGGUUUGACAACUUCAACACUUUUCUUUUUGAGUAUGGAUUUUUCUGCAGCACUGCUAAUUCAUCACUAUUUGUUUAUCAUCCUCAUGGUCAUAUUAUUAUUCUAUUGCUCUAGUUGGAUCAUAUAGUCCUCAUUGGUAAUUCCCCGAAAUUACUAAACCAUUUGAUCCUCAUCAUGGUCAAGUCUUUUCCAUGAAGACCUUGGUGCUCUUCAUUUACUAUUGGGCAUUCAAGUCAGUCGCUCCAUUGAUGGACUCUUUCUCUUACAACAAAAGCAUGCCUUGAAUCUUUUGAGUAGUGCAUCAAUGGCACAAUAUAAGCCGAUUGCUACUCCAAUAACUAUCAAGGAACCACCACUUAAACAUGGUGACAAGCCCUAUGUUGAUCCAUCCCAUUUUCAAAGCAUUGUAGGCUCUUUGGUAUCUUGCUCUCACUCAUCUAAAUCUCUCACUUGUGGUCAACAUAGUUUGCCAACAUGUGCAGGCCCCAACUAUGGCAUGAUAACAGUACUUUAUGUUGAGAAAACUCUCAGUAGAUUUUGAAAUUGACAAUAUUAUCCAUAAGAUUUUAGUAAGUCUGAUCAAUGUCUUGAAGUAUGUUGAUCCAUGAAAAUUAUCUUGGAAUGAGGUCAUCUCAAUCUAGCUCAAACUCAAGUACAAUUUGUAAAAUUUGCUUCAAAUGGAACAUACUCAGACUUAAGUUCAAACUUUAUACUAAAGAUAAAGACCGAGAGAAUCACUCUCUUUCCCAUCCGGACACAAGUUUAGAAUGUGACAAGUUCAUAGCAAAAAAAAGCCCAUAAUGUAAAAGGUCCAUAACAAGGCCAGUCUAGAAUAUAUAACGGCCAGUGAUCCGGUUUGAAUUUUACAAUUAGAAAGAUUUUAUUGACUUAAUCUUAUUCGAUUGGCAAAUCAAUCUGGAGAAAAAAUAUUUCUAAACAAAAAAACUCUACUUAUAGAAACCAAUACUCCAUUUAUAUAGAUGACCACAAUAAAGUGAAGAUUAGCUUCUGUCACUCAACGCCACUCAAUCUUCUUGAUACAAUUCUAUCCAACAGGUUAAUUGAAAGACGAUCCUUUAGUGACUAUCCAACGGCUAAUUCGGAAAUGUCACACCCCAAAACAGCAUGAAUGGGGGAUGACACGGCCGUCCUUCCACUCAAAGGACGCAGCCUCAAAGCUCCAAAAAUCCAUCUCUUAAAAGUCCCCACAUCCAUAUCGCUCUCGUACCUACUCAUCGUUAAUCGAGGGACCUGAAAAACAUUGUAAAAUAGAGGAGUGAGCAACCACGGCUCAGUGAGUAGUGCAUCUCUUCUAAGCGGAUCGAGCACCCACUAUGCAUAUUUACAAAACCAAACCGCAACUCUUUUAACUCUAAUCUAGGAUAUAAUAAACAUACAGUGAAAAGAAUAAGUUACAUAUGCUUCAACAUAGCUAUAUUUAUAGCAAAAAUAAUCAUUUCAUAAUAACAUCAAAAUAAACAUCAAUGGUCUAAUCCACUGAUCAAUCUCAUUAAUUCACAUGCCAAUGGUCCAUUCCAUUGGUUAAUCUCAUAUCACACCAAACCCAGAAAUUUAACAAACCUUCAAGGCCAAAAUAUAACAUUUCUUACUUUACCACAAUAUGUUUAAAGCAAAAAUAUUCAAGAUAAUAAUAGGCAAAUGCCAAUGGUCUAAUCCAUUGGUUAAUCUCAUAAAACAUGAAUCAAUGGUCUAUUCCAUUGAUUAAUCCCAUCAAACCACACAUUGAUAAUCAAAUGAAAUUACACGUCGAUGGUCCAUUCCAACGACUAAUCUCAAAUUACACGUCGAUGGUCCAUUCCAUCGACUAAUCUCAAAUUACACGUCGAUGGUCCAUUCCAUCGACUAAUCUCAAAUUACACGUCAAUGGUUCACUCCAUUGACCAAUCCGUUGCUCAAUAUCAAACCAUGGUCACGAUACAAUGCCUGGUGACGAGGCGACCAAGAUUCCCCCCUUGGCAAGGUCUCCACCUAUUAUUAGCUGGUGGCUCGGCCCACAAGGAUAUCCUAGAAUAGUAUGCGCAUACCCACAAGCCCCUCACUGAGCUCACAGCAAUAUUGAGCAUCCACAUCAAUCCAAAACAACAACAUCCAUAAUUCUCAAAUCAAAUCCAUAAAACAUUUCAUAUAUCACGAAAGAGAUUUCGCAACUUAACUUAUCCACCAAAAAUACUUUUUAUAAAACAUUCUCAAUUAACUUCAAGACUCGUCUCAAUAAAUCAAUUUCAAAUCAAAUACAUUUCAAAAAGUUCAUCACAAAUCGAUAUUCAUAUAGCCUUCCAUAAACCAUCUUAAAUCCGAGAUCUUCGUAAAAAUGUUUCACAAAUUCAAAAUAUGUAAUAUUUCUCAACUUCGCUCAUCAAACAAAACAUAUAUUUCCACCAAAAAUUCUCACGCUAUUCUUAAAUAUCAAAACGCAGUAAAUGCCCGAUCCAGAUUUUUAUGCAAUAAAUAUGCUUAUUCAUAACUCAUAAAUAUCAAUCAUUUAUCAUUUUGAAGACAUGAGCUUGUAAAUUCUUAGAAGAGAUAGCACCACUCACCUGGAAAAGUCGAAAAUCAACUACGACGCUCACUCGAACCAACGCACUCGGAUCCCUAAUAAUUAAUGGAAAAACAUUAUUAAAAGGCCGAGUAAAAAGGAUAUUUGCAUAACGACUCGUCUAUACUAAGCCUAUUUGUCGAUAAAACGACACCUAUGCGCCACGAAAACUCACAUUUAUCAAAAACCCAUCAAUUUCCCACAAGACGCAGCCCAUGCGCCAACUUUGUCGCGCCAUAACUUCCUCCACAAAAUUCCGUUUCAAGCCAUCUUACAGUCUUUAGAAAGCUCUCUUAACGUACAACAACAACCCCAAUUCAGCCACCUCAAAACAGUACCUAAAACAACAACAAAACAAGCUCAAAGCUUACUGAUCGCUACAGUACCAGCAUGCGCCCCCGACUUCAAAAUUCCGUUCCGGACAAACCGCAAGCUCAAAUCACGAUCCGUAAGAUGCUAUAGCUUCACAACAUCCCAAAGUACCAUUUCUAUAAAAAUAUGCAGCUUAACGACUCAAAAAUCAUACUUCGCCGCUCGAUUUUCCCAAAAUUCCGAAUUUCAAGCCCUACGUCCGAAAUUACUCCGAUUGAACGAAGGGGGAGCACGAGCGCUUACCGGGCGUUGUGUUACAUAGUUAACGUGGCUUGGCGAGACUCCCGUGACGAGAACACACCAAAACCCUUCUUCUUCUUCUUCUUCUUCUUCUUCUUCUUCUUCUUCCUUUCUUUAAGCGAGAGCUCUCUGCUCUCCAUUUCUCUCUCUCCUCCUUUUUCUUUCUCUCUUUCCCUUUUAUCUCUCCCUUUUUCUUUUCUUUUUCCUUUUUCUUUUAUCUCUGUCUUUUCUUCCUCUCUCUCUCUCUCUCUCUCUUCUCUUUUCCCUCUGCCGAAAACUCUCGAUUCCUCUCUCCUUCUCCCUUUUUAUUUUAUUUUAUUGUUUUGACUGAGUCAAAACCCAUAUCUUACAUUAUUUGUAUAGUGUGACGACCCGAGCGACGGUGCGUGGGGAGGAGGGAUGGCGGUGCGUCCGCGCCUCCGGUCCUCGGACGUGCGCAAGGGAAGGGGAAGGGAUUCCUCUCCCUCUUGUCCCACAUCGCCUAGGGAGGAGCUCCUGGAAGCCUUUAUAAGGCUUGGUCCCUCUUAAACUUGUGAGACGCGUUUCACACAUGCUUCCGCUGUGCUGAGAACAAAACCGUGAGGGUGGCCGCAAAGGUACGGGCCCAGAGCGGACAAUAUCUUGUUCGUGGGGAUGGCCGCAAUGGAACGGGUCCUUUACCUGCGAGACGCGUUUUAAAACCGUGAGGAUUCAGUGUCCAAAGCGGACAAUAUCACACAAGUGGGACCCGGGAUGUUACAAAUGGUAUCAGAGCCAACUCCCGACAGCGUGUGGGGCCACAGCGAGGACGCUGUGCUCCCAAGGGGGGGAGAGUGUGACGACCCGAGCGACGGUGCGCGGGGAGGAGGGAUGGCGGUGCGUCCGCGCCUCCGGUCCUCGGACGUGCGCAAGGGAAGGGGAAGGGAUUCCUCUCCCUCUUGUCCCACAUCGCUUAGGGAGGAGCUCUUGGAAGCCUUUAUAAGGCUUGGUCCCUCUUAAACUUGUGAGACGCGUUUCACACAUGCUUCCACUGUGCUGAGAACAAAACCGUGAGGGUGGCCGCAAAGGUACGGGCCCAGAGCGGACAAUAUCUUGUUGGUGGGGAUGGCCGCAAUGGAACGGGUCCUUUACCUGCGAGACACAUUUUAAAACCGUGAGGACUCAGUGUCCAAAGCGGACAAUAUCACACAAGUGGGACCCGGGAUGUUACAGGAAAUGCAAGAGUAUUUAAGGAGACCAAGUUGUCGAGGAGCAAAUAAGAGACAAGGCCAAGAAUCUAGAAUUCCAAAAUCUCAAGCAUACUUUGACCAUACACUUAUCUUUCAUGAGCUUAAAAUUUGUGACAUGCUUCAUGCGAGUAAUAUAGAGAUACGAUUCACAAUGCUAAAACUAUAAAGUAAUUGUGCUUAUGUUCAUGUCGAAAAAGCCUCAUUUUUAGGGGAUAUUCCAAGUCAUAACUGAUGUAGGACAACAAGUCCGAUAUUAAUGAGCACAAUCCAUUGAGAACUUGAAGAGAAAUUGUGAUGAACGAUUACUCAAAACGAGUAGAUUCUUUAGACAUCACACCCGAAGCUUCCUAAACAUCACAUCUAUGGUUUCUUAAGCAUCACACCUAAGAAAAUAAUUUUAUUAUACAAUCCCAAAGCAAGGAAUUGCCAUUUCAAUUACUCGAUAACUCUAUAGAGAAAAAAGAAUUACAACGAUAUAUAUAGACUCCCUAAAAGUUCUUCGAUGUAGGAAACCUCCAAACAUGAAGCACAAUUGAAACUUUCUUAUAACGCCACAAAUAUAGGCUAUCGGGUAUAAAUUUGAUUUAAUUCCUUGAGGGGCAAAAAGGCAUUUAUUGUACGAAAAUUGAUUUCAUAUUAAGAAAAGACAUUAGAUAGUGUUUUAUUUUGAUGCAUUUUGGCAUAUCAAUUUUAGAAAAAUAUAUAUGAGCAAUCAUUAAAUUUAUGCAUUUUGUUAUUUCAGACUUCAAAAUGUAUCAUCAACAUUUAUCGUAGGACAAGAGCGGAUUGUUGUUAUUUCAAAGAAUUUUAGUAGUUAUUGGAAUAAUUAUACAUAUGAUAGCUUAUCAAAUUUGCGAAUUUAAAUUUGUAAGUUAAUUUCUUGUAAUUAAAAUUUUUGAAUGUACUUUUUUCAGCAGAUGUUCAGGGUUAUUUUCACAUUUUAACCAUUUACUAUAGUAUUUUACUUUGAUUUGGUUUUUUUGUUUGCCUUUUACUACAUCUAUCAAUCGUGGGGUUUUAUUCUCGGCUUUUGUAGGGUUUUAUUACCGUCAAACGUAGGAAUUUAUUCCUGGCCACUGUAGGUUUUAUUCCUGUCAACCAUAGGGUUACACAAGAUAUACUUGGGUGGAGUGAAAUUUCUUUGGCUUAAAAUUAUUAUAAGUGGAAUUUGUAUUUAAAGACAAAACUCGCGAAUUAUCAAUCGCUCGGCAUUUUUUUGCAAUCGAUGGCUAGUGCACAUGCAACAUAGAGCUUUUACCUUGAAAUUGGAUAAACGAGCCGUCCAAAUAUCAUGUAAAAUUGCGUGGCCCAAACCGAUGGCCCAAAAUUACGGAGCCGUCGCCUAAGCAUAUCCCCACUCACUAAUAAUACCGACAAAGAAUAGGAUAAUUAAAUGUGCUUUUUAAAUGCAUUUUCAAUAUGCGCACGUUCAACUAUUGAAAAAGAACGAGUGAAUCGGGUAUAUUCAUUUCUUACUACAAUGAAGAAAGCCUGGAAGGUAGAUUCAGUUACCUUUGCGCAGCGUGAAUCGGGUAUACUUUCCUUUACCUUUGCUUCUGAGGUGGACAAAGAACGAGUGUUAGCGAAUAGCCCAUGGUCUUUUGCAAGCAAUUUAUUAAUCCUUAAACCAUGGGAGCCUAAUAAACUUGCGCAAUGUUAUAAGUUUACCACUUGUGCAUUCUAGGUUCAAGUUCAUGGCCUUCCUAUCGAAUGGUGUUCUGAGGAGGUGGUUGCUCAUAUAGCCCAAGUUUUAGGCUGUGUAAAGGAAGUAAAAGUGGAAAAGAAGGGAGCAGCCUUUCAGAAGGUGGGUAGAGCAAGGGUUGUGCUUGAUCUUGAUACACCUUUAAGCCCAGGUACCUUAUAUAAUAUAGGAGAGGGGAAAGUCUGGCUGGAUUUUAAGUAUGAGAGGUUACCUCACUUUUGUUAUUCUUGUGGAAAAGUUGGGCAUUUUACAACAAAUUGUGUAGAAGUCCCUUUUGAUGAAGCAAAAUAUGAAGAUAGGAGGAGCAGGUUUGGACAUUGGUUAAAAGCAGAGGCUAAAGAGACCAGCCCCUUUUGGGAGAUUUUUUAUGGUGAAAGGGUGGAAGAACAGGAGGAGGAACACAGAGUAAGAAGCCCUCCAACUCCAAGCACUCAAAUAGUCAUAUUUACUGGAGAGCAAACAGCAACAACUUUCACAGCAGCAACCCAACCACAAAACAGAGCACAUGAGGAUGUUAUAGAACCUGAUCAACAAGAAGAACAACACCAGGGGAAAGGAAAAGCCAUAAUGAACAUUAAGGAGACUGAACAACAGCUACAGCCGGUUGAGAAAUCAUUGUCUUGGACAAAGAAAGGUGGAUCACAAAAGGCAAGCAGAAUUUUAAAGAGUUCACCAGCAAAGAAAUUAAAGCGGUACACCCCAUAUAACUCCAUUCCUCUAGAGUUGGAGGAUUUUGAUGAAGCAAAACUGCAGGAAACUCCUAUUCGUCUUUCGGAAGGCACUACGGGAUAGGCUUUGGUGGCUAGCCCGAAUAAGCCAUUGGUUUACAAAUGAGAAUAUUGUGCUGGAACUGUCAGGGGUUGGGCACACCACUGACAGUUCACAAUUUGAGAGCCAUUGUGGCUCAGGAAAUGCCCGAUAUGAUUCUGUUAAUGGAAACGAAAAACAAAGAAAAUGCCAUUUCUCGCAUUCAAAGACAGGUGAAAUUCAAACACAACUUUGUGGUGAACCCGAUAGGAAUUGCGGGAGGGCUAGCAGUAAUAUGGAAUGAAGAAGUUGAUGUAGUGGUAGACUCUCCUUCCCAGCAAAUGAUAAACUUGAUAUGUGAAAAUCAUAAUAGCCGACACAAAAUGCUAAUUACUUGUGUGCAUGCUCCAAAUCUUUUUCGGGAAAGAUUACAGUUAUGGGUUAAAAUGAGACAAAUUAGUCUUUCUAACCAAUUACCAUGGGUGUGUUUGGGGGAUUUUAAUGAAGUGUUGUACAAUUGGGAGAAGGUGGGCACUAGGAUGGCGGAAAAUUAUAGAAUGCAGGCCUUCCAAAACUAUUUACAUGAUUGUGCUUUAAUGGAAAUAGACUGCAAAGGGUGUGCUUUUACCUGGUCCAACAACAGAGAAGGGGCUAAUUUGGUUAAGGAGAAGCUAGAUAGGGUUUUUUGCUCACUAGAAUGGAGGCUCAUGUUCCCGGAAGCAGAAGCAUAUGCUCUCCCAGCAGUCGGGUCAGACCAUAGUCCUCUCCUCCUUGUGAGCAAUGCUGAAUCUGUCAAGAGAAGAAGAGAUUUUCACUUUGAGGCUUUCUGGAUUGAAGAUGUAGAAUGCAGAGAAAUAGUUAGACAAGUAUGGCAAUCUCAUACUCUUCAUGAAGUAGGCCUAACAGACAAAUUACAAUCUGUAAGUUUUGCUUUGAAAGCAUGGAGUAAAAUGAAGUUCCCAAAUAGCCAUCUUCGCAUAUCAGCCCUUAAGCAAGAGCUUGUAUCCUUAACAAAUAGCACAAGCUUGAAUCAAGACUCUUCUAGGAUAAAGCUCUUAAAAGAAGAAAUAGAAAAUUUAUGGAGGAGAGAGGAGAGGAGAUGUUUUGGGGCUUAAGAUCCCGAAUCAAUUGGCUACGAUGGGGAGAUAAAAACACGAAAUAUUUUCAUGCAGCAACUAUUCAGAGGAGGCAGAAAAACAAAAUUGCUAUGCUGAAGAAUUCAUCAGAGGAGUGGAUACGAGACAAGCAGCAACUUCAGAACCUAAUUAUGUCUUUUUUUCAAAAAGUUGUACACUACGGUAGGGCCUAGAAACUAUCAACCAGUGCUGGACCAAUGCCCAAUACUCAUUGGAGACGAAAUUAACGAAUGUCUGGUGGCAGAAGUAACCUUGGAAGAAGUUCAUGCUGCUGUUUUUCAACUUGGUGCUCACAAAGCUCCUGGCCCGGAUGGUCUAAAUGGAAUCUUCUAUCAACAUCAUUGGGAUAUAAUUAAUACUGGGGUUUUUGAGGAAGUUAGGGGUUUUUUUCGAUCGAGAGUAUUAGAUCCAGCCCUAAACAGAACUCAUAUAACCUUAAUUCCAAAGACACCCCAUCCAGAAAAACUAGACCAAUAUCGUCCUAUUAGUCUUUGCAAGUUCGCAUAUAAGAUCAUCUCGAAGAUUAUGGCAAAUAGACUGAAGAGAUGGCUGCCUUUGCUGAUUUCAGGGGAACAAAGCGCCUUUGUAUGUGGAAGACAGAUUCAAGAUAACAUUUAUAUAGUGCAGGAGGUGUUACACCAAUUGAGAGUGAGGAAAAGGAAAAAACAUUUUCAAGCGGUGUUAAAAUUAGACAUGCAGAAGGCCUAUGAUAGAAUAGAAUGGGAUUUUCUAGAAGGAUGUCUUUUGAAAAUGGGUUUCUGCACCAAAUGGGUCAACCGGGUCAUGCAAUGUGUUACUACAACUACCUUCAGCAUCAAAUUCAAUGGUGAAAAUCUCCCUUUUUUCAAUCCUACAAGAGGGAUAAGGCAAGGAGACCCAUUAUCUCCUUAUCUUUUCAUUUUGGUGGCUAAUUGUCUAUCUUCUUUAAUGGGUAAAGCCCUAUUGGAUGGGAGUAUAAAGGGAAUAAAGCUGAAUCGGUUCUGUCCUACUUUGACUCAUUUAUUAUUUGCAGAUGAUUCUAUUUUCUUUUUGGAUGGAUCCAUAUAGGAAUGUCAGAAUGUUGCAGCUGUGAUAAACCAAUAUUGUUAUGCCUCUGGACAAGCUGUAAACCUAAACAAGUAAGGUAUAUUUUUUAGUAAAGAAUGUCCCCAACUAUUACGGGAUAACAUGACAAGAGAGUUGAGGGUUCCAGAGCUUGCUAGGACAGGGAAAUAUCUUGGAAUCCCUUUUGACUAGGGAGAUUCAAAAAAGCAGGUGUUUGCAUGGAUUUUAAACAGGGUAAAUAUGAAAUUGGAAGGCUGGAAGGAACAAAUUAUAUCUAAACCAGGCAAGGAAAUCCUCCUGAAAUCAGUGGUACAGGUGUUACCUCAAUAUGCCAUGUCAGUUUUCAAAAUUCCAGUGUCAAUUUGUAAGGCUAUAGAGAGGAAAAUAGCUAUUUUCUGGUGGAAAAACAAUGAAACAAAGGCUGGUUUGCACUGGAAGAAAUGGGAAAUCAUGAAAUUAAGAAAAGAUAGGGGAGGAAUGGGUUUUAGAGACCUUCUUACUGUAAACAAAGCUCUCCUGGGUAAACAAGCUUGGAGGUUGGUUAAGAAUCCGGAUGCUUUGUGGAGUAAAUUAUUAAAAGGGCUCUAUUUUUGUCGAAAUGAUUUCUGGCAUGCUGAUAAAGGUACUAAGCCCUCAUGGGGUUGGCAAAUUUUACUUCAAGGAAGGGAGGCCAUAGCAGAUUCAGUGAGAUGGUCGAUUGGAAAUGGUCAGAAUGUCAACAUUAGAACAGAUAGAUAGCUGAAGAGAGGACUAAUUAGAGGGCCAGCAAACAGAAAUGAGCCACAACAAGUUUCUGAGUUAUUGAACUUAGAAGCACAACAAUGGAAUGAAACAUUAUUAAACAACCUCUUUGAUGAACAGACCAUCCAAGAGAUCCUUGCUAUUCCAAUCAACCGUCAACUAGCAAAGGAUGAACUGAUUUGGACAGGGACUAAGGAUGGGUCUUUUACAGUUAAAAAUGGCUAUAACAUUCUAAUAGAUCGAGCAACAGUUAAUAUUGUAACAUAACACCCCUCAUCGUCCUACCAAGCACCAAGAGAACUAUGGCAUGCUCUAUGGAAAAUGAGGACCAGCCCUAAAGUGAAGAUGUUUAUCUGGAAUGUUUGUCAAAAUGCGAUACCAUCCAAGGAGAAUUUAUGGAAAAGAAAGAUUUUACCUGAUCCGGUUUGUGACCUUUGCCAAGAAAGCAUGGAAAUGGCCGAACACAUCCACCUUCUUUGCCCUUGGACGGUUAGGGUAUGGAGUCACCCGGAAAUCAACCUACAAGUAAAUGCACAGGAGGUUACACGCAUCGAUGAAUGGCUGACACGAUUUAUAAAGAAGGACACGCACUUACCAUCGUUGGAAACGAUCUCAAAUACAUUAUGGCAGGUUUGGAAGGCGAGGAACAACUACAUAUUUCGGGGUACUAAGCCGGAUGCCUGCAAAGUGGUAGAUCUGGCCCGAUUUCAACAAGCUAGUUUCGAAAAAUGGGGCUUUAUGCAUCUUCAAGCAGGGAAACCAGCAAGAACAGAGGAAAUCGACAUACCUGCAGCGUGGGAAGCUCCGGCAGCAGGUUCCUUGAAAAUAAACGUUGAUGGGUCGAGAUGUGAAGGAUCGAUGGACGGAGCGGUCGCCUGCAUAGUUCGGGAUUCCUCCGGUUGCCUUGUGGAUGGUUUCACCAAAUCUGUUCGGGCGGAGACGAGUUUUCAGCUGGAAACCCUAGCUGUUCUGGAAGCUUUGAAGUAUAUAAAAUUGAAGAAGCUGGGGAGAGUUUUGAUCGAGACUGACAGCCAAGUCUUCUGAACUGCUUAAAGUACAAUGAAGCACUUCCCUGGGAAGCACGUGCGACUUUGACGGAGUGCAAGGGACUUCUUCAAGAAUUGCCACUAGUGGGCCUGCUUCUCUGCCGAAGGACUGCCAAUGGUGUUGCGGAUUGGGCCGCGCACAAGAAAAGGAAAAAUUUGCUGCCGCCCAACUGGACGUCUUCUCCGCCUCCUGCCCUAUGGGCUUUACUGUGUAAGGACGCCCCACAUGUUGGAUCUGGUGUCUCAAUGUUUAUAUAAAUAAAAUCCUAUAUUUUUGACCAAAAAAAAAACUAUUGAAAAAUAAAAACAAAAUUCUAUUUUCAUUUUUCGUUUUCAAUAAAACGAGAGAUUUAAGAAAUUGCCCAUGAACCAAGGGGCCCUUAAUCAAAUAAUUUUUUAACGGCAUCGCUUGUUCGCUCAUUCGUUAAGAUUUCAUCUCUUUUGGAGGAGAAAGUACUUUUGCCUAGCCAUUCUGUCCUAUGACGCCUCUCUGCAUUUCAUUUUGUCUUUCACAAAUUUUGCAAGGAAAGUUCCUGGCAAGUACCUGGAAUUCGCGGAACCAUCUGUCUACAGAUUCGGCUAAACAGCACUCCCAUUGCCCUAUACUUUGCAGUAAGAAUGAUGCCUGCAGAGCAGGUUUCGCCGGGAUAUUAGGUAGGAUAAGUGUGUUAAAAGUCUUAAAAUUUGUCAUAAAAAUAUAAUUGAAUAUUAAAACUUUCAAAAAAAUACAAUUAAGUCUUUAAAAUUAUUAAAUUAGUCCAAUCAAGUCCUAUGGUUGAUGGCACUUUUUAAAAGAUAUAAGACUUGAAUGGACAUUUUUAAUAUGUUUUAGGACUUUGUUAUACUUUUUUAAAAAUCUUACGACUUAAUUGUAUUUUUGUGAUAAAUUUUAGGCACUUAUCACAUAACAAAUGCUCCACUCACUCUAAAAUAUGUGCAUACCGUAGAGGGCUGUGCGUUUCACCACCUUGAUUUGGCCCAUUAUAAGCAUGGAUAUUGCCUAUAUGUGCACUUCGCGAGAAAUAAAUGCUAUCCAUGUUUAUAAUCAUCAUCUAACAUUCAAGUGAUUGAAGGAAAAGAUGGGAGAAAAUACGACACUACCACCGCAUGUUCGUGGCGGUGGGGGCUAAAAUUCUAGAGAAUAGGAUUCCUUUUCUUUUUCGAAAGACUGAUAAAGAUGAUGUCGGGUAUCAGAUGCCGAUGUCGGAGAAUCGUUUCAGGGAAACCCGUCGGCAGCUACCACCCCCCUCAUCCCUCGAAGACCAAAAAGCAAACGAGCUCACCGCGUGCUUAUAAGUACAUGAAAUCCAUGGCCAUCGUAUCCAUCAUCACUCCAAGAAAUUCGAACGUUACCCUUUUCGCGGCUAACGCAACACCAAACUUCAAAGUUUUCUUUUUCUGUUGUCUUCGCCAUUUGCAUUGUGCUGCCGCCCUGUCUCCUAAUAGGAUCACGAGCCUGUGUCUCUUCCGAGCGAUGACGAGCAUUAUCAGCAGCGACUACUACACCCACUGUAAGGUCUCGAUCGAUUUGCCCGCUAUGCGCUAGUUCGCCAAGCAAUGGCAUUUGGCAUUUGCGACCAUCUAUUCCUCCCAAGCCAUCACUACCUCGGCAAAGAUAACCAACAAAUUCCCUUGAAAAUCUCCUUCCUACACUUCAAUUUUGAUCCACAAUGAGGCUUAGAGUACUCAUUCCGAUCAACAUUGCUCAUUCAAGAUUGAUCAGUCACGGCUCACCAAGCUGGUCAAGGAAAAGGACCUUUGCCACGUCCAGGAAUUUGGUGGGGUAUGUUGUAAUUAUGGUUAUAAUUAUGGUUAAUAGAUCAACGAAAGCCAAUAAAUUAAAAUACGUUUUUUCUAUUCACAUAUCUCUUUUGGAUUCAUGAAUUUUCUCAACUUUUAUGUUCACUUAUCUAUUGAAUUCAUGAAUUUCUUAAAUUUAAGUAUCUUUUAGUUCAUGUAUUUAUAGAGUUCACGAAUCUCUUGAAUUCACGUAUCUCUGGAUUCAUUAAUCUCUUGAAUUCAUGUAUCUAUUGAUUCAUGAAUUUCGUGGAUAAAUGCGUCUAUUUAAUUCAUGUAUCUCUUCUAUACAUGAACUAAAAAAUCUCUAUAAAUAGAUGGAAGCAUAGAGAUUCAUUACGAUUUCUUAGUUUUUGGUUUUUCCUACUCAAUUCCAAAAAGGCUCUAAUAUACUUUUCUACUCUUCUGAUUUUUCUGAGUGUGCUGGUUCAAUUAAACGGUUCGACUGAGUCCUGUUUGCAUAGUGCUAAUCCAAACAGGUUCAUGGUGUUGUAUCUUGGGAGGCAUAAUUUGUGAAUCUGCGCGGCAUCUUUGGCAAGAACUAAUCGUCUUAAGGAGAUUCAGUUAUUCGUACCUCACCUCCAAUUUUAUUUUAUUUUUCAAUGAUAUCUUACUUUCUUCUUCUCCAAGAUUGGUAAAAGGAAGGAUAUUAUAAAGUUGUUAUCAUCUUAUUUAUAUUGAUGUUCUGAUUACAACAAAUAGUUUGCUUUAUUUGGAUUAAUUUCCAACAAUCUUAAGGUGAUUACCCACUCACUGUUUAUUGUUCUUAUUAGAGUAUUGAGAUGGCUUAAAACAAUCAAGUGCCCUUCAAUGUCCCGAGUGUUUCAGGAGACAUUCCUAUGGUCGAUUCGACUGUUGCUAUGGAAGAUGUUCAACCCUCGAGGUCUAAAUUUGUAGCAGCCAAUACUACGGGCCCGUUGACCAACACCAAUUUUGGUGGUGUGGGUACAAGUCACAUGAUUGGUAUGCCUGAGACUGUUUUUUUGAACAAGCCAAAUGGCUUGUGGCUUCGUUUAUGGAGGGAUGGUUCAACAAACCUUGCCUACUAUGACGGCAACACCUCUAGUUACAGCUAAUGAGAGAUUGUCUGCUGUGGCGAUGUCCGAAGCAUCUUUGGUGUCGAACACUAAUGGCCGGUGGCUAGACACAGGUGUCACAAAUUCCAUAUGUGCAGAUAAACACAUGUUCUCAUCUUAUGAGAAGGUUGAAGAAGAUGAAAAGUUUUAUAUGGCUAACUCUGCAUCAGCAAAGAUUGCCGGAAGAGGAAAGGUGAUCCUGAAGUUUACAUCUGGCAAGGAGGUUGCCCUGCUGAAUGUGCUGCGUGUACUAGAGAUUCGGAAAAACCUAAUUUCUAGCCCUAUACUUGUCAAGAAGGGUUUCAAAAGUGUAUUUGAAUUUGACAAAUUUGUAUUUUUAAAAGGAGGGAUGUAUGUGGGGAAAGGGGUACUUGUGUAAUGACUUGUUUAAGGCCAAUGUGGCUAUCAUUGAUGUAAACUCAAAGUAUGUGUACCCAAAGACUAUUAAUAAAGAAAAGUCUUCAGUUUAUACUAUUGUAUCUCCUUAUCUAUGGCAUGGUAGAUUAGGACAUGUAAACUAUGGUACAAUGAAGAGAAAAACAAACUUGGGGUUAAUUCCUAAAUUUGAGUUGGAUGCCCGUUACAAGUGUGAGACUUGUGUUGAGGCCAAGUUUGCCAAGAAACCUUUCAAAUCCAUUGAAAGAACAAGUGAACAUUUACAAUUAAUCCAUGGUGAUUUAUGUGAUUUAAAGUUUGUAGAAAGUAGAGGUGGAAAGAAGUACUUCAUCACAUUUGUGGAUGAUUGUACUAGAUUUUGCUAUGUUUAUUUACUAACUAGCAAAGAUGAGACUAUGAGCAUGUUUCUCAAGUAUAAAAAUGAAGUUGAAAACCAACUUGAUAAAUGAAUUAAAGUGUGACAUCCCGAUUUUCCAAUUAUAUUUUCAAUAAAUUGAGACGGGCAUUUCGUUGGCACACAUAUAGUUCUUUUCCUUGAGUCGGCCACUCAUGUGAAAACUAGUCUAUCAGGUGAAGCAGUUAAUAAAUUCUAAUGCAUCAGACUCAAGAAUUUGACCAGGAAGCGAUCUUUCGACCAAGCUAAUCUGUAAGGGUCAUUACGGCACAAUUAAAAAUCGAUUAGAGAUCGGAGAUAGGUUGACUCAACAGAUGCAUGUGAUCAGGUGUGGGUGAUUCCACCAGAUCGCACAAUUCUGGUCGAUCGACACUGGACCGACUUUUCUAUCGAUUGGGUACCCUAUGUUCGUAUUUGAAACCUUGGGAUUAACCCGACAACCGAAAGUCGCCAAUGUUUCAAAGAUGUACAUUAUGGCUUGAGAUGAUCAAACACAAGUCAAAUGCAUGAAAAUUUCUAAAGGCUACCCGGUAGGUUGGGCCGCGCUAGUAUCGUGCCAAAGUGAAAUUAACCGUGAAAUUGAGAUCGAAUUCAGAAAUUGGAAGUGUGGGUGUGUCACAAAUCAUUUUAGAAAUAUUGACUCAUAUUUGGAAGAUUUUUCAUGCAAUCAAAGUUUUUCAGCAAUUAAAUCAGGGAAUGGCUAAAAUUGGCUCGAGAAAUUAGUAGGCCCGCAUUUGGUCGCACUUUUAGGACCUAAGUUGGUUCUAUGGACAAGUGAAUAUGUGAAUUGAAGUGUGGCGACAUUGGAUUAAUUUUAUGGAUUUCAAUUUGAUUCAAUUGGAAGAGAAUUAAGUGGAAUUGAAGAAUUUGAAGUACAAGAAUUGGACCCCGACAGAAAAUGAAAGUGCAACCAUUGGAGAAGUUGUGGAGGAUUUGAGUGAGUGGAAGAUGACAUGGGAUGAUGUCAUGGUGGUUGAGGCCAAGGGUUGAGAUCUUAACAAGUGGACGUUGGGGAUCGGCUCUUGGAAAGAUGACCCAUUAACAUCAUCUUCUUCCUUGGGACUUUGGAGGAGAGAGAAGGGGGAGCUUCGACCGAAAGCCAGCCGAGCCCGACGCCGCCCUCUUCGCCCAAACGCUCGCUCGGCCGCCGGAUCGCUCGUUGCCGGAGCCGCUCGCCGCCAUUGCCACCGCUUGCCUUCCGUCUCCCUCUCUUCCCCUGCCGUUCGACCAUCUAUCCUCCUUCUUUGGUGUGCCUUGGAGGCUUCGAAACCCAGCAGCAAACCUGAGUAGCCAUGGCCGUCGCACGUCGCUAGCCGGAGCUCCUCGCCGACACGGUCGUCGCUCGUUCGCACGCGCCCCACACAAGCCAACUCACCAUUCCUCCUCCGCCCGAGUCUCCAGCUGCAUCAUCCCUACUUCUCCGUUCAUUUUGGUCGCUGUUAGGAGUUGUUGGAGCUCCCUCCAACCGCCGUGCACCGCCGCCUCAACCCACCUAAGCUGCUGUCACCCAUCCCCGCCGACUUCGUGCCCAAACCACCGCCGUGCAACCCUCUGUCGACCACAACCAGCAGCCAAGAAAAGUGGGUCUCACAGCUCGGUUUUGGCCCAUUUUGGCCACCUUCUCGAGCUCGGAUGCUCGGCCCGCCUUGAGGAAUGUUGAUCCUCGCGUCGUCCCCGUCAUUUUGGUCCGCUCGGUUCGUUAAUCAGGUGAGUUUAGCUCACUAAACCUUGAUUAGAUGAUUAAUUAUGCUUUAGGUGUGCUUAGCUUAAGUUCAUUAAGCUUAGGUGGUUAGUUUAAUUUAUUUAAUUGUUAAUUAGAUUAAGAGGUGGAUUUAACUUAAAGUAUGUUUAGUUAAGGUUAAAUUGAUGUUUAUAUUAGUAUAAUGGUGAUUUGACAUAAAUGAAUUACUUUUGGGAUUAUAUAAAUAUUUCGAAUUUUUUUAAUAAUUUAAUAAUAUUUUAUUAUUCGAAAUUAUUAAAAUAUUAUUAUUUAAUUAUUUCGGAAUAAAUUUAAUUAUUUAUUAAAUUUCGAAAAUUUUGUCAGGACCCUAAAUUCUCAUAAUUUUGUGCCGGUCGCUGCUGUGUAGUCAGAUUUUGAAAUUGACAAUUGAAUAUUAUAAAUUGAGUAUGGAUCGUGAAAAAUAUAGAUAUUAUUAUUUAAUUAAUUUUCGGAAUAAAUUUAAUUAUUUAUUAAAUUCCGAAAAUUUCGUUGGGACCUUAUUUUCUCAGAAUUUUGUGCCAGUCGAUGCUGUAUAUUUAGAAUUUGAAUUUGAUGAUUGGUUGUGGUAAAUUGAGUGUGAUUACGAUAAAUAGGGAUUUUUUUUUUAUAAAAUCCCAAGUGUGGAAAUUGAUGGAAGAUUAGCCGUGAUUAAUCACCUAUUAGAGGUCGUGCCUAGUAGGGCCGUGAAUCGCCACCUGAUAAAGGUCGCACCCAAUGGGGCCGUGAAUUGCCACUUGAUAAAGGUCGCGCCCAACCGGGCCGUGAAUUACCACCUAUUAGAGGUCGUGCCUAUCGGGCCAGGAUCUACCACCUUUUAAAGGUUAUGCCGAGUGGGGCCGUGAUGCCACUAAUUCUAAUUUUGUCGAGUGGGGCCGUGAUUGCCACUGGUUGUUAAACCUUCCUAUAGGGCCGUGAUUGAGAGCAAUGAUUGAUUUGCUAGAAUGACAUGUAAUCGGCCAAGUCGACUGAUCGCUGAGACGAUUCAAGUGGUUGAAUUGUUCUAAUGAUGUGAUUGUACUGCAGUUGUUUGGUUAUCAUAAUUGCACGUGGUUGAAUUAUAUAAACUGUGCUAACCUGCAGAUGAAGACUAAUGCAAGGUAAGUCUCUGUGUGAUGUGGCUAGGCCACUCGGGACGUAUUUUCUUUCUAAUAGGGGUUUAAGGGGUUGAACUUGUUGAGAUAUUGUCUCAUCCCGGUUUGGGAUUACAAUUUCAGGUCCCUGGUGGACGGAGCAGCUAGAUAGAUUUGAUUGGCCUUGAUGAGUUGCAGAAGUGAAAUCAUAAGGAUUGGAGAACGCGUUCGACUUGUAGGUCAUAGGACAAUUCCUUUUUAAGAGCCGGUCUUUUGUAGACUUUUGGCUGUAGGCUUCUAUUUGUAAUUCUGUUGAAUUAUGAAAGUGUGAUGUUGUGGCUUUGCUUCCUUUUUUUUAUUCCUUAUUUCAUUGUCAGGGGUUUUAUAAUACGUUCCGCUUGUGCAAUAAGAAAUGAUUGGGGUUGGCGACACUACCUGGGAAUGUCGUAUUUGCAUGACCAUGGUGGGAUGUUGGUACGCUCGAGGUUCAGGGCGUGACGCAAAGUGCUUAGGUCUGAUAGAAGAGGAGAAUACAGUUCAAUCAAUUUCAAAGAGUUUUGUGCUCGUUUUGGAAUAAUUCUCCAAACGACUGCACCUUAUACUCCACAACAAAAUGGAGUUGCUGAACGAUUGAAUAGGACACUAAAAGAGAUGGCUAACGCCAUGCUUUUGAGUUCAGGUUUACUUCAGAACUUGUGGGGAAAGGCAGUUUUAACUGCAAAGUUUAUUCUUAAUAAAAUACCCCACAAAAAGACGGGUAAAACUCCAUAUGGGUUAUGGAAUUGAAAGUUGUCAUCCUAUAAUUUUCUAAAAGUGUGGGGGUGCAUCAUGUGAUUUAUAAUGGUAAGUCUAGACACAUUCGUCGUAAACACAAUACCGUAAGGCAAUUACUCUCAAAUUGAAUAAUUUUUUUAGACUUUGUAAAGUCAUAGGAUAAUAUUGCGAAUCCGCUGACAAAAGGUUUGUCAAAAGAGCAAAUAAACUACGCAUCAAGGGGAAUGGGUUUAAGAGCCUUAACCCAAUAAAGAGAUUCCAGGGUGGAAACCUAACCUAUGCUAUUGGAGAUCCCAUGGUCUAGGUUCAAUAGGAUAACGCAAAUUUUGGAAACUCUAGAGUAAGCACUGUCUCCCAUUCCUAUGAUGCAACAGUGCUUUCCUACAGCGUUAUUAAGGGUACACUAUGUGUUUAAUGAUUCCCAUAACUUGGAAUAUAACAUCGAAGUGAGAUAUGGUAGGAUAUCUUUAAUAGGAAUACACCUAUAUGCAUGGAGCUGGUCGACUCUAUGAAAAUCUUUAAAGGCUAGAUUUUCUAAAAAAUGCAUGAAUCCCGAGAGGUUCAGGGCCGAAAGAAUGAACACAACUAAGAACCAAUCUUGAAUUGGAAAUACUCCGUGUGAGGUUUAUUGUCUAGGCUUAUACAAACAACUGGCGAUUCAAGGCUUAGUCCAUCGACUAGUUAAGUAAGUCUAAUAGGCUUUCACUAAAGAAGAUUCAAAUCGAAAGUUACCUAUCUUGAUGCGGUGUAUUUCAACAGGCAUACUCAAAUUCUUUCGAGUAAAAAAUGUUUUGUUGAUCCAUUAAUGUGGGGGAUUGUUGUAAUUAUGGUUAAUGGAUUGGCGAAAGCCAAUAAAUUAAGAUACAUUUUUUCUAUUCACGUAUCUCUUUUGGAUUCAUGAAUUUUCUCAACUUUUAUGUUCACAUAUCUAUUGAAUUCAUGAAUUUCCUAAAUUUAUGUAUCUUUUAGUUCAUGUAUUUAUAGAGUUCACGAAUCUCUUGAAUUCACGUAUCUCUAGAUUCAUGAAUCUCUUGAUUCAUGAAUUUCGUGGAUACAUGUGUCACGCCCCGAACCUCGAGCGCGCCAACAUCCCAUUGCAGUCGAUCAAAUGCGACAUUCCCAGGUAGUGUCGCCGACCCCAUUCAUUUAUUAAUGCGCAAGCGGAACGUAUUAUAAAACCCCUGACAAUGAAAUACGAGAUAGAAAAGCAGGAAGCAAAACCACAACAUAACACUUUCAUUAUUCGACAGAAUUACAGACAGAAACCUACAGCCAAAAGUCUACAAAAGACCGGCUCUUAAAAGGAACUAUUCUACGACCUACAAGUCGAACACGUUCUCCAAUCCUUAUGACUUCACCUCUACAACUCCUCAAGGUCAACCAAAGCUAUCUAGCCACUCCGUCCACCAGGAACCUGAAAUUUUAAUCCCACAACCGAGAUGAGACAAUGUCUCAACAAGUUCAACCCCUUAAACCCCUAUUAAAAAGAAAAUACACCUCGGGUGGCCUAGCCACAAUCACACAGAUAACUUACCUCGCCUCAAUCCCUUCCUGCAGGUUAGCACAAUUUGUGUCACACAAUCUCAAGUAAUAAUAAUAAUAAUUCAAACAAUUGGAACGCCAUCACUUUCAUAUAAAUCACGAUCGCACUUAGCACGCAUUCCAAUUAUUAUUCACUGCCAUACAAGGGCAUAGCCUACUCGCAGGUCGGCUAUUUACUAACAUUACGACAUUUCUAAAAGAAUAAAGGUCCAGUCGAUCCCGCCACUACUGCGACCAAGUCACGUCAUUCUAUCGACGGCAUUUCUAGAAGAAUAAAGGUCCAGUCGGUCCCGCCACUACUGCGACCCGAGUCUUUCAACUAGCACACGACAAUUCGAUACUGAUCCCUAGAUACUUUACAUUUCACUCACAUAAUCCAAUUACGUUAUUAACCAUUAACAAUCCAAUUUCAAUGCCAAACUCGACACUUGGGAUUUUCUAAAUAAAAUCCAUACUUUUCACAAUCCACACUCAAUUUAUAAUAUCCAAUCAUCAAUUUCAAAAUCUGACUACACAGCAGCGACCGGCACGAAAUUCUGAGAAUUUAGGGUCCUGACAAAAUUUUCGAAAUUUAAUAAUUAAUUAAAUUUAUUCCGAAAAUAAUUAAAUAAAAAUAUUUUAAUAAUUUCGAAUAAUAUAAUAUUAUUAAAUUAUUAAAAAAUUUCGAAAUAUUUAAAUAAAUCAAAAGUAAAUUCCUUUAUGUCACAUCACAGUUUAUAUUAAUAUAACCACUCACUUAAUCUUAAAUUGAACAUAAUUUAAGUUAAUCAAACACCUUAAUAUAAUCUACACUCAAAUAAAUUAAACUAACCACCUAAUAACACUUAACAUAAACUAAGCACCCAUAAAGCAUCAUUAACCCUGUAAUCAAGGUUUAGUGAAUUAAACUCACCGGAUUAGCGAGCCGAGCGAACCAAAACGACCAGGACGACGUGAGGAUUGACUUUCCUCAAGGCGGGCCGAGCAUCCGAGCUUAGGAAGACGGCCAAAACGGGCCAAAUAGGUGCUGCCAUACCCAUUUUUGCAGCCACUGAUUUAGGGCUGGAGGAGGCGGAUCCGGCGCCGGAAUGGGCGGAGGAAUGGCGGAGAAGCGGCGACUGCAGCUUGGCGGGCGAGGCGGCGGCUCCAGUGGGACUCACAGUGGCUGGAGGUGAUUGAAUCGCGGCCUGAGCUGGCCGAUCAGCCCCCCGGGAUGCACGAGCAGAGGCCAUGGAGAUGGCUGGGCGUCGGCCAAGCGCGGGCGAGCGAGGGCAGACGGGCAGCGACGGCGAGCUCCGGCGAACAGGCGACGAGCGACGGCCAUGGCUGCAGCUUCUCCGACAAGCUCAGAUCUGAUGGGUCUUCGAGCAAGAACCCGAGAUGGAGGAGAGAGGGCGACGGUGAGCAAACGCGCGGCUGCGCGCGUGAACGGCGGCGACAACGGCGGCAUUGGCGGCAAGCGACGAGCGGCGAAGGAAGUGGACGGCGAGGGAUUGCUUCAGCUUCUUCCUCUGCAAAUUUUCUGGUCUUUCGCCCAAAGAAGAUAGAGGAGAAACCAACGGAAGGGAGAGAGGAAGGAGAGAGAAGGAGGGGCCCUUUUCUUUUCUUUUUCCUUUUCUUUAAUUCAACAAAUGGCCCACCAUGACAUCACUUGAUGAUGUCAUACUCCACCAUCUCCCACAACCUUAUUCCAAUGGGUUCACUUGCAAUUUCCGCCGGGGUCCAAUUCUUUGUACAAUAACUUCUUCAAUUUCACUCGAUUCUCUUCUAAUUGAAUUAAAUUAAAGCCCAUAAAAUUAAUUCAAUGUCACCACACUUCAAUUCACAUCUUCACUUGUCUAUAGAACCAACUUAAGUCCCAAAAGUAAGACCAAAUGCGGCCUACUAAUUUCUCGAGCCAAAAUAGCCAUACCUUGAUUAUUUUGCCGAAAAACUCGGCUUGCAUGAAAAAAUCUUCCGAAGAUUAGUCAAUGAUCCUAAAAUGAUUUUUGACAUACCCAGACUUCCAAUUUCUGAGUUCGAUCUCAAUUUCACGGUUAAUUUCACUUUGGCACGAUACUAGUGCGGCCCAACCUAUCGAGUAACCUUUAGAAAUUUUCAUGCAUCUGACAUGUGGUUGAUCAUCUCAAGCCACAAUGUACAUCUUAGAAACAUUGACGACUUUCGAUUGUCGGGGUAAUCUCAAGGUUUCAAAUACGAACACAGAGUACCCAAUCGAUGGAAAAGUCGGCCCAGUGUCGAUCGACAAGGAUUAUGCGAUUUGGUGGAAUCACCCACACUCGAUCACAUGCCUCUGUCAAGUCGACCUAUCUCCAGUCUCUAAUCAAUUUUUAUUUGUGCCGUAAUGACCCUUGCAGAUUAGCUCGGUCGAAAGGUCGCUUCCUGGCCAAAUUCUCGAGUCCGAUGCAUUAUAAUUUCUUAAUGACUUCACCCGAUAGACUAGCUUUCACAUGAGUGGCCGACUCAAGGAAAAGAACUAUAUGCGUGCCAACGAAAUGCCCGUCUCAAUUUAUUGAAAAUAGAAUUGGAAAAUCGAGAUGUCACACAUGCGUCUAUUUAAUUCAUGUAUCUCUUCUAUACAUGAACUAAAAAAUCUCUAUAAAUAGAUGGGAGCAUAGAGAUUCAUUACGAUCUUUUAGUUUUUGGUUUUUCCUACUCGAUUCCAAAAAGGCUCUAAUAUACUUUUCUACUCUUCUAAUUUUUCUGAGUGUGCUGGUUCAAUUGAACGGUUCGACUGAGUCCUGUUUGCAUAGUAUUAACUCAAACAGGUUCAAGGUGUUGUAUCUUGGGAGGCAUAGUUCAUGAAUCUGUGGGGCAUCUUUGGCAAGAACUAAUCAUCUUAAGGAGAUUCAGUUAUCCAUACCUCACCUCCAAUUUUAUGUUAUUUUUCAGUGAUAUCUUAUUUUCUUCUUCUCCAAGAUUGGUAAAAGGAAGGAUAUUAUAAAGUUGUUAUCAUCUUCUUUAUAUUGAUGUUCUGAUUACAACAAACAGUUUGCUUUCUCUGGAUUAAUUUCCAACAGGGUCAAAAAAGUUGCCUUAACACUCGAAACUGAUGUCACGGCAGGGAUAAGUGGCGACCUAGAUGAAGUCUCUCGCAGGCAAAAUGUGUUUGGCAUAAACUCAUACAAGAAGCCGCCUGCCAAGGGCUUCUUCCACUUCGUGUUCGAGGCUUUCAAGGAUCUCAGAAUCAUGAUUCUCCUUGUCUAAGGAGAUUGUGUUGAAAAGUCAUUGUGGAGUAAUUAAAAGUGCAUGUACAGUUAUAGUGAAAUUCAAGCAAUGCUUAGAAUCGAAAGAUGUCUAUGGCAGUUGAGCUCAUGAGGGGCUAUAGGAGAUUAGAGUGAAGCUUGGAUUCCAACAAAGUGAUUGUAACUGGGCUUUAAUGUUGAGCCAAGGUAGAGACUGUCGAAAAUAUGUCUUAACUUUUAGCUCGAAAAGAAAACUUUUGUAAUUUGGCUAAUUUCCUAGUUUGAGUUGGCUCCCUACUUCAAUUUUUCCCUCUUAUGAUGAGGUUUUCUCAAAAAGGGUUUCCUAUUUUGUAUCCAAAUCUUGUGUGUGCGUGCCCGUGUGUGUGUGAGGAGUAUCAAAAAGACGCUCUUGUUCGUGAAUUGCACCCCCAAGUGUUUGAAGCCUUAAAAAAAAGGUGUGGUGAGAUUUUGUGUAAUUCAUUUGUAAAAUUAAUAUUUGUCGCAACCUAUCGCUCGAGGGAGGGAAUAGGUUUAGGGGUACUGCCUAAAGGACGGAUCUAAGGCCUAUGGUUAGGCACGCACUCUCUCAUGCCCAUAUCUCGCUCGACAUUAAGGUGUUCUUAAGAAUUUUGCAAUAAGAAGUUGACAAUAGCCUAUUGGGGUCGACUAGAAAUCCAGUGAGGCAUAUGAGUAUACCUCACUUCCUACGCAACCAGAGAAUCUAGGGUGAGGACUUGAUUACACUAAUUAAUCAAUUAGUACCCUUUUAGUACCUAAUCUUAUUCAUUUAAAAAAAAAGGAUUUUUGUCAAGUUAUUUAAAUUGAUUUUAUGCAUAUCCACUAACAUGUGAGGUGAUUAUACGGGUACGCAACCAUUAAAAUAACGAUUAUAGCUACCAAGAUCAUAAUUGUAGUAAAAUUGAACAUAUGCAAUUAAACAUUAUUAAAUAUGCAAACUAAACAUGCGAUAUAAUCAAUAUAUGAGCAAAUAAAAGCCUAAUUAUACUAUGAAGGCAAAACAUGACAAUUCCCAACCAAACCCUAUAUAUUUUAGAUUUUCGAAUUUUAAAUAAAAUAUAUAUGAUUUUUUUUGGCAAACUGGAUUGGGUCUAAUUUGACCCGACCUAGUCGAUGGGGUCUGUCCAACCUGCCUAGGUCAGGCCCCACCAACCCUGGUCAGGCCUUCGCUAGGCCAGAAUUGGGCCUCAACCGGUGGGCCCAAUCCCUUGCAAAAAAGGGAUUCUACAGGCCCACAGCCCAUACCAACUUUGGGCUGUGGGCUACGAAAGAAAGGGGCCAAGCGGUUCGCCAGCCAAGCACAACGGCACCAUCCUAGUUAGACGUGGGGGCAACUUUUGACCCCCUGACGCCAAAGGGCUUCAACGGCGACGGCACGGGGGUUUUAGGGCGAGCUCUGAUGAUGUGCGCAAGGACUCACGACUCCAACCUCCCUUGGCUCCAACGACACAGGUCCCAGGAACUUGACCUAAACGAUGUAGGAGAGAGAGAGACGCAGCCCAGGGCCCUAAACGAUGAGAAUAUGGGGGAAUUUCAUCGUCGAGUAGGUAGCGUGCACUGAUGAACCUAGGGAUCUUCGGCUCGAUUGAGACCUGAGCACGGGUCCGGGGGGUUAAUGGGGUUACCAGGACACUAAGGAAUGCAACAAGGAUGAUUGGGGAGGCCGGAGCUUGCCUGAACCGGUCGAGGUGAGCUCUGGCCGGCUUGAUUUCGAGGAACGCACACAAGGUGUUCGGUGAAAUACCAACCUAGGCUCUCGAGGAAACAACGGCGGUGGUGGUGGUCGGGCAACGCGUCGGCGGCGAUAGCGGUGGCCCGGAGACUCCUUUUCCUUGGCUUCUUCUCCACCAGCUUUUUUCUUUUUGGUUCCUUCUUCCUCUCUAAUUUUUCUUCUCUCGAUUCUCCCCUGCUCCUGCUCCUGCUCCUAUCUUCUACUCCUGUCUUUUUCGCUCCUCUCUUCUGCUCCUAUCUUUUUCUGCUCCUAUCUUCUGCUCUUGCUCUGCUCCUAUCUUUUAUGCAGGUUUGCUUGUGAAGAUGGCAUGGAGGAAGGAGACAGCUGGGGCACAGGUCGAGCUAAAGCGAGAGGGAAACUGGGCCGAGCCGGGCGUGCAUGAGAGAAGAAAAGGGAGAGGCAGGUUGGGCCAAGGCCGGAUUUGGCCCAACCCGAGCCCCCUCUAGUUCUCUUUUUUCCUUUUUUCUUUCUUUUGUUGUUGUUGUUGUUUUGUUGUUUUGUUUUUUUUUUUUUUUGUUUCUGUUUAAAAAUAGGUGUCAACAAUAUUAUUUUGUAAGAAUUUGUAAAGGCUAAUUAUUGUAUGGGUUAUUGAAUGUAAUUGGGGGCAGUGAAAUACUGAAAGUGUUUUAAUGACUUGAACAUGGUUUUAUUUCAAUUGUAUCGCUUAGUGGAAUUCUGUACAAGCUUCCCAUGGACAUUUGUCACACCGACCAAACCAUAUAAGUCUAGCGUUUGGUUUAUUUUUUUAUGCCAUUUAUUUAAUUAAUCGAUCGCUUGCUUCCCCAAUAUUAUGUGUGUAAGGGUUAAGAAAAUUUUCACCUUUAGAGUUCUUAUUUUUUGCAGUAUUAUACUUGGUGAGAUCAUACUGGGGUUACAGUAAAAGUGAGGGACGUAGCAGAAAAUGUGUUUCCACGGAAGCCCGCGAUUAAGUUCAUUUGACGGGCCUUGGAGGGGGAGUCAACGAAAGGUCAAAAGAUAUGCUGGGAGGAUGAGACUCACCAAUGCUGCGUUACGGAAGGUCUGCAACUCGUACAUGGAGUAUACAAAGCUCUCUAUGUAAAAUAAACAUAGUAUUGUUAUUGGUGCGGCAGAAUUUUUGCAGCGUGUAAGCUUGUUAACAACAAGACUAUUGCCUUGUGUUGAUUUAGGUAAAGUCAAAUUGAUCGUGAAGACAUUGACUGAUAAUAUAAAACGCUACGUAUCAUGAGAAUAUGAUGGCAGAUAUGGGCUAUCACGUAUCACAAAAAUGCAGGAUUGACAUUAAUACCAAUAGAAAGAGUUAGGAGACAGACUGAAUCAUCCGCAAGAAGCAAUGCUCCAAACCCAUCGAGUAAAUAUAAAGAAAAAAGGAAACUACUCCUUCCAGAAAGUCAUUUCAAUCAGAUAAGGAUCGAAGAUCGAGGCUCCUACGGCACCUACCAAUAAUUUUGUAUUUUUUGUUUUCUUUUACAUAAACGAGUCCCAUGGUCUUGCACCGUGUUUAAACCAUGUCUACAUACAUUUUCCAGGAUGUUUCUUUCCACCCACAUUUUAUUCUUCCCUCUCGUACAUUUUCUUGGUCCUCUCUCCAACUCGACCGGCAGGACUUAAUUCAGGUAAAUGCAUGCAUCGCUAGCUCUCGAAUUUUCUUGAUAAGGACGAUUUGUUCAAUUUUUCUUCUUUUUUUUUUAUAUAAAUAAGAAUAUAUUUGUUGAUGUAGACUCUCGCGUCAGCUUCUGACGGACGAGCAGCCGAGUUGGAAUCUCUUUGAAUCGAAGAAACAGGAGGAGGGACCCGGUUGCACGUUCGUCUCAUGGUUUUUGGCUAUGUCAUUAUUCUUUUAAUGGCCAUAAUUUUUGUGGUUUUACAGUAUAAAGGGCAUUCUCGACAAUUUAUUAUGGAAGUUCCAUAUUCUGGUAGCCGGAACUGCACGCUUGGAUUGUGUGGACAACGUGUCUCCAUCACUUGACGGCACCGUCUUCGUUGCAUUGCCCAAAAGAAUUUUAUCAUACAAUCCCAAAGCACAGAAUUGCCAUUUCCAAUCAUUCGUCAACUCUAUCGAGAAGAAACAAUUACAGCCAUAUCUAUACUCCCUAAAAACUUACCUCGAAAUAGGAAACCUCCAAACAAAAAGCUCAAUUGAAAAUUUCUCAUAACGUUCACUUAAUGAAGCUACACAAUAGACUAGCAUGUAUAAAUUUGAUUUAAUUCCUCAAGGGGAAAAAGGCAUUUAUUGUUCAUAUAAGAAAAAAGAUAUAUUAGGAUGUGUUCUAUUUUGAUAAUUUUCGUAAGUCGGUUUUGUGUAUAUAUAUAUAUUGCCAAGCGAACCUCGAGCUCGUCGAUCUUAAGCUCGUACUUUACACUCUUGCUUAUUAUUUUCUUUAUUUACUUUACCAUGUAGUUGUACAUUGUUCAAGCAAAUGGCUUUACAUACUUUGCUUCUUUUUUCUUUUGUUUAUUAGAACACAAAAGACACAGGGGGAGAACAGGCUACUCAACUGAAAGAUUCUCAUUAGGGCUGUACAUGCUUUGUUUCUUUUCUCUUUUGCUUCUUUUUAAAAUCCAUACGAACAUUUUUAUUAGAGUAGAUGAGCGUUUGGUAACAAUAAGAAAACAAAGAUAUGAAGCAAAUUUGCUUGGAUUUAAAGGCAAGUUCAUAUUUGAUGGAUUUAUAGGUUGGUAAGUGAUACAUGCCUAAAUGGUUUAGAAAAUAUUUUCCUUAUCGAGCACUAGAAAAUAUUUUCCGAAACAUUUUCAGGUUUUAGCUGAAUACCAGAAUAUGUUGUCAUUUUCCUAUAAAAUAACAUCUAGGAAAAUAUUUUUCGAAAAUGACCCAUUUUCCGCAAAACGAACUGAUCCUAAGCAUCGCUUAAACUUCACUAUAACCGUGGACCUCAUUAGAACACCAAUUUGACAUCCACUUUUAAUUAUUGCACAACAAUUUUUCAACGCAACCUUCUCAACUAUAGAUGUAAAAACACUUUUGCAUCCAUAUAUGUUAACAGAUCGACAUAAAUUUUGUUGAACUCAACAGUUAUAACAACCAUUAACUAUAUAGAUUUAACCUCAUUAUAAGUAUUAUCUCUAUCGAUUAACACACUAGUACUUUUUACUUCAAGUGUUUCUAGUUGCAGCUCCACCUUCUGUUCAGAUUCGUAUAAACACUGUCACAAACACUCAUAUUUAAAAGUAUUGAAGAUUUGUCAAAUGUAGCUUUUCUGCUGAUAAUAAAUGACAAAUUCUAAUUCACAACACAGCAUUGCGUCUCAUCCUCCUUGCAUAUCUUUCGACUAUUCGCGGACUCCCCAUCCCAAGCCCGUCAAAUUAAGUCAAUCGCGGGCUUUCCUGGAAACGCGUUUGCCCCUGCGCCCCUCGAUUUCGCUAUAACCCGAGUAUGCACUCACAAAAUAUGUUGCACUGGUCCACAAUCACCCGUCGUUUUGCAUCGGGUCUCUCCUCUGCGUGAGUUUUUCGGGUCGUCCUUUCUCGGAAGCCCGCUGGCAGCUUCCGUGUUCCGCAAUCACACGGUAGCCCGGCUUGCCGCUUAAUGACAUCGCCCUCCGGCGGUUCCCUUGAGCACGUAUAUAAAACCCAUGCGAUCGGACAUCAUUCCACAAACUCCAAGAUUGCUUUUUCCGUUGCUAUCACAACACAAUCAGAGUUCCUCUCUUUUGUCUUGCCAUUUGCAUUGUGCGGCCCUACCUGUGCAUCUCUGCCCAUCGCUGAGGAGUGGUGACUCCUUCCGCUCCUAGGCCACCUCGAAUCGCCCGAGCAAUGGCCUCCGUGAGGCAAAGAAGAAAUCCUUUCCGCACUUCGAUUUCGAUCCCAGAUCAACCCAGCUCAUUCCGGAUUGAUCAGUCAGAGCUCACAAGGCUGGUCAAUGAGAAGGACCUCGGCGACCUCCGAGAAAAACACGGGGGCUUAGGGGGAAUCGCCCGCGCCCUUAAUACUGAUUUCAAUGGAAUCAGCGGCGAACCGGAUGACGUCACUCGCAGGCAAAACGCAUUCGGUGUCAACACAUUCAAGCGGCCCGCCAAGGGCUUCUUCCACUUUUUGCUCGAGGCUUUCAAGGACCUCACGCACCUGAUUCUUCUUGUUUGCGCUGGGCUUUCGCCCGGGCUCGCGAUCAAGGAGAGCGGGCUCAGGGAAGGCUGGUACAGCGGCGGGAGCUCAUUCUUCUCAGUUUUCCUCGUGAUUGUGGUGUCCGCCGUGUGCAAAUACCAGCAGAACCGGCAGUUUGAUAAAUUGUAUGGGGCUACCGGUAAUAUUCUCUUCGAUGUGCUAAGAAAGGGCCAGCAUCAGCAAGUGUCCAGAUCCAUGAUCGUCGUCGGAGAUGUCGUUUUUAUCAAGACCAACGAUCAAGUCCCAGCAGACGGUCUGUGCUUCCCUGGGCGCCGCUUGUGGGUAUGGACGAGAACUUGUACUGUUUCAAUCGCAUCAGUUUCGCGUAUUAACUCAUGUUAGUUUCCUCCAGAAAUAUAUAGUAUUAGUAUUACCAAGUUGGAGCCCAGGUUGAUUUAUUAGUUAAGUAAUCAGUUCAAAGAAAUGUAAAAGCGUACGAUAUUCUGUUCGAUACUGCACACUGUCAUUUUCAUAAUUUUAAUUCUAUGACAAUGAGGAAAGUAAGGGUUUUUAAUUCGUAAUUCCAGUCGUAGGAGAACAAACUUUCUUAAAAAAUUUCACUGGAAAAAGUAUACUUAAACAUAAUCCAUUUCUUCUCGGGUUAAUAUUUAUUCAGGUUUCAUUUUCUUUGUUUCAACUCGAGACUCCGCGUCCUAGCGUCACUAAAUCAUGUGCGACAUUUGGAUUAUCAAUUUAGGUCGAUAAAUCGAGCAUGACCGGGGAGAGUGGUCGCGUAGAAGAGAAGAACGUUCAGAAUCCAUUCCUGUUCUCUGGAGCAAAGGUCGUUCAUGGGGAAGCUCCGAUGCUGGUCACAGCGGUUGGGAUGAACACAAAGGAGGGCACGAUGAUGAGUUCAAUCAACCGCGGCAGCAGCGAGGAGACCCCUUUACAGGCUUGGCUCAACAAGCUCACCUCGUCGAUUAGCAAAGUCAGCUUGGUGGUCAAUUGUCUGGUUCUUGUGGUUCUGCAAAUUCUCUACUUCACGGGAAAAAAACAGGGCGCGAACAGGAAACAGGAAUUCGAUCCAAGCCAAACGAUGGGCGACAACAUCAUGAACUCUGUGGGGGGAAAAAUUGCAGCCACAGUGACAAUCGUAUCGGUCAUGAUUCCCGAAGGAUUGCCAAUCGCGGUAACACUCAUUCUUGCUUAUUCAAUGAAGAGCAUGAGGGAUUGGGCGAUGGUGAGGAAGCUUUGGGCCUGUGAGACAAUGGGGUCAGCCACCACUAUUUGCAUCGAGAAGACUGGCACUCUCACGACGAACCAGAUGAAAGUGACGAAAUUGUGGGUCGGCCAAGGCUUCGCGGCAGAAAACGGGUGCUCCUCUGCCUCCAAGUUUGUCCUGGAUUUGAUUCGGGUUGGAGUUGCUUUGAACACAAAUGGCGGCGUCUACAAUCCAGAACCAUCUUCAACAUCGGUGUACGGGUUAUUCCGUAGUCCCACCGAGAAAGCGAUUCUUUCCUGGGCAGUUUCACAAUUAAGCAUGGACACGCAGGAGAUAAAGGAAAGCUGUCGAGUCAUCGCACGCGAAGUCCUCGACAAGCGGAAGAGUAGCGGUGUCCAAAUAAAGAAGACCAUGGAUGACACAGGCCACGUGCACUGGAAAGGAUGGCCAGAGAUGAUCUUGGCGACGUGCUCGAGCUUCUACGACCGGUCGGGGAUGGUGAAAGAUUUGGACGAAGAUGAAAGGAAGAAAUUCAAGCAGAUAAUCCAGGGGAUGAGGGCGAGCGGCAUGCGCUGCAUCGCUUUUGCUCAUAAACAAUUCUGCGCAAAAUCCUGCGCAGAAGCGAUCACAAAAGGAGAACACGAUAACAAGAUCCAAAAGGACAGCCUGACAUUACUAGGACUCGUUGGUGUUAUUGAACUGUGCUGUCCUGGUGUGGAUCGCGUGGUCCAAGCUUUUCGGGACGCUGGAGUGAACGUCAAGAUGAUUACGGGAGACAACAGCUUCGUUGCUAAGGCCAUCGCCAAAGAGUGCGGGAUUCUCAAGCCUGAGGAUGAUGCCUCCGAUGAAGCCAUCGUGACGGGGGCUGAUUUCCGCGACUACUCGAUUGAGAAGAGGCUUGAAGAAGUUGAGAAAAUCCGGGUCAUGGCGAAAUCCUCCUCUUCUGAUAAGCUCCUCAUGGUUCAAUCCCUAAAGAAGAAAGGCCAUGUGGUCGCCUUUGUAGGGGACGGCAUGAACGACGCAUGGGCCCUCAAGGAAGCCCACAUCGGGGUCUCGAUGGGCAUCCAAGGCAUUGAGGUUGCCAAAGAGAGCUCGGACAUUGUCAUCCACAGCGACAACUUCGCCUCUGUUGCGGAGGUGCUGCGUUGGGGUCGAUGCAUCUAUGAUAACAUCCAGAAGUUCAUUCAAUUCAAGCUCACAGUAAACGUCGCGGCCCUUUUGAUCAACUUUGUGGCCGCAAUCUCCUCUCGUGACGUCCCUUUGACAGCCAUCCAGCUCUUCUGGGUGAACCUGAUUGUGGACACGCUUGGUGCCUUCGCCCUGUCCACAGACCUGUCCACAGAGCAGACCAGGGAGGUCAUGAAAAAGCCCCCCGUGGGCUGGACCGAGCCACUCAUAACAAACGUCAUGUGGAGGAAUCUGGUGGGACAAGCAAUUUACCAAGUGGCUGUCCUCCUCACUCUACAAUUCAAGGGCGAAUUGAUCUUUGGCGUGGACAAGGCGGUGAAGCGGACCCUGAUAUUUAACGUGUUCGUCCUGUGCCAGGUCUUCAACGAGUUCAAUGCGAGGAAGCUAGCGAAGAAGAACAUAUUUGAGGGCAUUCACAAGAACAAGCUGUUCCUAGGGAUCAUCUUCAUGACGGUGGUCCUCCAGGUGGUGAUGGUCGAGUUCCUGAAGCAGUUCGUGGUCACGAAGAGGUUGAGCUGGGGACAAUGGGGUGCAUGUGUCGGGAUCGCAGCCGUGUCUUGGCCUAUUGCUUGGGUUGUCAAGUGCAUUCCGGUCCCGCGUACGCCAAUCUUAUAGUUAGUUAAGAAAAUUAUGCAGAGAGAGCAGUUUAUUAGGCUUAGGAACGGCAAUUGUUUUUUACUCAAUUCUUCAUAAUGUACUGGUGUAUCGAAUUUCUCUUGACGCAGCGUGAAUUUUUUGUUUUUUGUUUUUUGGGGGGUCCUUUGACCUAGAAAAAUGAAAAGAAUGUGCAAUGAAUCAAUGUAAUUUUUUCCAAUUCAAAGAAAGCAUUCAUUCAGAAAAUAAGAAAUGAGACGAGAGACCUUAAUAUAGCCAGGAACAUGAAGAAUAAAAUUGUGAGAGAAAUGCAGGAGCACAAAUAGAAUGAAUCAGUACAAAUUUAGUUCUUCGCUACAUCCCUCGAAGUCGCUUUAACCAUAGUUAAUCCGUUACACAACUGACAUCACCCUCUACUUCAGCUCAAGCUAUAUGAAGAUAUUGUCUCUAUUGGAAAAAAAAAAAAUCAGCAAAAAAAAUCGACUAACACAAUAAAAGCGAUUACCUAGGAAUAUACAUAAAAUUACAAGCGCGCAAUAAACGAAUCUAUAACUUCACAAUAGUCCGCAUACAUUCGCAAAAAAAAAAAAUUCUCAUUUUAUAGCAUUAAUGUCAAUUGUCUUCUCAAAGUAGAAACGGAAGCCUUUUGAGGGUAGAACCAUUCUCUUUUCUUAACCUUCUUUUUAAUCUCAUAUAUAUAUAUAUAUAUAUAUAUAUAUAUAUAUAUAUAUAUAUAUAGUUAUGCAAAAGUUAUUUUAUAACUUCCCUUGAAAGAUAUCCAGUCACACCUUUUUAAAAGGUGCCUCUUAGACACACAUCGCUGCCCCUUGGACACACCCACCAAAAUUUUGCAUUUUUACUUAUGACUUAAUUGUUUAGAAAAUUAGGGAUGAAUGUUUAGUCCCUAGCAAAAAUAAUUUGCAUCGCAUGUAGACAUUGGAAACAUUAGCAUCACCAGUACUAAUCGAUGAAUUUUUUGAGUUUUUUUCUAUAAGAUUAGUAUUAAAGUUAUUAUUAUUUUGUUUUUAUUUCCAUUUUAAUAAAAGAAAAAGAAAAAGAGAGAGAGAAUCUAGGGCCGGGCCAGAUCUUAGCCUGCCCGGCCCCCUUUCCUUUCCCUUUUUUCUUUUUCCCCGCAGCCAGCCCACUUUUCUUUCCCAUGCGGCCCACCUCUUCUUCAUUUUUCUUUUUUCUUUCUUUCCCAACGGGCCGGCCCACCUCUUUUCUUCCUCAGCCCAGCCCGUUCGCUCCCUCUUCUUUCCCCUCUCCUGCUCGCCUUGGCCGCUGCUUUCGCGGCAAAGCGGAGAGAAGGGACGUUGGUACAGCGUACAGAGGACAGCAGCGUGGAAGGCGUCGCGUGCGACGCUGGUGAAAGGGAAUGUCGUGCGGUACGGUCUGAGCUGGCACGGUCCUGGCGAGAGGCGAAGAGAGACAGGGGCGUUUGGAAAGAUAGAGGAGCGUUCUGUUUUCCGGGGGGUUCGCUUUUGGCCGAGAGAGGGGGGAGAGAUCGGAGAGCUCGGGAGAGUUUUGAGCGAGUGAGAGGGAGAGAACCAGAGAGUGAGGGAGCUCGAGAGGGUGGUCAACCUCGCCAGAGUCCGUUCGUCAACCGCCGUCCGCCGCAGCGCUCCCCCCCCCGAACCAGGUAGGUCUUGUGCAUAGCUUUUGGACUUGUGUCGAGUUGCGUUGCUUUCCCGAGGGUCUCGCUUCGAGAACACCGAGGGACGGCCAGCCAUUGCUCGACCCAUUUCGAGUCACCCUCCCGUCGCCGCUGCCGAAGCCGAGUAGGGAUCUCCUCAUUUUAAAUGCCCGUCCCCGUUAACCCCUGCUGCUGCGCCCUAUUUUGCUAGGAUAGGACGCUGAGUUUUGUUCCUCCUGUUAGUCACACGCGUGCUAGGCUUCUGCGGGCUAAUGUGGUUGAUUUCGAAUGCCCCUUUGGUGAUUUUUUUCAAGUUUGGCGCUGAGUCCGAGUGCAAGAAGGGUUGAUAUCGUUCCUCCGGUCCAUGCCCACCACAUGUUCGACGAUAUUUCUAAGCUAGCCCAGGCGUCGCAUUACCGAUUCUCGUAUGUUCUUGAAUGCGUAUAAGUGGACUUUGCAUGUUAUGAACCUUUUUUUGCUUGCUAGUUGUCUUUUGCAUCAUCGGGCCAAGUCUGGGCAUACAUUCGCUGUGUUUUAUUUGUCUCCCGUUGGUUUCCUGGGUGUGGUGGCUGUAAGUGGUGCGCGGCUCGGGGUGGACGGCGAUGAUGUCAUGAGGUGAUGGUGGCGGCAAGCGACAAUCUCAGCCGCUGCUUUGUUUACGGUGCUCGGCGUGAGAGAAUAGAUUGGGUGUUCGGCGAUGGAGGCAUUGGUGUUGGAUUUUUGAUGUCUCAGUGCUGCUGUUUUUUAGACUAAAGCUUCUCUGUUCUGUUUUAUAUUGUUUUAGUUUAUUUUCUUACUUAGUCAAUUAUGUUAUGCAGUUGUUGUUGUGUUAUUUAGGAAGUUAAGUACUUGUUCGGGUGCAGUUACAAGCUGAACGUGUGUGUGCAGUUAUUUUUUUUUUGGUUUAAGUCGUGUUGUGUACUUGACUUUUUACUAGAGAACUGUAGAAGGCAGUUUUUAUGCUAUGUUCUCUCUGUUUCCUCUGUUUUUCUUCUUUCUUCCUCGAUAUCUAUAGUUCUGGCAUUUCUGCUUCUUUGCUGCUUUGAUCAGCAUCAACAGUGGUAUCAGAGCAUCGAAUGAUCUUGAGGGACUGUGAAGUGAAACAAGUAUUGUAGUGCAAAGAGGUUAGAGGGUGAUGGAGACAGGUUCAAGUGGUUUUUCUACGAUGGCUUCUCCAGUAUUUACUGGAGAGAAUUAUCAAGCAUGGGCUGUUAAAAUGAAAGCAUUUCUGGAGGGUCAUGAUCUGUGGGAAGCUGUGGAGGAUGAUUAUGAAGUUGCUCCACUUCCAAAUAAUCCGACCAUGAAUCAAAUCAAGCUUCAUAAAGAGAGAACCACAAGGAAAGCCAAGGCAAAAUCUUGCCUGUAUGCUGCUGUCUCGCCUACCAUCUUCACUAGAAUUAUGAAGUGUGACUCUGCGAAGGUCAUAUGGGAUUCUUGAAGGAAGAAUAUGAAGGAGAUGAGAAGAUAAGAGGUAUGAAGGUGCUGAAUCUCUUGAGAGAAUUUGAGAGACAGCAGAUGAAGGAAUCUGAGUCAGUGAAGGAAUACUCAGAUAGGCUAGUGAGAAUAGCUGAUAAAAUCAGAGUUUUGGGAACUGACUUGAGGGAUGAUAGGCUUGUUCAGAAGAUCCUAGUGUCUCUUCCAGAAAAAUUUGAAGCUACUAUAGCUUCUCUGGAAAACACAAGGGACUUGGCUGAUAUAAAACUUGCAGAGUUGCUGAAUGCUUUGCAGGCACAGGAGCAAAGAAGACUAAUGAGGAGAGAAGAUCAUGUUGAGGGGGCAUUGCAAGCCAAAGUAAAGCAAAAUGAUGGAGGCAAAGGGAAGAAAUGGAUUCAGUUUAAGGGAAAUGUUGCUGAUUCGAAAUUUUUACUAAAAGAAGGAAAUGCUGGUGGAUCUAGCAAAUGGAAAAAUAAUAAAAGGCCAUGUCAGUACUGUGGUGGAACCAACCAUCAGUCCUUUAGAUGCUGGAAAAGGCCAGAUGCAAGGUGCAGAAGAUGCCACAAGUUGGGUCAUAUGGAAGCUAUUUGCAAAGGGAAAGCCUAUCAGCAAACAGGAGAAGCACAAGUGGCAGUGAGUGAAGUUGAUGAAGAGCACUUAUUUGUUGCUUCAGCUGGUGAAUAUUCAGUCGAAAAUAGUACAUGGCUGAUAGAUAGUGGUUGUACUAAUCACAUGACUGGCAACUUAGAGCUAUUCAAGAGCAUAAACAAAACAGUAAAGUCCAAAGUCAGAAUUGGCAAUGGACAGCAUAUUGAAGUUCAGGGUAAAGGUGUAGUUGUUGUUAAAGGAAACCAGGGGGUGAAGUUAAUCAGGGAUGUCCUCUUUGUGCCAAACAUUGACCAGAAUCUGUUAAGUGUUGGUCAGUUAGUGGAGAAGGGCUAUAUAGUGAAGUUUGAAGGAAGGGAAUGUCUCAUUAAAGAUACUGACAGCAAUGAAGUCUUGAGAGUAAUGAGGGAUAAAAUUUUUGUGUUCAAGCCAAAUGAGAUGCAGCAGAUGGCUUUAAAGUGUACAGAAGAGAAUAUAGAGCUGUGGCACAAAAGAUUGGGGCAUGUUCAUAGGAGGAGUAUGCUGGUUAUGCAGAGAAAUGGCCUGGUAGAUGAUUUACCAAGCUUGAAGGAAGAGCUUCCACAAUGCAGAACCUGCCUUCUUGGCAAACAAACCAAAUUUCCCUUCAAAGGAGGAGUCUCGAAGACAUAUCAAAAGCUGGAAUUAGUUCACACUGAUGUGUGUGGACCUAUGUCUGAACCUUCUUUAAAUGGAAGCAGGUAUUUUAUUACUUUUACUGAUGAUCUGACUAGAAUGAGCUGGAUCUAUUUUCUGCAAGCUAAGACUGAAGUAGCUGAUGUAUUUAUGAAGUUUAAAGCAUUAGUUGAAAAUCAAAGUGGGAAGAGAAUCAAAGCUCUCAGGUCAGACAAUGGAUCUGAGUAUACAGCUAACAAAUUCAAACUGAUUUGUGAGCAAGCUGGAAUUGUACAGCAAUUUACAGCCCCUUACUCACCUCAACAGAAUGGGGUUAGUGAGAGGAAAAAUAGAAGCAUUAUGGAGAUGGCCAGAUGUUUGAUGCAGGAAAAGAAUUUGCCUAAAAGUUUUUGGGCUGAGGCAGCCAUCACUGCUGUAUUUCUUUUAAAUAGAUUACCUACAAAAGCUUUAGAGAAACUAACACCUCUCGAGGGCUGGCAAGACACUAAACCUUCUAUGAAAAAUUUGAAGGUUUUUGGAAGUUUAUGUUAUACUCAUAUUCCUGAUGUCAAAAGGGAUAAGCUUGAUAAAAAGGCUGAGAUUGGAAUUUUUGUUGGAUAUAGCUCUCAAUCAAAGGCUUACAGAAUUUUCUAUCCAAAGACAAGGAAGAUUGCUGUGAGCAGAGAUGUUAUGUUCUUAGAGGAAGAUGAAUGGAAUUGGUUAAAUGGAAGGAACACUUAAUUGAAGCACUUUGAAAGACAACCUGAAACUGAUGUGGAGACUAAUGAAAUUACAGGGGAAAUGGAAGAAAAUAUAGAUGAUGAACCUGUAAGAGGCACAAGGUCACUUGCUGAGAUCUAUGAAAGGAGUAAUGUGGCAGUGCUUGAACCAUCAAAUUUUGCUGAAGCCAAGGAAGAUCAGAAGUGGUUUGCAGCAAUGCAGGAGGAGAUGACAAUGAUUCAAAAAAAUCAGACUUGGGAAUUGGUAGACAGGCCAUUAAAUAAGAAUGUAAUUGGAGUUAAGUGGGUCUUUAGGACAAAACUCAAUCCUGAUGGCUCUGUUAACAAGUAUAAAGCAAGGCUGGUUGUGAAAGGCUAUGCUCAGGUAUGGGGAGUAGACUAUUCUGAAACUUUUGCUCCAGUUGCAAGGCUGGACACAGUAAGACUCCUGUUAGCUGUUGCAGCCAAGAAGGGUUGGACUAUUUUUCAGCUUGAUGUCAAGUCUGCAUUUCUAAAUGGUGAGCUUGAAGAGGAAAUUUUUGUUGAACAACCUUAAGGGUUCUGUGUUAAAGGGCAAGAAGAGAGUGUAUACAAAUUGCACAAAGCUUUAUAUGGACUGAAGCAAGCUCCAAGAGCCUGGUAUGGAAAAAUUGAUCGAUAUCUACUAGAUUUAGGUUUUAAAAGGAGCUUGAGUGAGUUCACUCUUUAUAUUAAGAAAGUGAAUCAUAGUGUGGUAAUUCUGUCUCUAUAUGUGGAUGAUCUUUUGGUAACAGGAAAUGAUGUUCAGCUGAUAGAAAAUGUUAAGCAAGGCUUAUUUGCUGGUUUUGAGAUGACAGACUUAGGAAAAAUGGCUUACUUCUUAGGUCUGGAAAUCAAACAAAGUCCUUAUCAAAUCUUCAUUUGUCAGAGGAAGUACUUAAAGGAAAUUUUGAAGAAGUUUCAAAUGGAAGAAUGUAGAAGUGUCAGUACACCUAUGGCAGCAAAAGAGAAGUUGCAGAAGAGUGAUGGAACUGAAGCUGUGGAUGUCUCGAUGUACAGAAGUCUAAUAGGUUGUCUCAUGUACCUCACAGCAACCAGACCAGACAUUCUAUUUGCUGUAAGUGUUCUGUCCAGAUUUAUGAGUGGUCCAAGUCAGCUUCAUUUGAUUGCAGCUAAAAGGAUUUUAAGGUAUUUGAAAGGAACCAUGUUUUUUGGAGUGAAGUUUCAAAGGAGUCAAGAAUUUAAUCUACAAGGUUAUUCUGAUAGUGAUUGGGCUGGCUCGAUGGAUGAUAUGAAGAGUACAUCUGGGUACUGUUUCAGUUUAGGAUCAGCUUGUUUCACUUGAUGUUCUAAAAAGCAAGAAAUUGUAGCUCAAUCUACUGCAGAAGCAGAGUUUAUAGCUGCUACUGCAGCUAUAAAUCAAGCCCUAUGGCUGAAGAAGAUAAUGAAAGAUCUUUGGCUGAACUCCAAUGAAUGUAUCAAGAUCAAUGUGGAUAACCAAGCUGCAAUUGCAAUAUCUCAGAACCCAGUUUUUCAUGGCAAAACUAAGCAUUUCAAGGUCAAGUUCUUCUUUCUACGUGAGGUGCAACAAAAUGGUGAGGUCAUGCUGGUUUAUCGCAGAUCUGAAGAUCAACUUGCUGAUAUUUUUACUAAACCACUUCAAGCUGGAAGAUUUGAAGCAUUGAGAAAGAAAAUUGGAGUAUGCAGCAGCUACUGAUCCAAGGAGGAGUUUGUUGGAUUUUUGAUGUCUCAGUGCUGCUGUUUUUUAGACUAAAGCUUUUAUGUUCUGUUUUAUAUUGUUUUAGUUUAUUUUCUUACUUAGUCAAUUAUGUUAUGCAGUUGUUGUUGUGUUAUUUAGGAAGUUAAGUACUUGUUCGGGUGCAGUUACAAGCUGAACGUGUGUGUGCAGUUAUUUUUUUUUUUGGUUUAAGUCGUGUUUUGUACUUGACUUUUUACUAGAGAACUGUAGAAGGCAGUUUUUAUGCUCUGUUCUCUCUGUUUCCUCUGUUUUUCUUCUUUCUUCCUCGAUAUCUAUAGUUCUGGCAUUUUUGCUUCUUUGCUGCUUUGAUCAGCAUCAACAAUUGGGAGGAGGGGCUAGUUUCGGGCGUGGGAGUAAAACAUAGAAGAAGGAGGAGAAGAAGGGCAGAAGAGGACGAAAUAGGGAAAAGACAAAAAAAAAUAAUUAAAAUAUUAAUAUUAAUAUAAAAACGAAAAAGAAAACAAAAAAAAAUGUUUUAAGAAAUAGAUUUUGUCCAUUUUAGGUUAAAUUCAGGUUGUCGGAUAGGGUCAACGGGCCGGAUCGGGUUUAUCGUCCUGUACCCGUUUUCCCGAAUAUAAUAAUAUUCAAUAUUAAAUAUAUAUUAAAAAAUUUCAAAAUAUUUAGAAAAUUCGGAAAUUCAAUUUUUUUUGAAAAAUCAGAAAAAAUUCUAAAAAAAAUUAAAACAUUAAAAAUCCUCAAAAAUGUUAAAAUUCAUCUUUUGGGUUAUUUCUUUCUAAAAAAGUGGAAGACUUUCAAUUUGGAAUUAUGCUCAAGGUUAACCAAGCCCUUAGGGCUCUAUCUUAGGGUGAGACAAAUGCCCUUAAUUGCGCAAUAUUAAUACAUUAAUUUUGGCUUCUCUUUAAUCUAGUUAGGAUUAGCAUUUAUCUUUUCCAUAGUGUUAAGUAUUUGCUAUCCCAUGAAAUGUAUUUAAUGAUUUCCUUGGUUGUUGAUUGUUACAUUAAUGACUGUACACCACGUGAUUAUCUCACAUAUUAGUGGAUAGGUAUAAAAUCAAUCUAGAUAGCCUGACAAAAUAUCUUUUUUUAAAUGAGCAAGAUUAAGUAUUGAAAUUGCACUAAUUGAUUAAUUAAUAUAAUUAAAUUCUCGAACUUAAAUUCUAUGUUUGCAUAGGAAGUGAAGAACACUCUCAUACCCUACUUGGUUUUUAGCCAACUCCAAUAGGCUAGUGGUGACUCAUUCCUUAGAAAUUUUCAUACCCUCAAUUUGAACAUUCAAUGUCGCGAGAGAUAUGGGCUUGGGAAAGCUCGUGCCUGAUCAUGGACCGUAGACCCGUCUUUUAGGCAAUACCCAAAUUUUAUUCCCUCCCUCGAGGGGUAGGUUGUGACAACUCACAAUCAUGAUUCUCCUUGUAUGUGCUGGGCUUCCGCUCGAGUUCAGGAUCAAGAAGAAUAAGGUCAAGGAAGGCUGGUACGAUGGUGGGAGCAUGUUCGUCACGGUGUUCCUUAUGAUCGUGCUGUCAGCCGUGAGUAAUUACCGGCAGAAUCGGCAAUUUCAAAAAUUGUCACGGGUGAGCGGUAGUGUUUUCACCGAUGUGAUAAGGAAAGGUGGGCUGCAGCUGGUUUCCAUAUUCGAGAUUGUCGUUGGAGAUGGCGUUUGUUUGAAGACUGGCGAUCAAGUGCCGGCAGACGGGCUGUCCCUCAAGGGGCACUCCCUGCAGGUAUGGACGGCAAUUUUUACUGGCUUGACCGCAUUAGAUUUGCAUAUUAACUCACGUUGGUUUCCUCCAGAAAUAUAGAGUAAUUAGUUCAAAGAAAUGUAGAAAUGUAUGAUAUUCUCUUUGAUACAGGGCAGUUUGUCAUUUUCAUAAUCCUAGUUCUAUGAUCAAAAGGAAAAGUAAUGGUUUCAAGUCGUAGUUCUAGUCAUAGUAGAACAAAUCUUAGUGAAAGAAUUUACUACAAAAAGUAUAGUUAAAAUAGAAUCAAUUUGUUCUUGUGUUACCAUUACUCAGAUUUCAGUUUCUUGAUGGGACGCAUCAUAUCGUGUCGUCCUAGUAUCACUAAAUCAAGAGAAACUUUUGUAUUGUUAAUUUAGGUUAACGAAUCAAGCAUGACCAGGGAGAGUGAUCACGUAGAAGUGAAAAGCAAUCAUAAUCCAUUCCUGUUCUCUGGAACAAAGGUUGGUAACGGGUAUGCUCAGAUGCUUGUUACAUCGGUCAGUAUGAACACAACAUGGGGCAAGAUGAUGAGCUCCAUCAACCGUGACAAGCUCAGCUCAACAAGCUCACCUCGUUGAUUGGCAAAGUAGGCUUGGCGGUCGCAGGUUCUGGUGAUCCUACUCAUUCGCUAUUUCACGGGAAACACAUAGGACGAAGACGGGAGCUAGGAAUUCAUUACGGCCAAACAACAGGUGACGAUAUCAUAAACUCCAUAGUGGGCAUCAUUGCAACUGCCGUGACAAUCGUAGGGGUCACGAUUCCUGAAGGCUUGCCACUCACGGUAACCCUCACUCUCGCUUAUUCGAUAAAGAGGAUGAUGGCGGAUCAGGCGAUGGUGAGGAAGCUGUUGGCCUGUGAGACGAUGGGGUCGACCACCACUAUUUGCGCUGACAAGACCGGCACUCUGACAAUGAACCAGAUGAAGGUGAUGAAAUUAUGGAUUGGCAAAGACUCCGUGGCAGAAAACGCAUACUCCUCUGCCUCCAAGUAUGUCCUGGAUUUUAUUCAGGAUGGGGUCGCUUUGAACACCAUGGGUUGCAUCUAUGAGCCAUCUUCAGGAUCAGAGUACGAGUUCUCAGGCAGUCCAACCGAGAAAGCGAUUCUUUCCUGGGCAGUUUCACAAUUAAGCAUGGACGUGGAGGAGAUAAAGAAGAGAUGUGAAGUCAUCCAAGUCGAAGCCUUCAACUCGGAGAAGAAGAGAAGCGGUGUCCUAAUAAAGAAGAGCGUGGAUGACACAUUUCAUGUGCACUGGAAAGGAGCGGUAGAGAUGGUCUUGGCGAUGUGCUCGAGCUUCUACAACAGGUCCGGGAUAGAGAAAGAUUUGGACAAAAAUGAAAGGAAGAAAUUCAAGCAGAUCAUCCAUGGGAUGGCAGCGAGCAGCCUCAGGUGCAUCGCUUUUGCUCAUAAACAAGUCUCCGAAGAAGCGACCAAAGAAAGAGAAGAUAUGAAGAAGAUCCAAGAGGACAGCCUGACAUUACUAGGACUUGUUGGUAUUAAGGACCCAUGCCGUCCUGGUGUGAGGAGCGCGGUCCAAGCUUGUCGGGAUGCGGGAGUGAACAUCAAGAUGAUAACAGGAGACAACACCUUCACCGCUAAGGCCAUUGCCGCUGAGUGCGUAAUUCUCAGGCCUGGGGACAACGCCUUCAAUGGAGCCAUCGUGGAAGGAGCUGAGUUCCGCAACUACACAUCUGAGGAGAGGUUUCAAAGAGUCGAGAAAAUCCGGAUCAUGGCAAGAUCCUCGCCUUUCGAUAAGCUCCUCAUGGUUCAAUGCCUGAAGCAAAAAAGCCAUGUGGUCGGUGUCAUUGGGGACGGCACGAGUGAUGCACCUGCCCUCAAGGAAGCCGACAUUGGGCUCUCGAUGAGCAUCCAAGGCACUGAGAUCGCCAAAGAGAGCUCAGACAUUGUCAUCCUCGACGACAACUUCGCCUCUGUGGCAACGGUGCUGCGUUGGGGUCAAUGCGUCUACACUAACAUCCAGAAGUUUAUCUAGUUCCAGCUCACGGUGAAUGUCGUGGCCCUGGUCAUCAACUUUGUGGCUGUGGUCUCAUCCGGUGACGUCCCCCUAACGGCGGUCCAGCUCUUAUGGGUGAACCUAAUCAUGGACACGCUCGGCACCCUCGCCCUGGCCACUGAGUGGCCUACCAAGGAGCUCAUGGAGAAGCCCCCUGUGGGCCGGAUGGAGCCACUCAUAACUAACGUCAUGUGGAGGAACCUUGUAGCACAAGCAACGUACCAAAUGGCCGUCCUCCUCACUCUACAAUUCAAGGGCGAAGCGAUCUUUGGGGUGGACGAGAUGGUGAAGCGGACGCUAAUAUUCAACGCGUUCAUUCUGUGCCAGGUCUUCAAUGAGUUCAACGCGAGGAAGCUUGAGAAGAAGAAUGGGUUCGAGGGCGAAUCAAUAAUAAGAAAUAUUGAAAUCCGAUUGGAUUUCAUCCAAAUAAAAUAUUCGAAGUAAGGCGACUAGCUCGUUUUCGAACUGGCUUGUUAAGCAGCAUUCCUUUGUAUAGAAUAACAAACAACAAAUUAUACAAGAGAACAAGCUGUUCCUCGGGAUUAUCUUCAUGACAGUGGUCCUCCAAUCCAAGUGGUGAUGGUCGAGUUCCUGAAGCGGGUCGCCAACACAGCGGUUGAGCUGGGGCCAAUGGAGCGCGUGUAUUGGGAUCGUGGCUGCAUCUUGGCCUAUUGGUUGGGCCGUCAAGUGCAUCCCGGUCCCUGAUACACCAAUCUUUAGCUACUUGGGAUCCAAAAGCACAAAGCUCACGAGGAAAAUCAUGCACGGAGAACAGUAGGAACCCUAAUUGGCCUUAACUCAAUGCUUUUCAUAAUACUGGUAUAUUGAAUUGGUCCUUAAUGCUGUGUGAUUUUUUCCUUUUCCCAGAAAAUGGAGAACAUGUGAUCAAUGAUAUAAUAUAUUCAAUUGAAAGAAAGCAUUCGUUGAGAAAAAAAAAAGAAUGAGUAAUCAAUCGAUCUUUUGGCACGGGUCAAAAGAUCGAGCUAGGCUUAUCUGGGCUCAGUACGUCGGCCCAGUCUUACAAAAGGAAAUGACUCGAAUCAAAUUAAAGCGCUUCAAACCAAAGCCCACAACUUUCAGAUUUUGUGCGUUAUUAUACUGUGCAUUAACAUUUUGUUUUUAUGCUAUCCUUAGGAAAUAAGAGAAUUGGCUUGAAUUAUAGGCAAAUCACGUCGAGCUGUUGUCGGCUUGUUGCAUCUUCGACCUCGUCAGUGUCCGAAUAAGCAUGCGUCUUCAUAACGUAUAUCAGUAUGAAUUAUGGACAUGGACUAUGUCAAGGCAAGGAAGAAAUUCAUUACGUAUAUCGGUCACAAUUUCUAAUUAACUCAAAUUAAGUUGGACCAUAUUCUCAAAAUUUGGAACAUAGACAUAAAGAAUUAUGGAUGGGCCAAAUGGUGCAUAUAUUAGGUGCCAUGCCCUUAACAUCAAGCAACCAACUGCAAAAGCAUCUUAGGGCUGGGAGCUAAUAUGUUACAUUGACCACUGCCAGAGUCUUUUUGCCUAGAACUAAGGUGUGGAAAUAUUUAAUUGGAUGGGCAAAUGGGACCUAGAAAGAGGCCUGGAAUAACUUGAAAUCAAGACUUUCUACUUUUAUACUAUGUUAAAUUUUGUAGAACCACUGUUAAUUUCUUUAGAAAUUUAAAAUGUUGAUGAAUGAGUGAUUUAAAAUUUAUAUAUUCUAUCAUAAUCCACUCACAACCAACACUAUAUAAAAAAUAAAAAAUAAAAAAAUCUGGUUGCUCAGGCGUUGUACCAGGUAAUAGUCUUCUUGAUGGUGCGGUUCAAGGAUGAACAACAUCUCAAUGGGAAUCAACAAGUCAAGAACACAUCCAUCUUCCACAUUCUCAUCCUUUGUCAAGAUUUACGGCCUAUCUAUUCAAGGAAGCUCGAAGAGAUCAAUGUCUUGAAGGGGACGGUCACACACAACAAAUGGCUUGGGCUGUUUCUGGAGGAAUAGUCCUCGCUCAGGUGGCGAUGAUGGAACUCUCGGCGAGGUUUCUAGGCACAUAGAGAUUGGAUUGGAAGCAAUGGGGGGUGUGCAUUGCAGUGGCAGCCGUUUCAUGACCUCUUUGUUGGUUGUUUAAGGGCCUGUUUGGCAACUUGCCCAACAGUGUCAGAUUCUGAUUUUUUGUUCCCAGAAUCAGUUUGGGAUGAGAAUCGCGUUUGGUAAAUUUUUUGUUCCCGGAAACAAAUUUGUUCCGGGAACAAUUUUGGACAAGAUUUGAGAAUAAAAAAAAAAAUUGAUUCUACGUCCGAGAAUCAGAAAAAGAAUCAAAACGGUAAAACCUUGUUCUUCUCUUUCAACAUCUCGGUUGCCAUUUGCCAUCGCCCGCCGCCAUCCGCCACCACCUACCGCCGCCCGCCGCCGCCGCCGCCGCCGCCCGCCGCCGCCGCCACCGGUCGCCAGUCCGGCAAGAUCGCCGGAGGCUCGCCAGGCCAGGGCGAGGUCCGGCGAGCUCGCCGGUGGCCAGGCCGACCUCGCCCAGCCCCGCCGGUGGCCAAGCUGACCUCGCCGAGGCUGGGCGAGGCCGAGCCUCGGCGGGGCUGGGCGAGCCUCGCCCAGCUGCCAGCGAGGCUCGGCCGACGAAGGCCGCCCUCGUCUGGCCAGUCGCCGGUCCGGCGACCGGCCAAAUGAAGAAGAAGAAGAAUAGGAAAAAAGGGGGAAAAAAGAAAAAAAAAAAGGAAAAAAGAAAAGAAAAAAGUAAAAAAGUAAAGAAAUUAUUUAAAAUUUAUUUAAAAAUCAAAAGAAAUUAUUUAAAUUUAUUUAAUAAUCAAAAGAAAUUAAUUUGGAAUAGAAUCAAUUAAUACGGUACCAAACGCAAUUCUAUUCCAGAAUAAAAAAAUUUGAACAGUUAUCAAACGCGUUUUUUUACUCAGAAUUAGUUCCCGGGAACAGAAUAAAAAAUAAUCAUUUCUAGUCAGAAUCAGCUCCCGGGAACAGAAUUGUUACCAAACGCGCCCUAAGUGGUCUUUUCCUGUGAUGACGGUAUUGUACUGAUUAGCUUUGGAGUCAAGUGCAACAAAGAGCACCUGGUGUUUUCUUCAGGUUAGAGAUGCGUUCUUAAAAAUGCAAAUGCCCAACUGCAGUGCCCUCUGUUUUUUACCCUCCCUUUGGGUCUCGUGCAGAUAUUGCUGCGAUCAGAUUAGGGGUGAGCAUCGGUCUAGAGUCAACCUUGGACUGACUCUGGACUGGCCCAACCUUACCGGUCUUAGUCCGAUUCCCAAGGAAACUAGGUCAGUCCUUGGUCCUGAAAUUCCUGAAUCAGCACUGUAUGGGUCAGUCCUCGGUCCUGAGAGUUCUGAAUCUGUCCAACCCGAACCAAUCCUGAUUAUAUAUAUAAUUUUUUUAUAUAGAGAAAACCUUAAAAUAAACGGCAUCAACAAUGUUAAACAGAGAGAGAGAGAGAGAGAGAGAGAACCCUAUUUGUUUUUACAUUAGAGUUAAUUGAAGAAAUAAAGAAAGAGUAUUAUGGAUUUCCACAUUAACUUGCCACGUUAGGGUAAAUUUAUCAUAGUAUGCCAAUUUGAGAUUUUUUGUGACUCAAAAAUUAGUUUAAGAUAGAUUUAUCAUCAGUAUAUUAGUUUGAGUCUUUUGAGGUAUUAACUUUUAAAUUAAUGUCUCAAGUUUGAGCGGUAUAUGAGACUUGACCUGAUUGGAGGGUAUAUAUCAACCCUAAUUGUAGUGAUAACUAGGCUUAGAUUUUCUUGGGCGGUUAUUUUCUUCAAGUGGCAAUGGUCAACUCAUGCAUAUCCAAGAAGACCGAGAAUUGAACUCUAUAGAGUUUUAUAUCUAAUGGAGUUGUUUAUUUAUUAACACUUGGGGUUGAGUCUAAUUUAGAUGUAGAAAAUACUCAAGCAAGUGAGUAAUCGUAAUUCCGAUUAUUCAAUUAUUAUGAAUUAUUCACUAUCAACUCUCAUCGUGGAAUAGCUACCGACACUCAAAUCAAACCAUGUUUCUUGUUUAUUUUUCUAAUGAUUUCGCGUCGAUGUAAUUACAGGAUCCCGUCAAUUUCUAUUAGGGAUGAGCAUGAUUCUUGGGUAGAGCUUGGAAUUGAAGAACUGGAUCGAUGGAAAUCUAUCUAGUUUUAGGUUUCAAGAUAUGCAUGAUAGGUUUCAAGCUUUUAAAAAUUGAAGAACUUAUUUCGACGAAUAAAUUCCAUGUUCUACGUAAGUAGAACCUGAAAAUUGAAACAUGUUUUUGUGAUUUUUUUUUUGUCUAUGAUUUCGGGUAAUGUUGCGGUAUUUCAUAACAUCUUAUGAUUAAUAUAUAAAUUAAAAUCACUAAUCUAAACUUUCAUUUUAUAAUUAAGAUAUUUACUUUGUUAAUAUUUUUAUAUUCUUAGUGUGCCUAAGUGUGAGUUGUGGUUAAUGUAUUGUAAUAAUAAGUGAUAAUCAUUAAAAUUGAUGAUUCAUUGCAAUCAUUCAAUUAAUAAUAUAGAUUGAUGAGAAAUUAUUCCAACUGGUAAGUUCUAAAUAGAACUUAUAUGAAAUUUGGAAUCACUUAAUUCCUAAUUUCUUCAUUAGUUUUACAAACGGUAUUUUCAACUAAACCUUUGAUUGGCGCAUUGUAAAUGCCGACAUCACCCCCGUGAAUAAAUUUAAAAACGAAUAACCAAUCUACCGAUUAGACAGAUGGAUAGAGGGGAAAAACGACCCAACCGUGUCAUUUCGGAACGGGCAGGGCUAUCAAGUAUAAACACGACUUGGGGUCUCUGAGUGAUGAGUCUGAUAACGUCACAUUCCGUACACGACAUCCACAGCAACAACAACCACCGCCCACCAACGAGUCUAUCACGUCUGCAUGUCCUUUCACGCUUUUUGUUCAGCUGGAAACCCGAUUGCAGCUUCGCAUGCAGAUAAAAGGUGCGUUUGGGAAGACUUUUGGGAAAAGUCCUUGAGAAAAGGUAAAUGCCUUUGAGUUAAGGGUGUUUUUCAAAAUGCAAAGUGUGUUUGGUAAAUUUAUUUGUGAAAGUCCAUUGUGAAAUAUCUUUGUGCAAAAUAAUGUUUUGGUAAAUUAAAUUUGUAAAAUACUUUUAUUAUUAAAAAAAAAAAAGAACGUUGGCCGGCUGAGGCUUCGUCGGCCAAGGGCUUCACCGGUCACCGCCGGCCAAGGGUAGGCAAUUUGGCGAGGGUUGCGGCGACCCUCGCCGCGCCGUCGCGCGACCCACCGCGCCGCAGAGGUCGCCGGCGACCCAUCUGGUCGCGCGUGAAGGUUGCGGCCGGCGUGGUCGCGACCAGAUCUGCGACCAGAUGCGUCGCGCGAAGGUCGCGACCUCCGCGGAGGUCGCCUGAAGCACGGCCGGCGACGCAGAUCUGCGUCGCGACCUCCGCGAAGGUCGCUUGAAAGUCGCGACCGGCGACCCAUCUGGUCGCAACGCGAAGGUCGCGGCCAACGACCAGAUCUGCGACCAAAUGGGUCGCGGUCGCGACCUUCGCGACGACCUCUCGAGCGGGGUGACGCGACCCUCGCAGAAGGGUCGCGUGGCCGCGGCAGAGGUCGUGGUGCGGCGGGUCGGCGUGGCGGGCGCGACGGUCGCCGGCGAUUGCGUGCCCUUUGUCGCGACCAAUUUUUUCGAGGGGUGAACCACCUAUGGUUUGGCUAAUGGAUUGUUAAGCCUAGACUUAACUCGGGCUCUCCCAAGCCCAUACCAAUUCGCGACUUAGGUUCAAGUUUAUAACAUGCAAAUGAUUUUUAAUUAGGAGUCGCCACUAAUCUAUUUUUGGUGGGUCGAUUAGAAACCCAAGUAAAGUAAUGGGAGAUUUACUUUACUUCUACGAACCAGAGAUUAUGGGUACGGGGACUUGGUUACACUAAAUUUCUCUAAUGCCCUUUCGGUACCAUUCUUUUAAUUUCAAAAAUGUUUUUGCAGGCAGCUUGAAUUGAUUUUAAAUUCUAACAUGUGAGGUGAUCAUGCGGGUGCGCAAACCACCAAUUUAACAUCCAAGAAAGCAAUGAAUAAAUUGCAGGACUUACCUCGUAGCAACGAAAGCAUCUGCGUUGUUAGUUUAGAAUUCACAUCAGCAGUCAUAAAUAUGAUUUCUAAUUAACACGCAAUUUUUGUUUUGUUUUCACUUAAUUAAUGAAAAUCAUGCAAUAUGCAAUGCAUGCCACUAAUUUAACAUGAAAUGAUAUGACAUGUCAACAUGACUUAGCUAUAUGACCUAAGCAAUAUGACAUAACUAAGCAUGUAAUCUAUCCUAAGCAUGAGAUGAUUUAUUCUAAAUAAUUUUUUUUGUAUUUUCUAUGAGAUUCGAAAUUAAAGAAAUGCAACAUUUAAAUAUGCAAUCUAAAUUAAUCUAAUGACCUAAUUCUAAUGACGGGCAAUUUCUAAUUAAAUGCACCUAACAAAAAUCAUUAAAUGACGUGCAUUGUAUGAAACUAAUUCUAUAUGACGUGCACAUGAUUUUUAUUUUCCUAAUAAGCAUGCAAUCUAUUUAGGAGAAAUUAUCUAAACCUAUAAUAUGCAAUCUUAGUAUGCAAUGACGUGCAAAGAAUGCCCUAAUUCUACAUGACAUACGCAUAUGACAUUUUUUUAUUAAAAAAUGCAAUCUAUCCUAGAAAUUGCAACUAAUUUAUCCUAAGAAAAAUUUUAUGAAAUUUCAAAUGAUCUAGCUAGAUUAAGAUUCUAUCUAAUUUAAACUAGGGAUUAAGUCAUAUUAAAUCCUAAUUUAAACUAAAACAUUAUCUAAAUCUAAAAUGCCAUUUAUCUAAAAAAUGAUCUAAAUUUAAAAUGAAACAUGCAAUUUUAAUAUAAUAUGCACAAUGAUUUUUUUUGUGUUUUUCUUUAAGAAAUUCGAAAUCAAAACUAACAUGCAAAACUAACAACCUAAAUGAUUGCACUUUUUUUUUUUGGAUUUUUUUAUUUAAAAAUUCGAAAUAAGAUUGCGAUUUUAAACCUAAGACUAGCAAAUCUAUUCCUAACUCAAGUAUUUUUUGGAUUUUUCUUUUACGAAAAUAAGAUUGACUCAACCAACAGCAAAUCAAACAAGGAUAAUAUUGAUAUCUAAAAAUUGACGAACCAUAUCUCGCGCAUGAGAUCGGUUUGGCCAUUUUUAAAUUAAAUCGCGAAUCAAAUCUCGGGCUUGAGAUUGGAUUGUCGAUUUUAUAAGGGAUUGCGAGUCGGAUUUCGGGCGCGAAAAUCGAACUAUCAAUCCCUUACUGGAGGGGCACUUUCAUAUCGGGAUAUCAAUAAUACAUUAAGGAACAAUUCCACUAAAACAGAAUAUUAAAGAAAUAAUUAAAAAAUAAAUAAAAGAGAAACUACCUAGUCUGAUUUUUCUUUUUUCUCUUUUUCUUCCUUUCCACACACAACCGUGAAUCUCCAAGGGGAGAGAGUCGUCGGGCCGGCAAGAGGAACUCCGGCGAGGGUGAACCAGCGAACCAGCGGCAACAGAGGGAUGCGGAGCACGGAUCACGUGAGGGCGGACGGCCAAGGCGAGGCGGUGGUAGCUGCAGGGGCACCUGAUCGUCGCGGGUCAGCGUGGGCUGAGCAGGGGCGGCGUUGGGCAGAUCUGGGUCGAGUCCGGUCUCGGCAGAGCUUCGGGCAGCAGGGCAAAGGGAUUCGGCGGUAGCGUCGAAUCGCGAGGUUGAAGCCGAGGUUGGGCGAGGGGGCUCGUGGGCUUCUGAGCCAACGCGCAGGGACGGAGGCGAUUCGGCAGUAGGGCUGGGUGUCGGUGCGGCGUCCGACGAGCAGGAACGUCGGGUCUCGGCGCGGCGUCGCGGUGGUCUCGCUGUGGCGGCUCCGGGUCGCAAACGGCGCUGGUCCAGCGGGAAGGGUAAGGCGGCGAUGGUGGUUGGACGAUGGUGGCUCCGGUGAAAGUAAACCUGCAACAAAACGGCUGAUCUCUCGGGCAGUAGCUGAUGGUGCACCGAGGACAGCAGCAGAUUCGGAUCCAGGGGUAGCAGCUCGUCGCUUGAGCGGCAAGUCGUUGCGGAUCGACACGGCAGGGCGGCGCCGGGGUGGCACGGAGCGGCGAUACGCGAGGCGGGAGCGGCGUCAGCAGGGGGGAGUCGCAGACGACUGGGCUAGUGUCGCGGGUUGCUCGCGAAGGAGGCUCGACGUAGCUGCUCGCGGGCAAGGGGAACCCUGGUGGUGGCGCGGCACGAGCAACGGAGGAGAUGCGGGCCGGUGCGGGGGCUCGCUCGGCGGUGGAGCGACGACCAGCUCGGAUCUACGGUCGUCGGGGCUCUCGAGUGGGCAGAUCUCGGGCGGAGGGAGUGGAUUUGGGGAAGACGAUGAACAGUAAAGGUCAAAUCAACCUUUACUGUUUUUACUUUUCUCCUUUCUCUCUCACUCUCUCUCUCUCACGUUCUGACUUUCUGCAGCUUCUCUUUUUCUUGUCUUUUCUGAAAUUUUUUUCCAGAGAAGCCCCCCCUUCUCUCAUCGUAUACGGCUCCCUUUUAUAGGCAAAUAAGAUGAAAAUCUUCGUGAAAUAUUUCAUCCACCUUUCAAUAUACACGAAGAUUUUCCUAUAACCUCCGAAUCACAAAAUCCUCUUAUUUUUCUUAUCUCCCAAAUAUUUUUUAUUGAUUUUUAAAGAUAGGAUCAAAACCCAAUUUUCUUAAAUUUCAAAAAUCCUCAUUUCAAAUUGCAAUUUAAGUUAACGGGCUCGGGCCAAUUUGUACUUUUUUCGUGAGUCUAGCCCAGCCUAUUUAAAACCUAAAACCACUAAUUCAACCCAUCUGCCAUGGUCCAGUAAAUAAGUGUAAAAAAUUGCAAAUUAAAAACAAAUGCACCUAAAUCUAUAUGCUAUGCAAUUAAUAUUUUUUUCAGGGAUAAAAUUAAUCCCUAAUUUUUUAUGCAAUAAAUAACUAAAUAGAUCGCCAAAAUUUAGGUGUCAACACCCUUCGUCGGCAACCACUCACGAAGAAGAUGUACAGUCAGGGUAAAAAGGGAAAAACGAAAAAUCAACAAGGACAAUUUGGGAAGGAAAUUUUUUUAUUUAAGCUGAGAGCUCAGCAUGCCGAGAAGGCUGAAAGCCCAAGGCAGGUGGGGGGCUGCCUUGGGCUUUCAGCCUUGGGAAUGCUUGGCAUUCCCCAAAUGGGGUUUGGAAAUUUUUACCAAACACCCACAAAUUAGCCCAAAGAGCUUUGGGGGUUCAAAGUGGCUUGCAAAUGCCACUCCCAAACGCAGCCAAAGAUGAAGGUACAAUCCAAGCAGCGUAAGCAUUAUGUAUAUAAACCCAUGCAAUCGAUCGGCGUCCCCUCAAACACCACCCCCACAAAAUUCGAAGAAUCGCUUCUUUUCCGUUGCUAAUCACGACACACUCUUCCCAGUUUUUUCUUUUUCUUUUUCCUUUUUCGUCUUGCCAUUUGCACUGCUGCGGUGCGGGCCUAUCUCGGUCAUCGGAGGAUCCCAAGCCUGUGCAUUUCUCCCCGGCGAUGACGAGCAUUCUCCGUGGUGGCAGCUCCAUCCCCCAUUAUGAGGUCUCUCUCCCCUUGCUCACUAUGUACAAGUUUGCCCAGCGAUGGCGUUUGGCCUUCGCAGCCAUCUAUUGCUCCCGAGCCCUCCUCGCUGCCUCUAUUGAUCAGUCACAGCUCGGAACGCUCACUCCUUCCUGCACUUCGAUUUCGAUCCCCGAUGAGGCUCUGAGAGCUCGCUGUGAUCAACCCAGCUCCUUCGAGAUUGAUCAGCCACAACUCGAAGCACUCGCUCCUUCCUGCACUUCGAUUUCGAUCCCCGAUGAGGCUCCGAGAGCUCGCUCUGAUCAACCCAGCUUCUCCGAGAUUGAUCAGUCACAGCUCGAAGUGCUCGCUUCUUCCUGCACUUUGAUUUCAAUCCCCGAUGAGGCUCGGACUGCUCACUCUGAUCAACCCAGCUCUUUCCAGAUUGAUCAGUCACAGCUCACCAGGCUGGUCAAUGACAAGAACCUCAACUGCCUCAGAGAAUUCGGCAGCAUCAACAGAGUCGCCUCCGCCCUUGAAACUGAUGUCUCUGAUGGAAUUAGCGGUGAACAGGAUGACAUCACUCGCAGGCAAAACACAUUUGGCGUCAACAAAUUCAAGCGGCCCGCCGAGGGCUUCUUCCACUUUUUGCUCGAGGCUUUUAAGGACCUCACGCAUCUGCUUCUUCUGGUUUGCGCCGGGCUUUCGCCCGGGAUUGCGAUCAAGGAGAAGGGGGUCAAGGAAGGCUGGUACAACGGCGGGAGCCCAUUCUUCGCAGUUUUCCUUGUGAUCAUGGUGUCUGCUGUGAGCAAAUACCACCAGAACCGACAGUUCCAUAAAUUGUAUUGGGCUAGCGGUAAUAUUCUCAUCCAUGUGAUGAGAAAGGGUCGCAAGCAGCAAGUGUCCAGAUCCAAGAUAGUCGUCGGAGAUGUCAUUUUUCUGAAGAUUGGCGAUCAAGUCCCGGCAGACGGUUUGUUCCUAUACGGCGAUUCCUUGCAGGUACGGAUGAGACUGUACCAGUUUGAUCGCAUUAGUUCGCAUAAUAACUUAUGUUAAUUUUCUCCAGAAAUAUAUGGUAUUAGUAUUACCAAGUUCGAGCCCAGGCUGGUUGACUAAUUAGUUAAGUAAUUAGUCCAACGAAAUGUAAAAGUGUACGACAUUCUGUUUGAUACUGCACAGUUUAUCAUAAUCACAAUCACAAUCAUAAUUCUAUGACAAAAAGGAAAAGUGAGGGUUUUAAUUCGUAAUUCUAGUCGUAGGAGAACAAACUUUGUUAAAAAAUUUACUGGAAAAAGUAUAUUUAAACAUGAUCCAACUCUUCUCGUGUCAAUAUUUAUUCAGGUUUCAUUUUCUUUGUUUCAACUUGAGACUGGAAUGCAUCCACUCGUCUCAUCCUAGCGUCACUAAAUCAUGUGCGACGUUUGUAUUGUCAAUUUAGGUUGACGAAUCAAUCAUGACCGGGGAGAGUGAUCCCAUAGAAGUGAACAGCAUUGAGAAUCCAUUCCUGUUCUCCAGAACAAAGGUCGCUCAUGGGGAUGCUCAGAUGCUGGUCACAUCGGUCGGGAUGAACACAAUGUGGGGCGAGAUGAUGAGUUCAAUCAACCGCAGCAGCAGCGAGCAGACCCCUUUUGUGACGACCCGAGCGGCGGUGCGCGGGGAGGAGGGAUGGCGGUUCGUCCGCGCCUCCAGUCCUCGGACGCGCGCAAGGGAAGGGGAAGGGAUUCCUCUCCCUUUUGUCCCACAUCGCUUAGGGAGGGGUUCCUGGGAGCCUUUAUAAGGCUUGGGUUCCUUUAAUUGUGUGACGCGUUUUAAAACCGUGAGGACCCAGUGUCCAAAGCAGACAAUAUCACACAAGUGGGACCCGGAUGUUACAAAUGGUAUCAGAGCCGAGUGCAGCGUGUGGGGCCACAGCGAGGAUGCUAUGCUCCCAAGGGGGGGAGAGUGUGACGACCCGAGCGGCGAUGCGCGGGGAGGAGGGAUGGCGGUUCGUCCGCGCCUCCGGUCCUCAGACGCUCGCAAGGGAAGGGGAAGGGAUUCCUCUCCCUCUUGUCCCACCUUGUCCCACAUUGCUUAGGGAGGGGUUCCUGGGAGCCUUUAUAAGGCUUGGGUUCCUUUAAUUGUGUGACGCGUUUUAAAAUCGUGAGGACUCAGUGUCCAAAUCGGACAACAUCACACAAGUGGGACCCGGGAUGUUACACCUUUACAGGCUCAGCUCAACAAGCUCACCUCGUCGAUUAGCAAAGUUGGCUUGGCAGUCAAUUUUCUGGUUCUUGUGGACCUGUUAAUUCGCUACUUCACGGGAACAAAACAGGAUGAGAACAGGAAACGGGAAUUCGUUCCAGGCCAAACAAUGGGUGACAAUAUCAUAAACUCCGUGGGGGGCAUCAUAGCAACCACAGUGACAAUCGUAGGGGUCGCAAUUCCUGAAGGCUUGCCGCUUGCGGUAACUCUCACUCUUGCUUAUUCGAUGAAGAGGAUGAUGGCGGAUCAGGUGAUGGUGAGGAAGCUUUGGGCCUUUGAAAAGAUGGCGUUGGCCACCACUAUUUGCACUGACAAGACGGGCACUCUGACGAACCAAAUGGAGGUGACGAAAUUCUGUGUCGGCCAAGACUCCGUGGCAGAAAACGCGUACUACUCUGCCUCCAAGUAUGUCCUGGAUCUUAUUCAGGAUGGGGUCGCUUUGAACACCGCAGGCAGCGUCUACAAGCCAUCUUCAGGACCGAAGUACAAUUUCUCCGGUAGUCCCAUCGAGAAUGCGAUUCUUUCCUGGGCAGUUUCGCAGUUGAGCGUGGACAUGGAGGAGACAAAGAAGAGAUGUGAAGUUAUCCAAGUCGAAGCCUUCAAUUCGCAGAACAAAAGAAGCGGUGUCCUAAUAAAGAAGAGCGGGGACGACAAAUUCCAUGUGCACUGGAAAGGAGCAGCAGAGAUGGUCUUGGCGAUGUGCUCGUGCUUCUACGAUGGGUCGGGGAUAGAGAGAGAUCUGGACGAAGAUAAAAGGGCAAGAUGCGAGCAGAUUAUUCAGGGGAUGGCAGAAAGCAGCCUCACUUGCAUCGCUUUUGCUCAUAAACAAGUCCCCGAGGAAGCGACCAAAGAAAGAGAAGAUGGGAAGAAGAUCCAAGAGGACGGCCUGACAUUACUAGGACUUGUUGGUAUUAAGGACCUGUGUCAUCCCGACGUGAAGAAGGCGGUCCAAGACUGUCAGGAGGCGGGAGUAAACAUUAAGAUGAUAACAAGAGACAACAUCAUCACUGCUAAGGCCAUUGCCGUGGAGUGCGGGAUUCUCAAGCCCGUGGACGACAAUGAGACUAUCAUGGAAGGAGAUAAGUUCCGCAGCUACACGCCUGAGGAGAGGCUUUUGAGAGUCGAGAAAAUCCGGGUCAUAGCCAGAUCUUUGCCUUCUGAUAAGCUCCUCAUGGUUGAAUGCCUGAAGCAGAAAGGCCAUGUGGUCGCCAUCACGGGGGAUGGCACGAACGAUGCACUGGCCCUCAAGGAAGCCGACAUCGGGAUCUCAAUGGGCAUCCAAGAAACUGUGUUCACCGAAGAGAGCUUGGACAUCAUCAUCCUCAAUGGCAACUUCGCCUCUGUGGCGAAGUUGUUGCACUGGGGUCGAUGCGUCUACGAUAACAUCCAGAAGUUCAUCCAGUUCCAGCUCACAGUAAAUGUCGCCGGCCUUUUAAUCAACUUCGUGGCCGUGGUCUCCUCCGGUGACGUCCCUUUGACGGCCAUCCAGCUCAUAUGGGUGAACCUGAUCAAGGACAUACUUGGCGCCUUUGCCCUGUCCACAGAGCGGCCCACCAAGGAGCUCAUGGCAAAGCCCCCCGUGGGCCUAACGGAGCCGCUCAUCACCAACGUCAUGUGGGGGAAUCUGGUGGGACAAGCAAUUUACCAAGUGGCCAUCCUCCUCACUCUACAAUUCAAGGGCAAAUCGAUUUUCGGCGUGGAUAAGGCAAUGAAGCGAACGUUGAUGUUCAACACGUUCGUGCUGUGCCAAGUCUUCAAUGAGUUCAACGCGAGGAAGCUCAAGAAGAAGAACGUGUUCGGGGGCAUACACAAGAACAAGCUAUUCCUCGGGAUCAUCUUCAUGACGGUGGUCCUCCAGUGGUGAUGGUAGAGAUCCUGAAGUGGUUCGCUGACACAAGGUGCAUUUAAUUCAGCAUUUCCAAAGACCUUUUAGCCCCUAAAGUCCCUUAGAGAAAUACGAGACCAUUUGACAACCGUUGUAAAUGAUCUUUUUGCCAAAUGCUGGCCUUAGGAAGGCUAGCAUUGGGCUUUCAGAAUUUGGCCAAAUGCUAACAUUAAUUUUUUUCCUUCCAAAACUAUCCUUACCAAUUUUUCAAAUUUUUGGUUUUGUCCUUGGUUUUUUUUUUCUAUAUUAAAAAUAGGAAACGACCCUUUGCUAGACCAGCGAAGAGCUAUGGCCACAAGCGACCGUUGGAUAAGGUCACCCGAGAUCGAGGGACCUUUGGCGAGGAUCACGUGACCCAGUUGAGAGAUGCCAGAGGUUGUAUGAGGGUCGCUUGACUUUGGUUCAUUUUUAAAAUAUAUACAUAUACAUACAUACAUACAUACAUACAUACAUACAUAUACAUAUAUAUAUAUAUAUGUAAUAUACCUAAAGCUCAUUGCAAAAGUUUUUUUUUUGCCAAACACAUAUUCAACUCAAAGUCUAUUGAUAAAGAAGUUUUAACCAAACACAAUUUGCAUUUUCCCAAAUAGUUUUGACUUUCAACAUUUACAUUAGGCUCAAUGCUCGUUUGCAAAAUUGAAUCAAAUGCAACCACAAAGCAGUUAAACUAGGGCCAGUGAGGCACAUGUAUUGGGAUCGCGGCCGCGGUUUGGCCUAUCGGUUGGGUUGUCAAGUGCAUAUCGGUCCCUGCUACACCAAUCCAAAAGCAAGAAGCUCGCGAGGAAAAUCGUGCACAGAGAACAAUAGGAACACUAAUUGGCCAGAAAAUGAGGAACACUUUCAGAUCUUGUGCAUUAUUAUACUGUGCAUUAACAUUUUGUUUUUAUGCUUUUACCAGGAAAUGAGAGAAUUGGCUUGAAUUAUAAGCAAAUCAUGUGGAGCAGUACUGUCGGCUUGUUGCAUCUUCGACCCCGUCAGUGUCCAACUAAGCAUGCGUCUUCACAACAUGUAUUGGUAUGAAUUACGGGCAUAGACUAUGUCAAGGCGAGAAAGAAAUUCAUUACAUGUAUCGGUCACGAUUUCUAAUUAACUCAAAUUAACUCAGGCCGUCUCUCAGAAUUUGGAAUGUAGACAUAAAGAAUUAUGGGUGAGCCAAAUCGUGCAUAUAUUAGGUGCCAUGCCCUUAACAUCAAGCAACCAACUACAAAAGCAUCUUGGGGCUUGAAACCUAAGUAGCACUGACACGCAACACGGAUAUGCGACACGACACGACACAAUCCGCUGACACGUCAUUUUUCAAAAUUAGAGAAUUUGGACAUGUUGAGACACGUUAUAUAUUAAAAUAAUACGUUUAUUUUUAAUUAAUUUGAUUCAAAUUCACAAAAUAAUAAAUAAUAAUAAAAGAGCUUCUAGUGAAUUUAUACUAAUAAUAUUAAUAAAUCUAUUCAUAGGAAAUUUGAAAUAUAUAUGCAUGGUUAAUGAGUGCCCAUAUUUGAGAACAUGUUUCUAAAUUUAACAAAAAUUAUCAAUAAAAAUAAUGACUAACAAAAUAUUAGACUCAAUUUAUUUAAAUAACUCUAUGAUCUUCUAUAACUAUCAAAAUUUAUCAUUAUUUAAUAUUCAAUAUUUUUAUUUUUCGAAACCACUUUUUAACCCAUUUAUUUAUUUUUCUAACAAACAUAGCCUUGUCAUCCAAGAAUUAUUUCCCUGCCAUUUCCCUCUGUUGGGAAUGAUUGAUCCCCGAAAACCGGAUUCGACACUAAAUCGAACCCCUAAAUCAAUGCGGAAGACGAAACCCGGGAAAAAAACGUAUCACCGAUCGUAAAGCACACCACAGAUUUGAGCGUACCUUGUUAGCCACAGAUUAAACACCGUCGUCAAUGGAGGAAGAGAAUCCGGUCGAUGAAGCCUUGAAGGGAAGAAAUUGGAAGCCGUAUGCCUACUGUUCUUCGGGAGAGAAAACGCACGGGAGAGAAGCGUACGUUGAUUGUGCCAAAGGGUGCCUUUCUCUCUCUCUCUCUCUCCCUUUUAUACCUUCCCCCUUCCACGGGCCCUAUUCCCUUGGGCCGGGCUUUUUGGGCCCAACUUGGGCGGACGGGCCAACUCAGGCCCAUCUCAUAAAUCCAUCAUCUCCCACUCGCACAUGGUGGUACAAAACCAACAUGGGCGGACAAGCCCUACUCAGCCUCAUUAGAGAAAAAUCCAUCAUAGACUUUCUCUUAAUAUGGUGAGCCGAACAGAAUUCUCUUUUCCUCUAUUCAACAUUCAUACUGGUGAAUAAUCCGUGCGACCAGCAUACUUUGAGAGCUCGUUGCCAUACAUCUGUUAGGAAUACAUAGCAGCUCAUAAUGGGCAUCACUUCCUGAGUAGAUUUAGUAUGCAGUACCCUAGAUCGAUCGAUCACAUUUAUAUCUCUCUUGAUCUCUUUUCAAACAAUGAUAUAUUUAUUGUAUUCACAAUUAUGAUUAUCACAAAGACAGUCAUAAUUGGUUAACCGGUGAAUACAAAACUAUAAUGUGAUUCUCCAAAAUCGAUCUUCCUCUUUCCUUCAAACUCUCAAUUUCAGUCCAGCUUGCUUUUCUAGAAAUGCCCCAUUAGAUCGAAUCAAACUCAUGAUCAUUGGCAACAUCCUAAGAUAGCAAACACUAAAUAGAAAUCUUGAGAAUAAGUAAAAGUCAUGAGGGGACUAAGAAAUUGAGGAACUCUCUUCCUCAAGAGUCUCACACGACAUAAAAAGUUGAGAUCAAACUUUUGCCACUCUUAUUGGUCGUCUCAUGCAUACGUAUUAUGAAAUACGUAUUACGGUAUUAACUCCUUUCCCAUGGAGCGUAUGUCUACACCUUUCAAUAUCGUACAGAUGAUAGUUCAGACAUACCCAAUGUCUAACUUGAGUUCACGUAUCUACUCAUUCACUAAAUUCAUUAGAACACACAUCUGGCAUCAUAGACAGAUAAAGUAAAAUAUGUGGGGUAUUUUACUCUCGGACAUAGUAAGUAUUAUGUCCUCAUCUUAACACCUAGUUAAGGCGACAUACGUGUUUUAAGCUUGAGCUCUCAAUUAUCACCUAGAUAAUAAGCUUAAAAACAGUCUCAUCUCUAUUUAUCACACAGUAAAUAGAGGCGAUUACCCGUGUGAGUGGGCUAAUCUCAUCUGUCCGACAUACUUCUUCUAACUUAAAGUAAUGCACUGAGCAUUAAGAUGCAUAAAGAUCAAACAAAGAUUCAUAGGCAUUAAUGAUGAAAACACAAAUUCAUCAAAUAUGAACUCUUAGGGAAAUUACAAUAUUUGGUACAUCAGUCUCUACGCAGUCCUAGAGAUUUCACAUGGCCACAAAGACACAUCUCUAGGCAUUGGCUUUGUCAUAGGAUCUGCUACCAUUCUAUGCGUAGUAUGUACUCUAAGUUCAUAUCUUUUCGUGCAAUCAUAUCCAUGACAAAAUUAUACUUGGUAUCUAUAUGUUUGGUCUUACCAUGAUAUUUGGAUCUUUAGUGUACACUUUUGCUGCUUGAUUAUCAUAGUUAACUAAUAACAAAUCUGCAGCACUUCCAAUAACACCUAAAUGAUCCAAUAAUCUCUUAAGCCAAACAUCUUCUUAUACUGCUGCUGAUAAUGCCACGAACUCAAUUCCAUCGUGGACAAGGCUAUAUACUUUUGUUUCUUACUGCUCCAACACAUGGUGCCAUUAUUUGGUAAGAGAACAAAUCUAGAGGUAGAUUUCCUUUCAUUUAAAUCUCCUCCCCAAUCAACAUCAGAAUAGCCUUAGAGUCGCAGAUCCUUUCCAUAAUAACUCAACAUAUAAUCAGCAGUCCACUUUAGAUACCUCAGUAUUCACUUAACGGCUUUCCAACGUGCUUGACCUGGAUUGGAUUAGUAUCUUCUCACCAUUCCAACUGCAAAAACAUAUGUCAGGUCUUGUACACAUCAUAGCGUACAACAAACUUCUAACAACACUAGCAUAAGGAACAUGUUUCAUUUGUUUCUUCUCUUGUGGAGUCUUUGGACACAGUCUAUGGCUCAAUCCUUCACCUUUUGCAAUAGGAGCGUCAAUGGGUUUACAAUCCCAUAUCAUUCAAUUCAAAAUUUGGAAGACAACCAACUUUUGACAGUAUUGACUAGCUCCAUAUUGCUUCCAGCAAUUAGUAUAUUAUCAACAUAUAAUGAUAUGAUCACAAAUUGAUCCUUGGAUCUUUUGAUAUAUACACAAUGAUCCUCAUCUAUCAUAGUAAAGUCAUAUGCUAUUAUGGCAUUAUGAAAACGUAUAUAUCAUUGUCUUGACGACUGCUUAAGGCCAUAUAUCGACCCCCAAAGUCGACAUACCUUUUCUUCUUGGCCUUUCACUAUGAAACCAACAAGUUGUUCCAUAUAUAUUUCAUCCUCUAAGUCUCCAUUGAGGAAAGCAGUCUUUAUAUCCAUUUGACGUAACUCAAGAUCCAUACCAAACACUAUUGCCAGAAUUAUGCGAAUCAAGGUACAUCUCAAUACAGGAGAAAACGUAUCUUCAUAAUCAAUUCCUUCCUGUUGAUUAUACCCCUUCGCCACAAGGCGAGCCUUAUGCCUUUCAAUCGAGCCAUCAGCCUUUCGCUUUAUUUUGAGAACUCACUUGUUCCCAAUGGCUUUGCGUCCUUUUGGAAGAUCAACCAGUUCCCAGACUUGGUUUGAUUUCAUUGACUCCAUUUUCCUCUUUCAUUGCAUAAAUCCAUUUCUCCUUACUAGGGCAAUUUAGAGCCUCAUUAAUAUUUCUUGGCUCAUCCUCAUCUUGCGGAGCAACCAUAAAAGUUUCCCUUUCAAUGUCAAAACAUCGACGGGGAAUACUUUAGCGACUUGUUCACCGUAUAGGAGAUUGUACACUUAGCACAUCAUUCCCCAUUAUGCUCCCACUUGGAUUAUGUAAUGAUGAUGUCGUCACAUCAGGUGGUUGCAAUUGAGAAUGAGUUGAAUUCAAUUCAUCACAUCUCAUAUUGCUCCCACUUGGAUGAACUCCAUUAAUAUCAUAAUCUUAAUCCAAGGUUUCAAAUAGGAAGUAAUCUUCCCCUAUUUCGCCCUUCUUAGGAAAUUCAUCCACUAAGAAUGUGACAUCCUGUGAUUCAAAUUCAGUUAUUCUCCCACUUUCCUGCUCACUUACGANNNNNNNNNNNNNNNNNNNNNNNNNNNNNNNNNNNNNNNNNNNNNNNNNNNNNNNNNNNNNNNNNNNNNNNNNNNNNNNNNNNNNNNNNNNNNNNNNNNNNNNNNNNNNNNNNNNNNNNNNNNNNNNNNNNNNNNNNNNNNNNNNNNNNNNNNNNNNNNNNNNNNNNNNNNNNNNNNNNNNNNNNNNNNNNNNNNNNNNNNNNNAGGCAGCAGUUAACAAUACAACACAUCACUCAAAAGUGAUGGUAGUACAUGCGCCUCAUGGACCUAACCAUUCGGUAAGUCUGUUUCUUCUCUCACAACACAUUUGUUGAGGAGUAUAUGGAAUAGACAACUAUCUUUCUAUUCCUUUUUCAUCACAUAAUUUCUGAACUUAUCAGAUAAAUAUUCUCAACCUCGAUCGGAUCUAAAAUACCUUUAUUUUCCUGUCUAAUUGAUUUUCUACCAGGUUCAUAAACCUUCUAAAACAACUUAUGCUUCAGAUUUAUGAGAAAUCAAAUAGACACCUCCGAAUCGAGUAUAAUCAUCUAUUAAGAGUGAUGAAAUAAACAACCCCUUGCCUUCCUUUCACAUUCAUUGAACCACAGACGUCCAAAUGGAUUAAAUGCCGAGGAAAUUCAACUCUUUUACCUUUUCCAAAUGGUCUCCUAGUCAUUUUCCCUUCUAGGCAAUGCUUACAUAUGGGCAAAUCGACUUUUUCAAUGUUGCCCAACAAGCCCUCUUUGGCUAGUCUUUUCAUAUGUUGUUGGCCCAUAUGACCAAGUCUAGCAUGCCACUAUAUUCACAUCAUUAUCAUAUAAAAUAGAAGACGUGAAACAAGGGAAUAACGUAUUGACAUCAUCACAAUCAACAUUUAGUACAAUAAAACCAUUUAGAAAGUGACCACAACCAUAGUAGUUUGUACCUAAAUACAAAUCUACACCUUUAUUAUGGAAGUUCAUUAUAAAACCAAGCUUAACCAACAUCAAAACAGACAUUUAAAUUUCGACGAAUCUCCGGAGCAUAUAGAACAUCGUGUAGGAAUAAGGUGCGUCCACCACGCAUAUUCAAUUGGCCGGUGCCAAUUCCUUUAACUUCAUCUCUGGAGUUAUUUCCUACAUAGAUACACUUAAUUCCAGUUGGUACUCGUCAAAAUUCCACGAAGGAUUUUAUAUCCUUCGCUGCAUAGUCUGUCGCUCCUGAAUCUACAGUCCACAAAGGAUUGGAUUCAGCCAAUAAAGCAGAACUUGACACAUAAGCAAAGUACUCAAAUGUACAAGAGGUGUUUACAUUCUUUAGCUCACGACAGUCGCGAGCAUAGUGACCUCUCUUGUCACAAUUGUAACACCCUUCCCUUGACAUUUUCUUUACUUGAGGACGUUUUCCUCUCUUGUGUUGGUUAACUCUCAAUUUCUUGCAACAAGGACUUGAUCCUUUGCAUUCCCACAUAUUGAACGAAUCAAUAUGCUUGUGCUUAGAGCACAAAGCCCUUUUUCUGAGCUAGAACCAGCAUAGAAAAUAUCUAUUUACAGCUCAAAUGCCGUUAGGCGGUCCUCAACUAGCUCAAGGUGGCGCACAACAUUUAUAAGAUCUUCCAUAAUAUGGUCAAGAGCUUCUAGUGCUUCUUGCUUUUCCAGCACAUAUUGAAUCUCCUUAUUUAAUAUUUCACAAUAGUUGCCGUUCAUUUCAGCAAUCAUGUUCUUAGUUGCUGAAACCAUCAGUCUGAACACAUCAGACAUACAUGCACGAAUAAUUAAUGCCUAUCAUUUAUGCAUCCCUAUUUACAUAGACCCAUCAUAUUAAUGAAUAAUUUUAAGUAAGGCUUCAGAAUCAAAAGAUCACUACGUUUCCAAUCAUCCUCCAAAAAUCCUAACUUAAAACUAUCAUUAAUAUGAUUGUCAUAUGCAAAGUCAAUUCUAUGAAGUUACAAAAACUUCUAUAACUACCCACAGCUAACUACCCACAGCAAUCAGCAGUAACAGAAAGCAAAUAUUAUCUAACAUUCAAUAUAAUAACAGUGCUUUCACAUAAUACAACUAUACAUUACACUGAGCAAUAUAUACAAAGAAAAAAAUAUCAACUUGGAAAGAGAUAUUUACAUCCAUAAAACAUCUCAUAAUUAAUCUAAGAAAUAAUUAGGGAAUGUCCCUUCUAAUAUAUCAGUUAAAACAUCUGAGAAAACUGAAGGUACAGUUGCCAACCAUGGAAAAACUUUUGGAGAGUUUUCAUGUCGCCACCAAAGCGCAUUCACUCUGCGCCACGUAGCGCACAAUCUGAGGGUUGAAGUUUUGGCCAACUCAAUCCUAUAGUACUCUCUUACAAAAGCUUCCACCAGUCUCCUAUAACCCGGGACCACGUUGACCUCCCAUAGCCGAUCUAACACUGCUUGCCAUUCAGGUGGAAGAGUGUUCAACAAAGCCGGCACCUUCUCAAAAUCCGGCAUAAGAUAACCAUUAUUGAUGAUUUCCUGUAUCAUCUGAUUGACCUUGACCAUAUGUGAUACUAAAUCACCAUCAAGCCACCGAAAAUCAGCUAACUCUUUCAUCAGCCUUUUCAGUCUAGCUCUUCCUUCGUCCGUUCUCGGGAUUGCAGGUAUCCGUGCAUUACGCAUCAUAGUUUCUGCAACAAAUGCAGAACUAAAAUGGAUCACUUAUAAUCCAUAAUAAACAAAAUGGAAAAUACAUAAAUUUCCAUGAUUCAUGCAACAAAUGCAGAAUAAAAAUGGAUUACCUACAACCCACAGAGACAUAAUUGAAAAAGAAACAAAUUCCUUUUUUUUUUUUCCAGGUCAACGGUCAAAGUCAACGGUCGGUCAACGGUCAACGGUCAAGUCAACGGUCAACGGUCUUCGGUCAACGGGUCAACGGUCGCGCGGGUCGGACCGGUCGGACCGGUCACGAUGGUCGAACCGGUCGGACCGCAUGCGCCGGUCGGACAGCUCGCACGGACCGACCGCACGUGCCUCGCGCGUGCCGGGGAUGACGUCACGCAGACGUCAUCCGGCACGUGCCGGGUGCGUGCCUUCGUCAGCGGGUCGCGUCGGGUCGGUUCGCGGGUCGGGUCGCCGCGGGUCGGGUUCGCCGGCCGGUGACCGGCCGGCCAACCGUCGUCGGCGCUAACGUCAUCAAUGACGUCAUCCCCGACGGUUAUCGACCGUUGGUGACGUCAGCACGCGUCGGUCCGCGGACCGGCGCGUGCCGGUUCGCCGGCCGCCGGCGAGCACGUGCCGGUUCGCCACCGGCGCGUGUGGCGCACGCGCUGGCGAAGCCAGCGCUUUCAGGCGCGUCGCGCCCACGCGCAGCGCCUUCCGGCCGUGCGUGUGGGCGCGUGCGGCGGCUUCCGGCGGCGAUCGACAUAUCGCCGGACUCGUCUCGACGUUGCGCUUCUCCCAGUACCUUCAGAAUUUUAUUUCGACUUACGAAAACUCAGAAAAAAAGCCGAAAAGCGCUCGGGUGUCGGGAUUUUCGCCCGGUUCCGUACGGCCGAAGGGAUUUCGCGAAAAAUCAAUCAAAAACAUCAGAAUUGAUCGGGAAAGACGUGAAACAGGGCUCUGAUACCAAUGUUGGGAAUGAUUGAUCCCCGAAAACCGGAUUCGACACUAAAUCGAACCCCUAAAUCAAUGCGGAAGACGAAGCCCGGGAAAAACACGUAUCACCGAUCGUAAAGCACACCACAGAUUUGAGCGUACCUUGUUAGCCACAGAUUAAACACCGUCGUCAAUGGAGGAAGAGAAUCCGGUCGAUGAAGCCUUGAAGGGAAGAAAUUGGAAGCCGUAUGCCUACUGUUCUUCGGGAGAGAAAACGCGCGGGAGAGAAGUGUACGUUGAUUGUGCCAAAGGGUGCCUUUCUCUCUCUCUCUCUCUCCCUUUUAUACCUUCCCCCUUCCACGGGCCCUAUUCCCGUGGGCCGGGCUUUUUGGGCCCAACUUGGGCGGACGGGCCAACUCAGGCCCAUCUCAUAAAUCCAUCACCCUCGUUUCUCUUCCCUGCCAUUUCCCUCGUUUCUCUCUCCCCCCACCCCCCUUGUUUUUCCCCCCAUCGCUUGUCAUUUCCCUCGUUUCUCUCUCCCCCCACCCCAUGCCACGUUAAGCGAUGNNNNNNNNNNNNNNNNNNNNNNNNNNNNNNNNNNNNNNNNNNNNNNNNNNNNNNNNNNNNNNNNNNNNNNNNNNNNNNNNNNNNNNNNNNNNNNNNNNNNUCAUAGCAUCGCAACGCGGUCCUCUGGAUCAUCUCAAUCUCUACUUUUCCUCUAGCCCUCCCUUGCUGUUGCAGGCUUGCCUCCGCUACCUCACCCUCGCCUCCACCCUCCAUCGUCUUCUUCAAUGAUCCUCUCUUUUGGAUAUGCGUGAUGAAAUGUGUCGAGAAAAGUUGAUCACGUGUCCAAAAAUCCGACAUGUGUUGACCACGUGUUCGAGCAUAUUGGACACGUUGACACCUGUUAGACACAACAUGGAACCUCCGGAAUGUGUUUGUGCUUCAUAGCUUGGAACUAAUCUGUUACAUUGACCAUUAUUGAGUCUUAGAACUAAGGCGCGGAAAUAUCUAAUUAGAUGGGCAAAUAGAGUCUAGAAAGAGGCUUGGAAAGAUUUGAACUCAACACCUUCUAUUCUUAUACCAUGUUAAAUUUUAUGAAAUCAUUGUCGACUAUUUUAAAAGUUUAAGCCAUUAGAUGAAGAAGUGGUUUAAAAUUUAUAUAUUCUAUCAUGAUCCGCUCAUAACCAACAAUAUGUGGAGAAAUCUGGUAGCUUGGGCAUCGUACCAAGUAAUAGUCUUUUUGACUGUGAAGUUCAAGUAUGAACAACAUCUCCGUGGGAAUCAACAAGUCAAGAACGCAUCCAUGUCUUAAAGGAAGCCUGAAGAGAUCAAUGUCUUGCAGGGGACGAACAUGCACAACAAAUGGCUUUGGGCUGUUUCUGGCAGAGUAGUCCUCGCUCAAGGGGCGAUGAUGGAACUCUCGGCGAGGUUUCUUGGCAUAGACAGAUCAAAUUCAAUGACCUCUUUGUUGGUUGUUUAAGUGGUCUAUUCCUGUGAUGACAGUAUCGUUCUGAGAGCUUUGAGGUCGAGUGCAACAAAGAGCACCUGGUGUUUUCUUCAAGUUAGAGAUAUGUUCUUAAAGAGGCAAUGCCCAACCGUAGUGCCCUCUGGUUUUUCCCUUCCCUUUGGGUCUCGUGCAGAUACUGCUACGAUGGGAAAUUAAACAAUUGAAAAUUUCUCUGACUUGAAUUGAAUUCUGCAUAGUAUUGCGGAAAAAUAUUUGAGGUAACGAAAUGUUGUUAAUAGCUACUCAAUCAUAGCUCUCUACAAAAUCUUAGGAUCAAUAUUGCAACUUGGUUUCAUUAUAGCCUGAGCAAAUUCUCAGGGAAAAAUGUUAGAAAAGUCAUAAACCUAUUAUAUCAGUAUCAAUUUUGUUAUAGACAUUUUAAUGGUGCUAAUUUUUUUUAAUGGUGCUAAUUUAGUGUCAAACAUUUUAACCUAGAGCCAAUUUAGUCAUUUUGACCAAUUUUGACUAGAAAUUGCUAACAUGGAUGCUAGCUGGUCUACGUGGCAUAGCCAAUGCGGAAAUGGCAUUUUUCAAUAUCAUUUGAUACUUUUUGAAUUUUUAUCCUUUCUUUUUUUUCUAUCUUUAUUUUCUUUUUCUUUUCUUUUUCUUUGGUGGCCAGCGAGGCCACUCUCGCCAAAUCUGGAUGGAGCAUUUGAGUACUUGGAGGGUAAGGCUCAUCGGACUUGGGUUGCUGGAGGCUUGAGAAGCAGGAGGUGGAGGUGGAACGGGGGAUUAGGCUUGUCUUUUUUGCGAGAAGAAGAAGAGGGAAUAUGAAGCACCCCCGUGCUCCUUCUUGCUGUUCUUUUUUUCUAAAGUUUGGGUUCCUCGUGGGUUCGAAGAAGGUGGUGGUAACCCUACGAACAGACCUUCCACCAUUGUCCUGCUCUCUCUGCGGGAGUCUUGAGCGUGUAGUGAUUCUCUCUCCUCUGAAUCAGCAUUUAUUCCACAGAAGAUUGAUCUGAGCGAGGGCUACCGUCGCUCAAGCAAGGCUAGUCCUUGCCAAAGAUAGCCAUGUUGGUCACUAGAGGAAAGAGAGAAAAAUAAGAAAGGGAAAAAAUGAAGAAAAAAUUCAAAAUUUAUUAAAAUAUUAUGUAAAAAUAUCAACAUCAACGUUGGCCGUACUUUUCAUAUUAGCAUUAAGUGGCCAUGAUUCACCACAAUAACUAAAUUGGCUCUAUAUAAAGAAUUUAUGACUAAAUUGAUACAACUAAAAUGUUUUAAAAUUAAAUUGAUACUAAUAUCAUACACUUACGAUUUUUCUAACACAUAUAUUUAAAUUCUUACGACAUAAAAUUGUCGUCUCAGCUAUGGAGGGUAGCAACCUACCAAGCAUAAUUAAGGAUCAAUAUCAUGAAAUGUGAUAUAUUGACCUCGGUUGUGCUGCAGAAUCGAGCGUGAUGCAACAUAGAGAAACAAAGCAUGAACAGGACCAGAAGCUGAAAGCACUUUCCCCGAAGGAGAUUGAAUCAUGCAAGAGAAGCGGAAAACCAUGGCGAAGAGGACGACGGACUGACCAUCCAGAAAGUUCCUCCACAAUUUGGCUUCUCUCUACUUCGCGAUUUUACCGGGAAAAGAGAUUGGCUUUCUUCCCGUGGUCUCUGCGUGUCCUCUUCGACCCACCGGUCCGCUCCCUCAUAUCUUGGAACCUACUCUCCCCGGCCCCCAUAACGCGUGAGUUUCCAAAAAGUUUCCGGACCUGCUAGGCUGCUUCACUGGUUGAUCACAGCUAGCACGCAGAGAGUCAGAGAGACAGAGGGUGACCAUCCCUUCAUUCUUUUUCUUUUUUAAUUCUUUUUUAAUUUAGUUUAUUCUUUUAAUCUAAUUUAAAUGACAUUUGGAUCGAAAUGACGCCGUUUCAAUCUUAUUAUUCAUGUUUUAGUCACAUCGUAGUCACUUAAAAUAUUCGAGUGCAUUAUUUAAAAAAAUUUAAAUUUAAUUAUACUUUUUAUAAAUUUUAAAAUUUUUGGUGCACUUAUUAUAAUUGUUUUUUUUUUUUGCUUGAUCGGUUUGGAGUGCGGCUUCUUACAGAAGACUUUGGGUACGUUUGAUUCAAUAUUCCCAAUGGACUUUUAGCUUUCAAAGCCUCUUGAGAAAAUACUGGACUGUUUGGCCACCAUUUUAAAGUAACUUUAAAAUUAAAGUCAGCAUUGGAAAGGCUAAAAGCCCAAUGCCGAUAGAGACUAGCUUUGAGCUUUAAGUAUUUGGCCAAAUGCUGAAACUUAUUUUUUUUUCCAAACUAUUAUCACUUAUUCUUCAAAUUUCUAAUUUUUCCCUCAUUAUUAUUUUUUUAAAUGCCAAAAUAAUGCUAAAAAAUCAAAAUUAUAUAAAUACUAAAAAAAUAAAUAUAUUUUGGUCUUUUUAAAAAAAUUAUUUAUAUAUUUGAUUUUUUUAGCAUUAUUUUUAAAAUUUAUAUUUAAAAAUUUACAUAUUUAAACAAAUAAAAAUUAAAAAAUUCCGACGAAGAGUUUGGUCCUUUUAAAAAAAUUAUAUAUAUGUAUUUGAUUUUUUAGCAUUAUUUUCAAAUUUAUAUUUAAAAAGUUUCAUACAUUAUUUUUUCAAUUUUAAACAAAUUAAAAAAUUAAAAAAUUUCGACGAAAGAUUUAGUUUUUUUUAAAUAAUUAUAUAUGUUUUUGAUUUUUUAGUAUUAUUUUCAAAAUUUAUAUUUAAAAAAGUUGCAUACAUUAUUUUUUUUUUCAAUUUUAAGCAACUAAAAAUUAAAAAAUUCCGAUGAAGGGUUUAGUCUAUUUUUUAAAAAAAGAAUUAUACAUAUAUUUGAUUUUUUUAGUAUUAUUGUCAAAAUUUAUAUUUAAAAAGUUGUAUACAUUAUUUUUUUAAAUAUACAUAAUUCAUCCUCCCGCGACUUCAUCCAUCCUAAAAUAGGUCAUCUUCCAUUAGGCAUUCAAGUUCGUUAUAAUCGCCUCCUCCUCCUCUGACAUGCUUUUUAUAUAAUCCUGGUCCUCAAUGCUGCUCGUGCACAAUACUGACCCUUGUUCGUUGCUAGGAAUCACAUAAAAACCUCUUGGGAUAAGCCCCCCUCUAAUCACACUAUUGUCAAGAAAAUUAUUCAAAAAAUCAUAAACCUAUUUUACGAUGGUCAAUUCAAUCCUAAAUUGAUCAUAAAUCACUGGCAUUAGUAUAACAUUGUUAAAACUAUUGUAAUCAUAACACCAUUAGCCGAGGAUAACAUAAUUAUAUUGUCUUUAUUAGAACCAAUGCAAUAAUUAUUUACAAAGAAGUAGUGAAAAAAUGUCAAAAAGUCUUAAACCUAUUGUAUUUGUGCCAAUAUAGUCAUAAACAUUUUAUUGAUGCAAAUUUAGUUCUAAACAUUUUGAUCAAGUGUUAAUUCAGUCAUCCAACUAAUUUUGAUCAGAUUUUGCUGAUAUGGACAUCGAUUGAUUACGUGAUACGGCCGACGCUGAUGUAAACAACUUUUAAUAAUAUUUUAAUAUUUUGCCAAUUUUGUUUUUUAUUAUUUACUUAUUUGUUUAUUUCCUUUUUUUCCCCCUUCCCUUUCUUCUUCCUCUAUAUGGUCACUAGUCAGCAAGGUCGGUGAGAGCAGUUGCUUACUAGCUAGAGAAAGAAAAAGGGAGGGGGGAAAAAAGAAAAAAUGAAAUAAAUAAUGAUAAAUACCGAAAAAAAUGUUAUUAAAAGUUGUCCACGUCAAUGUUAGUUGUGCCAUGUAAAUCGAUCAGUGCCCAUGUUAGCGAGAUCCGACCAAAAUUAGCUGGAAGGAUUAAACUAACACUAAAUCAAAAGGUUUAGGACUAAAUUAGCACAAAUGUAAUAGAUUUAUAAUUUUUCUAAUACUUUUCCCAAAGAAGUAGCAUUCUAGACAUUCUAUCUCUAUUCCUUUGAUGUUACACAGUGAAACCGUAUAAGAUAUUAGCUAUUUCAUCAUACCAAGACCCAAACAAACAAUUUUGCCAUUGUUCCAUUAUUAACGCAAGAGCUCCUACUUUAAUCGAAAUUUUAACCCAAUGCGCCGUAAGAAUUGAUAUCAACAAAGCCGAUUUCAAGGUGUUGAAAUAAAUAUUUCGCUCACUCUAAACUAGUAACAUAAUAGGGAUGCGCAUUCCCUCCAAUCCCCAUCCUAGAUUGGAGAGAGGAAAGUAUUUGUUAAAUUAAGAAUUAAUAUUACGAAAAAAGCCAAAUCGAUACACACGUAAUAAAUAUAACCUUCGUUAGCUUGAGCUGGAGGAUAUGCGGCAUUUGAUGUAACAAGUCCACAUGAAAAUCUAGAGGGAUAAUACCAUGAAAAUCCCAAAAUGGAUACGCCUAUGAUAAUUUUUACCUCAAACUAAUUUUUGGGUUGCUAAAAAACCCAAAUUUGUACUUGCAUGAUGUAUUUACCCUCCGUUACCCUUUGCCAAAUUUUAUCAUGAAAUUACUGAAUUGGAUGAUAUGUGACAAUAACUUAGUUAAAGUUCAUAUGAAAAUCCAUAGCACUCUUCUCUUUAUUUUUUAAACAAAACAGGGCUCAUUCUCCUUCUCUCCCCAAAAGCACAAAAACCCUAGAUUGUCUUCCUCUUCAUUGAAUCCUUCAUUGUCUUGUUUGGCUAAGGUUGUGGAAAUUGCGAAUACCAUUUAGUGAGAAUUCUUUAGUGACACCUUUAGUAAGGGAUCUUUGUUCUUAUUUUCCAAAGGAUGUCGCCUAUGAUGAUCAGUCACAUUUUUCUUAUGGAUUUCUAUGUGAACUUGCCGCGUUAACUAAGUUAGUUAAUAGAGGGUAAAUUUGUUAUAGAUAUAUCAGUUUGAGAUUUUUAGUGAUUCAAAAAUUAGUUUGGAGUAGAUUUAUUAUCGUUAUAUCAGUUUUGGGGGUUUUUGUGGCGGUAAACUUUAAAUUAAUGUCUUAAGUUUGAGUGAUGUAUGAGACCCAACCCAAUUAGAGGAUAUAUAUAUCCUAAUUGCAAUAAUAAAUUUUCCUAGGCGGUUAUUAUGUGAGAUAUAUGUAAGAUUUCUUCAAUAGGCAAUGGUCGACUCAUACAUAUCCAAGAAGUAAAGAACUGAACUCUAUAGAGUUUUACAUCCAAACCACUAGGGUUUAUCCUAAUGGCCACCAUCUCAUAUGGGAAGAAGGAGAUGAAAAGUUCGAAUUUCCACAUUUUUAAUGAGGUUGAGAUGGGGAUAAUUUAGUUUUAGAUAUGGUUUUCGACUCUGCAUGGAGGUAAAACAAAAGUUUGAAAGUGAGGGUUAGAAUAAUAAUAAAAUAAGAUAAAUAAAUAAAUAAAGUUAUAAAUCUAAUUGAGUUAUUUAUUUAUUAACACUUUGGUCUUAAGCGUUAUUUAGAUGUGGUAAAUACUCAAGUUUGUAAACAAUUAUAAUUUCAAUAUUUGAUUAUCAAUUGAUUAUUUAUUAUUGAAUCUCGUCGUGGAAGUAGAUAUCCAUAUGAAUCGAAUCACGUAAAAUUCUCCAUAUGUUUUAUUGUUUCUUCAUUUUUUUUCAAUGAUCUCGCGUCGAUUCACCUGCAAGAUCAUGUCAGUUUUCGCAUUAAUUUUUCGAAUGGUAUAUUCAGCCAAACCUUUGAUUGGUGCACUGUAAAAGCCGACAUCACCCAAUGAAUAAAUUUAUAAACGAAUAAUCUACCGAUUAGACAGAUUGAUAGAGGGGAAACAUGACAGGCGACACGACCGUGUCUAUUUCGUACGACGUCCAGAGCGCGGGGUCUUAACGCAGGUGGGGUAUCUCCAGUGAUGCGUCGUAUUCCGUACGAUGCGUCCUGAGCAACCGCCUAGCGACGAGUCUCUCACGUCUGCAUGUCUCUUCACAAUGCUUUUCAGCGGGAAACCCGAUAGCAGCUUCCCCAUGCGGCGUCCCCCCUAACGCCUCAACCUCCAGUAAGCAUGUUGUUCAAAAAAAAAAAAAACCUCCAGUAAGCAUGUCUAUAUAAACCCAUGCGAUCAAUGGCCGUUGCCUAACACCAUCCCACAAAAUUCGAAGAUUGCUUCUUUUCCGUUGAUAUCACAAGACAAUCUUCCAGGUUUAUUCUCUUUUGGUCUUGCCAUUUGCACUGCUGUGGUGCGGCCCUGUCUCUGUCAUCGGAAGAUCCCAAGAAGCCUGUGCAUCUCUCCCCGGCGACGGCGAGCAUUCUCCGUGGCGACUCCAUCCCCCGUUGGGAGAUCUCUCUCCACUUGCCCGCUAUGUGCAAGUUUGCCGCCAUCGCAGCCAUGUAUUACUCCCGAGCCCUCGCUGCCUUCACAAAGAAAACUUACAAGUUCCCGGGAGAAUCUCCUUCCUCCAGUUUGAUUUCGACCACCGAUGAGGCUCCGAGCGCUCGCUCUGAUCAAUCCAGCUCCUUCGAGAAUGAUCAGUCACAAGUGAGAGCGCUCGCUCCUUCCAGCUCUUCGAUUUUGAUCCCCGAUGAGGCUCCGCUCACUUGCUCUGAUCAACCCAGCUCCUUCCAGAUUGAUCAGCCGCAGCUCGGAGCGCCCGCUUCUUCCUGCACUUCGAUUUCGAUCCCCGAUGAGGCUCGGAGCGCUCCCUUUGAUCAACCCAGCUCCUUCCAGAUUGAUCAGUCACAGUUCACUAGGCUGGUCAAUGACAAGGACCUCAACCGCCUCAGAGAAUUCGGCGGCAUCGACAGAGUCGCCUCCGCCCUUCAAACUGAUGUCUCUGAUGGAAUUAGCGGCGAACCAGAUGACGUCACUCGCAGGCAAAAGGCAUUCGGCGUCAACACUUUCAAGCCGCCCACCAAGGGCUUCUUCCACUUUUUGCUUGAGGCUUUCAAGGAUCUCAUACAUCUGAUUCUUCUUGUUUGCGCUGGGCUUUCGCCCGGGCUUGCGAUCAAGGAGAACGGGAUCAAGGAAGGCUGGUACAACAGCGGGAGCCCAUUCUUCGCAGUUUUCCUCAUGAUCAUGGUGUCUGCCGUGAGUAAAUACCAGCAGAACCAGCAGUUUAAUAAAUUGUAUAGGCCUAGCGGUAAUAUUCUCAUCCAUGUGAUAAGAAAGGGCCGGCAGCAGCAAGUGGCCAGAUCCAAGAUCGUCGUCGGAGAUGUCGUUUGUCUGGAGAUCCGCGAUCAAGUCCCAGCAGACGGUCUGUUCCUCAACGGGCACUCCCUGCAGGUAUGGGACGAGAAUUUGUACCGGUUUGAUCGCAUUAGUUUCGCGUAUUGAUUCAGGUUAGUUUCCUCCAGAAAUAUAUAGUAUUAAUAUUACCAAGUUCGAGCCCAGGUUGAUUAAUUAGUUUAGUAAUUAGUCCAAAGAAAUAUAAAAGUGUACGAUAUUCUGUUUGAUACUGCACAGUCUGUCAUUUUCCUAAUCUUAAUUCUAUGACAAAAAGGAAAAGUAAUGGUUUUAAUUCGUAGUUCUAGUCGUAAGAAAACAAAAUUUGUUCGCAAAAUUUACUGGAAACAGUAUACUUAAACAUAAUCCAUUUCUUCUCAUGUCAAUAUUUAUUCAGCUUUCAUUUUCUUUGUUUCAACUUGAGACCGUAAUUCGUCCUGUCAUCUCAUCCUAGCGUCACUAAAUCAUGUGCGACGUUUGCAUUGUCAAUUUAGGUUGACAAAUCGAUCAUGACCGGGGAGAGUGAUCAUGUAGAAGAGAAGGGCAAUCAGAAUCCAUUCCUAUUCUCCGGAACAAAGGUCGCUUAUGGGGAUGCUCGGAUGCUGGUCACAUCGGUUGGGAUGAACACAACGUGGGGCAAGAUGAUAAGUUCAAUCAACCGCCAUAGCAGCGAGCAGACCCCUUUACAGGCUCGGCUCAACAAGCUCACCUCAUCGAUUAGCAAAGUCGGCUUGGCGGUCAAUUUUCUGGUUCUUGUGGCGCUGCUAAUUUACUACUUCAGGGGAAAAAAACAGGACGAGAACAGGAAGCAGGAAUUCGUUCCAGGUCAAACGAUGGGUGGCAAUAUCAUGAACUCCGUGGGGGGCAUCAUUGCAACCACAGUGACAAUUGUGGGGGUCGCGAUUCCCGAGGGCUUGCCGCUUGCAGUAACACUCACUCUUGCUUAUUCGAUGAAGAGGAUGAUGGCGGACCGGGUGAUGGUGAGGAAGCUUUGGGCCUUUGAGAAGAUGGCGUUGGCCACCACUAUUUGCACUGACAAGACCGGCACUCUGACGAACCAAACGGAGGUGACGAAAUUCUGUGUCGGCCAAGACUCCGUGGCAGAAAACGUGUACUCCUCUGCCUCCAAUCCUGUCCUGGAUUUUAUUCGGGACGGGGUCGCUUUGAACACCUCAGGCAGCGUCUACAAGCCAUCUUCAGGACCGGAGUACAAUUUCUCCGGUAGUCCCACCGAGAAAGCGAUUCUUUCCUGGGCAGUUUCGCAGUUGAGCAUGGACAUGGAGGAGAUAAAAGAGAGCUGUGAAGUCAUCCAAGUUGAAGCCUUCAACUCGCAGAAGAAGAGAAGUGGUGUCUAAUGAAGAAGAGCACAGACAACACGGUCCACGUACACUGGAAAGGAGCGGCAGAGAUGAUCUUGGCGAUGUGCUCAAGCUUCUACGACAGGUUGGGGAUAAAGAAAGAUUUGGACAAAGAUGAAAGGAAGAAAUUCGAGCAGAUCAUACAGGGGAUGGCAGCGAGCAGCCUCAGGUGCAUCGCUUUUGCUCAUAAACAAGUCUCCAAGGAAGCGACCAAAGAAAGAGAAGAUGGGAAGAAGAUCCAAGAGGACAGCCUGACAUUGCUAGGUCUUGUUGGUAUUAAGGACCCAUGCCGUCCUGGUGUGAGGAGCGCAGUCCAAGCUUGUCAGGACGCGGGAGUGAACAUCAAGAUGAUAACAGGAGACAUCUUCACUGCUAAGGCCAUUGCCGCUGAGUGCGGGAUUCUCAGGCCUGAGGACGACACCUUCAAUGGAGCCAUCGUGGAAGGAGCUGAGUUCCGAAACUACACAUCUGAGGAGAGGCUUCAAAGAGUCGAGAAAAUCCGGGUCAUGGCAAGAUCCUCUCCUUUCGAUAAGCUCCUCAUGGUUCAAUGCCUGAAGCAAAAAGGCCAUGUGGUCGCUGUCACUGGGGACGACACGAAUGAUGCACCCACCCUCAAGGAAGCUGACAUCGGGCUCUCGAUGGGCAUCCAAGGCACUGAGGUUGCCAAAGAGAGCACAGACAUUGUCAUCCUCGACGACAACUUCGCCUCUGUGGCAACAGUGCUGUGUUGGGGUCGAUGCGUCUACACUAACAUCCAGAAGUUCAUCCAGUUUCAACUCACGGUGAAUGUCGCAGCGCCCAUCAUCAACUUUGUGGCUGCGGUCUCCUCCGAUGACGUCCCCCUAACAGCAGUCCAGCUCUUAUGGGUGAACCUAAUCAUGGACACGCUCGGCGCCCUCGCCCUGGCCACUGAGCGGCCUACCAGGGAGCUCAUGGAGAAGCCCCCCGUGGGCCGGACGGAGCCACUCAUAAGUAAAGUCAUGUGGAGGAACCUUGUAGCACAAGCAACGUACCAAAUGGCCGUCCUCCUCACUCUACAAUUCAAGGGCGAGUUGAUCUUUGGGGUCAAUGAGGCGGUGAAGCGGGCACUAAUAUUUAACGCGUUCGUACUGUGCCAAGUCUUCAAUGAGUUUGUUGGUGUUUUGCGGAAGCGUGUGUGUGUGCAAGUGUUAUGUGUGAAUAAUAAAAGGACUACAAUAGUAAAGGGAGAAUGGGUAAAAAAAGAGCUUUUAUUAUGAAAGUUUUUAGUACAAAGGAAGGGUUUUGGAAGGAGUGUGUGUGGUUAUCUACAACUCAAAAUGCACACCCCAAACCCUAUUUAUAGGCGUGUCACCGCCAUUCCUUCACCGACAUUGAGGACUUCUAGUGGAUUCUCCAUUUUUCUGUAUUUUUCUGUUCUCUCGGCUGCCCACGUAUUCUAUUCAUGGUCAAGCAGCCAUUUUUGACUUUCAUACAAGAUUUCCCAUGCACAUGCACGUACGAGACUUCUCUAGUUUGUUCUUCUUUGGCUGCUAUUCUUGACUUUUCUUUUGCUUUUUGCUGUCCACGUGGUUUGCUGCCCAUGUACCAGAAAUUUCUUCAGUCUUUGAGAGUCUUCGAAGCUUGUUGCUGCCGAUUUUGCUCCUUCUCCAUUAAGCAUGAGUGUUCUAGAGUUUUCACAAAAUGGAUCAUAUUUUAACACUCCUCCUUGAUCCAUUUUUGUGAUAUUCCAAGCAUGCCUCUCAAUGUCUCGAAUUUUGCUGUUGGUAGUGCUUUAGUGAAUAUGUCCGCAAUUUGAUCUUCACUCUUACAAUAUUUUAGCUCGAUCUCUCCUUUGCUUUGCACUUCGCGAAUGAAGUGAUAUUUUAUAUCAAUAUGUUUCGUUCUUCUAUGAAAGACUGGAUUUUUUGAUAUUGCAAUCGCGGACUUGUUGUCGCAAAAUAUUGGUGUUGAUUCCAUUUGUGGUUCUCCAAUGUCUUCUAAAAUUCUUCGAAGCCAUAUUGCAUGACUAGUAGUUGUAGCAGCUACGAUGUAUUCAGUUUCUGCAGUAGACUGUGCCACUGAGUCUUGUUUUUUAGAUGCCCAUGAGAAUAUUCCAGAACCCAGUGUCAAUGCAUAGCCAGUUGUACUUUUCCUAUCAGCUGAACCAGCCCAGUCGCUAUCAGUGUAGCCAAUGAGCUUGGCAUUUGUACUUGGCUGAUACCAAAUGCCGUAAUCUAUAGUUCCUCGUAAAUAUCUAAGAAUUCUCUUGGCUGCUCCAAAAUGAAUUUGACUUGGGUUCUGCAUAAACCGUGAUAGUAAACUUGUCGCGUACAUAAUAUCUGGUCGUGUAGCAGUGAGAUAUAGUAGACUCCCAAUUAAGCUUCUAUAGAGGGAGGCAUCGGCUUUUUCAGCUCCAUCAUUUUUCAAUAGUUUCUCAUUCAUCACUAGUGGUGUUGAAACUAUUUUGCAAUUACUCAUCUUGAAUUUCUUUAGGAGGUUUUCGGUAUAUUUCUUUUGCGAGAUGAAAAUUCCUUCAUUUUGAUUGACUUCAAUACCGAGGAAAUAGUUCAUCAAGCCCAAGUCCGUCAUUUCAAAUGUCUUCAUCAUUUCUUCUUUAAAUUCUUGGAUCAUUGUCUCAUUGUUUCCAGUAUAUAUAAGAUCAUCUACAUAUAGAGAGACAAUGAGAGUGUCGGACUUACCUUGGGUCUUGAUGUAGAGUGUCGGCUCACUCAUACUCCUCCUGAAUCCUUGCUUGAUGAAGUACUCAUCGAUUCUACUAUACCAUGCACGUGGUGCUUGUUUUAACCCGUAUAGGGCAUUCUUAAGCUUUAAGACUUUUUCUUCUUGGCCUUUGAGAAUAAAGCCUUGUGGUUGUUCUAUGUAUAUUUCUUCUUGAAGAUAUCCAUUUAGGAAUGCCGACUUCACAUCUAGUUGAUAAAUCUUCCAUUCUUUUUGUGCUGCCAAGGCUAUAAGUGCUCGAAUAGUAUCAAGGCGAGCGACGGGAGCAAAAGUUUCAGUAUAGUCAAUACCUGGUUGUUGCAAGUAUCCUUUCGCCACAAGCCUUGCUUUAUGCUUCUGGAUUGAUCCAUCUACAUUGAGCUUUGUCUUGUAAACCCACUUAACGCCAAUAAUCUCUUUGUCUUCUGGUCGAUCAACAAGCUCCCAGGUUUCAUUUUUCUGGAUCAUCUUGAUCUCUUCUUCCAUGGCUUUUAUCCAAACUUCAUCUUUGGAUGCUUGUUCAUAGUUUUCUGGUUCCAAAAUGGCAAAGUUGCAUGUGUCAUAAAUUCUUCUAAGGGCUUUUACCCUUAGUACUGGAGACUCUGGAGUAGAUUCUUCUUGCGUUACCCUUGGAGAGCUUGGUGGAGUUACGUCGUGAGUGGUAGAAUCCGGUACUUCUUCUUCUUCUUGUGAUGUUGACUCCUCUUGAGCAGGUAGUGUGUCUGGCAAGGUUAUGUACUUCUUCACGAUCUUCUCGUCUUCCCAAUGCCAGGCAGCAUUCUCAUCGAACUCGACAUCUCGACUAAUCAUUAGCUUUUUAGUUCUUAGGUUGUAAACCCGAUAGCCUUUUGAUUGGUCACUAUAGCCAAGGAAUAUUCCUUUUUCUGUCUUUUCAUCUAGCUUACUCCUUUUUUGAGUAGGGAUGUGGACGUAGCAAAUGCAUCCAAACACUUUGAGAUGCUUUGCUGAAGGCUUUCGUCCACUCCAUGCUUCAACUAGAGUUUUGUUUUGAACUGCUUUAGUUGGACACCUAUUUAAUAGGUAUACAGCAGUAUAAACUGCUUCUGCCCAGAAAGUGUUGGGAAGGCCUUUCUCCUUUAGCAUAGACCUUGCCAUCUCCAUAACGGUUCUAUUUUUUCUUUCAGCUACUCCAUUUUGUUCUGGGGCGUAGCCAACAGUUAGUUGAUGAUGGACUCCUUCAUCUUCACAAAAUUUAUUAAACUCCUUUGAAUUAUAUUUUGUGCCUCUGUCACUUCUUAGGAUUUUGAUUCUUUGGCCACUUUGAUUCUCUACGUGAUUCUUGAAUUUUCUAAAGAUAGAGAAAACCUCAGAUCUUUCUCGAAGAAAGUAUACCCACGUCAUUCUUGUGUAAUCAUCAAUGAAUAAGAUGAAAUAUUUAUUUUGACUAGGUGUAGGUGUCCUCAUCGGACCGCACACGUCCGUGUGGACAAGUUCUAAAGGCUUCUUAGCUUUCCAUGAAACUCCAGAUGGGAAGGACUGUCUCUGUUGUUUUCCAAGAAGACAACCUUCACAAACAUCUGAAAUUUCUGUGAUUGCUGGAAAAUCUCUCAUCAUAUUUUUCUGAUGGAGAAUUUUUAAUCCAACAAAAUUGAAGUGGCCAAAUCUUCUAUGCCAUAGCCAUGAAUCAUCAAGUUGAGCUUUCAUGGCUAUAUCUUUGACCAAUUUCCAUUGAAUAGGAAAAUUGUUAUUUUUCAUCUUAACAGAGGCAAUGAUAUUUUUAUAUUUAUCAUAGAUAAUGCAGGUAUCUCUAUUAAAAUAUAGAGAAUACCCACUUUGUAUCAUUUGGCCCACGCUUAAGAGAUUUUGUGCAAGACGAGGGACUAGAUAUACAUUACGUAUAUAUUUUGGGCCUUUAUUCGUUUCCACGGCGAUGGUGCCUUUUCCUUUGACAUCUACUGAUGCACCAUUGCCCAACUUUACUUGAGAUUUCACCGACUUAUCAAUAUGAGUGAAUAUAGUUUCGUCCCUUGUCAUGUGAUUGCUACACCCACUAUCGAUGUACCAUGUUUCAUUUUUAUUGUCAUUUGCCGCUUGGCCUGCGUAGAAUGUAUUCUCUUCACUUUCUUCUUUUUUUUCUACAUAGUUUGCUCGAUUAUUUAUUUUCGAGCGACAAUCUUUUUCUACGUGGCCAUAUCUUUUACAAAAACGGCAUUGUUUUUUAUUUUUAAACCAACAAUCCUUCUCCAAAUGAUUUGUUUUCUUGCAAAUACCGCAAGGUGGAUAAUUUUCUUUUUUUUAUAAUUUCUCCUACUCUUUUGUUUUUCCAUGAGCUCCUUCCAUCAUUUUUAGUUUGAUGAGACCGUAUAUUUACUUUAGACUGAAAGGCACUUUCGACUAAAUCUUCAUCUUGUGCCAUUAGUCUUUUCUCAUAUGCUUCUAGAGAGCCAAUUAAUUCACUUAUUGAUAGGGUCGUCAAGUCUUUAGUUCCUUCUAUAGUUGUAACUAUAGAGUUGUAUUUUUUGGUAAGUGACACCAAUAUUUUCUCAACAACCCUUUGAUCAGUUAUCCCAUCUCCAUAGGCUCUCAUUUGAUUAACGAGUUCCUUUAAUUUUCCACAAUACUCUUGUACGGUCUCAUAAUUUUUCAUUUUAGAAUUCUCAAAAUCUCUUCUUAGAGUUUGAAGGCGAAUAAUGCGUACCUUUUCCGAUCCUUGAAAUUCUUCUCGUAGUAUAUCCCAAGCCUCUUUUGCAGUCCUUGCUCCAAUAAUUCUUGGAAAUACAAUUUCCGAGAGCGCUUGUUGGAUAAAAUAUAACGCCCUUGCAUCCUUUUGUAGUUGAUCUUUCGAAACACUUGCACCUUCUGACGGAGCCUCGCAACCUUUUUCCACGAUGUCCCAUAAGUCUUGGGCCAUCAAGAAUGUAGUCAUUUUUAUGCUCCAAAAAUCAUAGUUGUUCCCAUCAAAAAUGGGAAUGGGAAAUGAUGAUGAGGUAGGGUUGGCCAUAGUUUAGUUAGUGGGUAUUUGGAAAGGGUAGUUUUAGGAAUUGGUGGGUAGGACAAACGCCUGACACCAAUCAAAGACGUGGCUCUAAUACACCUAUUGGUGGUUUUGCGGGAAGCGUGUGUGUGUGCUAUUGUGUAUGUGUGAAAUAUGGGGUACAAAGGGAAGGGGUGUAUGGGGNNNNNNNNNNNNNNNNNNNNNNNNNNNNNNNNNNNNNNNNNNNNNNNNNNNNNNNNNNNNNNNNNNNNNNNNNNNNNNNNNNNNNNNNNNNNNNNNNNNNCAACGCGAGGAAGCUCGAGAAGAAGAACGUGUUUGAGGGCAUACACAAGAAUAAGCUGUUCCUCGGGAUCAUCUUUAUGACGGUGGUCCUCCAAGUGGUGAUGGUCGAGUUCCUGAAGCGGUUUGCCGACACAGAGCGGUUGAGCUGGGGCCAGUGGGGAGCGUGUAUUGGGAUCGCCGCCGUGUCUUGGCCUAUUGGUUGGGUCGUCAAGUGCAUCCCUGUCCCUGAUACACCAAUCUUUAGCUACUUGGGAUCCAAAAGCAAGGAGCUCGUGAGGAAAAUCGUGCACAGAGAACAGUAGGAACACUAAUUGGCGCUAACUCAAUGCUUUUCAUAAUACUGCUAUGUUGACUUCGUCCUUGAUGCUGUGUGAUUUUUUUCUUUGCCCAGAAAAUGAGGAAUAUGUAAUCAAUGAUGUAACAUAUUCAAUUGAAAGAAAGCAUUCAUUGAGAAAUAAGGAAUGACUAAUCAAUCUAUCUUUCGGCACCGGUCAAAAGAUCGAGCUUGGCUUAUCUGGGCUCAGUAAGUUGGCCCAGUUUUCUAAAAGGAUUUGACUCGAAUCAAAUUAAAGUGCUUCAAACCAAAGGCCAAAACUUUCAGAUUUUGUGCAUUAUUGUAAUGUGCAAUAAUAUUUUGUUUUUAUGCCAUCCUAGGAAAUAAGAGAAUUGGCUUGAAUUAUAAGGACAUCUGUCGGCUUGUUGCAUCCUCGACCCCGUCAGUGUCUGACCAAGCAUGCAACUUCAUAACGUGUAUUGGUAUGGAUUACGUACAUGGACUAUGUCCAGACAAGGAAGAAACUCAUUACGUGUAUCGGUCACAAUUUCUAAUUAACAAAAACUUAGUCAGGCCUUAUUCUCAGAAUUUAGAACGUACACAUAAAGAAUUAUGGGUGAGCCAAAUCGUGCAUAUAUUAGGCACCAUGCCUUGCCCUUAACAUUGAGCAACCGACUGCAAAAGCAUCCUAGGGCUUGGAACUGAUAUGUUAGAUUGACCACUAUCAGGUCCUUUUGCUUAAAACUAAUGCAUGAAGAUACUUAAUUUGGGAGGCAAAUGGGAUUUGGAAAAACUUGAACUUAGGAUCUUCUACUUUGAUAUUAUGUUAAAUAUUGUGGGACCAUUGCCAACGGUUUUUAAAGUUCAAGCUAUUAGAUAAAAGCAUGAUUUAAAAUUUAUAUAUUCUAUCAUAUCCACUCACAAUCAACACUAUGUGGAGAAAAUCUAGUAGCUCAAGCAUCGUACCAUGUAAUAGUCUCUUUUUGGUCUCGUGCAACUACUGCUACGUUCAGAUAUCAAACAAUUGAAAAUAUGACUUGAAUUGAACUCCAUAUAAUAUUGCCGGAAAAUAGUUGAGGUAAUGAAUGUCAUGAUAGCUACUCAAUUAGAGCUCUUUUCAAAUCAUAGGAUUAAUAUUGCAACUCGGUUUCAUUAUAGCUAGAGCAAAUUCUUAGGGAAAAGUGUUAUAAAAAUCAUAAACGUAUUACAUUAUUACUAAUUAUGUCACAAACCUUCAAAUACUUCCAAUUUAUUGUCAAACCUUUUAAAGUAGAGCCAAUUCAAUCCUUCCAGCUAAUUUUGACCAUAUAUUGCUGAUAUGAAUCCUGACUAGCCUAUGUGGCACGACCAACACUGACAUGGGCAUUUUUCAAUAAUAUUUUAAUAAAAAAAACUUUCCUUUCUUUUUUUUUUUCCCGUCUUUUUUUUUUUCCUCUUGUUUUCCUCCUUUUUGCCUCUUGUGGCCGGCAAGGCCACUCUCACCAGAUCUGGACAUAGAAUUUGAGUACCUGGAGGGUUAGGCUAAUCGGACUUGAGGUGCUUAAUGUUGAGGAAAUUUCAUUUAUUAGUUUUGAAGAUUGACAAAGCUUCCCUUAAUCGUUUUUUGAUUCUUAUGGUAAAAUUUUCGAAGUGGAAAUUCUGUUGUGUGUCAUCAGAUGUUACUUGUCAGACUCGAGGAUGUAGUAAAGAUCCUAUCCUCUAUAUUCAAUCUCGACAGAAUAAGGAUAGUGAUCGGACCUUGUGCUAAUGGCUAGAAGAUUGGCGUUGAUUUCCUAUCAAUUAUACCUUGAUUGUCCGAAAGGAAUUUAUCUAAAUCAAUCUCAUUGCAUAUGGAAUGCUCAAUCUACCAACGAAAAAAUUAAAUUGAAGACGGAAAGUUCAACAUAGGAAAGACCCAACUUAUGGAAACCCAAUCUACUAUAUUGGCAGCAGAUCUUACGAGAACUUCUCUCUCGGCGAUCCAGAAGCGAUCAGAUCUUCCUAAAGUUUCAAGUCCAACAAUUUGAUUGGAUAAACGAUCCUCAAAGAAGGUCCAACGGUCGGCUUGGACAUUGAGGAGUAUAAAAGGGAGUUGUACUGCUAAAGGACAUAAGAGGGAAUAUAGAAGUUAUGAAUUCCAAAGUUCACAAAAGUAUCAUCCCAAAUACUUUCAUCUUACUUGUGCUGAGUAUCGUAAUUUGUUAGAGGUUGUAAGUGUGAGAUUAGCAGAUCUUUCACACAAGCUUGAGUAGCACUUACUCAGUCCUUGUAACCUCUUAUUGAUUUUUACUAGUAGAAUCUAGCCAAUAAGCUGUCAGCGCAGGAGAAUGGACGUAGGCUUGCCAAAACCGAAUCACUAUAAUCCUAUUGUGUGCAAAUUUCUCUAUUCCUAAACUCUUGUUUAUAUUUUUGUGAAAUUUUAUUGCACACUAGUAAGAUCUAAAUUCUACAUAACUAGUUGUCAAACGUUGCCCUAUUGCAAUAUCAUUUUAACUUGUGUAAAAUUCACACCGUCACCUAUUCACUCCUCUCUAGAUGAUUAAGCUAGCUCUAAUACUUGAGACUUGAGAGUAGGAGGUGGAACAAGGGAUAAGGCCGUGUCUUUUUUUGCGAGAAGAAGAAGAGGGAAUCUGAAGAAUGCCUCGUGCUCCUCUUUCUUGUUGUUCUUUUUCUCAAGUUCGGAAUCCUUGGGGGUUCAAAGAACAUGGUGGUAACCCUACGAACAUAUCUUCCACCAUUUUCAUGCUCUCCCUGCAGGAGUCUUGAGCAUGUCAUGAUUCUCUAUCCUUUAAAUCAGCAUUUAUUCGACAAAAGAUUGAGCUGAGUGAGGGCCGCCUCACUAGGUGUCACUUGAGUGAGGCCAACCCUUGCCCAAGCAGCGUCUAAUCUUGCUAAAUCUGGCAAGGGCCACUCUCACUUAGGCGAGGCUACCCGUUGCCAAACAUUGCCAUGUUGGCCUCUAAGGAAAGAGGAGGAAAAAAAUAAAAAAAAAAUUCAAAAAUUAUUAAAAUAUUAUGUAACAAUGUUCACAUUAACGACGGUUGUACCUUUCAUGUCAACAGUAUGCAACUAAAAUUAACUAAAAUGAUUAAAUUGGCUCUAUAUAAAAAAAAUUAGGACUAAACUGAUAUAAGUAAAAUGUUUAAAAUCAAAUUGACGCCAUUACAAUAUAUUUAGGGUUAGUCUGACACUUUUCUUUAAAUUUUUAUGGUAAAAAGUUUUAGUUUCAGUAGGGAUAAUCGGUUCCCGGUUUGGUCCGGUUCCAAGGUGAAAUCGAGAACCGGACUGGGAGAAUCAGUUCCCAAUUUUAGGAACCGUGGAUUGUGUUGGAGAAAACUUCCUUGAAUGUUUUGAAGCUGGCAAAACAUUUCUAUCAGUCUAGUCUGAAGACUUGCAGACUCUCUCAUCAAAGUCUGAAGACCUCCGAACUGCCAAACUCAAGACUCAAAGUCUAUCCGCAUUGACAGCUUCUAAACCGUCGAAGAGGGCUUAUCUAGAAACGGAUGUUUCGUUAAGGAUUUGACUUUAUCGACUGGAAAAGAUCUCUAGGUUGGAUAUAGCAUGUCGGAAUCCAUUAUUCAAAUUAAGAUUGAAUAAGGGAUUAUGGAUCCGUUGAUUGGCAAAGUAUACUUGGAAGGUUCUACUUAUGGAAACCAAGAUCCUGAUUAUAUGGGCGAGCAGGAUUAAUGGGCUAUAGUCAUGUUCCUUAAAUAGCUUGAAGAUCUUCCUAAUUGAUUCUGUCCAAUGGGUAGAUUGGAAGAAUUCCUUUGGUAAGUGCCAACGGGUAUGAUGGCAUAAAGGAGUAUUUAAGGAAGACGUUCCAGUUGUUUGAGUGUGUGCGCGAUAGAAGAAUUCCAAAGUCUGAAGCUCCUUGUUCUUAGUCAAUUCAUGUGUUGAGCGAAAUCUUAUACGCAAAAGAGAGUCUAUAUUUUUUAGAGACCUUAAGGAAGUGUAGUAGAAUCUCUACACUGUGGAAUCAAGGGAGAGCUUCACUGUAACAACUCUUUUGUUCAUAGUGAAAUCCAGCCGGUGGGCUGUUAGUGCGGAAGAGUGGACGUAGACUUGGAUAAAGCCGAACCACUAUAAACUCUGUGUUCAAAUUCUCUUCCCUACACUCUUUUACAUUGAUCGUAACUUGUUUAUUUGAAAAUAGAAGAAUCUUCUUUUCAUAAUCCAUUGUUGAUUUGUGCUGCACUUAUCUCGCAAAAUUGUUUCUGCACCUAUUCACCCCCCUCUAGGUGCUCAUACUAGCUUUCACAAUUGGUAUCAGAGCUAGUGUACUCACUUGAUUUGAAGUGUUUUACUUCAGAGUUAAAGAUCCAUGGCUAGUAUAUUGGCUCCAGGACUGGUUGAAGGGCAAAGCAAUAUCAGACCGCCUUAGUUCAAUGGAAAAUAAUACAACAUAUGGAAAAACAAGAUGAAUGCUUUUCUAAGAUCAAAGGAUCCUCUGGAAUGGAAUGUGGUAGAUAGAGGAAUCAUUCCUAAAGCUACACUUGUCUCAGAAAGAGGAAAAAAAGCUGUUAAGUCUAGCGAAAUGACUCAAGAAGAUAUAACCAAAAGACAAGCUCUUGAUGCAAAAAUAAUUUAUUCUUUAUAUUGUGCAUUAUCACCUACUGAAUAUAACAGAAUAUCUUAUUGUGCUACAGCUAAAGAAGUCUGAGAUAGAUUACACAUCACUUAUGAGGGAAUUGAUCGAGUGAAAGAAACCAGAAUCAACAUUCUACUCGGUCAAUAUAAAGCAUUCAAAAUGAAAUUUGGAGAAUCUAUCACUGACAUGUUUAGUCGUUUUACAGAGAUCGUGAAUGGCCUUGAAAAUCAAGGGCAACCAAUUUCUGAUCUCAUGAAAGUAAACAAGCUUCUACGUGGACUCUCCAAGGACUGAAAUCACAUAAAGACCUCAAUAAGGGAGACACAAAGAAUUAUGCCACUUUCGAUUGAUGAAUUGGUUGGGACUCUUCAGUCUUAUGAAGUGGAGCGAAUCAACGAAGAUGAAGAUCCUAAAGGUAAGAAAUCCAUUGCAUUAAAAUCUAAUGAUGAUUCUGAUGUCACAGAUUUUGAAGACGAUAUGGAUGACGAAGAGCUUGCUCUCAUGAUAAGAAGAUUCAGAAAGCUGAACAGGAAAGCAAGAAGAUUCAAUCCAAAGAAAUAGAGUUCUCAAAAGCAACAGAGUAAGUCUGUUGAGGAUGAUGAAUCCAAUAGAGAUGUAGUUUGCUUUGAAUGUAAGAAAAAGAGACACAUCAAACCCAACUGUCCCCUUCUAAAGAAAAAGAAAGGAAAAACUGAGAAAUAUCGAAAGGCGCUCAAAGCAAAAACAUGGAGUGAUACAGAAUGUGAAGAAAGUAAUGAUUAUGCCAAUAUUUAUCUCAUGGCACAAUUAGAUUCAGAUUCAGACUCCGAGACAGACUCAGAUUCAGAUAGUAAAAUCGAGGUAAGUAAUUUGAAAAUCCCUACUAAAGUAUCUAGAUACAUUGAUGAAUUGUGUCUUAGUCUCAAGACUUCUCUUAAAAGGAUUUUCGAACUUAAAAAAGGAAAAUUCCGCACUAAAACAAUAAGAAAAUGUUUGUAAAGAAAAUGUUGAAAGUUUAGACAAAAAGUAUUACUAUUUUGAAAGAAAAUGAAGACAAUCUUUCAAAAGAAAAUGCAUAUUUGAAAAUUGACAUCUCAAAUAUUUCUAAAAGAUUUUCUAUAGGAUCUGAGAAACUGGAAAAAAUUCUUUCUGCUCAAAGACCUUAUUUCAAUAAAUCUGGUUUUGGAAUGACUGCAGAAACCAUUCCUCUAAUUGAUUUUCCUAAAGUAACGGAAAGAAUUAAGCAAAGACCUACAAGAGAUACCUCCAAAAAUCAUUUCCAGAGAGUUUUUGUAAAACUAGUAGGUCGCAAUGCUCUUAAAUGUUCUAAGUGCAAUAGCUCAGACCAUUUUGAGAAAGAAUGUCCUAUGGUUUGAAAACUUGUUAAGAAAGUUUGGGCAAAAACAAUAUAUUAUACUAACACCAGCGCAAUCAAUCUCACCAAGAAUCUAAUUCUUCACUCAAGAGCAAAGCAUAUAGAGAUUCGACAUCACUUCAUUAGAGAUCAUGUUCAAAAUGAAGAAGUUUCGAUUCAGUUUAUUGAUUCAAAGAAUCAACUGGUGGAUAUUUUUACAAAGCCUUUGGAGAAAAAUCAAUUUGAAGCUAUUCGUUCCAAACUCAAUAUCUUAAAGUCUGAGGAAGUUCAAACUCAGGACUGAAAGUUUAAAGACAUUAAGACUCAGAUGAUCAAGAUUCGUGACUGUAAGUUAUUUUUAUUUUAGAAAAUUAUCUCACAAAUCAAAUCUCGGAAAGGUACGAUCAUCAACCCAUUAUUAAUUGUUGCUAUUUUUAAUUUCCGUAAUUAUUGCAAUCUUUUCUUUUCAAAAAAGGAAUUAUUUUUUAAAAUGACAGUUAUCCAAUUUUUGAAAAUGCAGUUAUUUUUAAAAAAGGCAUCUUUAUACUUUCUUUUCUUACUACGUUCCGUUUGCCUCUCUUCAACUGCCUUAUAUACUGUCGGUUCCUCUUCGUUUUACUUACAAAAACCCUAAGAAAGCACCGAUCUUCCAUUUUUGUCUUCUUCUCUUGUUUAAUCUUCGAAAAGUUGUUAUCUUUCUUGGGAAAACAAGCUUGGAAUCUCUCAAAAACUGUGAAAAAUGUCUUCCCAAAGAAAGUCUUCGAGGAUCGCGAAACAGGGGACCACAUCAAAUGCAUGAGGGGCUUAUGCACUUCGAUCUCAUCGAGGAAGAAGAAUCUCCUAAUUAGCAACAGAGCCCACAACAUUCUCAGCAGCGUCCAUCUCCUCCAUCUAGACCUCAGGAUGUUGUACAUCAAGAAGAGGAAGAAAUAAUCGAAGACGCAGAACCUGUAAGAACUCUUAAGCCCUCUUUUACCUACAAGCUUUAUCGUUCUUUGAAGAGGGGCGGUACUCCUUUGAACUACAUUGAUGAAUUUUUGAAAGACAAAGGGUAUAGAAAUGAAACUUUCUUUUUACGCAUAAUGGAACGAUUGGGAAUUGCCCCUGUUGGUCGACGGAAGAUGUGACAUCCAGAUUUUCGAGUUUUAAUUUUUACUGGAUAAUAUUGCCGUUUUCGUUCAGUUGAAGCCAGAAAUUGUGAAAUUGAGAAGCGUGAGGGAAAUUGAAUGCAAAAUGCCAGGAUAGACCAAGUGCUUUAAUUUGGAUUUCCUUGGUUAUUUAGGUGCCAAUUUAAAAGAAUUUGGGAUAAGAAUUUCUUAAUUGAGGAAAUUCUUUUCUUUAAAAAUUUCUUCCCAAUUCUUUCCCUUUUUGGCCAAGCAUCCAAGCACCUUUUUCUCUCCCCCCUUUUUCCUUUUCUUUCUUUCUUUUUCUUUUUCUCUCUUUCUCUCUCUCUUCUCUCCCCUUUUCUUCCGUGCGGACAGCCCCCCUCCCCACGCCGACUCUCUCUCCUUUUCCUUUGCCGUUUCCUACUUUGCUUUCUCUUCCCCAUUUGACUUUUCAACCAUUAUCUCUUCUUCUCUCACCUCUCUCUUCUCCCCCACGUGACCUUCUUCUUCUUCUUCAUUCUUCUUUGUGCGAACCAGACCUAAACCAGCAAAGAAGAGCAGCAGCUCGCCGAGGACCACCGUCGCCCGUCCCGCCGCCGCACCGGAGCCGAACCGCCCGCGACGCCCGCCCGCACAACGCUGCGCGUUCCGCUGGCCAUCCCUCGCGCCAGGCGUGCUCCCCCGCGCGAUCCAGCUGCUACCCAUCCUCUGUCCAGCUCCGUUCGGCCACCUCCGGCCACCGUGGGCCACCGCUUGGCCUCGCCAAGCCACCACCCGCUCUCUCGACCUCUUGCCGCCCCCAACCCUCUCUCUUUCUUGCUGUUUUGUGGCCGAACCAGCAAACCCACGGAGUGGGUAUCCAGCUGUUCGUGGGCCGUUUUGGGCCGUUUCCCGGCCCCGAACCCGAGCCGUGCUUUGGGGACAAUCGUUCCUCGCGUCGCCGCCGUCGGAUUGAUCCGAUUUGCGCGCGAUUUGGUGAGUAAUUUCACUAAUUCUGGAUUAGUUGGCUAAUUAUGCUUAAGGUUGGUUUAGUUUUAAUUAAUUAUGUUUAAGUUGUUAGAUUAGAAUAAAUUAACAAUUAUUAGUCAAUUGUGAUAUGAUUUAGAUAAAUUGAUUGUGCAAUUAACAAGUAGACGUGGUCUACUAUUUAUUGGAAGUAUCUGGGGAAUUUUCCGACCCCUAAUCGGGCUUCAAUUUGGCGAUUUGGGCCUAAGUAAGAUUUUUGGGCAUUUAAAUAUUAAUUUUCGGAAUUUAAUUAAAUAAUUAUUUAUUUUCCGAAAAUUCAAGGGAGAUGGUCUGGAACCGGAAUAUUAUGCGGAUGACUGUGGUGAAGUCUGUUUAUUUAAUCGGGCUUUAUUUUGAGCUAAAUUUAAUUUUUAAUAUUAAUUAUUUAAUUUUUGAAAUUAAUUAAUUAAUUAUUUAUUUCCUGAAAAUUCAACUGGGAUGGCCCGUGACUGGAAAAUUAUGCUGAUGACCGUGGUGAAGUCCGUUUAUUUAAUUGGGCCUUAUUUUGAGCUAAACGGAAUUUUAAUGUUUAAUAAUUAAUUUUCGAAAUUAAUUAAUAAUUAAUUAUUUUUCGGAAAUUAAGUUUGAGAUGGCCGACGACCGAAAUCUCGUGCUAAUCGUCGUGGCGCAGUCCGUUUAUUUAAUUAAGCUUUAAAUUGUGCUGAAUUGAUUUAAUUGUGGAUAAUUACUUUAGAAAUGGGAUGAAUCAUCAUGAACGGCACGGGGCUUGAUGAUUAGAUAUAUCACCUCAGAGAAUGCACAUGGCUCAGUGACGAAGUAUGUCGCCUUGGAGAAUGCAUGUGGCUCGGUGAUUAAGUUUGGCAUCUAAAAGGACACGUGGGCUCGGUAAAUUGAUGCAUUACCUCGGAGAAUGCACGUGGUCCGAAUGAGUACAUUUGGCAUCUAAAAGGACACGUGGGCUCGGUAAUUUGAUGCAUUACCUCGGAGAAUGCACGUGGUCCCAAUGAGUACAUUUGGCAUCUUGAAGAGACACGUGGGCUCGGUGACUUGAUGCAUCGCCUCGGAGAAUGCACGUGGGCUCGCUGAUUCAAAUUGGCAUUAAAGGGCACGUGGGCUCGGUAAAGUAAUGCAUUACCUCGGAGAAUGCACGUGGCUCGGUUAUUGGUUUUGUUAAUUGAGUCUGAAUAGCAAUAGCUUGAAUGACCAGGAAAUGGUCAGGCUCACAUGUAAUCGACUAGGUCGAUUGAUCAUUGAUUUGAUUUGACGUCGAGAAUUGAUUGACUGAUUAGAAAUGACCGUGAGUGGUCUUGUUGGCAUUUAAUCGACUAGGUCGAUUUGAUCGAUGCUUCGAUCAGUGAUAUGAUUGCUUGGGUGCCUAUUAUGAAUUGUACUGACUUGCAGGUGGGAUAUGAGGCCAAGGUACGUCUUCUGCCCUAUGCGUGUAGAGGCAGCCUAUAGUAUAAUAGUUUACUAAUUGGGCUUAGUGGGGUAGAAUUCGCUGAGACGUAGUCUCAUCCCAGUUUGGGGAAAAACAUUUCAGGACCCCGAUGAGGAGCUGAGGAGGAGUCUAAGAAGGAGAACUCGGAGGUGAAACUUAAAGAGAAAGAUUUUUGGAAGAAGAAGAUAAUCCCGAGAGGGGCCUUAAGUAUGGCCUGGAUGGGCUGAAAGUCUAUCUUCUUUUGAGAAUUUCUUUUGAAGUGAAUAGUUAUGAAUUUGUUUGUGUUUUGUAUAAAAGUUUGGUUAUAUUUCAAUAUGAAAAAUAUGGCCCUGCUUUUCUAUCCCAUCGUUUUAUUGUCUGGGGAUUUUAAUUGCUUCCGCAUGUGCUUAAAUAACGAAAGGGUCGGCGAUAAUUUGUCCUGGGAUAUCGCAUUAAAAAAUCGACCAAGUGAGAAGGAUGUGUGCGUGCCCGAGGAUCGGGGCGUGACAGAAGAGGCAUUCGCAAAUAUCCCAAGCAAUCCACGUGUUAGAGGGUUGAGUCAGCCAGAUGGGAAUGAAGAUGAUAGGUUGUAUAGUCAAUUUAAACCAAGAAUGGGUGUUGCGGCAAAAAUCCGAAGCAAAAAGACAGAUUUGUUUCGUUCAGAGGAACAUAAGCAACUGUAUUCUAAGUUGCUGAAAUGUGUGGUGAUAAACCCUAGAAGUGUGGAUUUUGAUUUUCUUGACUCUGUAAAUGUCAAUCUAUGGGAAAAAUUCAGUCUUCUUCAACUCGAAUAGUUUUGUUCUGAAAGUACAGAAGCCUUUGCUGAACUUACUGCUUAUUUCUAUUCGAACCUUAGUUUCCUGGAUGCGAAUAGAUUCUCUUUCAGUGUUCGAGAUCAGGACUAUGUGGUUGACAUGAAUACAUUGGCUGAUGUGAUUGGGGUUGAAAGAGGGAGAUAUCAACCCAUUAGUGUGUCCAUUGCUCAUGCAACGUUGGAGUUUGUUAAGGAUAGAAGGACAGAGUGAAAGAUUUUCUAUUUGAGGAUGAAUGCAUCCAACAUUCUGCUUCACAAGAUUGUGAUUAAUUGCCUCAGACCAAAAUCUACUUCAAAGACCAAUGCUUUAAACUCAGAGGCAAAGCUGAUGUAUGCCAUCAAUGCAGGGAAAAAGUUCUCUCUUCCACAUACUAUUAUGUUUCACAUGUACAGGGCAGUGGUGAAGGACAAGGGUCGAUUUCCUUAUCCAGCUCUUGUGACUAAGUUAUUCAGACAUUUGAACGUUCAGCCUCCCCGAAUUCUUUGUAUUCGAACGUGCGAUCAAAUGGUGGUGGGAUUGAAAAUGGUCUCUAAAAUGCGUUUGAAGGAACUCAACAAGGCGUUGGAGAAAUUCAAGGAGAAAACCCCUGUUACGUCUCAUCAAGUCUCUUCGGCUGCAAAGAGAAAAGGAAAGGAGCCCAUGGUAGCUCCAUCCAAGAAAAGAAGAGCUCUCAUCAUUGAGGAUGAAGAGGAUAAUGAUGAUAUCACCGUCUGAUCGUGCAGAAGCUAGUACUCAGACUGAUAAUUCAGCAGACUUUCGCAGAAUUCUUGAUGUUCUCUUAGAGAUGCGGAGUCAAAUAUAUGCUCUGGGAUGCGAAGUACAAAACUUGCAGACUGCAGGACAAGCUUCUUCAGUUUCUUUGAAUAACCAAAUUCAAGCCCUUGCUCUUCAAGUUCAAGCAAAUGCUAAGGGUGAAGAUGUGGUGUAACUGGAGGAAUUGAAAAAGCUGGAAGGGAUUGUCCAGUCAAUGGGAGAUUUCUAGCUUGUUCAUGUUCCCAAGCAACCUUAAUACCAUUAUCUUUUCAUCUCUACCUUUUUAAUGAUGACAAAAAUGGGGAGAGAUGUGGUGCAGAUUUGAACUUUUUAACAGAUGUGAUUUGAACUUUUUGUGUUGAUUAUGACUUGACUCUUGUGUUUGGUUGUUUUGGAUUUGGACUGGAUUUGGGUUUGACUAUUUAAAUGUUUGUUUAUAUCAAGUACUAUUGACAUCUUGAUAUCUCAUGGCUUCGCUUACUAAUCUAUCUUCUAUGGAUGCAGAUUCUAGUGUUAUUAAGCCAUUUAUCUAUAUGAGAUAUCCAUAUUUGUUUGAGUAAUAUUUUGUAGGUCAAAGUUAUCCAAAUCUGUAGGAAAGUUUUGUCACCAUCAAAAAUGGGGAGAUUGUUGGAGAAAACUUUCUUGAAUGUUUUGAAGCUGACAAAACGUUUCCAUCAGUCUAGUCUGAAGACUUACAGACUCUCUCAUCAAAGUUUGAAGACCUCCGGACUGCCAGACUCAAGACUCAAAGUCUAUCCGCAUUAACAGCUUCUAGACCGUCGAAGAGGGCUUAUCCAGAACCGAAUGUUUCGUUAAGGAUUUGACUUUAUCGAUUGGAAAAGAUCUCUAGGUUGGAUAUAGCAUGUCAAAAUCUAUUAUUCAAAUUAAGAUUGAAUCAGGGAUUAUGGAUCCGUUGAUUGGCAAAGUAUACUUGGAAUGUUCUACUUAUGGAAACCAAGAUCCUGAUUGUAUGGGCGAGCAGGAUUGAUGGACUAUCGUUAUGUUCCUUAAAUAGCUUGAAGAUCUUCCUAAUUGAUUCUGUCCAAUGGGUAGAUUGGAAGAAUUCCUUUGGUAAGUGCCAACGGGUAUGAUGGCAUAAAGGAGAAUUUAAGGAAGACGUUCCAGUUGUUUGAGUGUGUGCGCGAUAGAAGAAUUCCAAAGUCUAAAGCUCCUUGUUCUUAGUCAAUUCAUGUGUUGAGCGAAAUCUUGUACGCAAAAGAGAGUCUAUAUUUUUUAGAGACCUUAAGGAAGUGUAGUAGAAUCUCUACACUGUGGAAUCAAGGGAGAGCUUCACUGUAACAACUCUUUUGUUUAUAGUGAAAUCCAGUCGGUGGGCUGUUAGUGCGGAAGAGUGGACGUAGGCUUGGAUAAAGCCGAACCACUAUAAACUCUGUGUUCAAAUUCUCUUCCCUACACUCUUUUACAUUGAUCGUAACUUGUUUAUUUGAAAAGAGAAGAAUUUUCUUUUCAUAAUCCAUUGUUGAUUUGUGCUGCACUUAUCUCGCAAAAUUGUUUCUGCACCUAUUCACUCCCCUCUAGGUGCUCAUACUAGCUUUCACAGAUCGGACCAUUUGGUCCUAGGACUGGGAACUGGACCGGACCAUCGGUUCCAGUCCAGUCCAACAGAAUUGGCACUUUAUUUUUUCACUAAAGAACGAUCAUUCACUAAAAAACGAUCAUGCUCCGAAGCGAUCAAUCCAAUUCGGUUCCCAAGCAAUCUAAUAAAACUACUCACACAUGUUUCGACAUGCAAAAUAUUCAAACUUCACUUGCAUGAAUAUCAAUCACAAUUUAUGUGUUUUACGCUUAUUUUAAGCAUAAAAACCAUGAACAAUGUGAUUAAAGGUUGUGCUUGGCUUAGAUUUUAUAGACAAUUUCUCUUCUAUGCUUUGAAUGCUUAGUUGAUAUGGGACUCUUUGAGGCUUGAAGUGCCUUGUUGUUUGCAAGUGAGGGGAGUAAGAGAGAGAGUGUGAGUAUGAGGAAUUCCUAGAGCCUUGUCCCACAAACUAACAAGUAAGUUUUCUUUAUAAAUAAAGAGUAACAACAAGAGCUUUGGUGGUCUCUUGGCCACAUAAGAGGUUGUUACCGUAAUUGCAAUUUCGAUUGCAAUAAGUUUCAUAUAUAAUAUUCAUAUAGUAUAUGUGUUUAUAUAUUAUAUGUAUAUAAAUUAUAUAUAAAAAAAAUUUAAACUGGUUUGGUCGGUCCAAUCGAUUUGGUUCCCACCUUGGAAUCGGGAGCCGGACCAACCGGCCGCCGAUUCCAAGAUUAGGAACCGGGAACCGGACCGCCAACCGUGGGAACCGCCCAAAACCGGCCGGUCCGGUCCCGGUUCGGGCGGUUUCCAUUGCACACUCCAAGGUUUCAGUGAUCGGCAAACGCAACCUAACAAGCAUAAUUAAGGGUCAAUAUCAUGAAAUGUGACAUAUUGACCUGGGUUGUACUGAAGAAUCAAGCGUGAUCAAACAUAGAGAAACAGAGCAUGAAAUAGGACUAGAGUUCGAGAGCACUUUCCCCAAAGGAGAUUAAAUCAUGCAGAAGAAGCGGAAAACCAUGACGAAGAAGACGACGGACUGACCAUCCAGAAAGUUUCAUCCCCAACCUGGCUUUUUCUCUCCUUCGCGAUCUUACCGGGAAAAAAGAUUGCCUUAUUCCUAUGGUCUCUACGUGUGCUCUUCGACCCGCUCAUCCGCUCCCUCAUAUCUUGGAACCUCCCCUUCUCUACCCCCAAAACGCGUGAGUUUUCCCAAAAGUUUCCGGACCGGAAUCACUAGCUUACAGCCUGGCCACAGCUAGCACGCAUGCAUCUUCGUGUCACCAUCGCCCUUGGGCAUCCGCUUGAGUCAGACAGAAAAAGAGCAUGACCAUCUCUCCAUUCUUUUUUAAUUUUGUUUAUUCUUUAUUCUGAUUUAAAUCAUAUUUGGAUUGAAAUGACAUUGUUCUAGUCUUAUCAUUCAUGUUUUAGUCAUGUUAGAGGCACGUAAAAAAUUUUAGUGCAUCAAUUUAAUAAAUUUCAUGACUUAAUUAUACUUUUUAUAAGUUUUAAGAUUUUCAGUGCACUUAUUUAUUUAUUUUUUUUGCUUGAUGGGUUUGAAGCGUGACUUUUUACAAAAGACUUAUCUAUCCCCUAACUCAUUGUAGUGGUUUUAAUGUCACUCUGCGUCCUUACAAUGCAUGAUUGCUUCGUCCAUCGACCUAGGUUUAUCAUGAAAAGUUGACACGUCAAAUGCUUGAUACACUCCUUUGAAUGGGUUCGGAACUCCGCCGAAGUUUCUCCUNNNNNNNNNNNNNNNNNNNNNNNNNNNNNNNNNNNNNNNNNNNNNNNNNNNNNNNNNNNNNNNNNNNNNNNNNNNNNNNNNNNNNNNNNNNNNNNNNNNNGGAGGGAGUAUCAAUAGAAGGUUAAAUAAAAAUUGCAAUGCUUGAUUUAUCGUUAAUGUUCUUACAUGAGAUUUGAUUAGGCCAUCUAAUGGCACUUGAUCGAGCCAUUUUAUCAAGAGUACUAAUAUAUUUACUAAAAGUAUUAUUAAAGAGUUUUUUUGUGCUUAGAGAGAGAGAGAGAGAGAGAGAGAGAGAGAGAGAGAGAGAGAGAGAGAGAGAGAGAGAGAGAGCCCUAUUUGUUUUUAAAUUAAGGCUAAUUGAAGAAAUAAAGAAAGAGUGUUAUGGAUUUUCACAUGAACUUGCCACAUUAUGGUAAAUUUGUCUUGAAUAUACAAAUUUGGCAUUUUGAUGACUCAAAAAUUAAUUUGAGGUAAAUUUGUUAUUGGUAUACCACUUUGGAGUUUUUCAUUGUAUUUUCCUUUAAAUUAAUGUCUCAAGUUUGAGCAAUGUAUGAGACCCAACCUAAUUGGAGAAUAUAUAUUGACCCUAAUUGCAAUAAUAAUUAGGCUUAGAUUUUCUUGGGUGGUUAUUAUGUGAUAUAUAAUAUUUCUUCAAUCGGCAAUGGUCAACUCAUGCAUGUCCAAGAAGACCAACAAUUGAAUUCUAUAGAGUUUUACAUUCAAUGGAGUUGUUUAUUUAUUAACACUAUGGGCUUGAGUCUAAUUUAGGCUUAGGAAAUACUCUAGCAAGUUCGCUACCAUAAUGCCCGUUCUCCAAUUAUUAUUAAAUUAUUUGUUGCCAACUCUCAUCAUAGAGCAAAUACUGUCAUGCCCCGAACCUCCGAACAUGCCCAUCCCUCUCUGGUCAUUAAAAUUUUGCAACUUCCUAGGACGAGUCGCCGACUCUUUCUUUUUAUUGCACAUGCGGAAGCAAGAAUAAAUCCCCUAACAAUAAUUUUCUCGGGAUAGAAAAGCAGGAUAACAGAUUCACAAUCAAACAUGCUUUUAUUAUCACAUAGAGUCAUGUAUAAAAUCUAUGACCAAAAGACUACAAAAACUGGCUUUCCCAAAUUGAAGCGAUCCUAACUGACUUACACUUCCGAUCACCUCCUCUUAGCUUCGGGUACUCCACUCAAUGAUCCUGAAAAUUUAACCCAUGAUGGAGUGAGAUAUAAAUUUCAGUGAGUUCACGCUCUAAACCCCGAUUAGAAUGGAAAUAUGCUAAUAAGCGUCCUAACAACACAAUCAUACAAUCAAUGAAACUUAUCUCGUAUUAGAUUCUUCCUGCAUGUUAGCACGAAUCAUAUAUCACAUAAGUGCAGUAACAACACUUGGGCAUUUGGAAUUUCUCAUUCAAUCUUAGUCAAUCAAACAAUCAAUCAAUUCACAAAAGUCUCGAUUAUAAGGUCAAAUCGUUAUGACACGUCCCAUUUCGUGUCACACAAUUUCAUCCCAUAAUCAAGUGCAGUCAAUCAUAUCAGUGGUUUCAUCUAUACUUGAUAAUUACUCUCAACGUUCCAAUUCAACAUUCCCACUUAAAAUCAAACUCAAGACUCUAGAGGUGACCUAACAUGAAGUCUUGUCAUCGUGCGGUACUUAGUCAUUUACCACAAAUAACAAUAGUAUAAGGCACUAGAGGUAACUCACACGAAGUCUUGCUAUCGUAUAGCACUUAACCCUUCACUGUGCAUGACAAUACUGCAAAGCCCUAGAGGUAAUUCUCAUGUGACUUAGGUUGUCAUGUAACACUUAGCCAUUGACUACAAUAAGCAAUGGUAUAAGGUACUAGAAGUGACUCACACGAAGUCUCAUACUCAUGCAGUAUUUAGUCCUUUAUCUGCUUAUGACCUAUCGAGUUUCUUCAACCCGACACAUAUCACCUCAAUUCCCCAUAAUCAACAUGCCCUAACUAUGAACCAUCACACAAUUAUUCACUCCCAGCCAAGGACAUUGUGCUUCGCACUUAAAUUCUUUAAUUAAAGUAAUGUCUUGGCCUAAUUUAUUCGUGUUAAAAGUACCCGAUAGAAAUAAUCGUAUGUGGGUACACGGUCGGCCUACGCCAAAAAUAUCGUAUUUUUACUUUAGAAAAUCCCACUAUUUACACAGAGUUUGAAAACAUUUUUGUCAUUGUAAACCGAUGCCCCGGUAAUUUAUAAUUAAUAAAAGAAAUUAUAAAAUUUUGGGAUAAAUUCCCAAAAUCACAACUUAAAUUCAAAUUGUAAAAUUGGGCACUUAAUUGCAGAAAUUAACCACAUCAUUACAAUCAGCACGAAAUUUCGAUCACCGGCUAUCCUGGCCUAAUUUCCGGAAAAAUAAUUAAUAAUUAAUUAAUUUCUAAAAUUGAUUAAAUAAUUCAAUUUAAUUUCUAAAAAUACUAACUUAAGCCAAAAUUGUUAAAUUAAAUACCUAUACGGGCUCAGAAAAUUCCCGAACCCUUCUAGAUAAAUAAUACAAUUAAUCUAGGCCUUAGCUAAACCAUGCUAACCACCUAACAUGCUUAAUUAAAUAAUUAAAUUUUUAAUUUAAUCUAACUAACCACCUGAUUCCUAAUUAAAUAAAUCUAAACACCUCUUAAACGUCAUUAGCCUAUUAAGAAGAGUUUAGAGUAUAAACUCACUGGUUAAUUGCGGAAACCGGUUCACGGCAACGACCGCGCGACGGCGGCUGAAAUCCAAAUUUUCAGCGGCGUCGGUGGACACUCGGGCCGGGCCCAAAAGCCUUGCAAGCCCACAGCAAAUGCUGGGUUCGGCUUCGGGCUUGGGCUGCUUCGCAGGCCUCAAGACUGGGCUGAUCUUUUUUAGGCUUCAAAUUGCUGGGCUGGGCUUGAUCUGGUUUCAAGAUGGGCUGCUGAACCGGGCCCAAAUCGCUGGGGAUUGGGCUGCUGUAGGCUAAAGAAAAGACCGAACUGGGUUGGAAUUCUGCCGGGCUGAAGAAAGAAACACGUGGGCUGCAGGCCUUCGAUGGAAAUGGAGGAGGAUCGGUGGGCUGGGCUGCUUCUGCGGUCGACUUCACGCGGCCAGCUGGAGACAGAAGCAGCGAAGAUGGUUGAACUUUGGUGGAGAUGGACUUGCGGGCAGUAGAUUCGGUUGACUGGAUUCGUGUGAGCAAAAAGGGAAAGGCCGAAGGAAGUGGAACGCUUAAGCGCGCGAAGCAGCUGCUGGGUCAACUACUGGCUUCUGUGGGUGGAAGUGUUGACCAAAUGGAGACAAACUAUGGUGGCUUGCAGGCGGCGAUGGACUGAAUGAAGACACGGUGCAGGGAGCAGCUUCGAAGAUGCAAAAUAAAAGGGAAAUGAAACAAAACAGAAAGGGAAAACGUGGAGAGGGGGCGCGGCUUCGGUGAAAUUUUGGGGUGGUCAAAGAUGGGAUGAUUUGUUGACCAAGUGGGGUGGACGUGCAAAGGAGCUGGCGGGUGGCAGUGAGGAAAAGAGAAAAAUGAAAAUGACGAAGUUGCAGGGGAAGAAGACCAAAGCUUGGGACUUCGGUGAAGGAAGACAAUUGCACGAAGAAGAUGGGGAAAGAGAGACGUGCUGAGGAAGAUUAAGGGAAAAGAAAAAUCAAAGUCAACCAAGCAUAGCCAAAAAAUUAAUUGCUUGGUCCUCCAAAUAGUGCUCAAUCUUAUCCCACUUGUCUAAUAAUACUUUCUUGUAUUAUACUCAAAAUUAAACCCAUUUUGAUGCCCAAAAAUGCUGCCCUUUACCAAUUCCGAAUUUCACAUUUUGGUCUUCAAUUUCUUCAACAAAUUCCCAAAUUUGAUGUCCCAUUUUGAUGUAGAAAAGGCCCACAUAAUUUCUACAAUUCUCCUUCGCCAAAUAGCUCGGUUUGCAAGUCAAAAAUCUCUUCAAUUCGACCAAUAUGAAUUUCCUUUUCGUUUUCCAAAACAUUCGAAUCGAAUUUCCAUAAAAAUCCUGGAAUCACCGAAAAUUCUUCGAAUGAUGAGUCGAUGUUCCUAAAAUGAAUCGUGACAUGAAAGAACUUUCAAUUUCUGAAAUCGGGUUUAAAUUUGCGGUUAAUUUCAAUUCGAUGCGAUUUUAGCAUAACUUAGUCUACUGGGUAGCUUUCAGGAAUUUUUGAUACAAUUGACCCGUGAUCGAUUUAUCUCGAGUCACAAUAUACAUUUCCGACACAUUGGUGACUUUCAGUUGUCGUAAAAAUUUCAAGAUUUCAAAUAAGGACACUGGUUACAGAAAUGACAGAUAAAUCAAUUUAGUGCCAAUCGAUAAGUAUUUUGCAAUCAGGUAGAAUCACCCACACUCUGAUCACAUAUCUCAGUCGAAUCGACCUAUCUCCGGUCUCUGAUCAAUUUCUGAUAGUGCCGUAAUGACCCUUGCAGACCAACACGGUCGAGCAGUCGAUUCCUAGUCGAAUUCUCAAGUCCAUUGCAUUUAGAUUCCUUAAUUGCUUUCCCAGAUAGUCCAAUUAUUUCGUGAGUGAUCAACUCAGAGAAUAACAUUAUUGGCGCGUCGAUGAAAUGCCCAAUUUAUUUAAUCGAAAACAAAUUCUAAAAAUUCAGGCUGUCAUAAAUACUGACACUCAGAUCGAACCAUAUAAAAAUCUCCAAUGUCCUCUAUUGUUUCUCGUUUAUUAUUUUUGAUUUCGAGUCGAUUUAAUUUUAAGAUCCUGUCAAAUUCUGUUAGAGGUGAGCAUGGUUUCAAAGUAAAAUUUGGAAUCAAAGAACUGGUUAGGUGGAAACAUGUUUGGUUCCAAAUUCCAAGGUAUGCAGGGUAGGUUUUAGGUUCCAAAAAUUAGGAAACCUGUUUCAAUGGGUAAAUUCCAAGUUCUAAGUAAGUGGAACUUAGAACUUAGAACCUGGAACCUGUUUUUAUGUUUUUCUUGGUCUAUGAUUUAGCACAAUUGUGUGGUACUCCAUGGCAUUUGAUCUAAGCUUCCUUUUUAUAAUAAAAAUUUUAUUUUAUUCGUGUAUCUAAAUAUAAAUUGUGAUCAAUUGAUUGUAAUAAUAAACGGCAAUCAUUAAAGGUGACAAUAAUUAAUAAUAUAUAUGGAACUUGAAUAAACCUUAGAUUCUAUCCUGAACUUGUAUAGAUUCCAUUUGACAGAUGGAAUCUAUACAAAGCCUAAAACCUUGUACAAAAUCUGAAACUUUUCAUCUCUAAUUUUUGCAUUAAUUUUAUGAACGGUAUCUUCAGCUAAACCUUUCAUUGGUGCAUUGUGUAUGCCAACAUCAUCUCCCAUGAAUAAAUUUAAAAACGAAUGAUCAAUCUACCAAUUAGAAAUAGAUGGAGGGGAAACAAGACGCAACCGUGUCAUUUCUGGACGGGCGGAACGAGAAGUAUAACAAACACAGCAUGGAAUCUCUGAGUGAUGCGCCACAUUCCGUGCGCGACGGCCGCUGGAACCUGAUGGAUCUUUUGGCACGGGUCAAAAGAUCGAGCUUGGCUUGUGAAAGGAAUUGACUCGAAUCAAUUUGAAUGGCUCGAAGCCAGAGCCCGAAACUAUUCCUUUAAAACUUGUCAUUUGCACAUGUCAAACUUCAGAUUUAAUAAUAAUAAUAAUAAUAAUAAUAAUAAUAAUAAUAAUAAUAAUAAUAAUAAUAAUUAAAAAAAUUGAAAAACACAAUAUAUUUUGAAUUACUAGUUUGCUUCUUCAGAUAUGGGCAUGAAGAAACAACGAAUUCCAUGACCCGAGUCACCUUCGUAUUGCCAAGAAUGUGAAGGACAAAAUGACUGCAUCAGCAUGACUCACAUGCAUAGAUUAUGUCAAGGCAAGGAGCAAAUUCAUGACGUGUAUCGAUCCCAUUUCUAAUUAAUGCAAUUCAAGUCAAGCCUUAUUCUCCUGCAGACAUAACAACAUCAAACAUAUAGCUCACGAGCAGAGUUGAUCGAAUGACACGAAGAGUAAGUUUAGAGUACCCAAAUUCUUCUGUCUACAACACUUUCUUUUGUCGUUGUGGAAAACCAUUUCUUUACAAAACUUAAGUAGUCAGAAAACAAACUCGAAACAUAAAAUUUAAGUGUAAUUCUUUACAUCCAUUUUGACUUUGAGGACAUUUGGAACUUUGCUAGGGACUGUGUGACACCCGGACUUAAAUAACAUGAUUUCAACUCAAAAGGUCUUACAAAGGGAUUAACAGAGAGUUAGAUCUCGAAGGUAGAUUUUGAUUGGGUUGAAGUUUCAACAAAAAAAACCAGAAAACGUGUUCUUAUUUUAUUUUAAUUGAACAAAAGCGUGUGAACGAAACAAUUACAUAAUUUUUUUUGGUCGGAAAACAAUUACAAUAAUUCAGAGGAUAAUUCAGAGGACAUCUUUACCAAAUAAAAAUAAUUCAGAGGACACAGUUUUCGAAGAAAAAAUUUCUUAGCUAAAUAUUUCCGGCUUGUCCUCAAAGUUGCGGCACCAGUAAGUCCUGCCGUAAGAGUUUGAAAGAGAGCAAUGGUACUGCAUUCUUCUCAACUUGAACGUUCUCAUUGAUCAAUAAAUUACCAAAAAUUAAAUUCAUUGAGACACAGUCUGCAACUGUUAAAAUAAAUUACCAAAAAUACUCUUAGAGGGAGUCUCGUGAUCAACAAGGAAUGAUCAAAAGAAUUAAAUUCAUUGAGAUGACCAAGAUUUUUCAUUAACUCAUAAUUUCAAAUUUCAUUUAUUUGCAUAUUUGCUAGUAAGAUGAAUUUAUCGUAUGCUAAAGACAAUAGCCAUAUUAAUCGACUAUUGGAGUAAAAAGUAAUUUGUUAAUCUCCUUUUCAACAAAUAUAUCGCUAGUAAACUUAUCUAUAAUGCGCUUCGUGUCAGUAAUGUACAGAUGGACCAAUUCACAAUGCUAAAACUAUAAAGUAACUGUGCUUAUGUUCCUAUAAAAAAAUGCCCCAUUGUCGGGGGAUUUUCCAAGUCAUAACUGAUAUAGGAUAGCAAGUCCAAUAUCAAUGAGCGCAAUCAAUUGCGAAUUUGAAGAGAAAUUGUGAUGAAAAAUUAGUCAAAACGAGUAGAUUCUUCACGCAUCACACCCGAAGCUUCCUAAACAUCACAUCUAUGGUUUCUUAAGCAUCACAACCAGGAAAAGAAUAUUAUUAUACAAACCCAGAGGAAGGAAUUGCCAUUCUCAAUUACUCGUUAACUCUAUAGAGAAGAAAGAAUCACAGCCAUAUAUAUAGACUCCCCGAGAGUUCUUCGAAAUAGGAAACCUCCAAACAAGAAGCACAACUGAAACUUUCUUACAAUGUUUAAGGAAGCCAAAAAAAUAGGCUACCUGGUAUCAAUUUGAUUUAAAUGUGCUUUCUAAACUAAUAUUGAAUAGGAUAAUUAAUUGUGCUUUCUAAACUAAUUUUCAAUAUGCGCACGUACAAAUAUUGAAAAAUAAAAGCGAAGUUCUAUUUUCGUUUCUCGUUGUCACUAACACGAGAGAUUAAGAAAUUGCCCACGAGAAGAGAGUCCUUAAUUUAUCUUCAGCUUCCGUCUAAAUAGAUUGAUUAUUGACGCGGAUCACCCCUUCGCCCCUUUUUUAAGAUUCCAUUUCUUUGGGAGGAGAGUAAUUUUGCAUAGCCAAUCUGUGCAUCUCCCGCGUCCUUACAUUUCAUUUGUUGUUCUCAGAUUUGGCGAGGAAAGUUCAUGGCAAGAAAGGUGGAACUUAAAGUCUAAGGCAUGGGAUUCCUUCUUUUGCAAAAGAAUGGUAAAGUCGAUGUGGGGUAUCCGAGGCCCUUCAUGAUCAAUUGACCGCAGAGGGUCUGCUAGAAACAGCACGGCGGUUUCCGUUGAGCAUGGAUAUAAAAAACCCAUGUGGCUAUCGGGUAUAAAUUUGAUUUAAUUUUUUAGGGGGCAAAAAAGCAUUUAUUUUAGGAAUAUUAUUGGAAGUGGAAUUUAAAUUUAAGGACACAACUCGCGAAUUCUCGAUGUGGCGGGGCAUUUUUUUGCAAUCAAUGACUAGUGCACAUGCAAUGCAAAGCUUUUACAUUGGAAACUACAUAAACGAGUCAUCUAGGUUUCAUGUAACAUUGCAUAGCCUAAAUGGUUCCAUCUCUCUCAUCAAAAUAAUGGAGCCGUCGCCUAAGCAUAUCCCCACUUCCUAUUAACACCUUUUGAAUAGGAUAAUUAAAUGUGCUUUCUAAACUAAUUUUCAAUAUGUGCACGUUCAAAUAUUGAAAGAUACAAGUGAAGUUCUAUUUUCGUUUCUCGUUGUCACUAACACGAGAGAUUAAGAAAUUGUCCAAGAGAAGAGAGCCCUUAAUUUAUCUUCAGCUUCCGUGUAAAUCGAUUGAUUUUUGACGCGUAUCACUCCUUCGCCCCUUUUUUAAGAUUCCAUUUCUUUGGGAGGAGAGUAAUUUUGCAUAGCCAAUCUGUACAUCUCACGCGUCCUCGCAUUUCAUUUUGUUGUUCACAGAUUUGGCAAGGAAAGUUCAUGGCAAGUACGGUGGAACUUAACGUCUAAGGCAUGGGAUUCCUUCUUUUGCAAAAGAAUAGCAAAGUCGAUGUGGGGUAGCCGAGGCCUUUGAUGAUUAGUUGACCGCAGAGCGUCUGCAAGAAACAACAGGACGGCGGUUUCCGUUGAGCAUGGAUAUAAAAAACCCAUGUGGCUAUCGGGUAUAAAUUUGAUUUAAUCUUUUGGGGGGGCAAAAAAACAUUUAUUGUAGGAAUAUUAUUGUAAGUGGAAUUUGAAUUUAAAGACAGAACUCGCGAAUUCUCGAUGUGGCUGGGCAUUUUUUUGCAAUCAAUAACUAGUGCACAUGCAAUGCAAAGCUUUUACAUUGGAAAAUACAUAGACGAGUCAUCUAGGUUUCAUGUAAAAUUGCAUAGCCUAAAUGGUUCCAUCUCUCUCAUAAAAAUAAUGGAGCCGUCACCUAAGCAUAUCCCCACUUGCUAUUAACACCUUUUGAAUAGGAUAAUUAAAUGUGCUUUCCAAACUAAUUUUCAAUAUGUGCACGUUCAAAUAUUGAAAGAUACAAGCGAAGUUCUAUUUUCGUUUCUCGUUGUCACUAACACGAGAGAUUAAGAAAUUGCCCACGAGAAGAGAGUCCUUAAUUUAUCUUCAGCUUCCGUCUAAAUAGAUUGAUUAUUGAUGCGGAUCACCCCUUCGCCCCUUUUUUAAGAUUCCAUUUCUUUGGGAGGAGAGUAAUUUUGCAUAGCCAAUCUGUACAUCUCACGCGUCCUCGCAUUUCAUUUUGUUGUUCACAGAUUUGGCAAGGAAAGUUCAUGGCAAGUACGGUGGAACUUAACGUCUAAGGCAUGGGAUUCCUUCUUUUGCAAAAGAAUAGCAAAGUCGAUGUGGGGUAGCCGAGGCCUUUGAUGAUUAGUUGACCGCAGAGCGUCUGCAAGAAACAACAGGACGGCGGUUUCCGUUGAGCAUGGAUAUAAAAAACCCAUGUGGCUAUCGGGUAUAAAUUUGAUUUAAUCUUUUGGGGGGGCAAAAAAACAUUUAUUGUAGGAAUAUUAUUGUAAGUGGAAUUUGAAUUUAAAGACAGAACUCGCGAAUUCUCGAUGUGGCUGGGCAUUUUUUUGCAAUCAAUAACUAGUGCACAUGCAAUGCAAAGCUUUUACAUUGGAAAAUACAUAGACGAGUCAUCUAGGUUUCAUGUAAAAUUGCAUAGCCUAAAUGGUUCCAUCUCUCUCAUAAAAAUAAUGGAGCCGUCACCUAAGCAUAUCCCCACUUCCUAUUAACACCUUUUGAAUAGGAUAAUUAAAUGUGCUUUCUAAACUAAUUUUCAAUAUGUGCACGUUCAAAUAUUGAAAGAUACAAGCGAAGUUCUAUUUUCGUUUCUCGUUGUCACUAACCACGAGAGAUUAAGAAAUUGUCCAAAAGAGGAGNNNNNNNNNNNNNNNNNNNNNNNNNNNNNNNNNNNNNNNNNNNNNNNNNNNNNNNNNNNNNNNNNNNNNNNNNNNNNNNNNNNNNNNNNNNNNNNNNNNNNNNNNNNNNNNNNNNNNNNNNNNNNNNNNNNNNNNNNNNNNNNNNNNNNNNNNNNNNNNNNNNNNNNNNNNNNNNNNNNNNNNNNNNNNNNNNNNNNNNNNNNNNNNNNNNNNNNNNNNNNNNNNNNNNNNNNNNNNNNNNNNNNNNNNNNNNNNNNNNNNNNNNNNNNNNNNNNNNNNNNNNNNNNNNNNNNNNNNNNNNNNNNNNNNNNNNNNNNNNNNNNNNNNNNNNNNNNNNNNNNNNNNNNNNNNNNNNNNNNNNNNNNNNNNNNNNNNUUAAUCUUUUGGGGGGGCAAAAAACAUUGAUUGUAGGAAUAUUAUUGUAAGUGGAAUUUGAAUCUAAAGACAGAACUCGCGAAUUCUCCAUGUGGCGGGGCAUUUUUUUGUAAUCAAUGACUAUUGCACAAGCAAUGCAAAGCUUUUACAUUGGAAACUACAUAAACGAGUCAUCUAGGUUUCAUGUAAAAUUGCAUAGCCUAAAUGGUUCCAUCUCUCUCAUCAAAAUAAUGGAGCCGUCGCCUAAGCAUAUCCCCACUUCCUAUUAACACCUUUUGAAUAGGAUAAUUGAGUGUGCUUUCUAAACUAAUUUUCAAUAUGCACACGUUCAAAUAUUGAAAAAUACAAGCGAAGUUCUAUUUUCGUUUCUCGUUGUCACUAACACGAGAGAUUAAUAAAUUGUCCAAGUGAAGAGAGCCCUUAAUUUAUCUUCAGCUUUCGUCUAAAUCGAUUGAUUUUUGAUGCAGAUCACCCCUUCGCCCCUUUAUUGAGAUUCCAUUUCUUUGGGAGGAGAGUAAUUUUGCAUAGCCCGUCUGUGAAUCUCACGCGUCCUUACAUUUCAUUUUGUUGUUCUCAGAUUUGGCGAGGAAAGUUCGGUGGAACUUAAAGUCUAAGGCAUGGGAUUCCUUCUUUUGCAAAAGAAUGGUAAAGUCGAUGUGGGGUAUCCGAGGCCCUUCAUGAUCAAUUGACCGCAGAGCGUCUGCAAAAAACAGCACGGCGGUUUCCGUUGAGCAUGGAUAUAAAAAACCCAUGUGGCUAUCGGGUAUAAAUUUGAUUUAAUUUUUUGGGGGGCAAAAAGGCAUUUAUUGUAGGAAUAUUAUUGGAAGUGGAAUUUGAAUUUAAGGACAAAAGUCGCGAAUUCUCGAUGUGGCGGGGCAUUUUUUUGCAAUCAAUGACUAGUGCACAUGCAAUGCAAAGCUUUUACAUUGGAAACUACAUCAACAAGUCAUCUAGGUUUCAUGUAAAAUUGCAUAGCCUAAAUGGUUCCAUCUCACUCAUCAAAAUAAUGUAGCCGUCGCCUAAGCAUAUCCCCACUUCCUAUUAACACCUUUUGAAUAGGAUAAUUAAAUGUGCUUUCUAAACUAAUUUUCAAUAUGUGCACGUUCAAAUAUUGAAAGAUACAAGCGAAGUUCUAUUUUCGUUUCUCGUUGUCACUAACACGAGAGAUUAAGAAAUUGUCCAAGAGAAGAGAGCCCUUAAUUUAUCUUCAGCUUCCGUCUAAAUCGAUUGAUUUUUGACGCAGAUCACCCCUUCGCCCCUUUUUUAAGAUUCCAUUUCUUUGGGAGGAGAGUAAUUUUGCAUAGCCAAUCUGUACAUCUCACGCGUCCUUGCAUUUCAUUUUGCUGUUCCCAGAUUUGGCGAGGAAAGUUCAUGGCAAGUACGGUGGAACUUAAAGUCUAAGGCAUGGGAUUCCUUCUUUUGCAAAAGAAUGGUAAAGUCGAUCUGGGGUAUCCGAGGCCCUUCAUGAUCAAUUGACCGAAGAGCGUCUGCAAGAAACAGCACGCCGAUUUCCCUUGAGCAUGGAUAUAAAAAACCCAUGUGGCUAUCGGGUAUAAAUUUGAUUUAAUCUUUUCGUGGGGGGCAAAAAAACAUUGAUUGUAGGAAUAUUAUUGUAAGUGGAAUUUGAAUCUAAAGACAGAACUCGCGAAUUCUCCAUGUGGCGGGGCAUUUUUUUGUAAUCAAUGACUAUUGCACAAGCAAUGCAAAGCUUUUACAUUGGAAACUACAUAAACGAGUCAUCUAGGUUUCAUGUAAAAUUGCAUAGCCUAAAUGGUUCCAUCUCUCUCAUCAAAAUAAUGGAGCCGUCGCCUAAGCAUAUCCCCACUUCCUAUUAACACCUUUUGAAUAGGAUAAUUGAGUGUGCUUUCUAAACUAAUUUUCAAUAUGCACACGUUCAAAUAUUGAAAAAUACAAGCGAAGUUCUAUUUUCGUUUCUCGUUGUCACUAACACGAGAGAUUAAUAAAUUGUCCAAGUGAAGAGAGCCCUUAAUUUAUCUUCAGCUUUCGUCUAAAUCGAUUGAUUUUUGAUGCAGAUCACCCCUUCGCCCCUUUAUUGAGAUUCCAUUUCUUUGGGAGGAGAGUAAUUUUGCAUAGCCCGUCUGUGAAUCUCACGCGUCCUUACAUUUCAUUUUGUUGUUCUCAGAUUUGGCGAGGAAAGUUCGGUGGAACUUAAAGUCUAAGGCAUGGGAUUCCUUCUUUUGCAAAAGAAUGGUAAAGUCGAUCUGGGGUAUCCGAGGCCCUUGAUGAUCAAUUGACCGCAGAGCGUCUGCAAGAAACAGCACGGCGGUUUCCGUUGAGCAUGGAUAUAAAAAACCCAUGUGGCUAUUGGGUAUAAAUUUGAUUUAAUCUUUUGGGGGGACAAAAAAACAUUUAUUGUAGGAAUAUUAUUGUAAGUGGAAUUUGAAUUUAAAGACAGAACUCGCGAAUUCUCGAUGUGGCUGGGCAUUUUUUUGCAAUCAAUGACUAGUGCACAUGCAAUGCAAAGCUUUUACAUUGGAAACUACAUAAACGAUUCAUCUAGGUUUCAUGUAAAAUUGCAUAGCCUAAAUGGUUCCAUCUCUCUCAUCAAAAUAAUGGAGCCGUCGCCUAAGCAUAUCCCCACUUCCUAUUAACACCUUUUGAAUAGGAUAAUUAAAUGUGCUUUCUAAACUAAUUUUCAAUAUGUGCACGUUCAAAUAUUGAAUGAUACAAGCGAAGUUCUAUUUUCGUUUCUUGUUGUCACUAACACGAGAGAUUAAGAAAUUGUCCAAAAGAGGAGAGCCCUUAAUUUAUCUUCAGCUUCCGUCUAAAUCGAUGGAUUUUUGACGCGGAUCACCCCUUCGCCCCUUUUUUAAGAUUCCAUUUCUUUGGGAGGAGAGUAAUUUUGCAUAGCCAAUCUGUACAUCUCACGCGUCCUCGCAUUUCAUUUUGUUGUUCACAGAUUUGGCAAGGAAAGUUCAUGGCAAGUACGGUGGAACUUAACGUCUAAGGCAUGGGAUUCCUUCUUUUGCAAAAGAAUAGCAAAGUCGAUGUGGGGUAGCCGAGGCCUUUGAUGAUUAGUUGACCGCAGAGCGUCUGCAAGAAACAACAGGACGGCGGUUUCCGUUGAGCAUGGAUAUAAAAAAACCCAUGUGGCUAUCGGGUAUAAAUUUGAUUUAAUCUUUUGGGGGGGCAAAAAAACAUUUAUUGUAGGAAUAUUAUUGUAAGUGGAAUUUGAAUUUAAAGACAGAACUCGCGAAUUCUCGAUGUGGCUGGGCAUUUUUUUGCAAUCAAUGACUAGUGCACAUGCAAUGCAAAGCUUUUACAUUGGAAACUACAUAAACGAUUCAUCUUGGUUUCAUGUAAAAUUGCAUAGCCUAAAUGGUUCCAUCUCUCUCAUCAAAAUAAUGGAGAUGUCGCCUAAGCAUAUCCCCACUUCCUAUUAACACCUUUUGAAUAGGAUAAUUGAGUGUGCUUUCUAAACUAAUUUUCAAUAUGCACACGUUCAAAUAUUGAAAAAUACAAGCGAAGUUCUAUUUUCGUUUCUCGUUGUCACUAACCCGAGAGAUUAAGAAAUUGUCCAAAGAGAAGAGAGCCCUUAAUUUAUCUGCAGCUUCCGUGUAAAUCGAUUGAUUUUUGACGCGGAUCACCCCUUUGCCCCUUUUUGAAGAUUCCAUUUCAUUGGGAGGAGUGUAAUUUUGCAUAGCCAAUCUGUGCAUCUCACGCGUCCUUUCUUUUGAUUUUGUUGUUCUCAGAUUUGGCGAGGAAAGUUCGUGGCAAGUACGGUGGAACUUAAAGUCCAAGGCAUGGUAAUAACAUCGCCUCCGGCGGUUCCCUUGAGCACGAAUAUAAGACGCAUUAGAUCGGUGUGUAUUUUCUCAGACAGCAUUCCACAAACUACAAGAUUGCUUUUUUCGUUGCUUUCACAACACAAUCGGAGUUUCUCUCUUUUGUCUUGCCAUUUGCGGAGUGCGGCCCUAUCUGUGCAUCUCUUCCCAUCGCUGAGGAGUCGUGACUCCUUCCGCUCCUAGGCUACCUCGAAUCGCCCGAGCAAUGGCCCCCGUGAGGCGAAGAAGAUAUCCUUCCCACGAUCAACCCAGUUCCUUCGGGAUUGAUCAGUCAGAGCUCACAAGUCUGGUCAAUGAGAAGAACCUCGGCGACCUCCAAGUAAAACACGGCGGCAUAGGGGGAAUCCUCAAAGCCCUAAAUACUGAUGUCUUUGGUGGAAUCAGCGGCGAACCGGAUGACAUCACUCGCAGGCAAAAUGCAUUCGGAGUCAACACCUUCAAGCGGCCCGCCAAGGGCUUGUUCCACUUUUUGCUCGAGGCUUUCAAGGACCUCACACACCUGAUUCUUCUUGCUUGCGCUGGGCUUUCGCCCGGGCUUGCAAUCAAGGAGAGCGGGCUCAGGGAAGGCUGGUACAGUGGCGGGAGCUCAUUCUUCUCAGUUUUCCUCGUGAUUGUGGUGUCCGCCGUGUGCAAAUACCAGCAGAACCGGCGGUUUGAUCAAUUGUACGAGGCUAGCGGUAAUAAUCUCUUCAAAGUGAUAAGAAAGGGCCGGCAGCAGAAAGUGUCCAGAUCCAAGAUCGUCGUCGGAGAUGUCGUUCAUCUGAAGACCGGCAAUCAAGUCCCGGCAGAUGGUCUGUACAUCCGCGGGCGCUUCUUCCAGGUAUGGACGAGAAUCUGUACUGUUUUGAACCUAUUAACUCAUGUUAGUUUCCUCCAGACAUAUAUAGUAUUAGUAUUUGAAAUAGCUAGUACGAGUACCUAGAGGGGGGGUGAAUAGGUAUACAAAAAAUUUCUCGAAGCUUGCACGAUAUUUAAACAAUUAGAGAAUUUGCAACAGUUAAAAAUUCAAUCGCAAGACUGAGUAAGGGAAAGAGAGAAUUGAACACUCGGUUUAUAGUGGUUCGGCUUAAUUCAAGCCUACGUCCACUCUUCUGCACUGACAGCCGAUUGGCUGGAUUCCACUAUGAUCAAAGAGUUGUUACAGUGUUGAUCUUCCUUGAUUUCUAGGUGUAGAUGAUCUACCACACUCACUCAAGGCGUCACCAAGUAUAAACACUCUCUGUAUACAAUUUCGCUCAGUCUCAACUAACAAUCAAGGAUCUUCAGACUCUGGAAUUUUUCUAUCGAUCACACACUUAAGACAACUAGAACGUCUUCCUUUUAUACUCCUUCAUGCCAUCAUAGCCGUUGGCACUUACCAAAGGAAUUCCUCCAAUCUACCCGUUGGACGGAAUCAAUCAAGAAGAUCAUCCGAGCUAUUUAAGGAAUCUGAUGAUAGCCCAUCAAUCUUGUUCGCCCAUACAAUCAGGAUCUCGGUUUCCAAGAAUAGAAUAAUCUAAGAUUAUUUCGUCGACCAUCGGAUCUUCAAUCGAUCUUAGAUAAGAAUUAAAGAAUCCGAAAUGAUUAUCCAACCAAAGAAUCUAUUCCAGAGGAUAGGAUCAAAUCCUCAACCAUAAACCUCGGCUUUGGAUUUCCUUCAACACUGGAUUAGAAAGACUGUCAGUGAGAAUAAUUUUGAGUCUUGAGUCUUGAGUCUUGAGAUUACAAAGUCUUGAGACUAUAAAGUCUUGAGACUUUAACUAUUGAUAUCCAGACUUAGACUGAUAGAAAUGUUUUGUCAGCUUCAAAAUAUUCUGGAAAGAUUUCUCCAACAAUCUCCCUCUUUUUGAUGGUGACAAAACUUUCUUGAAGAUUUGAACAACUUUGACCUGCAAAAACAUUUCUCAAGCAAUAUGGCUAACUCAUAAAGAUUAAUAAACAACCAGACUCUGCAUCCACAGCAAAUUGGUUAGUCUUUCAUGAGUAAUACCAUGUAACAAUACUUGAUAUAAAUGCAACCAGUCAAGCAUCAAAAUCCACAGCCAAUUCAGUCUAACACUCAAGUUCAAGUUCUCAAGUCAUACUAAAAAAUAAACAUAAACACAAAAGUCAAAUAAUGUUUUAAAAUAAUGUUUGUUCAAAUUGGUUCUCCCCCUUUUUGUCAUCAUUAAAAAGAGGGUGAGAAAGGAGUCAUGUCUGCUUGGGAAUGCGCACGAUCUGGAAAUCCCCAAUGGACUGGACUACUCCUUCGAGCUUCUUCAGAUCUUCUCGCAUAUGAGCUACCUCUUCUCUCUUGGCAUUGGCUUGAAGUUGCAGAGCGAGGUCUUUGAAUUUAUCUUCCAGAGAGACUGAAGAUGCUUGUCCAGCAUGCUUCAAAGCUUGGAUUUCACAGUCCAAAAUAUAUAUCUGGUUACGCAUUUCCAGAAGAAUAUUCAUGAUACUACGAAGAUCUGCAGAAUCAUCCGUCUGUGUACUGGCAUUGGCUUUCUCAGAUGGUAUGUAUGCAGACGAUGGCGCUUCUGAACGGUCUGGCAGAUUUGGAAUCGACGUAUCACCUUCUUCAGGCAAUUGAGAGACCUGAACUUCUUCUGGGUCUUCUGGAGAUUGUCUUGGAUCUUCAGCAGCAUGAGGUGGAGACCUCUCUUGCUCGCUAACUCCCCCUGUCUCUAGGACAUCGAAAGGGGAAGAGUGAUGAUCAUGCUCUUGAUUUCCCUUCUCUCCAGAUUUAUCAGCAGACUGUUCUUUUUCUUCUUCUCCUUCUUCCUCAACUUCUUUCUCCUUCUCUCUCUGUUCUUCUUCUUCUCUGCUCUGCUGAAGUUCUGUCGGAUAAGACACAGAACGUCUUGUUCUUGUCAGUGCUGGAAUAGUGGGAUCUUCAUCAUCUUCAUCCUCAUCCUCAUCCUCCAGGAUAAAAGUUCUUUUCCUCUUUUUCGAUGAAGCACCAAUGGCCUUCUUUCCUUUCCUUUUUGAAGCAAACUGGACUAGAGAUUUCACUUUGAAUUUCUCCAUUGCCUUAGAGAGUUCUUGCAGACGCAUCUUCAUUAACAUUUUCAACCCUACCACCAUCUUAUCACACGUUCGAACACAAAAAGUAUGUGGCAGUUCAAUAUUCAGAUGUCUGAAGAUCUUGGUCACCAGACCAGGAUAAGGCAAUUGUCCUUUGUCUUUUGACACUGCUCUGUACAUAUGGAAAAGAAUAGUGUGCGGGAGAGAAAACUUCCGUCCUGAGUUGAUCGCAUACAUCAAUUUUGCUUCAGAAAGAGACACAGAAGUCUUUGAAGUAGACUUAGGUCUGAGACAAUUGAUCACAAUCUUGUGAAGCACAAUGUUGAUGGCAUUCAUCCUGGAAUAGAUAAUUUUCUUAUCUACAUCCCUAUCUUUGACAAGAUCCAGAGUAGUUCGAGCAAGUGAGACUUUGAUUGGGAGAUAGCGUCCCCGUUCAACUCCAACUAUGUCCGCCAACAUAUUCACAUCUACCACAUAGACUUUGUCUCGAACACUGAAUGAAAUUCUAUUCGCAUCCAAAAAGCUAAGAUUUGAAUAGAAAUAAGCGGUCAGAUGAUCAUACCCGUCUGUAGAGUCAGAGCAGAAAGUCUCAAGUUGAAGCAAAUUCAACUUCUCUCUUAGGUUCAAGUUGAUGGAAUCCAGGAAGUCAAAAUCGACACUUCUAGGGUUGAUUACCCCUCUUUUCAACAGACUGAAAUACACUUUUUCCUGAUCCUUGGAUUUAAACAAAUCCAUCCGAUUUCCUUUCACCUUUGCUGCCACACCCAUUUUAGGUUUAAAUUCAAGGAACAUUUUGUCAUCAUCGUUCCCGUCAAUCAGAUUUUGUCCUGGCAUACGAGGAUCUCUUGGAAUGUUCGCAAGUGCUUCCUCUGCUUUUCCUUUCGGGGCAAUUCCCCAUUCCUCCAUUUUCUUCAGAAAAAGAUACUCAUUCCCAUAAUUUUUGUCCUUAAGGAAGUCAUCUAUAUAGUUCAAUGGAGUACCUGUGCUUUUCAAUGCACGAUAAAGUUUAUACAAAAAGGAGGGCUUUUGAACUCUUACUGGGUCGGCAUCCUCGAUUAUCUCUUCUUCCAGAUUAUGACUUGCACUUUGUGGGGCAGGAGAUGCUGAAUGACGUGGAGGAGAGCGAAUCGGACUCUGUCGCUGACUUGGUAAGUCUUCUUCCUCAGUGAGAUCGAAAUGAGUUGGUCCCUUCUUCAUUCUUUGUGGUCCCCUGUUUGCGAUUCUUGAUGAUUUCCUCGAAGACGACAUCUUUCUUUGUCUAUUGGAGGAUUCCUUCACUUGCUUUCCCAAGAAAAAUGACCACUUUCUCGACGAUGAACAAAGAGUAGAAACAGUAUCGAGAGGAGAGUGCCUUUUAGGGUUUUGAAGAUUGGGGAAAGGAAAAAACUGUAUAUAUAUAACUCAGUUUUGAAAAAAGAAGUUCAAUCGGUGCAAGGAAAGUGAACGAUCACUUCUUUUCAAAAUCAAUAACUGCCAAAAUUAUUAAACGAAGGAUCGUACCUUUUCGAGUUAAUAUAACUAAAUGACAAUUAGUACAUUUUAGAUGAAAUACAACUUACAGUCUAUAGCCACGAGUGUCUGAGUCUGAGGAUUUAAAGUUUGAAAGAUUAGAGUCUUAGAGUUGGUGAGUCUCUAGACUUUAACUUCUUCAAGCUUCAAAAUGUUGAGUCUCGAGCGGAUAAAGUCGAACUGAUUCUUCUCCAAAGGCUUUGUGAAUAUGUCCGCUAGUUGACUUUUUGAAUCAACAAAUUGAAUCGAGAUUUCUCCAUUUUGAAUAUGAUCUCUAAUAAAGUGAUGUCGAAUCUCAAUAUGCUUUGCUCUUGAAUGAAGGAUUGGAUUUUUGGUGAGAUUGAUAGCGCUGGUGUUGUCACAUCUGAUUUCUGUGCAUGAGUCUUCAAUGCCAAAGUCUUGUAGCUGUUGUUUUAUCCAUAGAAUUUGCGAACAGCAGCUCCCAAGAGCUACAUACUCUGCUUCUGUUGUUGAGAGAGCUACAGUGCUUUGCUUCCUUGAAAACCAAGACACCGUUCUGUUUCCAAGUAGUUGACAAGUUCCAGAAGUGCUCUUUCUAUCGACUCUGCAACCGGCCAGAUCUGCAUCUGAGUAUCCUAGAAGAUUAAAGUCUCCCCUCUUUGGAUACCAAAGACCGAUGCUUGAAGAUGAAGCAACGUAUUUAAUAAUUCGUUUCACGGCAAUGAGAUGUGAUUCUCUAGGAUCUAAUUGAAACCUAGCACAGAUACAAACACUAAACAAAAUAUCAGGUCUAGAAGCAGUAAGAUAAAGAAGUGAACCGAUCAUGCUCCUGUACAGCUUUUGAUCUACUUUCUUCCCUUCUUCAUCCUUGUCUAUCUUCUGAGAACAUGACAUUGGUAUGUCGAUCUUUUUGCACUUUUCCAAUCCAAACCUUUUGACAAGAUCAUUCGCAUAUUUUUCUUGAUGGAUGAAAGUUCCUUCCUUCAUUUGUUUCACUUGGAGUCCAAGAAAGAAUGUUAACUCUCCCAUCAUACUCAUUUCAAAUUCAUCCUGCAUAGACUUAGAAAAUUUCUUGCAAAGACUUUCAUUAGAGGAUCCAAAAAUAAUGUCAUCAACAUAUAUUUGAACAAGUAAAAAGUUUUUGUUUUCCUUUUUGAUAAACAAAGUAGUAUCUACUUUACCUUUGACAAAACCAUUCUGUAAUAAAAACUUACUUAGUCUGUCGUACCAAGCUCGAGGUGCUUGCUUUAGACCAUACAGAGCCUUUUUCAGUCUGAAGACUGAGUCUGGCUUCUUUGGGUCUUCAAAUCCAGGCGAUUGUUCCACAUAAACUUCCUCAUGGAUAAAUCCAUUUAGGAAAGCACUUUUGACGUCCAUUUGGAAUAACCUGAAAUUUUUGUAACAAGCAAACGCAAGUAAUAGACGAAUAGCUUCUAACCUUGCAACGGGUGCGUAAGUCUCGUCAUAGUCUAUUCCUUCUUCUUGCGUAUACCCUUUGGCCACGAGUCUUGCUUUGUUUCGUACGACUUUUCCUUUUUCGUUCAUUUUGUUCCUGAAUACCCAUUUGGUUCCAAUAACAGUUUUACCUUUUGGUUUAGAUGUCAAUUCCCAGACAUCAUUGAUGUUGAACUGUCUGAGCUCUUCUUGCAUAGCUUCGAUCCAGCUUUCAUCAAAUAAAGCUUCUUCUAUGCUUUUUGGUUCAAUUUCAGAGAUGAGAGCCACAGCACUAGAUUCUUCAUGCCUUUUUGAUCUGGUGCGGAUUCCUUCAUUAAGUUCGCCAAUAAUAAGAUCUUUGGGAUGACUGGAUUUGUGCUUCCAGUUACCAGGUUGAUGAUCUUUUUCUUUAUUUGAUUCUCCAUGAGCGUCUUGAUGAUGGACUUCAGAAUCUGAGAUGCUUCUUGAGAUAUAGACAUUUGAAGAUCUAGAGCGGAUUCAGUCUCUUCGUACUGAGUCUGACUGGAUUCAUCUUGCACUGAGUCUUGGAAUUUGACAUUCAUUGAUUCUUCCACAGACUGGCUUUUUUUGUUGUAGACUCUGUAGGCUUUGCUUGAUGUAGAAUAUCCAAGGAAGAUGCCUUCAUCUGAUCUUUCUUCAAACUUACCAACUCGAUCAUUUGCAUUUUUCAAAAUAAAGCAUUUGCAACCGAACACAUGAAAGUAUGAAACAAUAGGCUUCUUACCUUUGAACAAUUCAUAGGGGGUUUUAUCAAGAAUAGGUCUUAGAAAGAUUCUAUUUAUAAUAUAGCAAGCAGUUGAAACAGCUUCAGCCCAAAAUCGUGAAGAAAUUUUACUUUCAAUUAAAAAUGUUCUAGCCAUUUCUUGAAGAGAUCUAUUCUUUCUUUCCACAACUCCAUUUUGCUCUGGAGUAUACGGAGAGGAAAACAUGUGAUUAACACCAGAUUUAUCACAGAAUAUCGUAAAAUCUUGAUUUUCAAAUUCACUUCCAUGAUCUGUUCUUAUACUAGAAAUAGCACAUCCUUUUUCAUUUUGAACCUUUUUAGCAAACUUUUCAAAGUACGAAAAGGUUUCUGAUUUAUUUGCCAGAAAAUAUACCCAGGUAAAACGAGAGUAAUCAUCUACAAUUACUAGACAAUAUUUCUUACCUCCAAUGCUCUGGGUUCUUGUUGGUCCGAAGAGAUCCAUAUGAGGCAACUGCAGUACAUGAUUAGUAGAUACAUGAUUUAUUUGCUUAAAUGAAUUUCUUACCUGCUUUCCCAGAAUGCAUGGAGUGCAUAAGUCAGACUUUUGGUAUGGCAGUUUAGGUAGACCUCGAACAAGCUGCUUUGAAGAGAUUUUGGCUAAUUGCUUCUUGUUGAUAUGGCCAAGUUUUCUGUGCCAUAGAAUUGCUUCAUCUUGAAUUGAGAUUAAGCAUUGUUCUUCAUUUGGCUUUAUAUCAAGGAGGUAGAUGUUUCCAUGCCUUCGACCCAUGAAAGACUGAGUCGAAUCUUUGCUAAUUCCAGAACAUAUGCCUUCUUGAAAGAAGAUCUUGUAACCAGUAUCACACAAUUGGCUAAUGCUGAGUAGAUUGUAGUUGAGUCCUUCCACUAGAGAGACAUUGCUUAUUGUGAGAUUUCCAAUUUUCACAGUUCCGAAUCCCACAAUACUUCCUUUGCUAUUUCCUCCGAAUGAAACUUUUCCACCAUUUACUUUAAUAAGCUUUAUGAAACAUUUUGAGUCUCCUGUCAUGUGUCUUGAGCAUCCGCUGUCAAGAUACCACUUUACCUUCUUUUUGACAGAGACCUACAUUCAAAAAAGAGUCUCAAGCUUUCUUUGGUACCCAAAUUUUCUUGGGUCCUUUGGUGUUAGUAGGAUGAGCAUUAUUAGGCCAUACUCUCUUAACAGGCUUCCAAACCAUAGGACACUCUUUUUCAAAAUGAUCCUGACUGUUACACUUAGAACACCUUAAAGCAUUUCGACCUACAGGCUUUACAAAAACUCUUUUGAAAUGAUUUUUAUAAGCCUCUUUCGAUGGUCUUUUCUUAAUUCUUUCUUUUACUUUCGGAAAAUCAAUCAAAGGGAUUGUUUCAGCUGUCAUACCUAGACCCGACUUAUUGAAGUAAGGUCUUUGGAUUGAAAGGACUUUUUCAAGUUUUUCGGACCCUAUUGAAAAUUUCUUUGAAAUAUUUGAUAAAUCAGUUUUUAAGAAAGCAUUUUCUUUUGAAAGAUUGUCUUCACUCUCUUUAAGAGUAGAAACAUUCAAGUCUAAAUUUUUUACCUUUUCUUCUAAAAUGUUUUCCUUUUGUUUUAAAAUUGAGUUUUCCUUUUUGAGUUCGGAAAUCUUUUUAAGAGAAGUCUUAAGACUAAAACAUAACUCAUCAAUAUAUUUAGAGACUUUGACAGGGAUUUUAUAAUCACUUACCUCAAAUUCACUGUCUGAGUCUGAUCCAGAGUCUGAGUCUGAUUGCGCCAUUAGACACAGGUUGGCAUAUUCCUCAUCAUUCUCUUCACACUCUGUAUCGCUCCAGGUUUCGGCUUUAAGAGCUUUUCGAGAUUUCUCAGCUUUUCCUCUUUUCUUUUUCAGAAGAGGACAGUUGGGUCUGAUGUGUCCCUUCUUUUUACAUUCGAAGCAAACUACAUCUUUGUUUGGUUCCUCAUCAUCAACAGACUUGGUCUGCUGUCUCUGAAAACUUUGUUUCUUUGGGAUGAACCUUCUGCCUUUUCUAUUUAGUUUUCUGAAUCUUCUUAUCAUGAGGGCGAGCUCCUCAUCAUCCAUAUCAUCUUCAGAAUCUGCAUCAUCAGAAUCAUCAUUUGAUUUUAGUGCAAUAGAUUUCUUACCUCUUGGAUCUUCGUCUUCAUUAAUUCGUUCCACUUCGUAAGACUGAAGAGUUCCAAUCAGUUCGUCUACUGAUAAUGGCAUGAUUCUUUGCGUCUCUCUUAUUGAAGUCUUUAUAUGAUUCCAAUCCUUGGAGAGUCCACGUAGAAGCUUGUUCACCUUCAUGGGAUCAGAAAUUUUUUGUCCUUGGUUCUCAAGACCAUUGACAAUAUCUGUAAAACGACUAAACAUGUCAGUUAUAGAUUCUCCUGGUUUCAUUUUGAAGGAUUCAUAUUGACCAAGAAGAAUGUUAAUUCUGGUCUCCUUCACUCGAUCUGUCCCUUCAUAAGUGAUAUGUAACCUGUCCCAGACUUCUUUUGCUGUAACACAAGAAGAUAUUCUGUUAUAUUCAGUUGGUGACAAAGCACAAUAUAAAGAAUAAAUUGCUUUAGCAUCGAGUGCUUGUCUCUUGUUUAUUUCUUCUUGAGACAUUCCGCUGGUUUCAACAGUUUCUUUCCCUCUUUCAGAGAUUGAUGCAACAGCAGGAGUGAUUCCUUUUUCCACAACGUCCCAUUCCAGAGGAUCCUUUGAUCGUAGGAAAGCUUUCAUCUUGUUCUUCCAGAUGUUGUAAUCCUUUCCAUCGAAGUAGGGAGGUCUGUUAUUGCUUUGCCCCUCCAUCAGCCUCGGUGCUAGCAUACUAGCCAUGGAUCUUUUACUCUGAAGUAAAACACUUCAAACAAAGUAAGAACACGAGCUCUGAUACCAAUUGAAAUAGCUAGUACGAGUACCUAGAGGGGGGGUGAAUAGGUAUACAAAAAAUUUCUCGAAGCUUGCACGAUAUUUAAACAAUUAGAGAAUUUGCAACAGUUAAAAAUGCAAUCGCAAGACUAAGUAAGGGAAAGAGAGAAUUGAACACUCGGUUUAUAGUGGUUCGGCUUGAUUCAAGCCUACGUCCACUCUUCUGCACUGACAGCCGAUUGGCUGGAUUCCACUAUGAUCAAAGAGUUGUUACAGUGUUGAUCUUCCUUGAUUUCUAGGUGUAGAUGAUCUACCACACUCACUCAAGGCGUCACUAAGUAUAAACACUCUCUGUAUACAAUUUCGCUCAGUCUCAACUAACAAUCAAGGAUCUUCAGACUCUGGAAUUUUUCUAUCGAUCACACACUUAAGACAACUAGAACGUCUUCCUUUUAUACUCCUUCAUGCCAUCAUAGCCGUUGGCACUUACCAAAGGAAUUCCUCCAAUCUACCCGUUGGACGGAAUCAAUCAAGAAGAUCAUCUGAGCUAUUUAAGGAAUCUGAUGAUAGCCCAUCAAUCCUGUUCGCCCAUACAAUCAGGAUCUCGGUUUCCAAGAAUAGAAUAAUCCAAGAUUAUUUCGUCGACCAUCGGAUCUUCAAUCGAUCUUAGAUAAGAAUUAAAGAAUCCGAAAUGAUUAUCCAACCAAAGAAUCUAUUCCAGAGGAUAGGAUCAAAUCCUCAACCAUAAACCUCGGCUUUGGAUUUCCUUCAACACUGGAUUAGAAAGACUGUCAGUGAGAAUAAUUUUGAGUCUUGAGUCUUGAGUCUUGAGAUUACAAAGUCUUGAGACUAUAAAGUCUUGAGACUUUAACUAUCGAUAUCCAGACUUAGACUGAUAGAAAUGUUUUGUCAGCUUCAAAAUAUUCUGGAAAGAUUUCUCCAACAGUAUUACCAAGUUCAAGCCUGAAAUUGGUAUAAAUGAAAUCUUAAAGAGCUUUUGCUACAAGUUGGUCAAAAUCAUCAGCACUAGCGAUAGUUUAUCAUAAUCAUAAUUCUAUGACAAAAGGAAAAGUACGGGUUUUAAUUCGUAAUUCUAGUCGUAGGAGAACAAACUUUGUUUAAAAAAGUUACUGGAAAAAGUAUACUUAAACAUAAUCCACUUCUUCUCGGGUUACUAUUCAUUCAGAUUUCAUUUUCUUUGUUUCAACUUGAGACUCCGCAUCCUGGCGUCACUAAAUCAUGUGCAACGUUUGUAUUAUCAAUUUAGGUUGACAAAUUGAGCAUGACCGAGAAGCACGGUUGCUUAGAAAAGAACGGUGAGAGUCCAUUCCUGUUCUCUGGAACAAAGGUCGUUGGUGGGGAUGCUUGGAUGCUGGUCACGACGGUUGGUAUGAAUACAAAGGAGGGGAAGAUGAUGAGCGAGAUGAUGAGUUCAAUCAACCACGAUAGCAGUGAGGAGACCCCUUUACAGGCUCGGCUCAACAAGCUCACCUCGUCGAUUAGCAAAGUCAGCUUGGUGAUCAAUUUUCUGGUUAUUGUUGUCCUGCAAAUUCUCUACUUUGCAGGAAAAAAACAGGGCGCGAACAUGAAACAGGAAUUCGUUGCAGGCCAAACGAUGGGUGACAAUAUCAUGAAUUCUGUGGGGGGAAAAAUUGCAGCCACGGUGACAAUCGUAUCGGUCAUGAUUCCUGAAGGAUUGCCAAUCGCGGUAACACUCAUUCUUGCUUAUUCAAGGAAGAGCAUGAUGAAGCAAGGGUUGAUGGUGAGGAAGCUUUGGGACUGCGUGCCAAUGGGGUCGGCCACCACUAUUUGCACCAACAAGUUCGGCACUCUCACAACGAAAACGAUGGAAGUGAUUGAAUUCUGGGUCGGCCAAGGCUUCGUGGCAGAAACCAGGUGCUCCUCUACCUCCAAGUUUGUCCUGGAUUUGAUUCGGGAUGGAGUUGCUUUGAACACCAAGGUCAGCAUCGACACGCGAAAGUCAUCUUCAGGAUCGGAGUACAAGUUCAACGGUAUUCCCCCCGAGAAAGCAAUUUUUUCCUGGGCAGUUUCGUGGUUGAGCUUGGACGUGGUUGAGACAAAGAAGAGACGCGUAAUCAAGGCAGUCGAAUCCAAAAAAAAAAUCAAGGCAGUCAAAGUCUUCAACUCGCAGACGAAAAGCGGUGUCCUAAUGAAGAAGAGCGUGGACGACAUGGUCCACAUCCACUGGAAAGGAGUGGCAAACGUGAUCUUGGCGAUGUGCUCGAGCUUCUACGACCAGUCGGGGAUGGAGAAAGAUUUGGACGAAGAUGAAAGGAAGAAAUUCAAGCAGAUUAUCCAGGGGAUGAGGGCGAGAGGCCUGAGGUGCAUCGCUUUUGCUCAUAAACAAGUCUGUGCGGAAGCGAUCGAAGAAGGAAAAUACCAGAUGAACAAAGAGGACAGCCUGACAUUAUUAGGACUCGUUGGUAUUAAGGAAGUGUGCCGUCCUGGUGUGAAGAGCACCGUCCUAGCUCUUCAGGGUGCCGGAGUGAACAUCAAGAUGAUAACAGGAGACAACAGCAUCACUGCUACGGCCAUCGCUGAAGAGUGCGGGAUUCUCAGGCCCGAGGAACGUGCCUCCGAAGGUGUCAUCGUAGAAGGGGAUGAUUUCCGCGAGGACAUGAGUGCGGAGAGUUUAGACAAAAUCCGGGUCAUGGCGAGAUUCUCGUCUUCCCAUAAGCUCCUCAUGGUUAAAUCCCUGAAGAAGAAAGGCCAUGUGGUCGCCUUCGCAGGGGACGGCAUAAACGAUGCACAGGCCCUCAAGGAAGCCCACAUCGGGGUCUCGAUGGGCAUCCAAGGCAUUGAGGUUGCCAAGGAGAGCUCGGACAUUGUCAUCCACCGCGACAACUUCUUCUCUGUGGCGAAGGUGCUGCUUUGGGGUCGAUACAUCAAUGACAACAUCCAGAAGUUCAUCCAAUUCAAGCUCACAGUGAACGUCGCAGCCCUUUUGAUCAACAUUGUGGCCGCAAUCUCCUCCGGUGACGUUCCUUUGACAGCCAUCCAGCUCUUAUGGGUGAACCUGAUUGUGGACACACUUGCCGCCUUUGCGCUGUCCACAGACGUGCCCACAGACCUGCCCACAGACCUGCCCACAGACCUGCCCACACGCCAGUCCACAGAGCAGACCAAGGAGGUCAUGAAUAGGCCCCCGGUGGGCUGGACCGAGCCGCUCAUAACAAACGUCAUGUGGAGGAAUCUAGUGGGACAAGCAAUUUACCAAGUGGCCAUCCUCCUCACUCUACAAUUCAAGGGCGAAUCGAUCUUCAGCGUGGAUGAGGCGGUGAAGCAGACGAUGAUAUUUAACGCGUUCGUCCUAUGCCAGGUCUUCAAUGAGUUCAACGCGAGGAAGCUCGCGGAGAUGAACAUAUUCGAGGGCAUUCACGAGAACAAGCUGUUCCUAUGGAUCAUUUUCAUGACGGUGGCCCUCCAGGUGGUGAUGGUCGAGUUCCUGAAGCAGUUCGCAGUCACGAAGCGGUUGAGCUGGGGACAAUGGGGUGCAUGUUUCGGGAUCGCAGCCAUGUCUUGGCCUAUUGCUUGGGUUGUCAAGUGCAUUCCGGUCCCGCAUACGCCAAUCUUACAUCUAGUUAAGAAAAUUGUGCAGAGUGAGCAGUUUAUUAGGCUCAGGAACGCCAAUUGUUUUUAACGCAAUUCUUCUUAAUGUACUGGUGUGUAUUGAAUUCCUCUUGACGCAACGUGAUUUUUUUUUUUUUUUUGGGUCCUUUGACCUAGAAAAAUGAAAAAAAUGUGAAAUGAAUCGAUGUAAUUUUUCCUAUUCAAAAAAAGCAUUCAUUUGGAAAAUAAGAAAUGAGACAAGAGACCUUAAUAUAGCCAAGAACAUGAAAAACGAAAUUAUGAGAAAAAUGCAGAAGCACAAAUAGAAUGAAUUGGUACGAAUUUAGUUCUUUGCUGCAUCCCUCGAUGUCAUUGUAACCAUAGUUAAUCUAUUACACAAAUGACAUCACCCUCUACUUCAGCUCAAGCUAUACGAAGACAUUGUCUCUAUUGGAAAAAAGUUAGCAAAAAAAUCGACUAACCGUUUGAUGCACAGUAAAAGCGAUUACUCAGGUAUAUACAUAAAAUUACAAGCACACAAUAAAUAAAUCUAUAACUUCACAAUGAAUACAAUCACAAGAAAAAUAUUCUCGUUUUAUAGCAUUAAUGUCAAUUAUCUUAUCAAAGUAGAAACAGAAGCCUUUUGAGAGUAGAACCAUUCCGACCAAAAAUAAAAAAUAAAAAAGAGCAGAACCAUUCUCUUUUAUGAACCUUCUUUUUAAUCUCAUAUAUAUAGUUAUGCAAAAGUUAUUUUAUAACUUCCCUCGAAAGAUAACCUGUCACACAUUUUUUAAAGGUGCCUCUUAGACACACAUCACUGCCCCUUGGACACACCCACCUAAAUUUUGCCUUUUUACUUAGGACUUAAUCGCUUAGAAAAUUAUGGAUGAAUGUUUAGUCCCUAGUAAAAAUAAUUUGCAUCGCAUGUAAACAUUGGGAACAUUAGCAUCACUAGUACUAAUCGAUGAAUUUUUUUAGAAUUUUUCUAUAAAAUUAGUAUUAAAGUUAUUAUUAUUUUGUUUUAUUUCCAUUUUAAAAAAAGAAAAGAAAAAGAAAAAGAGAGAGAAUCCAAAUAGGGCCGGGCCAGAUCUGGGCCUGCCCGGCCCCCUUUCCUUUCCCUUUUUUCUUUUUCCCCGCAGCCAGCCCACUUAUCUUUUCUUUCCCAUGGGGCCCACCUCUUUUUAAUUUUUCUUUCUUUCCCCACGGGCCGGCCCAUCUCUUUUCUUCCUCAGCCCAGCCCGUUCGCUCCCUCUUCUUUCCCCUCUGCAGCUCGCCUUGGCCGCUGCCUUCGCGGCAAACAGGGAGAAGGGACGUUGGUACAGCGUACAGAGGACAGCUGCGUUUGAAAAGAGAGAGGAGCGUUCUGUUUUUCGGGGGGUUCGCUUUUGGCCGAGAGAGAGGUGAGAGAUCGGAGAGCUCGGGAGAGUUUUGAGCGAGUGAGAGGGAGAGAACCAGAGAGUGAGGGAGCUCGAGAGGGUGGUCGACCGUCGCCAGAGUCCGUUCGUCAGCCGCCGUCCACAGCAGCGCUCCCCCCCGAACCAGGUAGGUCUUGUGCGUAGCUUUUUGAUUUGUGUCGAGUUGCGUUGCUUUCCCGAGGGUCUCGCUUCGAGAACACCGCGGGACGGCCAGCCAUUGCUCGAUCCAUUUGGAGUUCACCCUCCCGUCGCCACUGCCGAAGUCGAGUAGGGAUCUCCUCAUUUUAAACGCCCGUCCUCCUCGUGAACCCCCGCUACUCCGCCCUAUUUUGCCAGGAUAGGACGCUGAGUUUUGUUACUCCUGUUAGUCACACGCGAGCAGGGCUUCUGCGGGCUAAUGUGGUUGAUUUCGAAUGCCCCUUUGAUGAUUUUUUUAAAGUUUGGCGCUGAGUCCGAGCGCAAGAAGGGUUAAUAUCGUUCGUCCGGUCGAUGCCCACCACAUGUUCGACGAUAUUCCUAAGCCAGCCCAGGCGGUUGCCUUACCGACUCCCAUAUGCUCUUGAUCGCGUAUAAGUGGGCUUUGCAUGUUAUGAACCUUUUGUUGCUUGCUAGUUGUCGUUUGCAUCAUCGGGCCGAGUCUGGGCAUACAUUCGCUGCGUUUUAUUUGGCUCCCGUUGGUUUCCUGGGUGUGGCAGCUGUGAGUGGUGCGCGGCUCGGGGUGGCCGGCGAUGAUGUCACGAGGUGAUGGUGGCGGCAAGCGACGAUCUCAGCCGCUGCUUUGUUCACGGUGCUUGGCGUGAGAGAAUAGGUUGGGCGUUCGGCGAUGGGGGCAUUGGGAGGAGGGGCUAGUUUCGGGCGUGGGAGUAAACCAUCGAAGAAGGAGGAGAAGAAGGGCAGAAGAGGACGAAAUAGGGAAAAGACAAAAAAAAAAUUAAGUGAAAUAUUAAUAUUAAUAUAAAAACGAAAAAGAAAACAAAAACAUGUUUUUUUUUAGCAAAACCAAAAAAAUGUUUGAAGAAAUAGAUUUUGUCUGUUUUAGAUUAAAUUUGGAUUGUCGGAUAGGGUCAACGGGCCGGAUCGGGUUUACCGGCCUGAACCUGUUUUCCCGAAUAUAAAAAUAUUAAAUAUUAAAUAUAUAUUAAAAAAUUUUAAAAUUCAAAAACUUUCCGAAAAUUCUAAAGCUUUCAGAAAACAUUAAAAAAUUCAAAACUUUCCGAAAAUUCAAAAAAUUUCAGAAAAUAUUAAAAAAAUUCAAAAAAUUAAAAAUAAGGAAACGACUCAAAUCAAAUUAAAGCGCUUCAAACCAAAGCCCACAACUUUCAGAUUUUGUGCAUUAUUAUACUGUGCAUUAACAUUUUUUUGUUUUUAUGCUAUCCUUAGGAAAUAAGAGAAUUGGCUUGAAUUAUAGGCAAAUCACGUCGAGCAGUGCUGUCGGCUUGUUGCAUCUUUGACCUCGUCAGUGUCCAAAUAAGCAUGCGUCUUCAUAACGUGUAUUGGUAUGAAUUACGGACAUGGACUAUGUCAAGGCAAGGAAGAAAUUCAUUACGUAUAUCGAUCACAAUUUCUAAUUAACUCAAAUUGAGUCGGGCCGUAUUCUCAAAAUUUGGAACAUAGACAUAAAGAAUUAUGGAUGGGCCAAAUGGUGCAUAUAUUAGGUGCCAUGCCUUUAACAUCAAGCAACCAACUGCAAAAGCAUCUUAGGGCUGGGAGCUAAUGUGUUACAUUGACCACUACCGGGUCUUUUUGCCUAGAACUAAGGCGCGGAAAUAUUUAAUUAGAUGGGCAAAUGGAACCUAGAAAGAGGCCUGGAACAACUUGAACUCAAGACUUUUUACUCUUAUACCAUAUUAAAUAUUGUAGAACCAUUGUUAACUUCUUUAUAAAUUUAAACUGCUAGAUGAAUUAAUGAUUUAAAAUUUAUAUAUUCUAUCAUAAUCCACUCACAACCAACACUAUAUAGAAAAAAAUCUGGUGGCUCAGGCAUUGUACGAGGUGAUAGUCUUUUUGAUGGUGCGGUUCAAGGAUGAACAACAUCUUAAUGGGAAUGAACAAGUCAAGAACAUAUCCAUCUUCCACAUUCUCAUCCUUUUGUCAAGAUUUACGGCCUAUCUAUUCAAGGAAGCUCGAAGAGAUCAAUGUCUUGAAGGGGACGGUCACACACAACAAAUGGCUUUGGGCUGUUUCUGGAGGAAUAGUCCUCGCUCAGGUGGCGAUGAUGGAACUCUCAGCGAGGUUUCUAGGUACAGAGAGAUUGGAUUGGAAGCAAUGGGGGGUGUGCAUUGCAGUGGCAGCCGUUUCAUGACCUCUUUGUUGGUUGUUUAAGUGGUCUUUUCCUGUGAUGACGGUAUUGUACUGAUUAGCUUUGGAGUCAAGUGCAACAAAGAGCACCUGGUGUUUUCUUCAGGUUAGAGAUGCGUUCUUAAAAAUGCAAAUGCCCAACUGCAGUGCCCUCUGUUUUUUACCCUCCCUUUGGGUGCAGAUACUGCUGCGUUCAGAUCUUAAACAGUUGAAAAUUUCAUUGAAUUCCGUAUAGAAUUGUGGGAAAAAAAGUUAAAGGUAACAAAAUGUUGUUAAUAGCUACUCAAUUAGAGCUCUUUUCAAAUCAUAGGAUCAAUAUCGCAACUUGGUUUCAUUAUAGCCAGAACAAAUUCCUAGGGAAAAAUGUCCAAAAAAUCCUCACUUAUUAUAGUAUCAAUUUAGUACAUUUUUAAUGAUGUCAAUUGAGUCCCAAAUAUUUUGACCUCGAGCCAAUUUAACCAUUUCGACUAAUUUUUGCCGGAAAUUGCCAUUGUAGACUCCAAAUGGCCUAUAUGGCACAACCGACACUAAAGUUGACAUUUUUAAAUAAUAUUUCAAUAAUUCUCGAGUUUUUUUCUCUUUUUUUCCUCCUCUGGUGGUCGGCAAGGACUGGCCUCACCUGAGCUAAGGGCGAGGGCAAACGUCCACAAGCCCACCCUCGCCAGAUCCGUAUAGAGAAUUUGAGUGCUGUGACGUUAGGUUCAUCGGACUUGGGCUGCCUGAGGGCGCUGUUGACAGCGGGAGGUGGAGGUGGAACAGGGGAUGGGGCUGUAUCUUUUUUGGCAGAAGAAGAAGAGGGAAACUGAAGAAUGCCUCGUGCUCCUCCUUCUUGCUGUUCUUUCCCUUGGAACGGAUGUCCCCUCAUUUCUCUGCUCUCUCUGCAGGAGUCUUGGGCGUGUUGCGAUUCUCUCUCGUCUGAAGAUUGGGGGGCGACCUCGCCGGGCGUCGCUUGAGUGAAGACGACCUCACCGGGCAUCCAAGCGACACCUGGUCUCAUCAGAACUAGUGAGAACCGUGAGGUUCACCAACCCUUGGAGGCAUGGCUGUGUUGCCCACUAGAGGAAAGAGGAGGAAAAAAAGGAAGAAAUUUUUUUUUUAAAAAUAUUUAAUAUUAUUUAUAAAUAUCCACGUCGGCACUAAACCAAUCACAUAGUCCGGCCGACAUCUACGUCAACAAUAUUCAGCCCAAAUAAGUCGUAAUGACUAAAUUGACUCUUUAUUAAAAGGUUUAGAACUAAAUUUACAUAAUUAAAAUACUAUAAAGUUUUAGCAUCAAUGACCGAUAAUAGUAACCUACCAAGUAUAAUUAAAGGUUAAUAUCAUAAAUAAAUAAAAAACUUUAAAUUGAUAUACUUAUGACGUAUUAACUUUAGGCAGGCAGAUGUUUCGAAGAAUACUUCCACGAACACUCCCGAUCAUGGAACGGAGAGAAACAGAGCAUGAAUAGGACCAGAGUCUGAAAGCACUCUCCCCGAACGAGAUGAAAUCACGCAAAAGAAGCGGAAAACCAUGGCGAAGGAGAUGCCCGACAGACCAUCCAGAAAGUUCCUCCACAAUAUGGCUUUUCUCCCAUCCGCGAUCUUACGGGGAAAAGGGAUUGGCUUUCUUGCGGCGGUCCCUGCGUGUCCUCUUCAGCCCCACCCGUCCGCUCCCUCAUAUCUUGGAACCUCCUCUCCCCUGGCCCCCAUAACGCGUCAGCUCCCACUCGUGACAUAUUGACAUGCGUCACUGCUAGCACGCACACAUCUUCGCGUCGCCAUCGCCCUCAGGCGUCCGCCAGAGCGUCGUGCUUUCUUGCUGUGGUCCCUGCGUGUCCUCUUCAACCCCACCCGUCCGCUCCCUCAUAUCUUGGAACCUCCUCUCCCCUGGCCCCCAUAACGCGUCAGCUCCCACUCGUGACAUAUUGACAUGCGUCACUGGUUCACAGCCUGGUCACAGCUAGCACGCACACAUCUUCGCGUCGCCAUCGCCCUCAGGCGUCCGCCAGAGCGUCGUCAGGGAGAAAAAGAGCACGACCCUCUCUUCAUUAUAUUAUUAUUAUAAUUAUUUUUUAACUCUGUUUACUCUUUUGAUUUAAUUUAAAUAAUAUUUGAAUCAAAAUGACGUCGUUCUAACCUUACCAUUCAUUUUUUAGUCACGUUAAGAGUAAAAAUUCAAAUGAACUAUAAGUUUUAGGAUUUUCAACGUGUUUAUUAUAAUUUUCUUUGUUUGAUGGGUUUGGAGUGCAGCUUUUUGCAGAAGAGUUUAUCUAUCCACUAACUCAUUGUAGUGGCAAUGUACGUUUUCACCAUGCAUGAUAACCCAUAGUUGACCUCAAAUUCACGUACAUGACAAUCUAUAUCAUUGGCCAAUAUUCUCUCGAUGCGCAAUAACCUAUCAAUUAUUGAUUCGACCCCACCUGAAUUGUCACAUGUCAAUAUAUUUGUUUGUUAACCAUCUUAACCCUCUCAUUAUGUUCACCAUCAUCAUCCGAUGAUGAUGUGUGGACUUUUGGAUGAUCCAUUUUGCUAUGGAUGGCUUUGAGAGCUCAAAUGCUACCUAAAUGUACAUAAUUCAUCCUCCAAUAGGUCAUCUGCCAUUAGGCAUUCGAGUUCGCUAUAUUUGCCUCCUCCUCGUUUGACAUGCUCUCUAUCUAAUCCUGGUCCUCGGUUGUGCUCGUGCGCAAUACUAACCGUUGCUCACCGCAAGUUAUCACAUGCAAACCUCUUGAGAUAAGGCCCCCUCUAUCACACCAUUGUCAAUAAAAUCAUACAAAAAGUUUGAAACUUAUUUUACGGUAGUUAAUUCAAUCCCAAAUUGAUUGGAAAUUGUUGACAUUAGUAUAACACUGUUAAAAUCAUAACGUCAUUAGUCAAGGAUAACAUAAUUAUUUCGUCUAUACUAGAACCAGUACAGUGUAGUUAAAUAAUUAUAUUCUCUACUGGACAUUAGUAUAACACUGUUAAACAAUUAUAUUGGCUAUUUCAUUGCACGAAAAUCCAAACAAACAAUUUUGCCAUUGUUCCGUUAUAGCCGCAAGAGCUCCUGCUUUAACCGAUACUUUAAUUAAACGAGCGGUAAGAAUUGAUAUCAACACAGCCGGUUUCAAUGCGAUGAAACAAAUAUUUCGCUCACUCUUAACUUGUAACUUUAUAGGGAUGUUUUCCUCCAUCCGAGAUUGGACAGAAAAGAGUAUUUGUUAAUUUAAUAAUUAAUACCACAAAAAAUCUCAAAUCAGUGCAUGCGUGAUAAAUUUACCCUUCGUUAAUUUCCGUCAAAUUUUAUCAUUAAAUUACUGAGUUAGAGGACAUGUGGUAAUUGAUAUGACAAGUCCACAUGAAAAUCCAAAUGGUUAAUAUCAUGAAAUUUCUCAAAAUAGUAUACUUGUGACAAAUUUACCCUACAAUAUUUUUUGGAUCGCCAAAAAUCUCAAUUUGGUUCAUGCAUGAAGUAAUUACCCUUCAUUAUUUUUCAUCAAAUUUUACCAUAAAAUUGUUAAAUUAGAUGAUACAUAACAAUAAUUCAGUUGAUGUGGCAGGUCCAUAUGAAAAUUCAUAACAUUCACUCUCCAUUUUUUCGAUUAGCCCUAACUUGAAACAAUUAGGGCUCAUCCUCUUUCUCUCCCUAUUAGCACAAAAAACCCUAGAUCAUGUUCCUCUUCAUCGAAUCCUUCAUUGUUGGCUUUGGCUAAGGUUGUAGAAAUUGCGAACACCAUUUAGCAAAAAUUCUUUAGUGGCACCUUUAGUAAGGAUCUUUGUUGUUCUUUACCUUAAGAUGUUGCCUACGAUGAAUGGUCACACUGAUUUUACUUUAAUAACGUUGUCUUUUUAUGCAUGGUAAAAAUUUGUAGUGAAUUAGAAAGGAACAAAAUCCAGGUGUAUAGAGGCAAUGUUAGAAAAAUCUGGAAAAUGAACUUGAUUGCACACCACAACUCAACCCAAUUACUUUGUUCAUCGACCUAGAUUUAUCAAGCAAAGUUGACACAUCAAAUGCAAGAUAAGUAUACUAAUUGUGCCAUAAAUUGUGUACGGCGCUCACUUUAGUGUCAAAAGUUUCCGUCGGAUCACUUAAGUGUCAAAAAAUUUGAAAAACGCUCACUUUGGUGCCAACGCCGAUGAAAUUGGCCGAAAAUCCGACAUUGCCUUUUUUUAUUAAUUUUUUAAGCCGACAUGGCUCGUCGGAGAGCUGAGUUAGCAUCCAAACACCAAAACGACGCCGUUUGGCAUUUUUCCCCCAACUUUGAAACCCUAAUCCCCAAAUUGAGAGAGAAGGAAGGCUCGUCUUCGUGUCUUCUUCUUCCUCGAAGACCCACACAAGCACCGGCAGCACACCAGCAGCGACACCAGCAACGCACCAGCAGCAGCAGCGCACUAGCAGAACCUUCGACCCAUCUUCUUCCUCCUCCUCCUCCGCCCUCGCCUUCGAAUUUUUCUUACAACAAUCUCAGUCUCUCCUUGCUCACCUAGUCGAGCAACUACAAUGGUGGCUGAGCGACAGUGGCCGACUAGCGACGGUGGCCGAGCAAUGGUGGCCGAGCGACGGUGGCCGAGUGACGGCGGGCGAACGACGGUGGCCGAGCGGCGAAAACCUUAAUUUCAAUCCCCAUGUGAGCUAAACAGCGUCGUUUCCAUGAAGCCAUCCAUGUAGGACGGCAAAACGACGUCGUUUUCUUAAGGAGGACCGAAAUCGACGUUAUUUAAAGGCCUAUCGAUUUUUUUUUUUUUAAAAAGCCACGUAAUCAUUUUGGCCGGAAUCUUUCGCUGGUGGCACCAAAGUGAUCGUUUUUCCUCAAAUUUGGCACUUAAGUGAUCCGACAGAAACUUUUGGCACCAAAGUGAGUGCCGUACACAACUUAUGGCACCAUCAAUGUACUUAUCCCCAUCAAAUGCUCAACACCCUAUUUUGAAUGGGGUUCAGGAUUCUAACAAUUAGUGCGUACCCCACAUGAAAAAACACUGUUUUUGCUUACCUUGAGGAAGGAGUGUUAAUAGAAAGUCAGUAAAAAUCGCAAGGGCUCAAUCCAUCAUUAUAGUAAAAAUCGCAAGGGCUUAAUCCAUCAUUUUGAUUGGGCCAUAUAAUGGCACUUGAUCGAGCCAUUUUAUCAAGAGUACAAUUAGAGUUACUAAAACUAUUAGUAAAGAGUUCUUACUAAAGGGUUCACAAUUUCCACGACCUUAGCCAAAGAUGACAAUAAAGGAGUCAAUGAAUAGGAAGACGAUCUAGGGGUUUUAUUCGAUUAUUAGCGAAUUAUUUGCUAUCAACUCUCGUCGUGGAACAGCUACCGACACUCAAAUUGAACCAUGUUUCUCGUUUGUUUUUUCUAAUAAUUUCACGUAAAUUUAAUUAUAAGAUCCUGUCAAUUUCUAUUAGAGAUGAACAUGGUUUUAGGGUAGAGCUUGGAAUUGAAGAAAUAGAGUGAUGGAAAUAUAUCAAAUUCUAGGUUCCAAAAUAUGCAUAAUAGGUUUCAAGUUUCGAAAAUUGAGAAACUUGUUUCGACAGGUAAAUUUCAUAUUCUAGGUAAGUGGAAAACCUGUUUUUGUGUUUUUCUUGGUCUAUAAUUGUCACGCCCUGACUCUCGGUAAUGUGACCAUCCUUCAAGCUUGGUCGAUUUUAAAAUGCGAUAUCCCAGAACUACGUAUCGCUGACCCUUUUCUUUUUAAUGGCACAUGCGGAAGCAGUUAUAAAAAUCCCCAGACAAUAAAGUAAUGGGAUAUACAAGUAGGACUAGGAAAUUGAACAUGAAAACCAACACCCUUAUGAUCAUAUACAAGCCAUACUAAAAGGAUUGGUUUCUACUCAAAUUGAUUCUAUAGCAAAAGUCGUUAGGAUCCUACUCUGGAUCAUCCUUGGAGUUCUCCUCCAGAUACUCCUCUUCGAUUUCUUUAUCCUUAGGUUCUUCAUCUGGGUCCUAAAAUGUUUUUGCCAAACCGGGAUGAGACUACGUCUCAGCAAUUUUUAUUCCCUAAGACCCGAUUAGUAAACCAAUACACCUUAGAGCUGCCUAUGCACAACAUGAGUCAUAGGACUUACCUUGGCCUCAGAUUCCACCUGCAUAUUAGCACAGAUCAAAUAGGCACCCAAGCAAUCACAUCACAGAUCGAAGAAUUGAUCAAAUCGACCUAGUCGAUUACACACCAAAAAUACUACUCACGGUCAUCUCCAUUCAAUCAUUCAAUCCACAACAUUAAAUCAAGGCGACAAUCAAUCAACCUAAUCGAUUACGAGUCAGUCGGAUCAUUUCUAGGUCAUUCAUUCCAUCCCACAUAACCUCCAAAAUACACUUAGUCACAAAGCUCCAUCAAUGCUCUCGGGCGUCGAUUUCGCCAAGGUGACAUAAGUAUCAGAUGGUCUACGUGCGUUCUUUAAGGCGUUGUUUUCGCACAGUGAUAUUCCUCAUCACCGAACCACGCCCGUCAUAGGUCACAAAUCACUGAUAGUGUACGUGCGUUCUUUAAUGCGCUGUUUUCGCACAGUGAUGUCAUUCAUCACCAAACCACACCUGUCACAAUUUAUAGGCAGUCUAUGUGCGUUCUUUAAGGCGCCGUUUUUGCACAGUGAUCUCCCUAAUCACCGAACCACGCCUGCCAUAAGUCAUAGACAAUCUACAUACGUUCUUUAAGGCACCGUUUUCACACAGUAAUGUACUUUUAUCACCGAACCACGCCCGUCUAUACUUCGUACUUAAUCAGUCUCAGCCAAUAGAAUUCUCAGUUAGCUCUCACCACUUUCUCCACUUACAGCUCAACAAGGCAGUACAAAUGCUAACUAGCCAUACUCGGCCAUUUACCGAUCAAUAAUUCAAUUUCAAUCAAUUUAGGGUAAAUCCCUAAAAUAUCACAAUUUAUUUAAUUCCAUACAACGUAGAGCUAAAAUAAAUAAACGGACUGUGCCACGACAAUCAGCACAAAAUUCCGGUCGUCGGUCACCUCAACAUUAAUUUCCGAAAAUAAUUAAUUAAUAAAUAUUAAAAAUUUCAUUUAGCUCAAAAUAAAGCCCAAAUAAAUAAACGGACCACGGUCAUCAGCAUAAUAUUCUGGUCACUGACCAUCCUAGUUGAAUUUUCAGAAAAUAAAUAAUUAAAUAAUUAAUUUCGAAAAUUAUAUUUAAUUCCUAAAAAUACUAUUUAGGCCCGAAUUGCCUAAUUAACACCGAUAAGGGACGGGAAAAACCCCAAGAAGCAAAUUCUCUAUCUAAUUACACUAAUCAAACAACUAAUAUGCAAUGAAAUUAACUAAUAAUCGCUAAUCCAUUCUAAAUUAACAAUCUAAUUACACUUAACUAAUACUAAUCAACUUUUAAGUGUAAUUAGAAAACUAAGAAUGUUUUAGUGAGUAAAACUCACUGGAUUAAAGAUCCGUCCAGAUCAAAUCGACGAGCAUGCGGCAAAGCUCGAUCCUCUCCUAAGCGGGUCCGCCAACCAGGGUCGGGACGGGCCUGAAAUUGGCCCCGCAAACCCACGGCUUGGCUGAGUUUUCUGCUCUCGCGCUGCUGGCCCUGCUGCCUCGAUGGAGAUGCGGCUGUCUUCGGUGGAGCUCGGCUAAAAAGAAACUGCCGUGGUUCCGCUUGACUUUGAUCGAGGAAAUUGAAGCAAAGCCGCGGCCAGGCGAGGAAAGAUGGAAGCGAGACCGAAGCUGCAGGGAAUGAAAAUGGGCAGAGGCUUCGAUCAUCUGGCGUGCGUGAGACAAAACGGAGAGAGAGAGAGAGCGGAUGAAGAGGGAAAAUAAAAGCUGCGUCCACUGAAGGACAAACGAAAGUAAAUAGGAGACCGAAAAGGGGGAAAACGUGCGAGAAUAAAUGGAGGGAUAAGGAUGGUUGGUAGUCAAAGGAAUAAAAUAAAAGAAAGACUACGUCCAUGAGGGGGAGACGUGCAAGAGAAAAAGGAAUAAGAGAUGUGCGGAGGGGGUUUGUUCGUGCGUGGAGAGAGGGGAAACGUGCGUGAGGUGGGGCUACGUCCAAGGAAGGGAAAUAAAAUAAAAUCGAGUUAAAUUUCUGCUAAACUUCAACACGAGAAUAAUUGGUCAUCCAAGGCCAAUUUCAACCUCAAUUUGCUCCAUUGAAGUUCAAAAUAAGACGGUCCUUUAGCCUCACGGAUUUCCUUUGAAAUCGACUUUUAUUUCAUUUUUCUCGACAUCCAACUUUCUAAACAAAUAAUUUCGAUUGAGGUCCAAUUCAAAUGUAGAAAAAAACCCAAACAACUUCCAUUCACCGAUUCACUUACACCAUAUAUUAAUAGUCUCUUCAAAUCGGCCAAUCUGAAUUUCUGUUCAUUUUCCGAAUCGUUCGUAACGAUUUUCAGUAAAAAUCUCGGAAUCUCUGAAAAUGUUCCUAAAAUUUAUUGUGACAUGACAGAUUUUUCAAUUUCUGAAACCAAACUUAGAUUAGCGAUUAAUUUCACUUCGACACGCUUUUAGUGUGACUUAGGUUACCAGUUAGUUUUCAGAACUUUUUAGCACAAAUGACCCAUAGUCGAUUUUCUUCGAGCCAUGAUGAAUCCACUCGACACAUUGGCGAUUCUUGAUUGUCGUGAAAAUCUUAAAGAUUCAAACACGGACACAGGGUACCAAAACAACAAUAAAAAUCAAAUUAGCGUAGGUCGACGAGAGUUAGUGGAGUCACCCACGAUCUAUCAUUCAUCUCAGAUAAACCGACCUAUUUCUGAUUUCAAAUCGAUUUUAUACUAUGCCGCAAUGAUCCCUAAAGAUGAGCACGGUCGAAAAGUUGAUUUCUGGUCGAAUUCUCAGUCUAUCUGCCUUAAAGUCCCUAAUAGCUUACCUAGCUAGUCGCAUCGAUGAAAUGCCCAAUUUAUCCCAUUGAAGUCAAAGCCUAAAAAUCUGGAUGUUACAAUAAUUUCCUACAAUCAUGCGUGGGAUAUCCAAUGAUUAGUAUAUAAUAGAACCACUAAUCUAAACUUCCAUUUUAUGAUUAAGAUUUUUACUUUGUUAAUGUUUUUUAUAUUCUUUAUGUAUCUAAAUAUAAAUUAUGGUCAGUAUAUUGUAGUAAUAAGUGAUAGUCAUCAAAGUUGAUGAUUUACUAUAAUCGUUUAAUUAAUAAUAUAGAUAGAACUAAGAACCAACUUUAGAAUCUAUGAAUCCACGUUCCAAAAUAUGAGAAAUCAUUCCAAUGAGUAAGUUUUAUAUGGAAUCUAUAUGAAAUUUGGCAUUGCUUAAUCAUUAAUUUUUGCGUUAGUUUUACUAAUGGUAUUUUCAACUAAACCUUUGAUUGAUGCAUUGUAAAUGCCGACAUCACCCCGGUGAAGAAAUUUAAAAACGAAUGAUCAAUCUACCGAUUACACAGAUGGAUAGACGGGGAAAAAGACCCAACCGUGUCAUUUCGGAACGGGCGGGGCUAUCAAGUAAAAACACGACUUGGGGUCUCUGAGUGAUGACGUCACAUUCCGUACGCGUCCGCGGCAACACCGUCCACCAACGAGUCUAUCAGAGAAAAUAUCUAUCACGUCUGCAUGUCUUUUCAGCCUUUUUGUUCAGCUGGAAACCCGAUUGCAGCUUCGCAUGCAGAUAAAGAUAAAGAUAAAGGUACGAUCCAAGCAGCGUAAGCAUAAUGUAUAUAAACCCAUGCAAUCGAUGGGCGUCUCCUCGAACAUCAUCCCACAAAAUUCGAAGAAUCGCCGCUUUUCCGUUGCUAAUCACGACACAAUCUUCCCAGUUUGCGGGCCUAUCUCGGUCAUCGGAGGAUCCCAAGCCUGUGCAUCUCUCCCCGGCGAUGACGAGCAUUCUCCGUGGUGGCAGCUCCAUCCCCCAUUAUGAGGUCUCUCUCCCCUUGCUCACUAUGUACAAGUUUGCCCAGCGAUGGCGUUUGGCCUUCGCAGCCAUCUAUUGCUCCCGAGCCCUCCUCGCUGCCUCUAUUGAUCAGUCACAGCUCGGAACGCUCACUCCUUCCUGCACUUCGAUUUCGAUCCCCGAUGAGGCUCUGAGAGCUCGCUCUGAUCGACCCAGCUCCUUCGAGAUUGAUCAGCCACAACUCGAAGCACUCGCUCCUUCCUGCACUUCGAUUUCGAUCCCCGAUGAGGCUCCGAGAGCUCGCUCUGAUCAACCCAGCUCCUCCGAGAUUGAUCAGUCACAGCUCGAAGUGCUCGCUUCUUCCUGCACUUUGAUUUCAAUCCCCGAUGAGGCUCGGACUGCUCACUCUGAUCAACCCAGCUCUUUCCAGAUUGAUCAGUCACAGCUCACCAGGCUGGUCAAUGACAAGAACCUCAACUGCCUCAGAGAAUUCGGCGGCAUCAACAGAGUCGCCUCCGCCCUUGAAACUGAUGUCUCUGAUGGAAUUAGCGGUGAACAGGAUGACAUCACUCGCAGGCAAAACACAUUCGGCGUCAACAAAUUCAAGCGGCCCAUCGAGGGCUUCUUCCACUUUUUGCUCCAGGCUUUUAAGGACCUCACGCACCUGACUCUUCUUGUUUGCGCUGGGCUUUCGCCCGGGCUUGCGAUCAAGGAGAAGGGGGUCAAGGAAGGCUGCUACAGCGGCGGGAGCCCAUUCUUCGCAGUUUUCCUUGUGAUCAUGGUGUCCGCUGUGAGCAAAUACCACCAGAACCGGCAGUUCCAUAAAUUGCGUGGGGCUAGCGGUAAUAUUCUCAUCCAUGUGAUAAGAAAGGGUCGGCAGCAGCAAGUGUCCAGAUCCAAGAUAGUCGUCGGAGAUGUCAUUUGUCUGAAGAUCGGCGAUCAAGUCCCGGCAGACGGUCUGUUCAUAGGCGGCCAUUCCUUGCAGGUACGGAUGAGAUUGUACCAGUUUGAUCGCAUUACAUUCACGUAAUAACUUAUGCUAAUUUCCUCCAGAAAUAUAUAGUAUUAGUAUUACCAAGUUCGAGCCCAGGCUGGUUGAUUAAUUAGUUAAGUAAUUAGUCCAACGAAAUGUAAAAGUGUACGAUAUUCUGUUUGCUACUGCACAGUGUAUCAUAAUCACAAUCACAAUCAUAAUUCUAUGACAAAAAGGAAAAGUGAGGGUUUUAAUUCGUAAUUCUAGUCGUAGGAGAACAAACUUUGUUAAAAAAUUUACUGGAAAAAGUAUAUUUGAACAUGAUCCAACUCUUCUCGUGUCAAUAUUUAUUCAGGUUUCAUUUUCUUUGUUUCAACUUGAGACUGGAAUGCAUCCACUCGUCUGAUCCUAGCGUCACUAAAUCAUGUGCGACGUUUCUAUUGUCAAUUUAGGUUGACGAAUCAAUCAUGACCGGGAAGAGUGAUCCCAUAGAAGUGGACAGCAUUCAGAAUCCAUUCUUGUUCUCUCGAACAAAGGUCGCUCAUGGGGAUGCUCGGAUGCUGGUCACAUCGGUCGGGAUGAACACAAUGUGGGGCGAGAUGAUGAGUUCAAUCAACCGCAGCAGCAGCGAGCAGACCCCUUUACAGGCUCAGCUCAACAAGCUCACUUCGUCGAUUAGCAAAGUCGGCUUGGCAGCCAAUUUUCUGGUUCUUGUGGACCUGUUAAUUCACGACUUCACGGGAAAAAAACAGGAUAAGAACAGGACAGGCCAAAAAAUGGAUGACAAUAUCAUAAACUCCGUGGGAAAAAUCAUAGAAACCACAGUGACAAUCGUGGGGGUCGCAAUUCCUGAAGGCUUGCCGCUUGCGGUAACUCUCACUCUUGCUUAUUCGAUGAAGAGGAUGAUGGCGGAUCAGGUGAUGGUGAGGAAGCUUUGGGCCUUUGAGAAGAUGGCGUUGGCCACCACUAUUUGCACUGACAAGACCGGCACUCUGACGAACCAAAUGGAGGUGACGAAAUUCUGUGUCGGCCAAGACUCCGUGGCAGAAAACGCGUACUACUCUGCCUCCAAGUAUGUCCUGGAUCUUAUUCAGGAUGGGGUCGCUUUGAACACCGCAGGCAGCGUCUACAAGCCAACAUCAGGACCGAAGUACAAUUUCUCCGGUAGUCCCAUCGAGAAAGCGAUUCUUUCCUGGGCAGUUUCGCAGUUGAGCAUGGACACGGAGGAGACAAAGAAGAGAUGUGAAGUUAUCCAAGUCGAAGCCUUCAAUUCGCAGAACAAAAGAAGCGGUGUCCUAAUAAAGAAGAGCGGGGACGACAAAUUCCAUGUGCACUGGAAAGGAGCGGCAGAGAUGGUCUUGGCGAUGUGCUCGUGCUUCUACGAUGGGUCGGGGAUAGAGAGAGAUCUGGACGAAGAUAAAAGGGCAAGAUGCGAGCAGAUUAUUCAGGGGAUGGCAGAAAGCAGCCUCACUUGCAUCGCUUUUGCUCAUAAACAAGUCCCCGAGGAAGCGGCCAAAGAAAGAGAAGAUGGGAAGAAGAUCCAAGAGGACGGCCUGACAUUACUAGGACUUGUUGGUAUUAACAACCUGUGUCGUCCCGACGUGAAGAGCGCGGUCCAAGCUUUUCAGGAGGCGGGAGUAAACAUUAAGAUGAUAACAGGAGACAACAUCAUCACUGCUAAGGCCAUUGCCGUGGAGUGCGGGAUUCUCAAGCCCGGGGACGACAACGAGACUAUCAUGGAAGGAGAUAAGUUCCGCAGCUACACGCCUGAGGAGAGGCUUUUGAGAGUCGAGAAAAUCCGGGUCAUAGCCAGAUCUUUGCCUUCUGAUAAGCUCCUCAUGGUUGAAUGCCUGAAGCAGAAAGGCCAUGUGGUCGCCAUCACGGGGGAUGGCACGAACGAUGCACUGGCCCUCAAGAAAGCCGACAUCGGGAUCUCAAUGGGCAUCCAAGAAACUGAGUUCACCGAAGAGAGCUCGGACAUCAUCAUCCUCAAUGGCAACUUCGCCUCCGUGGCGAAGUUGUUGCAGUGGAGUCGAUGCGUCUACGAUAACAUCCAGAAGUUCAUUCAGUUCCAGCUCACAGUAAAUGUCGCCGGCCUUCUAAUCAACUUCGUGGCCGUGGUCUCCUCCGGUGACGUCCCUUUGACGGCCAUCCAACUCAUAUGGGUGAACCUGAUCGUGGACAUACUUGGCGCCUUUGCCCUGUCCACAGAGCGGCCCACCAAGGAGCUCAUGGAAAAGCCCCCCGUGGGCCUAACGGAGCCGCUCAUCACCAACGUCAUGUGGGGGAAUCUGGUGGGACAAGCAAUUUGCCAAGUGGCCAUCCUCCUGACUCUACAAUUCAAGGGCAAAUCGAUUUUCGGCGUGGAUAAGGCAAUGAAGCGGACGUUGAUGUUCAACACGUUCGUGCUGUGCCAAGUCUUCAAUGAGUUCAAUGCGAGGAAGCUCAAGAAGAAGAACGUGUUCGGGGGCAUACACAAGAACAAGCUGUUCCUCGGGAUCAUCUUUGUGACGAUGGUCCUCCAAGUGGUGAUGGUCGAGUUCCUAAAGCGGUUCGCCGGAACGGAGCGGUUGAGCUGGGGACAAUGGGGCACAUGUCUCGGGAUCGCAGCCGUGUCUUGGCCAAUCGGUUGGGUCGUCAAGUGCAUCCCGAUCCCUGAUACGCCAAUCUUUAGCUACUUGGGAUCGAAAAGCAAGAAGCUCGUGAGGAAAAUCGUGCACAGACAAUACUUUAUUGGGUUUAGGAACCAUAAUCGGAUUUAACUCGAUUCUCCACAUUGUACAGGUCUAUUAAAUUUCUUUUGAUACGGUGUGAUUUUUUUUCUUUUACCUAGAAAAAUAAGGAAUGUGCAAUCGAUGUAUGUGAUUUUUCCAAUUCAAAGAGAGUUGAGAGAUGUUGACACCUAUUUUUAGCAGAUCUAGGAAAAUAUGGAAAAAUAAAAUUGCAUUUUGAAAAGAAAAAAUAAAAAAGGGGAAAAUUGAUUAGAUUGAUUAUGCGAGGAAAUUUGAAAUUUUGAUGAGCAUUAAGAUUUCGAUAAAUGCAGAGACAAUUAAAAAUCAGGUGAACAAAGGGCAAGAAUUUUUAUGAAACGGAAUAAAUCGGAGCAAAAUCGAGUUGAUUGCGAAAUCUCGCUUUGAUUUGCAGCCUUGAUUUAAUGCGACGAAAGAUGGAAACUCGGAAAUUACCAUACAAAGUGGCCGUCUGGAAUCACUAUAAAAGAGAGCUACAUUUUUCGUGACUGGGGGGAGCGAAUUCAGAAAAAUCUCCAGAGAGGUGAUUUUCGAAAAUUGGAGAGAGAAAUUUGAGAAGAAAAUUCGUGCAAAAAAAAAAAAGUCCUUCGUCCAUCUUGGUCAGAGAAAGCAUUUCUCUUUUCUUUCUUUGACCAAAAAAGUCAAAAAGUCAAAAAAAAAGAAAAGAGAGAAAGCUGAGAAAAGACGUGAAGGCAGGGAGUGCAGCGACAGAGAGAGGCCUGAGUGACGUGAGGUGAGAGAGUGAAAAAACAAAAAAGAAAAAAGAAAAAGACGUGCACUGUGCUUCUUCUUCGUGGGUUCCUUCUCCACGAAGCCGCACGCCGUUCUCCACCUGCAACAACCCGCGCCCUAGCCGACGCCCCUGCCCAUCGUUGCACCGAGCCGACGUCUGCAGCUUCACGGCUGCGGCCCCGCCUGCAACCCGACGCCGGAACGCCCGCCGCCCAUUGCCACCGGAGCUUCCCCUUCGCUUGCGAAGCGCCCGCUCAACCCGCGGCUUGCCCCUCCGCCAUCGUCAUCCUGCCGGCUCUGCCCCUCGACGUGUAGCACCGCGCUUCAACCCUCGGCGUCGCCGGCCCCGUCUUUGUCCAGAUCUGCUGCUCUCGCCUUUGCUAGUGACUCACGAACGCCUACCCCGAAGUAGCUCACCUGUUCGUUGCUCUCCCUUCGCCGAUAGUUUGAGUUCAUCGCCGCGCCCCGCUCCCUCCGCGCACCAGCACCCGCGAGCGUCGCCGCGCAGCAACCUAUGACCCGCAGCAACCCACACCACCGCCGCGCCAUCAUCGCCGUGCCGCACCGGUGAGCCCUCGGCAUCACCAACCCCUACGACCGCGCUCCUGCCCCCGCCGUCCACUUGAAGCCGCUCCCCGCCGAAGCCCCGACAACUGCCCAGCGCCGUCCCCCGUCGGUUUACUCCUCCCUUUAGGUAGUUUUUGUUUUUGUUUUUUUAAUUUUUGUUUUACUUUUAUAGUUUAGUUUAUUUUACUGUCUUUAUUUUUAUGUUAUUUUUCUGUUUAUUUUAUUUGAUAGCAUUCUUUUACUUUAAUUAUUUGAAUUGUAAUAUUGAAUGUUAAUAUUUAUGCAUUUUAUAGGCAUUAUCCACUAGGAUUUUGUCCAAAAUUAAUAAUUAUUAAUUUGAUCCGAGAGACAUCGCAUCAUUUUUCUAAUUAUUUUUAAUUUUUGGACUUUUGAUAGAAUUUUAAUUGUAAAUCAUCAUAAUUAUUAAUUUGAUCCGUAAGACUUCGGGUUAGAUUUUUAAUUAUUUUGAUCUCUUUGUCGUGAUAAUUAGGGUUAGGAUAAUCGUUAAUUUGACCUGUGAGAUAAUAUGUUAUUUUUUCGAUUAUUCUAAUCCUUUAUUUUGUUGAUAGUUUAUUUAAUAAUUAAUUAUCUUUUAUAAAAAGCUAAAAAAAAAUCAAAAAAUCAAAAAUCAAAAAUUCUACAUGAGCAUAUAGUUUUAGUAAAUCAAGCAUGUAGGUUUAACAAAUUAGAAUUUUUUUUUAGGAUUAUAUUUCUAGGAUUGCAUUUUUAGAUAAUAUUUUUAGGAAUACAUUUUUAGAUAUUUUAAAAGAAAUAAGUUAGGAUUAGACUUAAAUAGCCUUUUUAGAUUCUUCGAUAUAAUUGGCACAUUUUCAUAUUCUCAUCCUCUUUUUAAAGUAAAAAAAAUAAAAUAGUUUUCUAAGACAAAAUAGGGUUUAAGUCAAAUUAAUCCCAAAAAUGGAUUAGAAAAUCCCUUUAGAUGUUUUUAUUAGUUUUGAAUUUCAAUAAAAAAAAAUCCAAAAAUACUAGGUGCAUGUUAACUAGUUUGCACAAUAGGAUUAUUUAAUUAGAGCUUGUUCAUUAGUGAAGUUAAGUCAUGAGGUGCAUAAUAACUAGUUUGCAUAAUAGACUCAUUUAAUUAGAAUUUCCACAUUAAUAAGAUUAAGUCAUUUAGUGUUAAACUGCAUUUUAUAAAAAAAUUCUAAUCUUUAAGAAAAUCCCAAAAGUAAUGAUUGCUUGCUUUGUGUGAUGCAAUUUAUUAUUUGAAUGUUUUAAAUAAUGGAUGAGCACUCGUGUGGUCACCGCAUUUGCAUGAUAGUAAUUUAGGUUAAAAUAAAUCAGCUGCCUGCAAAAACAUUUGAAAAAUUAAAAAGAAAUGGUACCGAAAGGGCAUUAGAGAAUUCUAGUGUAAUCAAGUCCCCGAACUCAUAAACCUCUGGUUCGUAGGAGUAAAAUAAAUCUCCCUUUAUUUUAUUUAGGUGUCUAAUCGACCUACCAUAAACUGAUUAGUGAUGACUCCUAGAUAAUCAUAUUUUGCAUGUUAAAAAAAAUUAAACCUUAAGUCGCGAAUUGGUAUGGGCUUGGGAGAGCCCGAGCUAAGUAUAAAAACUUAGCAGUUUAUUAACCUAGUUUUAGGUGGUGCACCCGAAAAAAUAGGUCGUGACAAGAGAGCAAUACUAGCAUGGUGUUCCCUAAAGCAUUAAUGGGUAAGAGAGGAGACUCUAAUUGGCAUCAUAGGACAUAAAAACAACAAAAAGAAAUUUCGUCCCCACUUUUUAUGUCAUAGUGGGCGACCAUUUCUCCGUAAUUUUUUUUCGAAUAAUGAUAUAAUAGUCCCUAAACUUUGAACUCACUUGUAAUGUGGUUCAUGAAUUUUUAAUUUGUUUAAUAUAGUCCAUGAAAUUUAUCACAAUGUACAAUGUGCUCCCUAAAAUUUUAAUUUGUUCAAUGUAAUCCGUAGACUUUUAAUAUAUGUUCAAUUUGGUCCGUAAAAUAUAUGAAAAUUGUCACGCCCCGAUCCUCGGGCACGCACACAUCCUUCUACCUUGGUCGAUUUUAUAAUGCGAUAUCCCAGGACAAUGUAUCGCCGACCCUUUCAUUUAUUAAGCACAUGCGGAAGCAGUUAAAAUCCCCAGACAAUAAAACGAUGGGAUAGAAAAGUAGGGCUAUAUUUUUCAUAUUGAAAUUUAUAACAAAACUUUUAUACAAAACACAAACCAGAGCACUCUACAACUUUUUACUCUAAACUUUAAUCACAUCAAAAAUGAGAUCUCAAAAUAAGAUAAACUCUCAGCUAUCCGGGCCGUACUCAAGGCCCUUCUCGGGAUUAUCUUCUUCUCCCAAAAAUUUUUCUCCUUAAGUUUCACCUCCGAGUUCUCCUUCUCAGACUCCUCCUCAUCAACUCCUCAUCGAGGUCCUGAAAUGUUUUCCCCAAACUGGGAUGGGACUACGUCUCAGCGAGUUCUACCCCACUAAGCCCGAUUAGUAAACCAUUAUACUAUAGGCUGCCUAUACACGCACAGGGCAGAAGACGUACCUUGGCAUUAGUCUCAACCUGCAAUUCAUUGUUAUAUACAGAUACCUCAAAUAUCUCAAUGCACAAUCAAUCAAAUCACAUAUCGAAGUAUCGAUCAAAUCGACCUAGUCGAUUACAUGCCAACAAGACCACCCACGGUCAUUUCCAAUCAGUCAAUCAAUUCACAACAUCAAAUCAAAACAAUGAUCAAUCGACCCCGUCGAUUACAUGUCAGCCUGACUAUUUUAGGUCAAUUCGAUUAUUCCAUCUCAAUCAUCAAUUACGAACUACGAUCCUCAUAUCACAUCUUAAGCAAAGAUGGAAGACACAGUCUACCACUCGACAACUUUCGAUACUCAAUGGCUUUACGGUCCCACUCGACCACUUUCGAUACUCAAUGGCUUUACGGUCCCACUCGACCACUUUCGAUACUCAAUGGCUUUACGGUCCCACUCGACCACUUUCGAUACUCAAUGGCUUUACGAUCCCACUCGACCACUUUCGAUACUCAAUGGCUUUACGGUCCCACUCGACCACUUUCGAUAAUCAAUGGCUUUACGGUCCCACUCGACCACUUUCGAUACUCAAUGGCUUUACGGUCCCACUCGACCACUUUCGAUACUCAAUGGCUUUACGGUCCCACUCGACCACUUUCGAUACUCAAUGGCUUUACGGUCCCACUCCACCACUUUCGAUACUCAAUCAAUACCCAAUGAUCUUUCAAUGAAAUAAUUAACAACAACCAUUUAGGAAUAUAUCCUAAAAAUUCAUAAUUAAAUCAAUUCCAUACAAAUUACAACUCAAUUAAAUAAACGGACCAUACCACGACGAUCAGCAUGAGAUUUCGGUUGUCGGCCAUCUCAAACUUAAUUUCCGAAAAAUAAUUAAUUAAUUAAUUAAUUUCGAAAAUUAAUUAUUAAAUAUUAAAAAUUCUGUUUAGCUCAAAAGAAGGCCCAAUUAAAUAAACGGACUGCACCACGAUCACCAGCAUAAAUUUUCGAUCACUAGCCAUCUCAAUUAAAUUUUCGGAAAAUAAAUAAAUAGUUAAUUAAUUUCGAAAAUUAAAUAAUUAAUAUUAAGAAUUCAAUUUAGCUCAAAAUAAAGCCCGAUUAAAUAAACGGACUUCACCACAGUCAUCAGCAUAAUAUUCCGAUCUUGGGCCAUCCCAGUUGAAUUUUCAGGAAAUAAAUAAAUAAUUAAUUUAAUUCUGAAAAUUAAUAUUUAAAUGCCAAAAAUCCCACUUAAGCCCGAAUCGCCAAAUUGAAGCCUGAUUAGGGGUCGGAAAAUUCCUGAGAUACUUCCAAUAAUUAGUAGACUACGUCUACUUGUUAAUUGCGUAAUCAAUUUAUCUAAAUCGCAUUACAAUUGAUUAAUAAUUACUAAUUUAUUCUAAUCUAACAACCUAAACAUAAUUAAUUAAAACUAAGCCAACCUUAAGUAUAAUUAGCCAACUAAUCCGGGAUUAGUGAGAUUACUCACCAAAUCGCGCGCAAAUCGGAUCAAUCUGACGGGGGCGACGCGAGGAACAAUUCUUCCCACGGCUCAGGUUCGGGGCCCGGAAAUGGCCCAAAAGCGGGCCCAAACUAGCUGGAAACCCAUUUCGUGGGUUGCGGUUCAAGGCUUUCCGGAGCUAAUCUAGCGGCUAGGGUGGCGAGGGGAGGCCGACGGAGGGCAAGAGGGACGCCGCGGACGCCGGGCGGAGCUGGGCGGUGGCCGGAGGUGGCCGGAUUGCGCUGAACAGAGGCCGAAUGGCCUCGACGGCGCACGACAGCGACAGUGAGGCACGAAGGGGCGGUGGCAGAGCGCACGGCAAGCGGCAGACGUGCGGGUGCGAGCGACGGCGACGGCGAGCGGAUCCUGUCUUCGUGUGGCUUCCGUUUCUGUCUUGGUUCGCUGGUUUUUCACGAACAAGAGAGGAAGAAGAAAGGAGGGCCUUCGGUCACGAGGGGUGGGGAAGAAGAAAGAGGAGAGAGAGAGAGAGAGAGAGAGAGAGAGAGAGAGAGAGAGAAGUGAUAAGCUUUUGACUAGUCAAAGAGGGAAAGGAAAGAGUGGGCGUGGGGAGGGGACGUCCGCAAGAAAGGGGAGGGGAGAGAGAAAAGAAAAGAGAAGGGAGAGAGAGAAAAAGAAAAAGUGAAUAAUAUUACUUUUCUUAUUUUAUUUUCUUUUCUCUUUCCCUUUUCAUUUUCUUUUGGUCUUCAAUUUUCCUCCGAAAAUUUCUUUAUUGAAAUUUCGGACUCGUCAACAAUUUGACGGACGAUGAGACAGGAUCCUAAAAAUAAGAAUUAUGGCGCGUUUAAAAUUUGAUUCCCGAAAUCGAGUUCAAUUUCGUGGUUAAAAAUCGAUCAGACGUGAUUUUAGUCCAAUCCAACAAAUUGAGUAGCUUUUAGGGAUUUUACGGCAGAUACAUCCCUUAAUAGCUUCACCCAAUAGCUUCACUCAUGAGUGAUCAGCUCAGAAAAAGGACCGUAAACACGUCGACGAAAUGCCCAUUUCACUUUAUCGAAACGGGAUCGAAUUUCAAGAUGUCACAAAAAUAUUCAAUGUUGAAAAUGGUAUGAUGUAUAUGCAAAAUGAGAAAAAAAAACAUUAUAAUAAGUUUUUUUUUUACUAUGAAAUUACUUAGCCACGGUUUGAGACAAUACAUCAAAAGCAUCAGUGCAUAAUAAGUCUAGUAGAGCGGGCAGGGGAUGAAACAACCAAUUAGAGGGAAGAUAACUAAACCGACAGGCCUUUGCGAGCCAAUCGGCGGGCCGGUUUGCUGUUCUAUUGCAGUGGGCUAGGGAGAUGUCACGGAAUUCCUGUAGUUUCGCUUGGGCCCAGUCCAGGAGUGGUUGAAGCUGCCAAUUCAUUUCCGUCGAAGCCGUAACCCCCUGCACAAGUGGAAGACAAUCUGACUGCACUUGCAGGGAGAGUUCCGCAUGGUUAGAGAGUAGAUCUAGGGUUUCAAGAAGAGCCAAAGCUUCCGCCUGUGCUGCUGAAGCCGCAUCCACCAAUUUCGCGAAGCCAUCCACAAGACAUCCUCAGUAGUCCCUAUAGAUACACGCUACUGCUGCUCUGUUUCGCGAUUCUCCUCUGGUGUUUGCUUCCGUGGCGUUGAGCUCGGCGAAGGAAGCAUCUAUAUUAACUUUCAGCAUAUGAGGGGGUGGAGGUUGCCAACAAUCUGGUAUGGCUUUUAUCUUCCUUUCAUCUACCUGUUGUUGGCUCACAAAUAUGAGGUUAUCGCAGAGAGCUUGCACCUGAUUUAAAACUUGUUGCGAGUGCAGGGGACGACUCUGAAAGAGGUACUGAUUUCGGCCCUUCCAAAUACUCCAGAGGACAGCCGCGACUUGGUCAAACUUCUUGGUAUGGGUAGGGUUGCUAUUGAGAUUGUCUAACCAGUCGUCAAGACGUGUCAACCCUGUAGGGGUGCGGAACUCCAAAUCUGAUUUGUCCAUGGACAGAGCAGAAGAAUAUGUUCGGUGGUUUCAGCUUCUUUGCUACAAACGGAGCAUAUAAGAUCCGGUACUAGCUUUCUUCUAUAUAAGUUUUCCCUUGUUGGAAGAGUAUUAUGACAUGCUUGCUAGAGAAAGAAUCUGAUUUUGGGAAGGGUUUUAGCUUGCCAAAUGUGUUUCCAGAGAUCUGGAUUUAUAUGAUGCGAUGAGGUUGCUGUUGGGUUUGUGCUUGUUGGGUUAUUUCUGAUUGUCAAGUAGCCACUUUUCACUGAAUAGAUACCAGAGUUAUUAUGCAUCCAGACUAGCUUGUCUUUUGAAUCUGGCCUUCCGAUAGGUGUAGCAAGAAUUUCCUUCACGAUUUUGUCAUCAAACAUCAACCCCACCCUUUGACAUUCCAUUUGCUAGUCCCUUGUUCAAUUAGUUCUGCCACAUGAUCUGGUUCAUUUCUUGUUGCUGGGCCUCCAAUUGAACCACUUUUUAUCCAUUUAUCUGCUCUUAUCGAUAGUUUUUUUCCAUUCCCAACUAAGUACAUAGUGUGUGGACUUAUAGAAUCCCUACCCCGAGUUAUACUUUGCCAACCCCAUGAAGGUCGGGAGCCUUUUCUAGCUUUCCAGAAGUCUCCAUGCGGAUAGUAUAGGCCUUUCAUCACUCUGCUCAAUAAGGACGGAGAAUUUUGUGAGAUGCGCCACGCUUGUUUCCCCAACAUAGCUGUAUUGAAUGCUAUUAGGUCUUUAAAGCCUAGGCCCCCCUCAUUCUUUCUAAGUUUCAAUGCUUUCCAAUUCUUCCAAUGUAUUCCAGCAUUUCUACUAUUUUUUUUCCACCAAAAGUUAGCAAUCCUCCUCUCAAUAGCUUUGCAUAUGGAAAUAGGGAUCUUGAAUAUGGACAUGGCAUAUUGAGGAAUAGCCUGUACAAUCGACUUUAUUAAAAUUUCCUUCCCUACUUUUGAUAACAGAUGUUCCUUCUAGCUUUCUAACUUUUUGUUUACCCUCGCAAGGAUCCAUGCGAACAUAGCUUUCUUUGAACAACCCCAAUCCGUCGGGAUCCCUAAAUAUUUCCCUUUUUUUUCAAUUUCUGGAACUCUCAAUUCAUUGGCCAUGUUCCUCCUCAAAGUAAUAGGACAGCAUUUACUGAAAAUAUGUACCAAAUUUGUUGAGAUUAAUAGCCUGGCCAGAAGCAUAACAAUAUUCAUGUAGGAUAGCCGCCAGGUUUUGGCACUCUAGGAUUGUACCAUGAAGGAAGAAAAUUGAAUCAUCCGCAAAUAGCAAAUGCGAUAGAGUGGGGCAGCUGUUAUUCAGCUUAAUUCCUCUAAUAGUGCCGUCUUCUACUACUUUUCCCAUCAUGUAGGAUAGAACAUUGGCCACUAAUAUGAAGAGAUAUGGGGACAAAGGGUCACCUUGUCAAAUUCCACGUGUUGGCUUGAAAAAAGGUAGCGACUCCCCAUUAAAAUUCAUACUAAAAGUUACUGUUGAGACACAUUGCAUCACCUAAUGUACCCACUGUUCGCAGAAUCCCAUUUUAGUUAGGCAUGCACUAAGAAAAUCCCAUUCAAUCAUGUCAUACGCCUUCUGCAUAUCUAGCUUUAAGACUGCUUAGAACUUCUUUUUUCUCUCCCGAGUGCAUAAUCUGUGAAGAACUUCCUGUACCAGCAAUAUAUUAUCUUGUAUUAGCCUUCCCCCCACAAAAGCACUUUGCUCUUCUGCAAUUAGAGUUGGUAGUGGGGUUUUAAUCUGUUGGUCAGCACUUUUGAGAUAAUUUUAUAAAUGAAAUUACAAAGGUUAAUGGGGCGAAACUAUUCUAGCUUUUCUGGAUUUGGAACUUUAGGAAUAAGAGUAAUGAGCAUUCUGUUCAUGGCUGGAUUGAGAUAGCCCGUAUUGAAAAAUCCCUGUAUCUCUGUAUAGAUAUCCUGACAGAUGUCUAGCCAAUGUUUCCUGGAAAAAAAAAAAAAAGGCCAUGCAUACCAUCCGGUCGUGGAGCUUUGUGGGCUCCUAGUUGUUGCAUGGCUUGCGUGAUCUCUUCCAUAGAAACAGGUUCUACCAGACGUUGGUUCAUUCCCGCAUCCACCAAAGCUGGAAUUUGUUAUAGAAGGGGUUGAAAGUCUCGAGGCCCUGUUGACUAGUAAAGCAUUUUGAAAUAUGUGCUUGUCAUCUCUUUCAAUUGCUAUUCAUCACGCACCCACACAUCUUCUGGAUUUUUCAGUAAAGAAAUCUGAUUUCUGGUUCUUCUUUGAAUGGUUGUAGCAUGAAAGAAUUUGGUAUUUUUGUCUUCCCAUGCUAACCAAUUAAUUCCGGAUCGCAUUCCCCAGUACAUUUAUUCUUGUCGCCACAACUGUUCAAUUUCUUUUGUCAGUACCUUUGCUGCCUUGCUUUCUUGAAUACCCAUGUGAUGUUCAUUAAUUGUUGCAGUUCACUAUUCAGCCAAAUAAUCCUCCUCUUUGCAUUGGUAAAUUUUCCCCGACUCCAUUUUAACAACUUUUUUGCCACUAUCUGCAGUCUCUCAACCACAUUGAGCUGUUGGAAAUCGGAAGUAGCCCAGGUGUCCCUAACAAGGCUCACACAUUCCUCCUCCUCCACCCAAAAGGCUUCAUAUUUAAAGCUCUUCCUCUUCCUUUGUUUUGGUGGGCAAGUAGAUAGAAUAAUUGGAGUGUGAUCAGAGCCAAUGGCUGGUAUGGCUAUACAUUCUGCUAUAGGAUAUUUAAUACGCCAUCUAAGUUACAUAAUACUCUAUCAAGACGCUCCUUGACCAGAUUUUCUCAUUUUCUUUUGUUUGUCUAGGUGUAAGCACACCCCUUACAUUCCAUAUCUAGCAAAGAACAGUGGUUGAGGAAGUCCCUGAAGGCUGCAAGCCGGUAAUUUUCAGCUCUUUUCUUUCCCACUUUUUCCCAGUGAUAUAGGAUUUCAUUAAAGUUACCCAUACACAACCAUGGCAAGUGAUAACAUUGACUCUCUCUAUUAAUAUUCUCCCAUAACAUAAUUCGCUCCUUAAAUUCAUUCGGAGCAUGUAUAAAUGUAAUGUGCAUGCGCUAGUUGCUGGCUAGUAGAUAGCAUCGGGUGAAGAUAACAUGUUCCGUGAAAGAGUCUAUAGUUAGGAUUACCUCAUCAUCCCAAAAUGUUGCUAAACCCCCUACUGUACCUUCUAGAUUCACUAUGAAACAAUGCUGAAAGUGGAGUCUCUGCCUCAAUCUUAACACCUUAUGCUCCUGAUUUUUAGUUUCCAUAAUAAAGAUAAUAUUUGGCUUUUCUUGAGUCAUUAAGACCCUUAAAGCUUGAACUGUCAAGGGAGUGCCCAGCCAUUGACAAUUCCAGCUUAAUAUCUUCAUGGAUGAGGUUGUGGCUUAUUAGGGCUAGCCACUAGAGCCCACUGAGCAGACUUGUUUGCCACACGAAUAGGGGUCUCAACCAGCUGAGUAGUGUUGACCAUUACUAUUUUUGAUGAUUAAGCACCAUAUGGGUAGAAUCUUUUUCCUUUUUUUUUAGGAAGACAGUUUAGCACUUCUUGUUUUCUCCCUUGUUGGACCUUUUUCCCCAGCUAUAUUCUCCGCCAUUUCUACUUCAGCUUCUUUUAACUGUUCCUGAUAUAUCACCAUGACAUAUUCAUCAUCAAGGCAACUGCUACCUCGCUUCUGGGGGCCCUUCUCUUCAAAGAGUACUAAUGCUUGUGAAGAAAAGGUGUGGUUACCUUCCUUUGAGUUUAGGUUUUCGGCAUUGCUCAAUUCACCAAGUUGUUGGGUUUGCUGCAUUACAUUUUGUUGUUAUUCUGGUUCAGGGACCUGUUAAAUGGGAGUUUCAGGCACACUUUCCUCCUCCUCUGGAUGUAGUUCUUGUUUGCCAUAGAAAUUUUUUCCAUAUGAACUAAGCUCCCGCGCCUCUGCUCGAAGCCAAUGUCCAAAACGACCUGGUAAGUUCUUUACUAGUCCUGACUCCUCAUAUGGUAUUUCUUGACAGUAAGUUGCAUAAUGCUCGAUCCUACCACAUGAAUAACGAUAGUGCAGGAGCCUUUCGUACUUAAACUCUACCCACAAUCUUUUGCUGUCAAGAUUCACAAGCACACCAGUUUUGAGGGGGUUUUCCAAAUUCAACUUGACUCUAGCCCUGCCAAUCUUGUAGUUGUUGUUCCCUUUCACUUCUAAUUUUACCUCUAAUACAUCUCCGAUUUUGGAUGCUAUUUCCCUGACUACUGCAUCUGUUACUCUCCCGAUGGGUAAGCCAAAGAAAUUUACCUAGAAGUCAUAGUGGUUAAAUUCGUAGCAAAUAUCAGGGGUGUCAGGGUCACAUUGCUUUAAGACUAGUAAAUUACUCCCAAAGGACCACGCCCUUGAAUCGAACACUCGUUGUUUUUCAGCCUCCGACUGGAAAGAAAACGAGAAGUAUCCAAGCUCAAUAACAACGCAAGUAAAAGUUUCAUUUCGCCAGGCUUUUUUCAUUGCGUCGAUAAAUGCAUUAAAGUUUAUACUAGGCUUAUUAAAAAACUUCCCAAACAGAGUUUUUCGGCAUGUUUGCUGGUUUUCCUCAGGAAUGUCACCUGUAAUAUCUACAACAUCUUCCUCUUACCAAAGAUUGCCCAAACUCUUAUAGAGGGCAGCCACUCUCCUUUCUUCUUCAUACUGAUUGGCCAUCUUCUUGUAUACAGGAAUAUAAUUGAAAUAAAGUAUUAGAGCUAGCCUGAUAUAUUGCAGAACCACCGAAUACGGGAUGAUAAAAUACUAUGCGGUUGAAGGGAGCUUUGGGUCUGCAGGUGAAGACAAAUGGAAAUCAACACCAGCUGGUUGAUGAUGGUGGUCUUGGAAAUUUCUCGCUGAAGAUCCGGACUAUACGCUUGAAAUAAGAGCUGUGAUGUGAUUUAGGGCACCAUUUGUGAGCUAAUAGAGGGCUUUGUUGGUAGCGAAAGAGGAAUGGGGUUAGGGUUUUCUACCCAUCCUUUUAAUUCGAAUAUGUGGUACUGGGAAGGAAGAGGGUGGAAUGCAGUAGUGAUGGGUGGCGAGGAUGCGAUUCAACAGUGGGAAAACCUACCCGAAAGGUAGGAGAAGACUACUCAGGCGGUAGAGAGGAUUCUCCAUUGUGGAGAUUUCUCCAUUGAAAAGGGUAUUAUAGCUACUUCGUGAAGAGCAUGUAAACUUUUAGUAAAAUAGGAUUUGCAAAAAAAAUAUAAUAAUAAUAAAUAAAUAAAUAAAAGACACUCGCGUAUCUGAUUAAGAUGACUUUUCUUAUGAGAGGGGAAACAAUUCAAAAAUAUGGAUGUAAGGCAACAUCCAAGAAAGUAGGCAGACAAGGCUUAAAGAAAACGCAAGAUUAGGACACCUGAAUCAAUCAUGCAAUUCCUUUAUGAAAAAUUAAUAAAUUAAAAAUUAUUGUCCGGUGCAACAAGAUCCUCAAUCUUUGAUGCGUAUCUGAUUAAGAUGACUUUUCUUAGAAAGUGUACUUCUUGUUUUGUUUUUUCUUUACUCAAAUGGUUUAGGAGUGUGUCUUCUUUCAGAUGAUUUGGUCCAUCCCCUAACUUUUUCCGAAUGGUAUUAAUGCGAAUUCAUGUUCUCAUAGCACGUGAUAAUCCAUACUUGACAAUGUCUUCAUAUGAUUUAUAGCAAUGUAUAUCAUUAGUCGAUAUCCUCACAACAAACUAUAAGGAACAAAUCAUUUGUUUCACUUAACCUAAAUCAGUACAAGGCAACAUCCUAUUUGUUUAUCAACAUACAAGGUGCAAAUCUGAUGCACCGAUAGUAAUUUUCAGUUUUUUGUAUUUUCUUUUUCUUUUUUCGUAGAGAGCAAUACAUGCUCCAUGAAGGAGUUUGAACCUUCCAAGAAACAACACUCUCCAGCGCACAGCAUUGGGUCUCAUCCUCCCUGCAUAUCUUUCGACUAUUCGUUGACUCCCCGUCCCAAGCCCCGUCAAAUGAAUGGCCAGAACGAGAACUAAAAAGGGAAGGGGGAAGCAUGGAAUUGAAGCGUACCUGCGAAGCUCCCUACUUGCGCUGACGUCGGAGCAGUGACAGAUAGCAAAACCGACACGCCAUUGGAGGAAGAUGAAGAUGAAGAGGAGGAGGAUGAAGAUGGAGGAGAAGAGGAGCAAUGGAGAUUGCGGAUUAAGUUAUAAAUGAGAUUUUUAUUUUAUUUUAGGUUUUAGAACAUGAAAAUGGAGAGAUCAAAUCAAUUGAAUCGUCUCGCCAUUAUAUAAAGCCAAGAGGAAAACAUUUUUACCUGAGAAGGAAGAGAGAGAGAGAAAUGAGGAGGGAUUGCCACGUAGGCGCUGCUCGCGUCUUGUAGCUUUUGUCAAAUUAGGUAGUGCCACGUCACCCGCUUUUGUUAGGGGUAGGUACGUAUUAUUAGCCGUAAUUCUGUACACGCUGUCAAACGUGUUUUUCGUGGAAACACGUUUUCCGACUGCGUCCUCGGUUUCGCUCUAACCCUAGGAUGAACUCACAAAAUACAAUCAUUCGAAAAAUAAGAACUCAGAGUCAUGUAUCUCGUGAUCAUCAAACAAAAACAAAGAAACUCGAAGAGAAAAUUCAACCGAGAAGGAGAACGAGUGCACAAGAAUUUCUAUUAUACUUAAAAGGCCAUGCCAUUACCUUCCACAAUUUCGGGAGUUCAAUUAAUUGUGCAGAUAUCGGAGUUUGCGGACGUGACGCAUUUGCAUCGGUCCACCAUCAGCUGUCGUCUGCAUUGGGUCUCUCCUCUACACGAGUCUUUCGGGUCGUCCUUUCUCGGAAACCCGUUGGCAGCUUGUGUCACGCAAUCACGCCGCAACCCGGAUCGCCGCUUAACGACAUCGCCCUCCGGUUCCCUUGAGCAUGUAUAUAAACCCCAUGUAAUCGAUGGGGCUAUUGUCUCAAGUGAAGCGGACAGGUAACUUUGAAAUUGCCAAGUGUGUGGAGUAGUCAAAGUAUGUAGAAUUCCAUUGAGAUAUUUUCCCGAUCUUUGUGAUCCCUCACAAAAUGAGGAUAUCUACCGGUUGGCAUUCAUGUGAUCUUGCAAGAAAUUUGACAAUUGAAAUUGUGGAUAUCAAACGUUGUGCUGUUUCUGGCAGAUUAUCGUGUCAUCCGAGGAUGGACACAGUAAAGAGAUGAGAUCGUUCAAGCAAGAAAUGAGCUUCAGGAUUACGGACAUAGUAACGAGGGCAAAGGUGCUAAUUAUUGAAGUUGACAAAUAUUUAUCAUUGUGAAUGCUUGACCCAUGGUAUAGUUAACAGUUAACAAGACAGAUUUCCGUGAUUCUGUGGAACGCUUGCCGUGCUCGUAAUGCCCGUGGUUUCUUCAAAGAUCACGGGCUUCAGAAGCACUCGUUUCGACCGGUCAGAAGGUGCUUUCCAUGGAGAACUUAUGGUGGAGCAGGAUGUCGCUCGACAAGGAGCCAUCUAAAUGUCAUGUAAAAUUGCGUGGCCCAAACAGAUGGUUCCGUCUCUUUCAUCAAAAUUACGAAGCUGUCGCCUAAGCAUAUCACCACUCGCUAUUAACACCUUGUGAAUAGGAUAAUUAAAUGUGCUUUUUAAAUACAUUUUCAAUAUGCGCACGUUCAGAUAUUAAAAAAAAAAAUUAUUUCCAUUUUUCGUUUUCAAUAGAACGAGAAAUUUAAGAAAUUGCCCACGAACCAAAGGGCCCUUAAUCAAAUAAUUUUUUAGGAGGCAUCGCUCGUUCGCUCCUUUUUUUAAGAUUCUAUCUCUUUUGAAGGAGAAAGUACUUUUGCCUAGCCAAUCUGUUCUUUAACGCCUCUCUGCAUUUCAUUUUGUCUUUCACGAUUUAGCGAGGAAAGUUCCUGGCAAGUACGUGGAAUUCGCGGAACCAUGUGUCUACAGAUUCGGCUAAACAGCACUCCCAUUGCCCUAUACUUUGCAGUAAGAAUCGAUACCUGCAGAGCAGGUUUCAGCAGGAAUUAGGUAGGAUAGGUGCUCUGAAAGUCUUAAAACUUACCAUAAAUGUACAAUUGAAUAUUAAAAUUUUCAAAAAAUAUAAUUAAUUCUUUAAAAUUAUUAAAUUAAUCCGAUCAAGUCCUUUUGUUAAUUGCACUUUUUGAAAGGUAUCAGACUCGAAUGGACAUUCUUAACAAGUCUUAGAACUUUGUUGUGCUUUUUUUGAAAAUUUUACAAUUUAAUUGUACUUUUAUAACAAAUUUUGGGCACCUAUCACAUAUAACAAAUGCUCCCCUCGCUCUAAAACAUGUGCAUACCAUAGGGCGGUGCAUUACUCCAUCUUGAUUUGGCCCAUUAUAAGCAUAGAUAUAGCCUAUAAAUGCACUUCGUGAGAAAUAAAUGCUAUCCAUGUUUAUAAUCAUCAUCUACCAAUCAAGUGAUUGAAGGAAAAGAUGGGAGAAAAUACGACACUACCACCGCGUGUUCGUGGCGGUGGGGGCUAAAAUUCUAGAGAAUAGGAUUCCUUUUCUUUUACGAGAGACUGAUAAAGAUGAUGUGGGGUAUCAGAUGCCGAUGUCGGAGCAACAUUUCUAGGAAACCCGUCGGCAGCUACCACCUCCCUCGUCCCUCGAAGACCAAAAAGCAAACGAGCUCGCCGCGUGCAUAUAAGUACAUGAAAUCCAUGGUCAUUGUAUCCAUCAUCACUCCACGAAAUUCGAACGUUACCCUUUUCGCGGCUAACGCAACACCAAACUUCAGAGUUUUUUUCUCGUCUUUGCCAUUUGCAUUGUGCUGCCACCCUGUCUCGUAAUAGGAUCGCGAGCCUGUGUCUCUUCCUAGCGAUGACGAGCAUUCUCAGGGGCAACUGCAACGCCCGCUACGAGGUCUCGAUUGACUUGCCCGCUAUGCGCAAUUUCACCAAGCAAUGGCGUUUGGCAUUCGCGACCAUCUAUUCCUCCCGAGCCAUCAAUACCUCUGCAAAGAUAACCAAGAAAUUCCCUAGAAAAUCUCCUUCCUACACUUCGAUUUCGAUCUGCGAUGAGGCUCAGAGUGCUUGUUCCAAUCGACCCUGCUCCUUCAAGAUUGAUCAGUCCCGGCUCACCAAGCUGGUCAAGGAAAAGGACCUCCGCCACCUCCAGGAAUUCGGUGGGGUCAAGAAAGUCACCUCAACACUCGAAACUGAUGUCUCGGCUGGUAUAAGUGGUGACCCCGACGACGUCUCUCGCAGGCAAAAUGCGUUUGGCGUCAACUCGUACAAGAAGCCGCCUGCCAAGGGCUUCUUCCACUUCGUGUUCGAGGCUUUCAAGGACCUCACAAUCAUGAUUCUUCUUGUCUGCGCCGGGCUUUCGCUCGGGUUCGGGAUCAAGGAGAACGGGGUCAAGGAAGGCUGGUACGAUGGUGGGAGCAUAUUCGUCGCUGUGUUCCUUGUGAUCAUGGUGUCGGCUGUGAGCAAUUACCGGCAGAACCGGCAAUUUGAAAAAUUGUCUCAGGUGAGCAGUAAUAUUCUCAUCGAUGUGAUAAGGAAGGGUCGGCGGCAGCAGGUUGCCAUACUCGAGGUCAUCGUCGGAGAUGUCAUUUGUUUGAAGAUUGGUGAUCAAGUUCCGGCAGACGGGCUGUUCCUCGAGGGGUACUCCCUGCAGGUACGGACGGCAAGUUUUACUGGUUUGACCGCAUUAGAUACAGGGCAGUUCGUCAUUUUCAUAAUCUCAGUUCUAUGAUAAAAAGGAAGAGUAAUGGUUUUAAGUCAUGGUUCUAGUUAUAGUAGAACAAACUUAGUGAAAGAAUUUUACUGCAAAAAGUAUAGUUAAAAUAAAAUCAAUUUCUUCUUGUGUCACUAUUUAGUCAGAUUGAACGCAUCCUAUCGUGUCAUCCUAGCGCCACUAAAUCGAGAACAACUUUUGUAUUUUUAAUUGAGGUUGACGAAUCGAGCAUGACCGGGGAGAGCAAUCACGUGGAAGUGAACAGCAAUCAGAAUCCAUUCCUGUUCUCAGGAACAAAGGUAGCUGAUGGCUAUGCUCAGAUGCUCGUUACAUCGGUGGGUGUGAACACAGCAUGGGGCGAGAUGAUGAGCUCCAUCAGCCGUGACAACAACGAGCAAACGCCUUUACAGGCUCGGCUCAACAAGCUCACUUCGUUGAUUGGCAAAGUAGGCUUGGUGGUGGCAUUCUUGGUUCUCAUGGUCUUGCUGAUUCGCUAUUUCACGGGAAACACAGCGAAUGAGAACGGGAACAGGGAAUUCGUUGCAGGCCAAACAACAGGUGACGAUAUCAUAAACUCCGUGGUGGGCAUCAUUGCAGCUGCUGUGACAAUCGUGGUGGUCGCGAUUCCUGAAGGCUUGCCACUCGCGGUAACCCUCACACUUGCUUAUUCAAUGAAGAGGAUGAUGGUGGAUCAGGCGAUGGUGAGGAAGCUGUCGGCCUGCGAGACAAUGGGGUCUGCCACCACUAUUUGCACUGACAAGACCGGCACUCUGACAAUGAACCAGAUGAAGGUGACGAAAUUCUGGGUCGGCAAAGACUCCAUGGCAGAAAAUGCAUACUCCUCUGCCUCCAAGUGUGUCCUGGAUUUUAUUCAGGAUGGGGUCGCUUUGAACACCACGGGCAGCGUCUAUAAGCCAUCUUUGGGAUUGGAGUACGAGUUCUCCGGCAGUCCCACUGAGAAAGCGAUUCUUUCCUGGGCGGUUUCACAAUUAAGCAUGGACAUGGAAGAGAUAAAGAAGAGCUGUGAAAUCAUCCAAGUUGAAGCCUUCAACUCGCAGAAGAAGAGAAGCGGUGUCCUAAUGAAGAAGAGCACAGACAACACGGUCCUCGUACACUGGAAAGGAGCGGCAGAGAUGGUCUUGGCAAUGUGCUCAAGCUUCUAUGACGGGUCGGGGAUAAAGAAAGAUUUGGACAAAGAUGAAAGGAAGAAAUUCGAGCAGAUCAUACAGGGGAUGGCAGCGAGCAGCCUCAGGUGCAUCGCUUUUGCUCAUAAACAAGUCUCCGAGGAAGCGACCAAAGAAAGAGAAGAUGUGAAGAAGAUCCAAGAGGACAGCCUGACAUUGCUAGGACUUGUUGGUAUUAAGGACCCAUGCCGUCCUGGUGUGAGGAGCGCGGUCCAAGCUUGUCAGGAUGCGGGAGUGAACAUCAAGAUGAUAACAGGAGACAACAUCUUCACCGCUAAGGCCAUUGCCGCUGAGUGCGGGAUUCUCAGGCCUGGGGACGACACCUUCAAUGGAGCCAUCGUGGAAGGAGCUGAGUUCCGAAACUACACAUCUGAGGAGAGGCUUCAAAGAGUCGAGAAAAUCCGGGUCAUGGCAAGAUCCUCGCCUUUCGAUAAGCUCCUCAUGGUUCAAUGCCUGAAGCAAAAAGGCCAUGUGGUCGCUGUCACUGGGGACGGCACGAAUGAUGCACCCGCCCUCAAGGAAGCUGACAUCGGGCUCUCGAUGGGCAUCCAAGGCACUGAGGUCGCCAAAGAGAGCUCAGACAUUGUCAUCCUCGAUGACAAUUUCGCCUCUGUGGCAACGGUGCUGUGUUGGGGUCGAUGCGUCUACACUAACAUCCAGAAGUUCAUCCAGUUUCAACUCACGGUGAAUGUCGCAGCGCUCAUCAUCAACUUUGUGGCUGCGGUCUCCUCUGGCGACAUCCCCCUAACGGCAGUCCAGCUCUUAUGGGUGAACCUAAUCAUGGACACGCUUGGCGCCCUUGCCCUGGCCACUGAGCGGCCUACCAGGGAGCUCAUGGAGAAGCCCCCCGUGGGCCGGACGGAGCCACUCAUAAGUAAAGUCAUGUGGAGGAACGUUGUAGCACAAGCAACGUACCAAAUGGCCGUCCUCCUCACUCUACAAUUCAAGGGCGAGUUGAUCUUUGGGGUCAAUGAGGCGGUGAAGCGGACACUAAUAUUUAACGCGUUCGUACUGUGCCAAGUCUUCAAUGAGUUCAACGCGAGGAAGCUCGAGAAGAAGAACGUGUUUGAGGGCAUACACAAGAAUAAGCUGUUCCUCGGGAUCAUCUUUAUGACGGUGAUCCUCCAAGUGGUAAUGGUCGAGUUCCUGAAGCGGUUUGCUGACACAGAGCGGUUGAGUUGGGGCCAGUGGGGCGCAUGUAUUGGGAUCGCCGCCAUGUCUUGGCCUAUUGGUUGGGUCGUCAAGUGCAUCCCAGUCCCUGAUACACCAAUUUUUAGCUACUUGGGAUCCAAAAGCAAGAAGCUCGUGAGGAAAAUCGUGCACAGAGAACAGUAGGAACACUAAUUGGCCCUAACUCAAUGCUUUUCAUAAUACUGGUAUGUUGACUUUGUCCUUGAUGCUGUGUGAUUUUUUUCUUUGCCCAAAUGAGGAAUGUGUAAUCAAUGAUGUAACAUAUUCGAUUGAAAGAAACCAUUCAUUGAGAAUAAGGAAUGAGUAAUCAAUCUAUCUUUCGGCACCCGUCAAAAGAUCGAGCUUGGCUUCUCUGGGCUCAGUAAGUUGGCCCAGUUUUCUAAAAGGAAUUGACUCGAAUCAAAUUAAAGCGCUUCAAACCAAAGCCCAAAACUUUCAGAUUUUGUGCAUUAUUGUACUGUGCAAUAACAUUUUGUUUUUAUGCUAUCCUAGGAAAUAAGAGAAUUGGCUUGAACUAUAAGGACAUAUGUCGGCUUGUUGCAUCCUCGACCCCGUCAGUGUCCGACUAAGCAUGCAACUUCAUAACGUGUAUUGGUAUGAAUUACGGACAUGGACUAUGUCCAGACAAGGAAGAAACUCAUUACGUGUAUCGGUCACAAUUUUUAAUUAACUCAAAUUUAGUCAGGCCUUAUUCUCAGAAUUUAGAACGUACACAUACAGAAUUAUGGAUGAGCCAAAUCGUGCAUAUAUUAGGCACCAUGCCCUGCCCUUAACAUUGAGCAACCGACUGCAAAAGCAUCCUAGGGCUUGGAACUGAUAUGUUAGAUCGACCACUAUCAGGUCUUUUUGCUUAGAACUAAUGCAUGAAGAAUUUGGGAGGCAAAUGAAAUUUGGAAAAACUUGAACUUAGCAUCUUCUACUCUGAUAUUAUGUUAAAUAUUGUGAGAUCAUUGCCAAUGGCUUUUAAAGUUCAAGCUAUUAGAUAAAAGUAUGAUUUAAAAUUUAUAUAUUCUAUCAUAUCCACUCACAAUCAACACUAUGUGGAGAAAAUCUAGUAGUUCAAGCAUCGUACCAGGUAAUAGUCUCUUUUUGGUCUCGUGCAGAUACUGUUACGUUCAUAUAUCAAACAAUUGAAAAUAUGACUUGAAUUGAACUCCAUAUAGUAUUGCCGGAAAAUAGUUGAGGUAAUGAAUGUCGUGAUAGCUACUCAAUUAGAGCUCUUUUCAAAUCAUAGGAUCAAUAUUGCAACUUGGUUUCACUAUAGCUAGAGCAAAUUCUUAGGGAAAAUUGUCAGAAAAAUCAUAAACAUACUACAUUAUUACUAAUUUUGUCCUAACCCUUCAAAUAGUGCCAAUUUAUUGUCAAACCUUUUAAAGUAGAGCCAAUUCAAUCCUUUUAGCUAGUUUUGACCAUAUAUUGCUGACAUGAACCCUAACUGGCCUACAUGGCACGGUUGAUGUUGACAUGGGCAUUUUUCAAUAAUAUUUUGAUAAUUUUCUAAUUUUUUUUCCUUUCUUUUUUUUUUCCUCUUGUUUUCCUCCUUUUUCCUCUUGUGGCCGGCGAGGCCACUCUUGCUAGAUAUGAACAUAGAAUUUGAGUACCUAGAGGGUUAGGCUGAUCGGACUUGGGGUGCUUAAUGUUGAGGAAAAUUCAUUUAUUAGUUUUGAAGAUUGACAAAGCUUCCCUUAAUCGUUUUUUGAUUCUGAUGAUAAGAUUUUCCAAGUGGAAAUUCUGAUGUGUAUCAUCAGAUGUUACUUGUCAGACUCGAGGAUGUAGUAAAGAUCCUAUCCUCUAUAUUCAAUCUCAACGGAAUAAGGAUAGUGAUCGGACCUUGUGCUAACGGCUAGAAGAUCGAUGUGGAUUUCCUACCAAAUAUACCUUGAUUGUCCAAAAGGAAUUUAUCUAAAUCAAUCUCAUUGCAUAUGGAAUGCUCAAUCUACCAACGAAACAAUUAUAUUGAAGACGGAAAGUUCAACAUAGGAAAGACCCAACUUAUGGAAACCCAAUCUACUGUAUUGGCAGCAAAUCUUACGAGAACUUCUCUCUCAGCAAUCAAGAAGCGAUAAGAUCUUCCUAAAGUUUCAAGUCCAACAAUUUGAUUGGAUAAAUGAUCCUCAAAGAAGGUCCAACGGUUGGCUUGGACAUUGAGGAAUAUAAAAGGGAGUUGUACUGCUAAAGGACAUAAGAGGGAAUAUAGAAGUUAUGAAUUCCAAAGUUCACAAAAGUAUAAUCCCAAAUACUUUCAUCUUACUUGAGCUGAAUAUCGUAAUUUGUUAGAGGUCGUAAGUGUGAGAUUAGCAUAUCUUUCACACAAGCUUGAGUAGCACUUACUCAGUCCUUGUAACCUCUUAUUGAUUCUUACUAGUAGAAUCUAACAAAUAGGCUGUCAGCGUGGGAAAGUGGAUAUAAGAUUGUCAAAACUGAAUCACUAUAAUUCUGUUGUGUGCAAAUUUCUCUAUUCCUAAACUCCUAUUUAUAUUUUUGUGAAAUUUUAUUGAACACUGGUAAGAUCUAAAUUCCGCAUAACUAGUCGUCAAACGUUGCCCUAUUGCAAUAUCGUUUUUACUUGUGUAAAUUUCGCACUAUCAUCUAUUCACUCCUCUCUAGGUGAUUAAUCUAGCCCUAACAUUUGAGACUUGAGAGUGGGAGGUGGAGGUGGAACAAGGGAUAAGGCUGUGUCAUUUUUGCGAGAAGAAGAAGGAGGAAUCUGAAGAAUGCCUGAUGCUCCUCUUUCUUGCUGUUCUUUUUUCUCGAGUUUGGAAUCCUUGUGGGUUCGAAGAACGUGGUGGUAACCCUACGAACAUAUCUUCCACCAUUUUCCUGCUCUCUCUGUGGGAGUCUUGAGCGUGUCAUGAUUCUCUAUCCUCUGAAUCAGCAUUUAUUCGACAAAAGAUUGAGUUGAGUGAGGGCCGCCUCACUAAGUGUCGCUAGAGUGAGGCCAACCCUUGCCCACGUAGCAUCUAGUCUUGCUAAAUCUGGCAAGGGCCACUCUCGCUUAGGCGAGGCUAGCCAUUGCCAAACAUUGCCACGUUGGCCAUCGAAGGAAAGAGGAAAAAAAAAAUUCAAAAAAUUCAAAAAAUAUUAAAAUAUUAGGUAAAAAUGUCAACAUCAACAACGGUCGUACUUUUCAUGUCAACAAUAUGCAGCUAAAAUUAACCGAAAAGAUUGAAUUGGCUCUAUAUAAAAAAGUUUAGGACUAAACUGGUAUAAUUAAAAUGUGUAAAACUAAAUUGGCACCAUUACAAUAUGUUUAAGGUUUUUCUAACACUUUUCUUUCAAUUUUUAUGGUAAAGAGUUUUAGUUUCAGUGAUCGGCAGUAGCAACCUAACAAGCAUAACUAAGGGUCAAUAUCAUGAAAUGUGACAUAUUGACCUGGGUUGUACCGAAGAAUCAAGCGUGAUGGAACAUAGAGAAACAGAGCAUGAAUAGGACUAGAGUCCAAGAGCACUUUCCCCGGAGGAGAUUGAAUCAUGCAAAAGAAGCGGAAAACCAUGACGAAGAAGACGACGGACUGACCAUCCAGAAAGUUUCAUCCCCAAUUUGGUUUUUUCUCUCCUUCGCGAUCUUACCGGGAAAAAAGAUUGCCUUUUUCCUAUGGUCUCUACGUGUGCUCUUCAACCCGCCCAUCCGCUCCCUCAUAUCUUGGAACCUCCCCUCCUCUACCCCCAAAACGCGUGAGUUUUCCCAGAAGUUUCCGGACCGGAAUCACUGGCUCACAGCCCGGCCACAGCUAGCACGCACGCAUCUUCGUGUCGCCAUCGCCCUCGGGCGUCCGCCUGAGUCAGACAGAAAAAGAGCAUGACCAUCUCUCCAUUAUGUUAUUUUUUUUAAAAUCCUUUUUUAUUUAGCUUAUUCUUUUAUUCUAAUUUAAAUCAUAUUUGGAUCGAAAUGACAUUGUUCUAUUCUUAUCAUUCAUGUUUUAGUCAUGUUAGAGGCACAUAAAAAAUUUGAGUGCAUUAAUUUAAUAAAUUUUAGGACUUAAUUAUACUUUUUAUAAGUUUUAGGAUUUUCAGUGCACUUAUCUUUUUCUUUUCUUUUCUUUUUUCGCUUGAUGGGUUUGAAGCGUGACCUUUUACAGAAGACUUAAUCUGUCCCCUAACUCAUUGUAGCUGUCUUCAUGUCACUAUGCGUCCUUACAAUGCGUGGUUGCUUUGUCCAUCGACCUAGAUUUAUCAGGAAAAGUUGACAUAUCAAAUGCUCAAUACACUCCUUUGAAUGGGGUUUGGAAUUCUAAUAAUUACUGUGGACCACAUGUGAAACGACACUAUUUUCGACUAUUUUCGCUUACCUUGAGGAGGGAGUAUUGAUAGAUGGCCAAAUAAAAAUUGCAAUGCUUGAUUUAUCGUUAAUGUUCUUACAUGAGAUUUGAUCAGGCCAUAUAAUGGCACUUGAUCUAGCCAUUUUAUCAAGAGUACUAAUAUAUUUACUAAAAGUAUUAUUAAAGAGUUCUUGCUAAAUGUGUUUGCAAUUUGAAUUUUCACGUGAACUUGCCACGUUAUGGUAAAUUGAGAGAGAGAGAGAGAGAGAGAGAGAGAGAGAGAGAGAGAGAGAGAGAGAGAGAGAGAGAGAGAGCCCUAUUGAAAUAAAGAAAGAGUGUUAUGAAUUUUCACAUGAACUUGCCACAUUAUGGUAAAUUUGGCAUUUCGGUGACUCAAAAAUUAAUUUGAGGUAAAUUUGUUAUUGGUAUACCACUUUGGAGUUUUUCAUUGUAUUUACCCUUAAAUUAAUGUCUCAAGUUUGAGCAGUGUAUGAGACCCAACCUGAUUGGAGAAUAUAUAUUGAUCCUAGUUGCAAUAAUAAUUAGGCUUAGAUUUUCUUGGUUGGUUAUUAUGUGAUAUAUAAUAUUUCUUCAAUCGGCAAUGGUCAACUCAUGCAUGUCUAAGAAGACCAACAAUUGAACUCUAUAGAGUUUUACAUUCAAUGGAGUUGUUUUUAUUUUUUCUUUUUAUUAACACUAUGGGCUUUAGUCUAAUUUAGGCAUAGGAAAUACUCGAACAAGUUAGCGACCAUAAUUCUUGUUCUCCAAUUAUUAUUAAAUUAUUUGUUGCCAACUCUCAUCAUAGAGCAAAUCUCCAGUGUCCUCUAUUGUUUCUCCUUUAUUAUUUUUGAUUUCGCGUCGAUUUAAUUUUAAGAUCCCAUCAAAUUCUAUUAUAGGUGAGCAUGGUUCCAAAGUAAAAUUUGCAAUCAAAGAACUGGACAGGUGGAAACAUGUUUGGUUCCAAAUUCCAAGAUAUGCAGGGUAGGUUUUAGAUUCCAAAAACUAGGAAAGUUGUUUCAAUGGGUAAAUUCCAAGUUCUAAGUAAGUGGAACUUGAAACUUGUUUUUAUGUUUUUCUUGGUCUAUGUUUUAGCGCAAUCCCGUGGUACUCCAUGGCAUCUGAUCUAAGCUUCCUUUUUAUAAUAAGGUUUUUACUUUAUUCGUGUAUCUAAAUAUAAAUUGUGAUUAGUUGAUUGUAAUAAAAAACGGCAAUCAUUAAAGGUGACAAUAAUUAAUAAUAUAUGUGGAACUUGAGUGAACCCUAGAAUCUAUGCUGAACUUGUAACAGAGUAGGUUUCAGAUUUUAAGAUAUGCAGAGUAAAUUCCAGAUUCCAAAAAAAAAAUCCUAAAGAGUUAAUUGCAGGUUUCAGAUAGAAUUUAUACAAAGCCUAAAAUCUUGUGCAAAAUCUUAAACUUUUCAUCUCUAAUUUCUGCCUUAAUUUUAUGAACGGUAUCUUCAGCUAAACCAUUCAUUGGUGCAUUGUGUAUGCCGACAUCAUCCCCCAUGAAUAAAUUUAAAAACGAAUGAUCAAUCUAUCAAUUAGAAAUAGAUGGAGGGGAAACAAGACGCAACCGUGUCAUUUCUGGACGGGCGGGACGAAAAGUAUAACAAACACAGCGUGGAAUCUCUGAGUGAUGCGUCACAUUCCGUGCGCGACGGCCGCAGGAACCUGAUGGAUCUUUUGGCACGGGUCAAAGGAUCGAGCUUGGCUUGUGAAAGGAAUUGACUCGAAUCAAUUUGAAUGGCUCGAAGCCAAAGCCCAAAACCAUUCCUUUAAAACUUGUCAUUUGCACAUGUCAAACUUCAGAUUAAAAAAAAAAAAUUUGAAAAACACAAUAUCUUUUGCAUUACUAGUUUGCUUCUUCAGAUAUGGGCAUGAAGAAACGACGAAUUCCAUGACCCGAGUCACCUUCAUAUUGCCAAGAAUGUCGAGGACAAAAUGACUGCAUCAGCAUGACUCGCAUAGAUUAUGUCAAGGCAAGGAGCAAAUUCAUGAAGUGUAUCGAUCACAUUUCUAAUUAAUGCAAUUCAAGUCAAGCCUUAUUCUCCUGCAGACAUAACAACAUCAAACAUAUAGCUCACGAGCAGAGUUCAUUGAAUGACACGAAGAGUAAGUUUAGAGAACACAAAUUCUUCGGUCUACAACACUUUCUUUUGUCAUUGUGGAAAACCAUUUCCUUACAAAACUUAAGUAGUCAGAAAAAUAACUUGAAACAUAAAAUUUAAGUGUAUUUCAUUACAUCCAUUUUGACUUUGAGGACAUUUGGAACUUUGCUAGGGAUUGUGUGGCGCCCGGACUUAAAUAACAUGAUUUCAUGUCAAAAGGUUUUACAAAGGGAUUAACCGAGACUUAAAUCUCGAAGGUAGAUUUUGAUUGAGUUGAAGUUUCAACAAGAAACCAGAAAAUAUAUUCUUAUUUUAUUUUAAUUGAACAAAAGCGCGUGAGCGAAACAAUUACAUAAAUGUUUUUGGUCAGAAAACAAUUACAAUAAUUCAGUGGACACAGUUCUCGAGGAAAAAAAUUCUUAGGUAAAUAUUUCCGACUUGUCCCCAAAUCGUGGCAUCAGUAAGUCCUGCCGUAAGAUUUUGAAAUAGAGCGAUAGUAUUGUGUCACGGCCCGAAAGUUAGCAUGUCCAAGAGGUUUCCAUGGCACGGGCGUGAUAGGUGAUGACCCUCGACCUAUGUUCCCGAGAUGUACAGUAUUCUCCUAGGGGCGGGUGAUACCGUAUUUGUACGCAUACGAUAUAAAUGCGAGUAGCUGGUAAUUGGCAAUGAAUGCCGGUAGUUGGUAGAUGGGGAGGAGCAAUUUCCACCGUUAGAUCUAAGGGAGAUCUACGGAUAAGGUUUGCCUUAUACUUGUAUAUAAAGGGGUGUCCUCCCCCAUUGUAAUCCAUUCACAACAUAUAUGAAAAUCCAGAGCUUCUCUCUCAUCAAGUGUUUCUCUCUCUAGAAGUUCGUUGUGAGUCGAGUGUGAAAGGCUGCUUAGGGGUAAAACCUUAAGGCCACACGAGUGAAUCGAGAGUUGAUCGAGAGUUGAUCGAUCGGCCCGUGACAAGUGGUAUCAGAGCUGAUUUGCGAUCCAAGCGCAAGUGCAAUGGCUGAUCCACGAUCCGAUAAAGCGUUGGUCUUGGGUGAUGACGGCGCUGAUCGUGGGCGGAACGCCGAGAAGGGCGGUGGCCGAGGGAAGAAGACCCCGGUGGUUCAAAAGAGCCUAUGGGAGAUCUUGCACAACGGAUGGCGAAGCUAGAGUUGUUCGUCUCCGAUGUCCAAGGAUUGGUCGUUGACCUGACUCAGACCAUGGACGGAGUUGACGCCGGAAGGGAAGAGCUGGUUGCGAAAGUGCAAGAGCUCAAGACCGGCAUGGGAGAACUCCGCCAUGAGUUGCUGGGGACCCUACAGGAGGAACUCACACAGCAGUACGAACCCUUGGAGGCUGCGAUGGUGGCCAUGCGCGCAGAGAUUGCGGAGCUUACGGGUAAGCUCGCUGAAGCACAAGCUGCACGCGUGAACGGUGUCAUCACGGUGCAGGGUCCACGGGUGGACACGCCGAAGCCUAAGGAAUUCCGGGGCUCGCGGGUGGCCAAGGAUGUGGACAACUUUCUGUGGUACAUGGAGCAAUACUUCCAGGCCAUGGGAAUCAACGACGACCAAACUUGGGUAAACACUGCAUCGAUGUAUUUAGCUGAUAUUGCAUUAUUGUGGUGGCGUCGUCGGUCGGAUGAUAGGUGUGGGAAUCCUAUCACGACCUGGAAUGGUUUCGUCAAAGAGUUUCGACGGAACUACUUCCCCGCUUACGCGGAAGAGGAAGCUCGUGACGAGCUGAAGCGUCUCGAGCAGAAGAGCGGUGUGCGCGACUACAUCAAGCGGUUCUCGGAGUUGCUGCUCCAAAUCCCCUCGAUGAAUGAAGUCGAAGCGUUUCACCAGUUCAUGGGUGGUCUCAAACCAUGGACGAAGCAAGAGCUAAAGCGGUACAACGUGGGAGACCUCACUACGGCCAUGACCGUAGCCGAGUCGCUUGUGGAGUACAAGGCGUCACCUUCCACAUCCCGUCCGGACACCCGUCCAAGGGAUAAGGGCACUGGUGGGGGAGAUCGGGGUAGAUUCAACAAUCGCCCGACUGGAGCUAGACCGCCGAACGGUCCUCAUCCUCACCGGGCUAAUACGGGACAAAACGGAGGUGGGCAAAGGAAGGAACGCUCGUAUAGCUGUUUCUUUUGCGACGGUCCGCACAUGGCGCGGGAUUGCCCGAACAAAGCCAAGCUGGCUGCUCUUUGCAAAGAGGACGAGCCUAGGGAGGAAGCGCGGUUGGGAUCGUUGCGCCUCCUUAGCACGAUCAAGGCCAAGAAGACCAAAGAACCUAAGGGUUUGAUGUUCGCGGACGUGAAGAUCGGAGUGACCACGGUGAGUGCGCUGGUGGACACGGGAGCAUCCGACAUCUUCAUCUCGGAGGAGGCCGCGAAGAAACUUAACCUACGGGUUGAGAAGGGAGCCGGUUGGCUCAAGAUCGUGAACUCAAAGGAAGUCCCUGUGAUCGGGGUUGCAAAGGACGUGGAGCUACAACUCGGAUCAUGGAAAGGCAAGGAAACUCUAGAGGUAAUUCCACUCGACGACUACGAUCUUGUCGUUGGAAUUAAAUUUCUAGAUAGAAUCCAUGCUGUUGUAGUUCCCUUUGCGGAAUGUAUAUGCGUGUUGGACAAGAGUAGCCAAUGCGUGAUUCCGGUCCAUCGUGAGUCGGAGCGUGAUCGGAAGAUGAUCUCGGCCAUCCGACUCACCAAGGGAGCAAGGAAGGGAAAGGUGACCUUCCUGGCGGCCUUGAAGAUUGAGGACGACGAGGGUGAAGGGAAGGAAGUCCCGACGGAAGCAACCCAAGUCCUCGACUCGUUCAAGGACGUCAUGCCUUCGGAGCUGCCGAAGAAGCUGUCACCCAAGAGGGAGGUGGAUCACCGGAUCGAGCUCGUGCCUGACGCUCGACCGCCUGCCAUGGCGCCUUAUCGUAUGGCGCCACCCGAGUUGGAAGAGUUGAGGAGGCAACUCAAGGAGCUGCUCAAUGCGGGCUACAUACGGCCAUCAAAAGCCCCGUUCGGUGCGCCGGUCCUGUUCCAAAAGAAGCACGAUGGAUCACUCCGGAUGUGCAUCGAAUACCGGGCGUUGAACAAGCUAACCGUGAAGAACAAGUACCUGAUCCCGCUCAUUACGGAUCUCUUUGAUCAACUUGGGGGAGCUCAGUGGUUCACCAAACUGGAUCUCCGAUCGGGAUACUAUCAAGUUCGGAUCGUUGAGGGGGACGAGCCAAAGACAGCCUGCGUAACGGGUAUGGAUCCUACGAGUUCCUGGUGAUGCCGUUCGGCUUGACUAACGCUCCGGCCACUUUCUGCACAAUGAUGAACAAGGUACUCCACCCUUUCCUAGAUAGGUUUGUAGUGGUUUAUCUGGACGACAUUGUGAUUUAUAGCCGAACGUUGGGAGAGCAUGUCGAACAUUUAAGGCAAGUCUUCCAAGUCUUGCGCGAGAACGAGCUGUUCGUCAAGCGCGAGAAGUGUGCCUUUGCACAAAAAGAAGUUCCGUUCUUGGGGCACAUUGUUGGGGGAGGACGUGUGUGGAUGGACAAGGCGAAGAUCCAAUCGAUUGUCGAAUGGGAGCCGCCAACGAAGGUACCUGCGUUGAGGUCGUUCUUGGGCCUCACCAAUUACUACCGACGGUUCGUGCGGAGCUACUCAAGCAUCACCGUGCCACUCACGGAUCUACUGAAGAAGGAGAAGGCGUGGGAGUGGACGGAUCGAUGCCAAAGAGCCUUCGACCGAUUGAAGACUGCCAUGACCGAGGAGCCGGUGUUGGCGUUGCCCGACCACACCAAACCGUAUGAGGAGGAGACUGACGCAUCGGAUUAUGCCAUAGGAGGUGUCCUUAUGCAAGAUGGCCAUCCGGUGGCGUUUGAGUCUCGGAAGCUGAACGAUACCGAGCGACGGUAUACCGUUCAAGAAAAGGAGAUGACCGCGGUGGUCCAUUGCCUCCGAACAUGGAGACACUAUCUCCUGGGAUCGAAGUUCGUCGUGAAGACGGACAACGUGGCCACGAGCUACUUCCAGACCCAAAAGAAGUUGAGUCUGAAGCAAGCUCGAUGGCAGGACUUCCUGGCGGAGUUCGACUACACGCUGAAGUACAAGCCGGGGAAGGCCAACUCCGUGGCAGACGCGUUGAGUCAAAGAACGGAGCUGAUGAGCCACACGGUGAGUCGACCGAGCUGCCCUUGGGUCGACCGCAUCAAAGAAGGGCUAGAGCAUGAUCCAAGAGCCCAAGCUCUCAUCGGGUACGCCAAGGAAGGUAAGACCCGACAGUUUUGGUGUGAGGACGAGCUCCUCUACACCAAGGGAAGGCGGUUUUAUGUGCCUUCCUAUGGGAAGCUAAGGAAGGAGAUCUUGCGCGAGUGCCACGACUCGAAGUGGGCGGGUCAUCCUGGGAUCCACCGCACGUUGGCCCUCGUCGAAGAUCGGUACUAUUGGCCACAAAUGCGUGACGAUGUGGAGGCGUAUGUGAAGACUUGUCUGGUUUGCCAACAAGACAAGCUGGAGCAACGGUCGUCGCCAGGUUUGCUAGAGCCACUUCCCAUCCCAACUCGUCCAUGGGAAAGCAUUUCCAUGGACUUCAUCGUCAACCUACCGAAGUCCGAAGGGUGCCGGACUCUAAUGGUGGUGGUAGACCGGUUUUCAAAAUACGCAACCUUUGUGCCUGCGACAAAGGAUUGCCCGGCCGAAGAGGCGGCCAAGUUGUUCAUGAAGCACGUAAUGAAGUACUGGGGAGUGCCAAGAACGAUCGUGAGCGAUCGGGAUCCCCGCUUCACGGGACGUUUCUGGUCCGAGUUGUUCAAGCUAUUGGGGUCGGAGCUGAACAUGUCAACGAGUCUGCAUCCCCAAACCGACGGUCAAACGGAGCGGGUCAAUGCACUCUUGGAGAUCUACCUCCGGCACUACGUGAGCAUGACGCAAGUGAAUUGGGCGAAGUUGAUCGACGUAGCCCAGUUCUCCUACAACUUGCAGCGGAGCGAGUCGACCGGCCAGAGUCCGUUCGAGGUUGCAACUGGGCAGCAACCGAACACCCCGAGCACGAUUGCUUCGGGUUACCGGGGGAGUAGUCCGCCCGCAUACAAGUUCGCCAAGAACAUGCAAGAAGAGGCAGACUUGGCUCGGGCGUGUCUACAUAAAGCCUCCAAGCGCAUGAAGAAAUGGGCGGAUAAGAAGCGACGGCACGUGGAGUUCCAAGUCGGAGAUCAAGUGCUGGCCAAGCUGCACGUGGUUCUUCGAUACAAGGACGUGCACAAAGGGUUGAUCCGUCGCUACGAGGGACCAUUUCGAGUGCUACAACGAGUUGGAAAGGUCGCAUACAAACUGGAGCUACCACCAAAGCUUAAGGUGCAUCCGGUGUUCCACGUAAGUAUGCUUAAACCUUUUCAAAUUGAUGAGGAAGACCUGGAUCGAGGGAAGUCACAACGAGCGCCGCUCGGGGCAAAGACCCCGUACGAUCGAGAAGUCGAGAACAUCUUGGCGGAUCGAGUCAUACGGAAGAGGUAUUGUGCGGCCAAGUGCGAAUAUCUGAUCCGAUGGAAAGGUCUUCCGGAGAGCGAAGCCAGUUGGGAGCCCGAGGAGAGUCUUUGGCAGUUCAAGAAAGAGAUAGAAGAUUUCCAUGCCGAAGACGCGACGAGGGCGUCGCCUAAUUAGGUGGGGGAGAAUGUCACGGCCCGAAAGUUAGCAUGUCCAAGAGGUUUCCAUGGCACGGGCGUGACAGGUGAUGACCCUCGACCUAUGUUCCCGAGAUGUACAGUAUUCUCCUAGGGGCGGGUGAUACCGUAUUUGUACGCAUACGAUAUAAAUGCGAGUAGCUGGUAAUUGGCAAUGAAUGCCGGUAGUUGGUAGAUGGGGAGGAGCAAUUUCCACAGUUAGAUCUAAGGGAGAUCUACGGAUAAGGUUUGCCUUAUACUUGUAUAUAAAGGGGUGUCCUCCCCCAUUGUAAUCCAUUCACAACAUAUAUGAAAAUCCAGAGCUUCUCUCUCAUCAAGUGUUUCUCUCUCUAGAAGUUCGUUGUGAGUCGAGUGUGAAAGGCUGCUUAGGGGUAAAACCUUAAGGCCACACGGGUGAAUCGAGAGUUGAUCGAGAGUUGAUCGAUCGGCCCGUGACAAUUGCAUAUCUCUCCACUUGAACUUUCUCAUUGAUCAAUAAAUUACCAAAAAUUAAAUUCAUUGAGACACGGUUUGCAAAUGUUAAAAUAAACUACCAAAAACACUCUCAGAGGGAGUCUCGGUGAUCAACAAGGAAUAACUAAAAGAAUUAAAUUCAUUGAGAUGACUACGAUUUUUCUCUUACUUAUAAUUUCAAUUUUCAUUUAUUUGCAUAUUUUCUAGUAUGAUGAAUUUAUCAUAUGCUAAAGACAAUAGCCAUAUUAAUCGACCAUUGAAGUAAAAAGUAGUCUGUGAAUCUCCUUUUCAAAACAAAUAGUAUCACUAGUAAAUUUACCAAUGACACACUUUAUGUAAGUAAUGUAGAGAUAGAAUGAUUCACAAUGCUAAAAUUAUAACGUAAUUGUGCUUAUAUUCCUAUAAAAAAUGCCUCAUUGUUAGGAGAUUUUCCAAGUUAUAACUUAGGUAGCACGGACAUGUUGUCCGUGCUUCUGUGUCGUGUUUGACACGUGCCAGAGCGCAUUGAACACGUCGACACACUCGGACACGAUCAGACACGAGGUCAACACCUGUCGGAAAUUCGGCACGCGGUCAACGUGUGCCCGACACGUUUCGACAUGCGUGUCCGGAAGAUGAUGAAGGGUGGAAGUGACGGCGAGGGAGUAGAGAUGAGGCCGCGACGGCGAGAGAUGGCCACCACUGUGAUGCUACGACGAAUCCGACGAGGUUGUAGCUAUGAGGGAGAAAGGGCCAAAGGCGAGAGGAAGAGGAGAGGAAGGUGGUCGUGCAGCGAGCAACGAGGAAAGGGGUUUGUGCGGCGAGCAACGAGCGGCAAGGAACGAGAAGAGGAAGGGUUGCGUAGAGCUAGGGUUUUUGAUGGGCCAUUGCGUAUUGGGGGAGGGAGGGGAAGAGAUAGGGACAGCCUGUUUGUCAGUGAAGGGGAGGGAAAGAAAAAUAAAUUUUGGGGGGGGGGGGGGAUGAACCAUGGGGGGGAGGGAAAAAAAAAAUAAUUUUGGGGGAGGGGGGGGGGAAAUGGACGAGGGAAAGAACUAGAAGAGGGUGGGGUGGACCUUAGUGGAGAUUUGUUUUUUUUUAAUGGAAAAAUAAAUAAAUGAGAUUAAAAUAUAAUUUCGAAAAAUAAAAAUAUUGAAUUUGAAUUAAAUUAAUUAAAAAUAAAAAUAUUCAUUUAAUAUAUAACGUGUUGAAAUGUGUCGGAAUUCUCUACUUUUUGAAAAAUAACGUGUCACGUGUCGUGUCGUGUCAUGUCGCAUAUCCGUAUUGCCAUGUCCAUGCUACCUAGGUUAUAACUGAUGUAGGACAGCAAGUCUGAUUUCAAUGAUCGCAAUCAGUUGAGAAAUUGUGACGAACAAAUAGUCAAAAUGAGUAGAUUCUUUAGGCAUCACAAGCGAAGCUUCCUAAACAUCACAUCUAUGGUUUCUUAAGCAUCACACUGAGGAAAAUAAUGUUAUUAUACAAUCCCAGAGGAAGGAAUUGCCAUUCUCAAUUACUCGUUAACUCUACAGAGAAGAAAGAAUCACAGCCAUAUAUAUAGACUCCCUAAGAGUUCUUUGAAAGAGGAAACCUCCAAACAAGAAGAACAAUUGAAACUUUCUUAUAAUGUUUAAUGAAGCCACAAAAAUAGGCUAACAGGUAUAAAUUUGAUUUAAUUUUUUGGGGGGCAAAAUAGCAUUCAUUUUAGAAAUAUUAUUGUAAGUGGAAUUUGUAUUCAAAGUCUUAAGGCAUGGGAAUGACGAUGUCCGGUAUCCGAUGCCCUUGAUGAGCAGCUGACUGCGAAGCGUUUGGAAGAAAUAACACGGCAUUGGGGCUCCGUUUCGGGAAAACCCAUCAGCAGAUAACACCUCCCUCCACCGUCCCCCUCGGUUUUGAAGUCCAAAAAGCCAAAAAGAGCUGGCCGUGUAAAGGCCGAAAAAAAAAAAAAAAAACAAAAACAAAAAUGAAAAAGAAGCAUAUCUUGUACCCUCGCACAAAUGGUGUCACCCUCUCGUUCUGCUUAUGAAAGUACAUGCAAUCCAUGGUCAUUGUAUAUCUCCCGGAAAGCAAGCGAUCGAAUAAUAAAAUAAAUAAAAUAAAUAAAUAAAUUGAACAUCAUAUUUACGUAAUUUGGUCAUAAUGACCUACAUCCACAAAGCGAGCAGCAGUGAAUUCUUUUAUAAAUAAAACAAUACAACGAAGGUUACACACUCGAGUCACUCAAAUACUUACGGUGUUUCUCAAAUUCUAAUUACAUCCAAUAACAUACACAGUGUUUAGUCUCGCAAUUCUUUGCAAAAUAAUCUCUUAAUCUCGCAAAAGUAUUAAACAAAUCUUAUGAUGACUACAAAUACUAAUCUUUCUUAGAUGUAAUUCAUGAACAAUAUUCCAUGUCAAGUUGUGACAUCCUGAUUUUUCAAAUCUGAUUUCAAUUGAAUAAAUCGGGCCUUUCGUCGACGCGCUAAUAGUGCUAUUCUUUGAGCUGAUCACUCACGAGAUAAUUGGACUAUCUGGGGAAACAAGUAGGGAAUCUAAAUGCAAUUGCACUUGAGAAUUCGACCAAGAAUCGACUGCUCGACCGUGUUGAUCUGCAAGGGUCAUUACAGCACCGUCAGAGAUCGAUUAGAAAUCAGAGAUAGGUCGAUUCGACUGAGAUAUGUGAUCAAAUUAUGGGUGAUUCCACUUGAUUGAAAAAUUCUCAUCGAUCGGCACUAAAUUGAUUUUUGUCGUUUUGGUAUCCGGUGCCCGUAAUUGAAACCUUGAGAUUUUCACGACAACUGAGAGUUGCUAAUGUGUCGAAGAUGUACUUUGUGACUCGAGAUAAAUCGAUCACGGGUCAAUUGCACCAAAAAUUCCUAAAAGUUAUCCGGUAGACUAGGUCACGCUAAAAGCGCGCCGAAUUGAAAAUAACCGCGAAUUUGAACCCGAUUUCAGAAAUUGAAAGUUCUGAGGUGUCACAAGCUAUUUUAGGGACGUCGGCUCAUCCUCCGAAAAUUUUUCAGAGAUUUCGAGAUUUUUACGGAAAACCGUUUCGGACGCCGCAGAAAAUUAACGGAAAUUCAAAUGGGCCAAAUUGAUGGAAAUUGGAACUUUCAAGCCAAGCCUUCGAGUGUCAGGGACUUAUAGAAAAUUAUAUGGGAUUUUUCUACAUCAAAAUUUGACUUCAAUUUUGGGAUUUUGUUGAAGAAAUUAAAGAUCAAGAGUGGUGAAAUUCGGAUAUAGGCCUAGGGCUGGAAAUUUGGUGUCAAUUUGAAGUAUUUGAGGUAUUUAAAUGUUGGGGAAAGUAUUAGGAGACCAACUAAUCAAUGCAAGAGAUAAUAUCUUUGACUUCAAGCCUCCAAGCUUGCCGAGCACACUUUGCCAGCUGCUUCCCUCCUGUCGCUGUCCCUCCUUCACCGCCUCUGCUCUCUACAUUUCUUCUUUCGGUUGAAACCAGGGAACGACAGAGAUCCAACUGAGAGAAGUAGCUCUCGCCCCCACCAAAUUUCUUCCUUCGCAUGGCCACAUUCGGCAACAAUCGAGGGAUCCAGUGAAGCGGCAUCACCGUUCACCGAAGUAACUCCGUGCUGCGUCUUCUCUCCACACGUCCGCAAGCCCUGUUUCCUUCUGCCCAUCUCACGCACCGAACAACCCCACUUAUAGAGUCAAUACCAUCAUCCAACAAAAGCGGUUUGUUGACUCCGCUUGUUCCUUUGCUGCCUCACACUCGACGCCCUCUCCACGCGGCAAGAAAUCUAGCCGCCCUUCAUCCAUCUUCGUUGCUGCCUCAAUUUCUUCGAGCCGUGCACUCUUCUAGCAAAGCAGCUGGUGCCAGUCAACCACGCCAUCCCUGAAGCGGUUUGUUGACCGAAGCUGCCCUGCCCGUGUCUUCGUAUAGCUCACCCACCGAAGUGGCAAUUUUUCUCCACGCGACCAGCAAGCCCAGCUCGAGGCUGCUUCUUCUCCAUGGCUACUCCUUCAUUCAACCCAAGUGAAGACCGAAGCCCUCGGAUCCAGUAGCUUCAGUCUCCUCUUGCGGAUCAGCCCAGCUUCACCAAAUCCGGUCCAUAGCACAGCCAGCAAUUCCUCGGCCCAAAUGAAGUCUUCAGCCCAGUGAUUUUCAGCCCAUCUACCACAGACUUUGAAGCCCAAGCUUAGGCCUAAGUUCAGUUAGUUCUAGCCCAUUUGAAGUUCAGCCAUUUUGGGCCCAAGAAGAAGGCCCAAGCCUGCGACCAGCAGCUUGCAGAAGCCCAAGACCUAAACUCAGCCUUGCUGAGUUGUGUUGGGCCCGUUUUAGGCCCGGCCCAAGUUUGCCGACACCGCCGAAAAUUAAGAUUUCGGCCGCCGUCGCGUCGUCGUCGCGGUGAACCGGUUUUCGCGAUACACCGGUGAGUUUAUACUCUAAACUCUGCUUAGUAGGUUAAUGACGUUUAAGGGGUGUUAGAUUUAUUUUAUUAGGAAUUAGGUGGUUAUUUAGAUUAAAUUAGAAAUUAAAUUAGUUAAUUGAGCAUGUUAGGUGGUUAGCAUGGUUUAGGUAAGGCCUAAAUAAAUUGUACUAUUUAUCUAGAAGGGUUCGGAAAUUUUCCGGGUCCGUAUUGGUUAUUAAUUUAAUGAUUUUGGCCUAGGUUAUUAUUUGUAGCAUUUAAAUUGAUUUAUUUAAUUAAUUUCUGUAAUUAUUUAAUUAUUAAUUAUUAAUUAAUUUCUGGGAUAGUCGAUGACCGGAAUUUCGUGCUAAUUGCAAUGGUGUGGUUAAUUUCUGCAGUUGAAUGUUAAAUUAUGCAAAUUGAGUGUUGAUUUGACUGAGUAUUUAAUUCCAAAAAUUGUGAAUUUCCAAUAUUUAUUCAGAAAAUCCCGGGUGUCGGGUUUUGACACCGAAAAUAGUUUUUAGUACUAUAUGCAAUAGUGGGAUUUUAAAAAGGAUGAAUAUCAAUUUUUCUGGAUCAAGUUGACCGUGUACCCACACACGAGUAAUUUCAUGUGAAUUUCUAAUACGAAGAAAAAGGUCAGGCUCACCAUUUUAAUUGAAGCAUUUGAGUGCAAUGCACGGUGCCCUGGGUCAUAUUUGAGUGAUCGUGUGAUGGUUAUGAGAAAUCGUCCCGGGCUGUUGAGCUGGACAUUAUCCUUAUUUGGGAUACCCUUUGGACAACGGGAAGCCGGUCGCAGUUGAUUCUGGACCCUAUGCUCCUUCGGGAAAGCCGUCUGAUAAAGAGACGUGCCGUGCUCAAUGGGGUGAGACGAUGCCUGGCAAUGCCAGAAGACCGCCGAACUGAGAGUAGGUCGUGCUAUAUGCCGAGAUCAAAUCUAGGAACGCAUGAUUAAUUGAGUGUGGCGUUUCAAUUACUGGAGCUUAUUUGUUGCUCAUGCUCUCAUGUUGUUUGUGAGAUAAAUUGUACUGACCUGCAGGGUGGAUCUGAGACGAGGUAAGUCUCCUUGAUUGUGUGAUUGCGUGCUUAGGACGCUUCUGGGCGUAUUUCCCUCCUAAUUGGGGUUUAGAGCUUAGACUCGCUGAGAUGAUAUCUCACCCCGUUGUGGGACAACAUUUUCAGGGUCGUCGAGUGGAGGACCUGGAGCUGAGAGGAGGUGAUCGGAAGCGUAGGUCAGUUAGGACCGCUUAUUUUUGGAAGGCCAGUCUUUUGUAGUCUUUGGCCAUAGACCUGUGUUAAUGACUCAGUGUAUAUAUAAAAGCAUGUUUGUUUGUGAAUCUAUUAUCCUGCCUUUCUAUCUCGAGAUGAUUACUGUCAGGGGAUUUCUUUUCGCUUCCGCAUGUGCAAUAAAAUGGAAAGGGUCGGCGACUCGACCUGGGAAGUCGCAAAUUUUUAUCGACCAGAUAGGGAUGGGCACACGCUCGAGGUCCGGGGCGUGACACAAGUACUCACUUGGAAACAACACUUUGAUAUUUCAAAUUAGCCAAAUUACCAAAGUUUUCUUUUUAGGCUAAAAGUCGAGACAUUUUAACAAUUUCUACAUUGGCUCAAUAUUAGAGCCCAGUUACAAUUGCUUUAUUAAAUCCAAACUUUAGUCUAAUCUUCCAUAACCCCAUAUGAGCUCAACCACCAUAAACAUAUUUCGAUUCAAAGCAUUGCUUAAACUUCAUUAUAACCAUGGAUCUCAUUAAAACACCAAUUUUACAUCCACUUUUAAUUAGUGCACAAUGAUUUUUCAACACAACCUUCACAACUAUAGAUGUAAAACCACUUUUGCAUCCAUAUAUGUUAACAGAUCGACAUAGAUCUUAUUAAAACUCAACAGUUAUAACAACUGUUGACUCUAUAGGCUUAACCUCAUUAUAAGUAUUAUCUCUGUCGAUUAUCACACUAGUACUUUCUACUUCAAGUGCUUCUAGUUGCAGCUCCACCUUCUAUUUAGAUUCGUAUAAACACCGUCACAAACACUCAUAUUUAAAAGUAUUGAAGAUUUGUCAAAUGUACCUUUUUCUGCUGAUAAUAAAUGACAAAUUCUAAUUCACAACACUGCAUUGGGUCUCAUCAUCCUUGCAUAUCUUUUGAUUAUUCGCGGACUUCCCAUCCCAAGCCCGUCAAAUUAAGUCAAUCGCGGGCUUUCCUGGAAACGUGUUUACAUUUCGCUGUGACCCGAGUAUGCACUCACAAAAUAUCUUGCAUUGGUCCACAAUCACCCGUCGUUUUGCAUUGGGUCUCUCCUCUGCGUGAGUCUUUCGGGUCGUCCUUUCUCGGAACCCCGUUGGCAGCUUCCGUGUCCCGCAAUCACGCGGUAGCCCGGCUCUGCGCUUAACCCAUGCGAUCGGUGGGUAUUUUCUCAGACGUCAUUCCACAAACUCCAAGGUUGCUUUUUUUCGUUGCUAUCACAACACAAUCAGAGUUCCUCUCUUUUGUCUUGCCAUUUGCAUUGUGCGGCCCUAUCUGUGCAUCUCUUCCCAUCGCUGAGGAGUCGUGACUCCUUCCGCUCCUAGGCCACCUCGAAUCGCCCGAGCAAUGGCCUGCGCGAGGCGAAGAAAAUAUCCUUCCCACACUUCGAUUUCGUUCCCAGAUCAACCCAGCUCAUUCCAGAUUGAUCAGUCAGAGCUCACAAGGCUGGUCAAUGAGAAGGAUUUCGGCGGCCUCCGAGGAAAACACGGCGGCCCAGGGGGAAUCGCCGAAGCCCUUAAAACUGAUCUCCUCGAAGGAAUUAGCGGCGAACCGGAUGACGUCACUCGCAGGCAAAAAGCAUUCGGUGUCAACACAUUCAAGCGGCCCGCCAAGGGCUUCUUCCACUUUUUGCUCGAGGCUUUCAAGGACCUCACGCACCUGAUUCUUCUUGUUUGCGCUGGGCUUUCGCCCGGGCUUGCGAUCAAAGAGAGCGGGCUCAGGGAAGGCUGGUACAGCGGCGGGAGCUCUUUCUUCUCAGUUUUCCUCGUGAUUGUGGUGUCCGCCGUGUGCAAAUACCAGCAGAACCGGCAGUUCGAUAAAUUGGAUGGGGCUAGCGGUAAUAUUCUCUUCGAUUUGAUAAGAAAGGGCCAGCAGCAGCAAGUGUCCAGAUCCAAGAUCGUCGUCGGAGAUGUCGUUCUUCUCAAGACCGACGAUCAAGUCCCGGCAGACGGUCUGUACAUUUAUGGGCAGCACUUGCUGGUAUGGACGAGAACUUGUACUGUUUCGAUCGCAUUAGUUUUCGCGUAUUAACUCAUGUUAGUUUCCUCCAGAAAUAUAUAGUAUUCGUAUUACCAAGUUCGAGCCCAGGUUGAUUAAUUAGUUAAGUAGUUAGUUCAAAGAAAUGUAAAAGCGUACGAUAUUCUGUUUGAUACUGCACACUGUCAUUCUCAUAAUUUUAAUUCUAUGACAAAGAGGAAAGUAAGGGUUUUAAUUCGUAAUUCUAAUCGGAGGAGAACAAACUGUGUUAAAAAAAUUUACUGGAAAAAGUAUACUUAAAACAUAAUCCAUUUCUUCUCGGGUUAAUAUUAUUCAGGUUUCAUUUUCUUUGUUUCAACUUGAGACUCCGCAUCCUAGCGUCACUGAAUCAUGUGCAACGUUUGUAUUAUCGAUUUAGGUUGACGAAUUGAGCAUGACCGGGGAGAGUGAUUGCUUAAAAAAGGACGAUCAGAAUCCAAUCCUGUUCUUUGGAACAAAGGUCGUUGAUGGGCGUGCUCGGAUGGUGGUCACAGGGGUUGGGAUGAAUACAAAGUGGGCCAAGAUGAUGAGUUCAAUCAACUGCGGCAGCAGCGAGCAGACUCCUUUACAGGCUCGGCUCAACGAGCUCACCUCGUCGAUUAGCAAAGUCGGCUUGCUAAUCAAUUUUCUGGUUCUUGUGGUCCUGCUAAUUCUCUACUUCACGGGAAAAAAUCAGGACGCGAACAGGAAACAGGAAUUCGUUCCAGGCCAAACGAUGGGUGACAAUAUCAUGAACUCUGUGGGGGGAAAAAUUGCAGCCACAGUGACAAUCAUAUCGGUCAUGAUUCCCGAAGGAUCGCCAAUCGCAGUAACACUCAUUCUUGCUUAUUCGAUGAAGAGCUUGAUGGGGGAUGGAGCGAUGGUGAGGAAGCUUUGGGCCUGUGAGACAAUGGGGUCGGCCACCACCAUUUGCAUCGACAAGACUGGCACUCUCACGGAGAAUCAGAUGAUAGUGACGAAAUUCUGGGUCGGCCAAGACACCGUGGCAGAAAACUGGUGUUCCUCUGCCUCCAAGUUUUUUGUGGAUUUGAUUUGGGACGGAGUUGCUUCGAACUCCGAGGGCAGCGUCUACAAUGCAAAGCCAUCUUCAGAAUCGGUGUGCAGGUUCUCCGGUAGUCCCACCGAGAAAGCGAUUCUUUCCUGGGCAUUUUCACAAGUAAGCAUGGACAUGGAGAAGAUAAAGAAAAGAUGUAAACUCAUCCAAGGCGAAGUCUUUGACUCGCGGAAGAAGACAAGCGGUGUCCUAAUAAUGAACAUCAUGGAUGGCACAGUCCACGUGCACUGGAAAGGAGUGGCGCAGACGAUCUUGGCAAUGUGCUCGAGCUUCUACAACCGGUCGGGGAUGGAGAAAGAUUUGAACAAAGAUGAAAGGAAAAAAUUCGAGCAGAUAAUCCAGGGGAUGGAGGCGAGCGGCCUGAGGUGCAUCGCUUUCGCUCAUAAAAAAGUCUGCACAGAAGCUAUCGAAGAAAGAAAUUACCGGAACAAGAUCCAAGAGGACAGCCUGACAUUACUAGGACUCGUUGGUAUUAAGGAACUGUGCCGUCCUGGUGUGAAUUGCGCGGUCAAAGCUUUUCAGAACGCUGGAGUGAACAUCAAGAUGAUUACGGCAGACAACGAGUUCACUGCUAAGGCCAUCGCCAAAGAGUGCGGGAUUCUCAGGCCCGAGGAUGAUGCCUCCAAUGGAGCCAUCGUGACAGGGACUGGUUUCCGCAAAAUCCCGAGGGAGAAGAGGCCUGAAGAAGUUGAGAAAAUCCGCGUCAUGGCAAGAUCCUCCUCUUCUGAUAAGCUCUUCAUGGUUCAGUGCCUGAAGCAGAAAGGCCAUGUGGUCGCCGUCAUAGGGGACGGCAUGGACAACAUACCGGCCCUCAAGGAAGCCCAUAUCGGGGUCUCGAUGGGCAUCCAAGGCAUUGAGGUUGCCAAAGAGAGCUCGGACAUUGUCAUCAACAGCGACAACUUCUUCUCUGUGGCGGAGGUGCUGCGUUGGGGUCGAUGCAUCUAUGAUAACAUCCAGAAGUUCAUCCAGUUCAAGCUCACAGUGAACAUCGCGGCCCUUUUGAUCAACUUUGUGGCCGCAACCUCCUCCGGUGACGUCCCUUUGACAGCCAUCCAGCUCUUAUGGGUAAACCUGAUUGUGGACACGCUUGGCGCCUUCGCGCUGUCCACAGACCUGCCCACAGACCUUCCCACGUACCAGUCCACAGAGCAGACCAAGGAGGUCAUGAAUAAGCCCCCGGUGGGCUGGACCGAGCCGCUCAUAACAAACAUCAUGUGGAGGAAUCUGGUGGGACAAGCAAUUUACCAAGUGGCCGUCCUCCUCACUCUACAAGUCAAGGGCGAAUCGAUCUUUAGAGUGGACGAGGUGGUGAACCGGACGAUGAUAUUUAACGCGUUCGUCCUAUGCCAGGUCUUCAACGAGUUCAACGCGAGGAAGCUCGCGAGGAUGAACAUAUUCAAGGGCAUUCACAAGAACAAGCUGUUCCUAGGGAUCAUCUUCAUGACGGUGGCCCUCCAGGUGGGGAUGGUCGAGUUCCUGAAGCGGUUCAUGGUCACGAAGCGAUUGAGCUGGGGACAAUGGGGUGCAUGUUUCGGGAUCGUGGCCGCAUCUUGGCCUAUUGCUUGGGUCAUCAAGUGCAUUCCCGUCCCUCAUACACCAAUCUCACAGCUAAUUGAGAAAAUUAUACAGAGAAACAGUAAUUAGGUUCAGGAACGCCAAUUGUUUUUAACUCAAUUCUUCUUAAUGUACUGGUGUAUUGAAUUUCUCUUGACGCAGUGUGAUUUUUUUUUUUUUUUGGGGUCCUUUGACCUAGAAAAAAAAUGCGCAAUGAAUCGAUGUAAUUUUUCCAAUUCAAAAAAAGCAUUCAUUCAGAAAAUAAGAAAUGAGAUGAGAGACCUUAAUAUAGCCAAGAACGUGAAGAACAAAAUCGCGAGAAAAAUGCAGAAGCACAAAUAGAAUGAAUCAGUACGAUUUAGUUCUUCACUAUGUCCCUCAAUGUUGCUGUAACCAUAGUUAAUUUGUUACACAAAUGACCUCACCCUCUACUUCAGCUCAAGCUACACGAAGAUAUAUUGUCUCUAUUGCAAAAAAGUCGGCAAAAGAAUUGACUAACCUUUUAAUGCACAACAAAAGUGAUUACCAAUCUACAUAAAAUUACUAGUGCGCAAUAAAUGAAUCUAUAACUUCAUGAUGGUUCGAAUACAAUCACAAGAAAAGUAUUGUAUUUCUACAACGUUAAUGAUAAUUGUCUUCUCAAAGUAAAAACGGAAGCCUUAUGAGAGUAGAACCAUUCUUUUUUAUGAACCUUCUUUUCUAUCUCCCACAUACACAUAUAUGUACAUAUAUAUUUACAGUUAUGCAGAAGUUAUUUUAUAACUUUCCUUGAAAGAUAACCUCUCACACAUUUUUAAAAGGUGCCUCUUAGACACGCAUCACAUUAGAGCAAAUGGUGCCUCUCAAACACAUUCCAUCAUAGGCGAUGUUGACACCUAAAUUUUACAUUUUUAACUAGAACUUAAUCGCAUAAAAAAUUAGGGGUGAAUGUUUAAUCCCUGGCAAAAAUAAUUUGCAUCGCAUGUAGACAUUGGGAAUAGUAGCAUCAUUAGUACUAAUCAUUGAAUUUUUUGAGUUUUUUCUAUAAAACUAUUAUUAAAAGUUAUAAUUAUUUUGUUCUUUUCCCAUUUAAAAGAGAGAGAGAGAGAGAAUGCAAAUAAGGCCAGGCCAAAUCUGGACCUCCCGGCCCCCUUUCUUUCCUUUUCUUCUUUUUCCCCAAAGCCCAGCCCACUUAUAUUUUCUUUCUCAUGCGGCCCACCUCUUUUUCAUCUUAAUUUCUUCUUUCUUUCCCCAUGGGCCGGCCCACUUCUUUUCUUCCUCAGCCCAGCCUGUUCGCUCCCUCUUCUUUCCCCUCUCUAGCUUGCCUUGGCCGCUGCCUUCAUAGAAAACAGGGAGAAGGGACGUUGGUACAACGUACAGAGGACAGCAACGUGGAGUGGAGAUCGUCGCAUGCGACGCUAGUGAAAAGGAAUGUCGUGCGGUACGGUUUGAGCUGGCACGGUCCUAGCGAGAGGCGAAGAGAGACAGGGGCAUCUGAAAAGAGAGAGGAGCAUUUUGUUUUCUGGGGGGUUCAUUUUUGGCCAAGAGAGGGGGGAGAGAUCGAAGAGCUCGGGAGAGUUUUGAGCUAGUGAGAGAGAGAGAACCAAAGAGUGAGGGAUCUUGAGAGGGUGGUCGACUGUUGUCAGAGUCCGUUCAUCAACCACCGUCUGCCGCAACGCUCUCCCCCCCCCCCCAACUCGAACCAGUAGGUUCUUGUGCGUAGCUUUUUGAUUUGUGUCGAGUUGCAUUGCUUUCUUGAGGGUCUUACUUCGAGAACACUGCGGGACGGCCAGCCAUUGCUCGGUCCAUUUUGAGUUCACCCUCCCAUCACCAUUGCUGAAGCCGAGUAGGGAUCUCCUCAUUUUAAACGCCGGUCCCAAUGAACCCCCGCUACUUCACCUUAUUUUGCUAGGAUAGGACGCUGAGUUUUGUUCCUCCUGUUAGUCACACAUGUGGUGGGCUUCUAUAGUCCCCGGCGGUGAGCCACCAGUUGAUUUUCUCGUAUCGACGAGAGCUACAACCUUACGCUAUCAGAAACGAACUUUGAUUUACAGAAAAUCAUAAAUGAGGGUGAAUAGUACGCGGUGUCGGGAUUUUCCGUCCCCGAUCGACCAACGGCAACGUUUCAUGAAAAAAUUCAAUCAAAAGCAAUUCAUAAACAUAUACAGUAAUCGGGAAAACGAUGUGUUGUGAAAGAACAUUCCUCUAUGUUGUGGCAUCGAAGAUUAUGACAUAUCUCCAUAGAAAGAAUUAAGCAAUUGAUAAAUGAUGAAAUACUUAGUACUUUAGAUUUUACUGAUUGUGAUACUUGUGUCGACUGUAUAAAGAAAAAGCAAACUAACAAGACGAAGAAAGGUGCCAAGAGGAAGAUAGAAAUAUUAAAAAUCAUACAUACGGAUAUUUGUAAUCCGGAUAUGGACUCGUGUGGUAAAAAAUACUUCAUCUCUUUCAUAAAUGAUUACUCAUGUUACAUGUAUCUCUACUUGAUUCAUAAUAAGUACGAAGCAUUAGAUGCCUUUAAGAUAUUUAAGGCAGAAGUAGAGAAAUGAUGCAGCAAACAAAUUAAGAUCGUGAGAUCAAAUAGAGGUGGAGAAUUUUAUGGUAGAUAUACAGAAGAUGGACAAGCACCUAGUCCAUUUGCAAAGUUUCUUCAAGAGCAUGGGAUAAUUCCCAAUAUAUUAUGCUUAGUUCUCCGGAUCAAAAUGAUGUCGUGGAAAGAAGAAAUCGAACUUUAUUGGGCAUGGUGCGGAAUAUACUUAGCGGUUCCAAACUUCGUAAGUCUUUGUGGACUGAAGUACUUAAGACGGCAAUGUACAUAUUAAACCGAGUUCCGACCAAGGCUAUCCCAAAGACACCUUUUGAGUUAUUUAAAGGUUGGAAACUGAGUUUGCAACAUGUAUGUGUUUAGGGAUGCCGGUCUGAAGCGAGAGUUUACAAUCCAUAAGAAAAGAAGUUGGACCCAAGGACCAUAAGUGGGUGUUUCAUUGGAUAUGCCGAAAGGUCCAAGGGAUACGGGUUUUAUUGUCCAUCUUACACCACUAAGAUUAUGGAAUCAAGAAACGCAAAAUUUCUUGAAAAUAACUUGAUUAGUGGGAGUGAUCGAUCGAAGGACUCUGUUCCUAAGAAAGCAUUCAAACACUCAACCUUCCACCUCAAGUUUAAGGUUGGUUAUUGCUCAUAAUACCCUUUCAGUUCAGCUGGUUAUUAAACAACCAAUCGUUGAAGUUCCACAACUUGUUGAUAUUGAUCUAGCAGAUCCAAUUGUUCGGAAAUUACCAUAAACUGUUAAACAACCAAUUGCACAACACGCUGCUCAAGAGAAUGUUGAUGCAACAUUGAGAAAAUCUGCUAUAAUAAUGAAAUCGGCAAUUUCUAGUGAUUAUAUUGUGUAUUUACAAUAGUCUAACUGCAAUAUUGGAGUUGAACAUAAUCCUGAAACGUUUUCACAAGCCAUGGAUAGCAAUAAAUCCAAUUUGUGAUACAAUGCCAUGAAGGAAGACAUGAGUUCUAUGGCAUCUAACGAAAUUUGAGAUUUGGUUUAGUUACCUGAUGGUGCGAAGGCAAUUGGUUGUAAAUGGGUCUUCAAAACUAAGAAAUAUUCAUUAUGUAACAUUGAAAGAUAUAAAGCUAGACUCGUUGCCAAAUGAUUCACUCAAAAGGAAUGAAUUGAUUACACUAAGACUUUUUUUCCUAUAUCUAAGAAAGAUUCUCUUCGUAUUGUUUUGGCAUUGGUUGCCUAUUUUGAUAUGGAAUUACAUCAUAUGGAUGUGAAAACAGCGUUCCUCGAUGGAGAACUAGAGGAGGAGGUUUACAUGAAACAACCUGAAGGAUUCCCCUCUAGUAAAGGUGAGCAUUUGGUGUGCAAGCUUAAGAAAUCUAUAUAUAGCUUGAAACAAGCAUCCCGCCAAUAGUAUUUAAGGUUCCAUGAUGUCAUCUCUUCAUUUGGUUUUGUAGAGAAUAUCAUAGAUCAAUGUAUAUACCAGAAGGAAAGUGGGAGCAAAAUUUGUUUCCUUGUACUAUAUGUGGAUGAUAUUCUACUUGCAACCAAUGAUAAGGAGUUGCUACAUGAGGUGAAAUAAUUUCUCUCUAAUAGUUUUGACAUGAAAAAUAUGAGUGAGACAUCUUAUGUCAUUGGCAUUAAAAUCCAUAGAGAUAGACCUCAAGGAAUUUUAUAACUAUCUCAAGAAACUUAUAUUGAUAAGGUCCUAGAGAGAUAUCGGAUAAAAGAUUGUUCACCAAGUGUAGCAUCCAUUGUGAAGGGUGACAGGUUCAAUUUAAACCAAUGCCCGAAGAACAAUAUAGAAAUGGAACAAAUGUACAAUAUUCCAUAUGCUUAUGUUGUCAAAAGCUUAAUAUAUGCUUACGUUUGUACUUGAUAUGACAUCACUUUUGCUGUGGGAAUGGUAGGAAGAUAUGAGAGUAAUCCAGGUAUAUACCACUAGAGAGUUGCAAAGAAAGCGAUGAGAUACCUUCAAAGUACCAAAGAGUAUAUGCUUAUGUAUAGACAGACUGACAACUUAGAAGUAGUCGAUUAUUCAGAUGCGAAUUUCGCGGGCUAGGUUGAUUCAUGAAAAUCAACAUCUAGAUACAUUUUUAUGUUAGCUAACGGAGUCGUGUCAUGGAGAAGUGCAAAACAGACUUUGAUUGCUACUUACACUAUGGAGGCUGAGUUCGUUUCUUGUUUUGAGGCUACCUCGCAUGGUGUAUGGUUGAAGAGUUUCAUUACUGGGCUUAAAAUUGUUGAUUCUAUUUCUAGGCCAUUAAGAAUAUAUUGUGACAAUCUAGCUACAGUUUUUAUGGCUAAAAAUUCCAAAAAUGGUAGUCGAAGUAAGUAUAUUGAUAUUAAGUAUUUAACCAUAAGGGAACAUGUUAAGGAAAAUAAAGUAGUUAUAGAACAUGUUGGCACUGAGUUGAUGAUAGUUGAUCAUUUAAUUAAAGGCAUGCCACCGAUAAAGUAUAAGGAUCAUGUGACUAGUAUGAGAGUAGGUCCCAUAAUGUAAUUUGUCGUCAUAUGGACGAUUUUUAUUGUAUGAAACUCUUAUUCUGUUGUAAUGUUAAUUCUCAAUUUUGGUGUACACAUUUUGUUGUUUAUGAUAAUAACAUUUAUCCUUGGUUAUGGAAUAAACAUAGGGGCUAUUUAUUAAGAUAUGUUAUCACAUAUAGGCUGACAUUAAAGAAAUAAGAUGCAUUGUGAUACAUAGAAGAUAUUACUCACUCUUAGAAGACAUGUCGUCAUGAUCCAUGUGUUUUGUUUCUUUUCUUUAAGUAUAAAGUUUUUGUGGAAUUAGUUGGAUAAUUCGCAUAAUGAAAAUGAUGGGAUCAAGUGGGAAAAUGUUAUUUAUUUUUGUGAUCCCACAUUUCCGAACCCACAUUUUCUCUUUAAAGUAGCAAUUAUUCAACCUGCAGUUUUUCCACAUUUUGUACAUUUUCGUGACAACCACCCAUUUGAUAACCGUAUUGAUGAAAGACGGUAUAUAAAUGAAUGAUCGUUCAUUCUAAUGGGGCAAUUACAAUCUCUAACACAAACCCUCUAUUUUGGAAUACACCAUGAGUAUAUUGAGGGAAUUGUGUUAGUAGUGCGUGCUCAAUAUUUCUUUGAAUUUUCGGGGUUUUCCCACGAACGUGAAUAUGAACAAUGGCUGGAGGUUUGUCUAUAAUCGAUCCUAACUUCUGCAUUAUGAAUUUUUAUGUCUUACACCGCGGGCUAAUGUGGUUGAUUUCGAAUGCCCCUUUGAUGAUUUUCUUAAGUUUGGCGUUGAGUCCAAGCGCAAGAAGGGUUGAUAUCGUUCCUCCGAUCCAUGCCCACCACAUGUUCAACGAUAUUUCUAAGCCAGCCCAGGCGGUUGCAUUACCGAUUCCCAUAUGUUCUUGAACGCGUAUAAGUAGGCUUUCCAUGUUAUGAACCUUCAGUUGCUUGCUAGUUGUCGUUUGCAUCAUCAAGCCAGGUUUGGGCAUACAUUCGCUGCGUUUUAUUUGUCUUCCAAUGGUUUCCUGGGUGAGGUGGCUAUAAGUGGUGCAUGGCUCGGGGUGACCGGCAAUGAUGUCACGAGGUGAUGGUGGCGGCAAGCAAUGAUCUCAGCCACUGCUUUCUUUACGAUACUCGGCGUGAGAGAAUAGGUUGGGUGUUCGGCGAUGGAGGCAUUGGGAGGAGGGGCUAGUUUCGGGCGGGGGAGUAAACCAUCGAAGAAGGAGAAGAAGAGGGGCAGAAGAGGACCAAAAUAGGGAAAAGACAAAAAAAAAAUUAAUUAUAAUAUUAAUAUUAAUAUAAAAACGAAAAAGAAAACAAAAAAAUUGUUUUAAGAAAUAGAUUUUAUCUAUUUUAGAUUAAAUUCGAAUUGUCAAAUAGGGUCGGCUGGAUCAGUUUACCGACCUGAACCUAUUUUCCCGAAUAUAAUAAUAUUAAAUAUUAAAUAUGUAUUUAAAAUUUCAAAAUUCAAAAAAUUUCAGAAAAAAAUAAAAAAAUUCAAAAUUCAAAAACCUUCUGAAAAUUCAAAAACUUUCAGAAAUUAUUUAAAAAUUCAAAAAAUUUUAAAAACAAGAAAAAGUCAAAAAUUUUCAGAAAAUUCAAAAAUUUGGAAAAUGUUUAAAAAUUUCAAUAGUAAUUAGAAAAAUAAUUAAAAAUAAAAAAUUCAAAAAGAUUUGGAAAAUUCGAAAAUUAUUUUCUUUUCAAAAAAUCAGAAAAAAAUUCUAAAAAAAUAUUAAAAAUCCUCAAAAAUGUUAAAAUUAAUCUUUUGUGUUAUUUUCUCAUAAAAAAUGAAAGUCUUUCAAUUUAGAAUUACAUUCAAGGAUAAUCAAGCCUUUAAAGCUCUAUCUUAAGGUUUCAAUUGUCUUUAGAGACAAAUGCCCUUAAUUACGCAGUAUUGAUACAUUAAUUAUGGCUUUCCUUUUAUCUACUUAGGAUUAGCUUUUAUCUUUUCCUUAGUGUUAAGUCUUUGCUAUCCCAUGAAAUGUAUUUAAUGUUUUCCUUGAUUGCUAUGUUAAUAAUUGUACACCCGCAUGAUCAUCUCAUAUGUUAGUGGAUAGAGAUAAAAUCGAUCUAGACUACUUGACAAAAAUGUCGGAAACUUCAAUAAGGCCUUGUUGCAAAAGUUCCGAGCAUUCCCUUUGAGCUAAAACCAAAUGUUCUGGUUUCAUUCCCAUGUGGCUCGCCUUGGUUGGAUUUAUGUCUUCAUUUUUUUUGAAAGGAAGACGAACAAAGAAUUCGGGGUUUUUCCAUAAAGGAUGAGAGCAUUUCUAGGCAAAUUCUGAAUGAGAUUCUGAACAAGAUUCAAGCAAUUUUUGCAUGAUUGGAUCUAGUAAACUCAUCUCAAUGGAAAAGAGCCUUUGAAUAUUAACAAACUCAGAGAAUUGGUCUUUAAAUCUGAGACCUUUUCCCGGAAUAAUUCGAAGCUGAGAGAUUUGAGUCAUGAUAUCCCAUCCAAUUAUCAAAUCUUUAUUGGGAAGGCUUGAUCCAAAAAUUCUUGUGGUUAUGGAACACUGAGGAAAAAACUGGAUGGUGACUGGUGUGGUUCUGACAUUUGUGGAGAAAGUAUCUCCUGAAGCAGAAUUGAAGUAUCGGAUGUAAGGAGUCCAGAAUUCUUCAGGCAGAACUUUUGUGUCUAGAAUGGAACAACUUGCUCCUGUGUCGAUAAGAGCAAUAACGUUGAUAGGUUUGGCAAACUUCGAGGUGAGGAUUUUAAGAGGGAAAUGGGGGCAGUGAGUAUGACUUGAGAAUAUGUCAGGAUUUGGCUGUGAAGAGUGGGAGAUAUGUGAAAAAUAUCUUCAGAUUCUGAGUCAGACUCAGUGUCACUAGAAGUUUGGUAAAAAGGAAUGACACAAAGAGUUUGUUCAGUUGGUUCAUCAUCAGCAGAGAAUAAGGAUUCAAUAUCAUCAUGUUCAAGUGAAAAACCCGUUUCAUUCUCUAUGAGGUGAUUCUGACCUUUUUUCGCCUGAGGACAAUUUUUGGCAAAAUGUCCUUUUUUGUCGCAAAUGUAGCAACGACUUGACUUUUUAUGGCCUGUGCGAUCCUUUCUUUUGCGUAGGUAUCUCCAUUUCUUCUUUUUUCGGAAAUGCUUGGAGCCAUGUUUGGAUUUCUUGAUCGAGUAUUUCUUGUAGUGCUUUUUCUUUCGGGAAUACUGGCCACAAGUACCAUCACAAUCUUGUUUGGAGCAUUUGAUCUUUAACUUCUGAGAGGAACAAGCUCCUUCAAGACGCUUGUCAUCUGUGAUGUAUGUUCGGACCAUUCGACGUUUUAAGCAUAAUUCUUCAAGACAUAGAUGGACUUCUUGUUGAAUUUCUCCCAGAGGAAUAUCUUGUAUUCUUCUUUGCUUUCCAAAGAAAGAUCUUUCAACCAUUUGUGAUAGUUCCUUGGGGAUAGAAGUAAGGAAGACAUGCUUUAAAUUUGGAUCUGCUCCAAUUUGGUAAAAGAGCUGAAGCAUUAGUCGAUAAUGCUUAUCAAGAUGCUUUUUCUGGAGGGAGCGGCAUCUUCUUUCAAAAAAUUCUCUUCUUUUCAACUCCUUGAGAUCUCCCGGAGUUCCCACAAAGACAUGAUAUAAAUAAGUCAGGGCAUGGCUGAAAUUGGGUGACAUUAGGAACGUAAUUUGGUCUUGUUCCGAGAGUGACUGCCACCAGAAUUUAAGACUCCCUGUGAAUCUUGUAACAAAGUUGUAAAGGACAUCAUUCAUAUCAUGGUUGGUAAUGGAUUGUGUACUCAGCCAAGUAUGAAACUCUUCAAGUCUUUCUGGCCAUUUUGGAUAAGGAAUAUCAUCAAUGGAGAAGAAUUGUUAUGAUGCCAUAGACACAUGUCUGGUGGAAUCAUUUCUGGUGGGAUUACUUGUCUGUCCAAAUUCUGGAUCAGCAUAAUUUGAUUCCAUUUCAUAGUCAUAGUCUGGAGGAGUGUCUGCCAUAAAUAUAUGUGAGGUUGGUAGAACAGUAGGGGGAGAAUCAGUGGUAUGAUCUGAGAAGGAUGGGAAAGAGGAAAGGGAUGAUGAGUCUGAUGUAGUAGAAGAAGUUUGCUCAGCUAGCAUAAUCUGUUUUUUAUGGAUAAUAGGAUCAGGCUCAGGCUGUUGGGUAUCAGGCUCAGUUUCUUGCUUACCCAAAUCCUUCAAAAAGGAUUCUAAUGGAUUGGAUAACAUCAUCUGGUCUGGCUUUUCCCUUAUAACAAUUGAUCUUGAUUCUGUCGGUGGCGUCUUUUGUUUCCCUUUUUCCUUCUGCAGGGCUUUGAGACAAUUUCGUAUUUCCGCCAUAUCUGGUUCUCUUCUGGAGGUAUCUUCUGGAAUAUUGGCAAAAACAGAUACUUGUGGUGCAGGAGGUAUGUACCCGGUUCGAACAGGAGGUGCCAGUGGAUCAAAAGGUCUGAACCUUCCUUCCUCAAGAAGUUGAAUUUGCUUCUUGAGCUUCUCUAUCUCUGGUUUUGGGCUUUCAAGGUAGUGGUACCCAAGAUGUUGUCAUGAUUCCAAGGCAUGAAGCCUUUUCUGGAAUUCAGAAAGUAUCUUCUUGGUACUCUCAUCAUAUCUUCGGAGAUCUUGUUGCACAUUUCCGAUCUUGGAAUCAAUAGCCUUGAAGGCAUUGUUUUGUGCUAACAGAGCCUCUAAUUGCCAGUUUAAAACAGCUUCAGCGGCAGAGGUUUUUUUCUAUCUCCCAUGUUCAUCCACAUCAGUGGGAGUAGGAACUUUAGGAACAUGGCGGUAUCUGCCAUGAGGAUCAAUAAACUCUUCCGUAGCAGGGAACGAGAGUUUUGAUUCUUCCUUGACAAGAGGAGGAAAGUCAGUUUCUUGGAACAUGGCUAUUGAAGAAGUGGAUGGUAUUUUUGCUGGAACUUCAAGCGGGUAAGAAUGUUUCUUGGCCCACUUAAGGAUUGGCUUAUAAAAUGGAGAGAGAACUUGCUUUUUGUGGGGGGGAGAUGAUGGUGGUGUUUUUGGUGGUUGUGGUGAGGCUUGAGAUGUAGUACUAGACUCCGGUGGUGGAGGUGGUGCAUAGGAAACCAUGAAUUGGUAUUUGUCACAUUCACCAAGAGUGUCAACGGAUGAAUCUCCGUCCAAGUACCUUUGGAAAAUCUUAUCUUUCGGCCUUUUACGUCGAGGUGGGGGUCUUGUAAAAGGAUCUACCUCAUCGGGGGAAUUUGUGCAAUAGGAACAUUGACAAAAAGGGUCCCAAAAGCAAUGACCGUAUUUGUCUUUGUAGUAAUGCACAGGAUGUCCAUUACCAUUAAAAUGCCUGACAUGCUUUUUUGGAUUUGGCUCAGAAAUAGAUUGAGGAACACAUGGUUCAAUCAUAAAGAGGGUUUGGAAGAUAGAAGGGCUUUCUUCCUUUUCCUUGCCAAAUUUGAUAGAAACAGUUCCAUCUUUUUUUCUUACGAACUCUGAGUCCGUAGACUGGAAAGGCUUGUUGUGCUGGUGUAGCUUUUCAUAGUUGGUAAUCCAAGUUUCUGGAAGGAGUUUGGCUAACGUAUCCUUUGGAAUCUGUCUAGGAACAUGGAUACAGGAUGCCUGAUCAUUCUGCAUAGAAAUGAACAAGGCGUCUUCAUUACCAUUGUUGAAAUUGAGGUCAAGUGCAUGGUUCUGCACUCGAUAAACCAUCUGGUAAUGUAGUGUCGCAGCUACAGAGUCAGCAGUUUGAGGGGCUCCAGUAAGUUGGACUUGAACUUUCAUAAAAGAAAGCAACUGAGGAUCCGAAAGAGCAAUGUUGAAGUUGGGAUAAAGUGUGACAAAGACGGUUCCUGCAUUCAAAGUAGUUUGGACAGUACCAAUGCAAGCAUGCUGGUAUUGUAGAAACCUGGUGUCUAGCAAAGCUAUUCUUGCCACAACUGGCAAGCCUUUUCGACCGUGGAAGGUCAGAGCAAGACGAACAGCUCCAUAAUGGACAUGAGUAUAUCCCUGUUGAGCCCAUUGUCUGGGAAAUUCUGGAGGGAUCUGAAGAGUAACAAAAUACUCCUUUUCAGUAGCAGGAAUAGGAUGCUGGUCGAAUUUGGAAGACUGAACAUACUCCUUUACUUGCUUUGGGGUUUGGUGAAUAAGUUGGCGGAUGGAACGAAUGGGUGAAAAUGAUGAGGUUGGUUUUGCGAAAGCAGCGUAAGGGUUCAUGAGAGGAAGUUGUGUUUCAGAAAUUUUGGUUUCAUCACUAAGAGAGACUUCAUAAAGAUAGUCUAUCUUAGAAGCAUUAGAGAUACGAAACUCAGGAGGUGUUGAGGAUGAAGACGUAGGUGUUAGAGACACUGGUGCUUCGAGGAUUUCUGGUUCUGUGGACAUGAUGAGAGGAGAUCUUCUCAGCACUGGAUUCACCUGUCAAGCGCAUGGAAUGGAUAUCAUUAAAAAUGAAACCAUGGCUCUAAUACCAUGAAUGGACCUAGACUUAGAACCAGGGAGGGAGAGUAAGUAUUUCUGCAGGUAUGCAUCCCACAUGGGCGAACAACCCCGUUCAAGCCCUUCAGGGACAGCCUUUUAGCAGAAAGACCACUCAGCCCUUUAGUUCAGAGCCUAGAGACACCCAGAGAUGCCAGGAUGGAAACAUUUCUAACCUACCCAAGCUGCAUUUCUUGAAGGAUCCUACCAAGCUGAGAAGAAGAGGGAAUUUAGAAAGCCAUGGAGAGAUUUUCACAAAGCACACACCUUUCUUCAGGGGACUCUGCCCAAAACAUUACACCCUCUUUGCCUUAUAUAGGCAAAUAAGAGGUCACAAGGACACAUAGGGACCUAGCUCACGGGUCCGGGAACAAACAAGGGCACCGAAAGGGAAUUAUUCGCACACUAUGAACAGUAACUGUACUGUGAACAGUACAUUCUCUAGUCUAGUGCUACAGUAAAAGUGAACAGUGAUUUGCUACAGUGAAAAAUGUACGGACUCAACGGUCUCGUCCGUCACGAGCAUUGUAGCUGCACACUGAAUCAUCCGUGCUGUCUUCGAGGAGAUGUGCCUCAUACUUCUGUUCAAGAGCUUCAAGGUCCUCUGGUGAGAGGAUUUGGUUCAAUCUCUGAGAUGAGGAUGCUUGUUCAUGAGCCCAGUGUGAUGCUUCUUCUUCAGCCCAGUUUGUAUUUUCAUCUUCCCUAAGGUCGGGAAUUCUUGGCUGAGGCCAAUUGGAUGGCUCUGCAUAGAAGGAUGUGUCCAUGCUUUGGAACUGUUCAUAGGGAUCCUGGGACAGAGGUCCUCCAAAGCGUGCAUAGGGGUCCUGGGUGGAUUGGACCAUGUCAUCUUCAGUUGUCAUUUCAGGCUCUUGGGACGAUGAGGCUUGUCUGUAUUGUGCGAGUGCUUCCUUAGCUUCUGGCGCUAGGUCAUAAUGAUCCCACGUAGUGGGUGCAUUUUUCCAAAUAUCUUCGGGAAUGGUCUUGUUUUCCUGGCACAGGAUUCUUUGGAGUUCUCGAUAUUCAUUUUCACAGAGUCGAACAGAUCUAGGAUAAGAUCUGUAAAUCCGAGCUUCUCGAUUGUUCAAGUUAGGUUUAUAGGAUGUGGUUCCUAUUUCUAGUGGUGCAUCGAGAAUACUACCAUUAUUUCUACAGAAAUUCCAAGGACGUCGAAAGAACAAGAUGGUGUGGACUUCGGGGUUUGGCGUCGUCGAUCUCAGUUCUCUUUCUAAGUCUUGUUUCCAACAUGUAGGAGGAUAGAACCAAUUUAGAAAUUCUAAAAGAUUUCUAUCACAUUCCUUUUCAAUGUUUCUUCCGAGCAAGAAUAUCCUUGUGAGGUUAGCAAUGAAUUUUCUGGUUGGGAUUUCAAAAGCUACUAGAUACUUAUUGGUUAAGUAUCAUAAUAACGUUUUGAGUUGUUCAGGGAAAUCAUCUUCCUUCCAGAUGAGAGGAUGGAUGAAUGGAUAAUUCAUAUUUAACCCUAAAGGAUAAAGAAUCGAACCUCCAUUGAAUUUGAAUAGGUCUGUGUGGCUUUGCCACAUAAGGUUCUCCAUGUUUUCAGCAAGGCUGUCAUUCUGAAUCUGCUGAAUAAUCUCUUGGGGAUAUUUCCAGCUUUGUAGAUCUUUGAUGUUCUCGAUUUUGUAUUUUACUCCAUGGUUGAGCAUAUGAAAAGCAGGGCUUUUGAUAUACAUAUUGAUCUCGGCUGGUGCUUUUGGCCUUGAUAAGAAAUCAGCAAGUACAUUUUUCUUUCCAGGAAUAUGCUUUGUUUCAAAGGAGUAUUUUGAAAACCAUUCAGCCCAUCUAAGCAAUUGAGAAUUUGGAAUCUGUUUUUGUUUAAACUUGGUUAUCUGAGGAAAAGAUGCCAUGUCUAAUUCCACCAGGAAGUGGUGGCCGAUGAGAUGAAACUCAAAUUUUUUGAUUCCAUUUUUGACUGCUAAGAUUUCUUUGAAAGUGGAAUGGUAAUGCAUUUCAGCUUGAGAAAACUUUCCACUUUUAUGGGCACAAAGGAGUCUCUUACCAUCAAUUUCUUCGAAUAGAACGGCUGCCCAGUAUUCAUCACUGGCGUCAGUUUGAAGAAUUAUUUUUCCUGUUGAUGGUAUUUGUAGUGGCGGGAGAUUCUGCAUAAUCUCCUUAAGCUCAGCGACUGCUUUGGUCUGAGUCUUUCCCCAAGGUGGGGAGUUCUUUUUUAGCAUGGAUUGCAAAGGGAUCAAAAGCUUUGCAAUAUUGGGGACGAAAUCUCUGAGAUAAUUAAUUAUCCCAAGGAAUUGAUGGACUUGUUUCGUCGUGAAGUUGUCUUCAGGAAACUUCAAUAAUUCUUGAGCAAUGUGUGGCCCGGGGUAGUAUGUACCUUUGUUGAGGUGCAUACCAAGAAAUUCAAUCUCUGUUUGGGCAAUGUUCAUCUUUCUUUGAGAGAGCAUAAUGCCAUGAUUUCUCACUAUUUCUGCAAACUGUUCAAGGAGUUGACAGUGUGACUGUUCAUCAGGGCUGUAGAGCAGAAUAUCGUCGAUAUACACAGCUGCACUUGAUAGUAUUGGUUGGAAAAUACGGCACAUAGCCUUUUGGAAAAGGGAUGGUGCUACCUUUAAACCAAAAGGAAGAACUUUCCACUGGAAGUGCUGGUUUGGUAUACAGAAUCCUGUUUUGGAUCUGUCUUCAGGAUGGAUGUGAACAAGAUUAUAUACCUAAAAAAUACUAAUUAAUUAAUAAGUGUAAUCAAAUCCCUGAACCUAAAUUAUGUGUUUUUGUAGAAAGUGGGGUACACUCUCAUGCCUCCCUCGGUUUCUAACCGACACCAAUAGGUUACUGGCAACUCCUUCCUUAGAAAAAUUUUCGUACCCUCAAUUUGAACAUCAAAUGUUGCGCAGGCUAUGAGCUUGGGAGAGCCCGUACCUGAUCAUGGGCUGUACACCUGUCCUUUAGGCAAUAGCCCUAAAUUUAUUCCCUCCCCCGAGGUAGGUCGCGACACCUCACAAUCAUGAUUCUCCUUGUCUAUGUCGGGCUUUCGCUUGGCUUCAGGAUCAAGGAGAAUGAGGUCAAGGAAAGCUGGUACAACGAUCGAAGCAUGUUCAUCACGGUGUUCCUCAUAAUCGUGGUGUCAGCCAGGUGUCAUUACCGGCAGAAUCAGCAAUUUGAAAAAUUGUCUCGGGUGAGCGGUAAUAUUGUCACCGAUGUGAUAAGGAAAGGUCGGUGACAGCAGGUUUCCAUAUUUGAGAUUGUCGUUGGAGAUGUCCUUUGUUUGAAGACUGGCAAUCAAGUGUCGACAGACAGGCUGUUCCUCAAGGGGCACUCCUUGCAGGUAUGGACGGCAAUUUUUACUGGCUGGACCGCACUAGAUUUGCAUAUUAACUCACGUUAGUUUCCUCCAAAAAUAUAAUGUAAUUAGUUCAAAGAAAUGUAGAAGUGUAUGAUAUUCUCUUUGAUACAAGGCAGUAUGUCAUUUUCAUAAUCCUAGUUCUAUGAUAAAAAGGAAAAGUAAUGGUUUUAAGUCGUAGUUCUAGUCACAGUAGAACAAAUCUUAGCAAAAGAAUUUUACUGCAAAAAGUAUAGUUAAAAUAGAAUCAAUUUGUUCUUGUGUUACCAUUUACUCAGAUGUCAAUUUCUUGGCAGGAACGCAUCAUAUCGUGUCAUCCUAGUAUCACUAAAUCGAGAGAAACUUUUGUAUUGUUAAUUUAGGUUAACGAAUUAUGCAUGACCGGGGAGAGUGAUCACGUAGAAGUGAAAAGCAAUCAUAAUCCAUUCUUGUUCUCUAGAACAAAGGUUGCUUAUGGGUAUGCUCAGAUGCUUGUUACAUCGGUCAAUAUGAACACAACAUGAGGCAAGAUGAUGAGCUCCAUCAACCAUGACAACAGCGAGCAAAACCCUUUACAGGCUUAGCUCAACAAGCUCAUCUCAUUGAUUGGCAAAGUAGGCUUGGCGGUCGCAUUCCCAAUUCUCGUGGUCCUACUGAUUCACUAUUUCACGAGAAACACAUAGGACGAAGACGGGAGCCAGGAAUUCAUUACCAGCCAAAGAACAGGUGAUGAUAUCAUAAACUCCACGGUGGGCAUCAUUCAGUUGCUGUGACAAUCGUGGUGGUCAUGAUUCCUGAAGGCUUGCCACUCGCUUAUUUGAUGAAGAGGAUGAUGGUGGAUCAGGGGAUGGUGAGGAAGCUGUCAGCCUGUGAGACAAUGGGGUCGGCCACCACUAUUUGCACUGACAAGAUUGGCACUCUGACAAUGAACCAAAUGAAGGUGACGAAAUUCUAGGUUAGCAAAGACUCUAGAAGAAAUAGCCUACUUCUCUCCCUCCAAGUAUGUCCUGGAUUUCAUUCAGGAUAGGGUCACUUUGAACACCACAGGUUGCGUCUAUAAGCCAUCUUCAGGGUCGAAGUACGAAUUCUUAGGCAAUCCCACCGAGAAAGCGAUUCUUUCCUGGGUGGUUUCACAAUUAAGCAUGGACAUGGAGGAGAUAAAGAAGAGAUGUGCAAUCUGAGAUAGCUAGUAUAAACACUUAGAGGGGGGGUGAAUAGGCGCACAAACAAUUCGUCAAAAUACGGAAGCAAUUCUUAGCAAACGAUAGAAAGAAAAUUCUCUCUUGAUUAACAAAAUGAAAUACGAUCGAGGUAGAGAGAGAGAGAGAAUUGAACACAGGAUUUAUAGUGGUUCGGCUUAUUCCAAGCCUACGUCCACUCUUCCGCACUGACAGCCCACCGGCUGGAUUUCACUAUGAUCAAAAGAGAAGUUACAGCACAGCUUUGCCUUGAUUCCACAGUGUAGAUGUUCUACCACACCUUCUCAAGGUUUCUCACAAAUAUAGACUCUCUUUUGUAUACAAGUAUUCGCUCAAAGGAAUUGUCUAAACAAAAAUGAGCUUCAGACUUUGGAAUUCAUCUAUUGUGCACACCUCGAACAACUAAGAACGUUUUCCUUAUAUACUCCUUUAUGCCAUCAUACCCGUUGGCACUUACCAAAGGAAUUCCUCCAAUCUACCCGUUGGACGGAAUCAAUUAGGAAGAUUGUUCGAGCUAUUAAAGGAACGUGUUGAUAGCCCAUCAAUCCUGUUCGCCCAUACAAUCAGGAUCUCGGUUUCCAUAAGUAGAACCUUCCAAUAAUAUUUAGACAAUCAUCGAAUCUUCAAUCAUUGAAUCAAUCUUGAUAAAUCAAAGGAUUAUGUUACGUCUUCUCUAGCCACGAGAUCUUCUCCAGAUGAUAAGGUUAAAUCCUGAACAAAACAUCCAGUUCUGGAUAACCUUUCUUCAACGGAUUAGAGACUGUCAAUGAGGAUAGACUUUGAGUCUUGAGUCUGGCUGUCCGGAAGUCUUCAGACUUUAACUAACAGAGUCUGCAGACUUUCAGACUAGACUGAUGGAAACAUUUUGUCAACUUCAAAACACUUCACGAAGAUUUCUCCAACAAUCUCCCCCUUUUUUAUGGUGACAAAACCUUCAUGUAGAUUUGGAUAACUUUGACCUGCAAAACAUUUCUCAAACACAUAUGCAUAUCUUAUAGAGAUGAAUGGCUAAAAGAUUAACACUAAAAUCUACAAUCACAGAAAAUAGGUUAGUCUAGUAUAUAAUAAAACCAUCCAUAAGAUAUCAAUACUUGUUAAUAGAAGCAGUCAAGUCCAAGUCUAGUUCAGUUCUCAUCCAGACACAAAACAAAGUCAAAGUCUGUCAAAAACAGUUAAACAACAACACAAUCCAACAAACAGUUAAAAGUUUAAUGAUUGAAAGUUUGAUCAAAUCAUGCAUCUCUCCCCCUUUUUGUCAUCAUUAAAAAGGAUGAGAUGAAGUCAAGAUUGCUUGGGAACGCGGACAAGCUGGAAAUCUUCCAUAGACUGAACGAUGCCUUCCAGCCUUUUAAAGUCUUCCUUUAGCUGUGCAACCUCCUCACUCUUGGCAUUGGCCUGAUUCUGAAUAAAGAGGGCUUGCAUCUUAUCAUUCAAUGAACAGGAAGAAGCUUGACUUUCAUUCUUCAAACUUUGAACUUCGCAUCCCAAGGCAUAAAUUUGACCUCGCAUUUCCAAGAGAAUAUCCAAGAUUCUGCGAAAAUCUGCUCCAUUAUCAAUAUGAGUACUUGCUUUGGCUCGAUCUGAUGGAGUAAAAGCAGACGAUGGUGGAUCAGCAUAAUCUCGCAGGUUUGGCGAUGAAGCUUCAUGACCUUCCUCUGGAAAUUGAGAUGCAUAAACAUCCUCUGGGUCUGCAGGCGAGCGACUGACUCCUUCACUUGCGUCAGGAUAUGAAGACGUCACUCCUUUCUCCUGAUCUCCCCCUGUUUCCAUGCCUACAGGUGGAGAAGAAAUUUCCUCAGGUUCUCCUUCUUCUCUUCUUUCUUCUUCAGGUCUUUCUUCCUCUGCUUCUUGCUCUGCUUCUCUUUCUUCUUCUUCCUUCUCCUCUGCUUCUUUCAUCAUUUGUUCCGAUUCUUUCUGUGGAACAGGACGACUUAAAUUCUUCAAAGCCAUUGCAGAGAUGGUGAUGUCUUCGUCAUCAUCUUCAUCCUCAACGAGGAGAGUUCUUCUUCUCUUUGAUGGAGCAGCCAUGGGCUCCUUCCCUUUUCUCUUAGCAGCAGAAGAGUGUUGAUGAGAUUUAGCAGGAGUCUUCUCCUUGAAUUUCUCCAAUUCCUUGCUCAAUUCCUUCAGACGCAUUUUGGUCACCAUUUUCAGUCCUACCACCAUAUGAUCGCAUGAUCGAACACAAAAGAUUUGCGGAGGCUGAAUAUUCAGAUGUCUGAAUAACUUCGUAACAAGGCUUGGGUAAGGGAGUUGACCUCUGUCCUUCAUCACUGCUCUAUACAUGUGAAACAUAACAGUAUGAGGGAGAGAAAACUUCUUUCCACAAAGGAUGGCAUACAUCAACUUUGCCUCAGAGCUUGAAACAUCAGUUUUGGAAGUUGAUUUCGGCCGAAGGCAAUUAAUCACAAUCUUGUGAAGCAAGAUGUUGAAUGCAUUCAUCUUUGAGUAGGUAAUCUUCUCAUAUGUUCUCCUGUCCUUCACCAGUUCAAGUGUAGCCCAAGCAAUGGAAACUUUGAUUGGUUGAUAUCUGCCUCUCUCAACUUCUAACACAUCUGCCAGCAUAUUCAUAUCCACAACAUAGUCUUGUUCUUUAACGCUGAAGGAGAAUCUAUUCGCAUCCAAAAAGCUAAGAUUUGAAUAGAAAUAUGCAGUCAAUUCAGCAUAAGCCUCAGUUGAGUCAGAGCAGAACUUUUCAAGUUGAAGAUAACUGAACUUUUCUCUCAAGUUCACUUUCACAGCAUCCAGAAAAUCAAAGUCCACACUCCUAGGGUUUAUUACCCCACGCUUCAGCAAUUUCAAGUACAAAUCCUUUUGUUCCUUUGAUCUGAACAAAUCUCCCCUUUUUCCUUAAAUUUCAGCCGCAAUACCCAUUUUCGGUUGAAAUAGACUGAACAGAUUGUCAUCAUCAUUCCCAUCUACAGGAUUCGGCCCCUAGUCACGAGGAUCACUUGGGAUAUUCGCAAGGGUUUCCUCAGCCACCCCUUUACGAGCGAUUCCCAAACUUUCCAUUUUUCGCAGAAAGAUAUAUUUGUUCUUAUAUCCUUUGUCUUUAAGAAAAUCAUCAACAUAAUUCAAAGGAGUAUGAAUUCCUUUUAAGGCACGAUAUAGCUUGUAAAUAAAAGCGGGCUUUUGAACUCUUACAGGGUAUGCAUCCUCGAUGAUUUCUUCCUGAUGCUGAUGAACAACGCCUUGAGGACUAGAUGGUGGAGAAUGACGCUGCUGAGAAUGUUGUGAGCUCGGUUGCUGUUCUGGAUUUACUUCUUCCUCAGUAAGAUCAAAGUGCGUAGGCCCCUCACUCAUUCGUUGUGGUCCCCUGCUUGCGAUUCUCGAAGACUUCCGUGAAGAUGACAUCCUUCUCAGUUUUUGGAUGAUUUCCUUGCUCGACUUUCCCAGGAAAGAUAACAACUUUUUUGAAGAUUAAACACAAAAGACAAACGGAAAUGGAGGAUCGAUGCUUUCUAGGGUUUUUGAGAGUAAAAUGAAGAGGAAUCGACAGUGCACGAUCGGUUAAAAAGAGAAAUAAACGAAUUGUCACAAAGGAAAUAAAAAGAUACCUUUUCAAAAUAACAGUCUUUUUCCGCAAAAAUAGUUAUUUCAAAAUAACUUCCUUUUGAAAAUGAAACGAUGCAAUAUUUUCGUUAAUAUAGCAACAAUUUUAAACACAGUCUGACAAUCAUACCUUUUCAAGAUAAGAUUGGAGAGAAAAAGACUUACAGUCUGAUGGUCGAGCCAAGACUGUAGAUAAAGUCUUGUAAGCCUGAGUCUGAAAGUCUUUAGACUUUGAUAUCCUCAUACCUCAAAAUGUUGAGUCUGGAACGGAUAGACUCAAAUUGAUUUUUCUCCAAAGGCUUUGUGAAUAUAUCCGCCAGUUGAUUCUUUGAGUCAACAAACUGAAUUGAAAUCUCUCCAUUUUGAACAUGAUCUCUAAUAAAGUGAUGUCGAAUCUCUAUAUGCUUUGCUCUUGAAUGGAGAAUUGGAUUUUUGGUGAGGUUGAUAGCGCUGGUGUUGUCGCAAUUAAUCUCCAUGCAUGAGUCUUCAAUUUCAAAAUCUCUUAGCUGUUGUUUUAUCCAUAGAAUUUGCGAACAGCAGCUUCCAAGAGCUACAUACUCUGCUUCUGUUGUUGAAAGAGACACAGUGCUUUGUUUCCUUGAAAACCAAGACACUGUCCUGCUUCCAAGCAACUAGCAAGUUCCUGAAGUGCUCUUUCUAUCAACUCUGCAACCGGCCAGAUUUAAUCUGUCGUACCAAGCCCGAGGUGCUUGUUUUAAACCAUACAAAGCCUUUUUCAGUCUGAAGACUGAGUCUGGCUUCUUUGGGUCUUCAAACCCUGGUGGUUGUUCCACAUAAACUUCCUCAUGGAUAAAUCCAUUUAGAAAGGCGCUUUUGACGUCCAUUUGGAAUAACCUGAAAUUCUUAUAACAAGCAAACGCAAGUAAUAGUCGAAUAGCUUCUAACCUUGCCACUGGAGCGUAAGUCUCAUCAUAGUCUAUUCCUUCUUCUUGCGUAUAUCCCUUGGCCACGAGUCUUGCUUUAUUUCGUACGACUUUUCCUUUCUCAUUCAUCUUGUUUCUGAACACCCAUUUAGCUCCAAUAACAGCUUUACCUUUUGGUUUGGAUGUCAAUUCCCAGACAUCAUUAAUGCUGAACUGUCUGAGCUCAUCUUGCAUAGCUUCAAUCCAGCUUUCAUCAGAUAAAGCUUCUUCUAUGCUCUUUAGUUCAAUUUCAGAAACGAGUGCCACAGCACUAGACUCUUCUCCCCUUUUGGAUUUGAUGCGAAUUCCUUCAUUAAUUUCGCCAAUUAUAAGAUCUUUGGGAUGACUGGACUUAUGCUUCCAGUUACUUGUUGAUUUGUCUGGUUGAUGAUCUUUUUCUUUAUUUGGAUCUUCACUAACAACCUGAUGCUGGUUUUCCAGAGUCUGAGAUGCUUCUUGAGUUGUAGACUUUGGAGGGUCUGGAGCAGGUUCAGACUCUUCUUGAUGAGUCUGACUUGAUUCAUCUUGCGUUGAGUCUUGAAAUUUGACAUUCAUUGACUCCUCCACAGACUGGCUCUUCUUGUUAUAGACUCUGUAGGCUUUGCUUGAUGUAGAAUAUCCAAGGAAGAUACCUUCAUCUGAUCUUUCUUCAAACUUACCAACUCGAUCUUUUGCAUUUUUCAAUAUAAAACAUUUACAACCAAAUACAUGAAAGUAUGAAACAAUAGGCUUCUUUUCUUUGAAUAACUCAUAAGGGGUUUUCUGAAGAAUAGAUCUUAAGAAGACUCUAUUGAUGAUAUAGCAUGCUGUUGAAACAGCUUCAGCCUAAAAUCAAGAAGAAAUUUUACUUUCAAUUAAAAGAGUUCUAGCCAUUUCUUGAAGAGAUCUGUUCUUUCUUUCCACAACUCCAUUUUGCUGAGGAGUAUAUGGAGAGGAGAACACAUGCUUAAAGCCAGAUUCAUCACAGAAUUUUGUAAAAUCUUGAUUUUCAAAUUCACCUCCGUAAUCUGUUCUUAUACUAGAGAUAACACAUCCUUUUUCAUUUUGAACCUCUUUAGCAAAUUUUUCAAAAUACGAAAAGGUUUUGGACUUACUUGCAAGGAAAUAUACCGAAGUAAAACGGGAGUAAUCAUCAACAAUUACUAGGCAAUACUUCUUACCCCCAAUACUCUGAGUUCUGGUUGGUCCGAAGAGAUCCAUAUGCAGCAACUGUAGUACAUGAUUAGUAGAGACAUGAUUUAUUGGCUUAAAUGAAUUUCUUACCUGCUUUCCUAGAAUACAUGGAGUGCAUGAAUCAGUCUUUUGGUAUGGCAAUUUGGGUAGACCUCGAACAAGCUGCUUUGAUGAGAUUUUGGCUAAUUACUUCAUGUUGACAUGACCAAGCUUUUUGUGCCAUAAGCUUGCUUCGUCUUGAAUUGAGAUAAGGCAUUGCGAUUCAUUUGGUUUCACAUCCAGAAGAUAGAUAUUUCCAUGUCUUCGACCCAAGAAAGACUGAAUAGAGUCUUUACUGAUUCCAGAACAUGUUCCUUCUUAAAAGAAGAUCUUGAAACCAGUAUCACACAAUUGACUAAUGCUGAGAAGAUUGUAAUUGAGUCCUUCCACUAAGGAAACAUUACUUAUUGUGAGAGUUCCAAUUUUCACGGUUCCAAAUCCCACAAUACUUCCUUUGUUGUUUCCUCCAAAUGAAACUUUUCCACCAUUUACUUGAGCAAGCUUUAUAAAGCAAUUUGAGUCUCCUGUCAUGUGUCUUGAGCAUCCGCUGUCAAGAUACCACUUUACCUGUUUCUUAACGGAGACCUGCAUUUAAAAUAAAGUCUCAAGCUUUCUUUGGUACCCAAAUUUUCUUGGGUCCUUUGGUGUUAGUAAUAUAAACAGUAUUAGCCCAUACUUUCUUAACAGGUUUCCAUACCAUAGGACACUCUUUUUCAAAGUGAUCCGGACUGUUGCACUUUGAACAUCUGAGAGCAUUUCUACCUACAGGUUUUACAAAAACUUUCUUGAAAUCAUUUUUGUAAGCCUCUUUCGAGGGUCUUUUCUUAAUUCUUUCUUUUACUUUAGGAAAAUCAAUCAAGGGAAUUGUUUCUGCUGACAUACCUAGACCAGACUUAUUGAAGUAAGGUCUUUGAGCUGAAAGAAUUUUUUCAAGUUUCUCAGACCUUAUUGAAAAUUUCUUUGAAAUAUUUGAUACGUCUGUUUUUAAAAGAGCAUUUUCUUUCAAAAGAUUAUCUUCAUUUUCUUUAAGAGUGGAAACAGUCAAGUCUAGACUUUUAACUCUUUCUACUAAAACAUUUUCCUUUUGUUUUAGAGCUGAGUUUUCCUUUUUCAAUUCGGAAAUUCUUUUAAGAGAAGUCUUAAGACUAAAACACAGUUCAUCAAUGUAUUUAGAAACUUUGACAGGAAUUUUGAAAUUACUUGCCUCAAAUUCACUGUCUGAGUCUGAUCCUGAGUCUGAUCCAGAGUCUGAGUCUGAUUGUGCCAUCAGACAUAGAUUAGCAUAUUCAUUAUCACUUUCUUCACACUCAGUAUCACUCCAGGUUUCGGCUUUGAGAGCUUUUCGAAAUUUUUCAGCUUUUCCUCUCUUCUUCUUCAGAAGAGGACAGUUGGGUCUAAUGUGUCCCUUUUUCUUGCAUUCAAAGCAGAGUACAUCUUUAUUUGGUUCCUCAUCAUCAACAGACUUGGUCUGCUGUCUUUGAAAGCUUUGUUUCUUUGAGUUGAACCUUCUUCCUUUUCUAUUUAGUUUUCUGAAUCUUCUUAUCAUGAGAGCAAGCUCCUCAUCGUCCAUAUCAUCUUCAGAAUCUGUAUCAUCAGAAUCAUCAUUUGAUUUUAAUGCAAUGGAUUUCUUACCUUUUGGAUCUUCAUCUUCAUUGAUCCUUUCCACUUCAUAGGACUGAAGAGUUCUAAUCAGCUCGUCGACAGAUAGUGGCAUAAUUCUUUGUGUCUCUCUUAUCAAAGUCUUUAUGUGAUUCCAAUCCUUAGAGAGUCCACGCAGUAGCUUGUUUACCUUCAUGGGAUCAGAAAUUGGUUGACCUUGAUUUUCAAGACCAUUCACAAUAUCUGUAAAACGACUAAACAUGUCAGUUAUAGAUUCUCCUGGUUUCAUUCUGAAGGCUUCAUAUUGACCGAGAAGAAUGUUAAUUCUGGUUUCCUUCACUCGAUCUGUUCCUUCAUAGGUGAUAUGUAAUAUGUCCCAGACUUCUUUUGCUGUAACACAAGAAGAUAUUCUAUUAUACUCAAUUGGUGACAAAGCACAAUAUAAAGAAUAAAUUGCUUUUGCAUCGAGUGAUUGUCUCUUGACUAUCUCUUCCUGAGUCAUUCCGCUGAUCUCAUUAGUUUAUUUCCCUCUUUCAGAGACUGAUGCAGUGGUAGGAGUAAUUCCUUUUUCUACAACGUCCCAUUCCAAAGGAUUCUUUGAUCGUAGGAAAGCUUUCAUCUUGUUUUUCCAGAUGUUGUAAUCCUUUCCAUCAAAGUAGGGUGGUCUGGUAUUGCUUUGCCCUUCCAUCAGCCCUGGUGCUAGCAUACUAGCCAUGGAUCUUUAACUCUGAAGUAAAACACUUCAAACAAAGUGAGUACACUUGCUCUGAUACCAAUUGAGAUAGCUAGUAUAAACACCUAGAGGGGGGGUGAAUAGGUGCACAAACAAUUCGUCAAAAUACGGAAGCAAUUCUUAGCUAACGAUAGAAAGAAAAUUCUCUCUUGAUUAACAAAAUGAAAUACGAUCGAGGUAGAGAGAGAGAGAGAAUUGAACACAGGAUUUAUAGUGGUUCGGCUUAUUCCAAGCCUACGUCCACUCUUCCGCACUAACAGCCCACCGGCUGGAUUUCACUAUGAUCAAAAGAGAAGUUACAGCACAGCUUUGCCUUGAUUCCACAGUGUAGAUGUUCUACCACACCUUCUCAAGGUUUCUCACAAAUAUAGACUCUCUUUUGUAUACAAGUAUUCGCUCAAAGGAAUUGUCUAAACAAAAAUGAGCUUCAGACUUUGGAAUUCAUCUAUUGCGCACACCUCGAACAACUAAGAACGUCUUCCUUAUAUACUCCUUUAUGCCAUCAUACCCGUUGGCACUUACCAAAGGAAUUCCUCCAAUCUACCCGUUGGACGGAAUCAAUUAGGAAGAUUGUUCGAGCUAUUAAAGGAACGUGUUGAUAGCCCAUCAAUCCUGUUCGCCCAUACAAUCAGGAUCUCGGUUUCCAUAAGUAGAACCUUCCAAUAAUAUUUAGACAAUCAUCGAAUCUUCAAUCAUUGAAUCAAUCUUGAUCAAUCAAAGGAUUAUGUUACGUCUUCUCUAGCCACGAGAUCUUCUCCAGAUGAUAAGGUUAAAUCCUGAACAAAACAUCCAGUUCUGGAUAACCUUUCUUCAACGGAUUAGAGACUGUCAAUGAGGAUAGACUUUGAGUCUUGAGUCUGGCUGUCCGGAAGUCUUCAGACUUUAACUAACAGAGUCUGCAGACCUUCAGACUAGACUGAUGGAAACGUUUUGUCAACUUCAAAACACUUCACGAAGAUUUCUCCAACACAAUCAUCCAAGUCAAAGUCUUCAACUCAAGGAAGAAGAGAAGUGGUACCCUAAUAAAGAAGAACAUGGAUGACACAUUCCAUGUGCACUGGAAAGGAGCGGCAGAGAUGGUCUUGGCGAUGUGCUCGAGCUUCUACGAUGGGUCCGGGAUAGAGAAAGAUUUGGACAAAGAUGAAAGGAUAAAAUUCGAGUAAAUUAUCCAGGGCAUGGCUGCGAGCAGCCUUAGGUGCAUCGCUUUCACCCAUAAACAAGUCUCCAAGGAAGCGGCCAAAGAAAGAGAAGAGAGGAAGAAGAUCCAAGAGGACGGCCUGACAUUAAUAGGACUUGUAGGUAUUAAGGACCCACGCCGUCUUGUUGUGAGGAGCGCGGUCCAAGCUUGUCAAGAUGCGGGGGUGAACAUCAAGAUGACAGCAGGAGACAACAUGUUCACUGCUAAGGCCAUUGCCACUGAGUGUAGGAUUCUCAGGCCCGAGGACGAUGCCUUCAAUGAAGCCAUCAUGGAGAGUCGAGAAAAUCUGGGUUAUGACGAGAUCCUCACCUUUCGAUAAGCUUCUCAUGUGACAGAAAUUGAGGUGGAGUUGAGAGGAAAAAUAAUUUACGCAUUCUCAGUAUAUCUCUUAUACAUGUAUGAUCCUCCACUUAUAAUCUUAGUGAGAGGAAGUAAGAUGGGAAAUGAAAUAUACACUGAUUAUAUAAUGAUUCCAUGUCUUAUUCUACCAAGCUAAUCACGAAUAAACAAAAUCAAUCACUGAUGCUCAGAUUGAUACUCGGAAUCGGUAUCUUCAUAUUUCCAACACUCCCCCUCAAGCUGGUGGCCUGUAUAUGUCAAGGACACUUAGCUUGCUCAAAAGGUAUGUAUGUUGUCUUUGGCAUAAUGGCUUGGUAAAGAUAUCUGUAGGCUACUCUACGGUUCCAAUUCCUCUUGCUGUGAUGAUCCCUUCUCAAAUCUUGUCUCGAGUGAAAUGACAAUCAACUUUUAUAUAUUUAGUCCUCUCAUGAAAAACUGGAUUUGCCGCUAACUUGAGUGCAGCAUCAUUGUCACAAAAUAGUUCACUGGGUCCCUCGAUUCGUACUCCAAGGUCGAAGAGUAAUCCACGUAUCCACACUAUCUCACAAACAGUCUUUGCCAUGGCUCGAUAUUCUGAUUCGGCUAAUGACAGUGACACAGUCGACUGCUUCUUUGUCUUCCAUGAGAUGAGUGACUUCCCUAGUUUAAUACAAAAACCAGUAACUAAUCUCCUCGUCAUUGGACAAGUGGCAUAAUCGGUAUCACAAAAGACUGUUAUCUUCAUAUCACAAUCAUGAGAUAAGAAAUUACCAAGUCCCGGAAAUUUCUUUAGGUACUUCACAACCUUUAAUGUGGCAUUCAUAUGAGAUUGCUUUGACUUAUGCAUGAACUGACUGAGUAUCUUACUGCAUAACAAAUAUCGGGUCUUGUCAUGGUGAGGUAGAUUAGUUUUCCAACAAGAUGCUGAUAUCCCGAUGGAUCCUCCAACAAUGGAUCAACUGUGGAUGAAGGCAAACUCAUAUCGUAUUCAUGCGUCGUUAGCUUCACAUUUUGUUCAAUCGGUAUGGCAGCCAGUUUGCAUCCUGAUAAUCCUGCUUCUGAAACUAUCUCCAAAAUGAACUUUCGUUGACUAAGGUUGAUUCCCUUAUCAAAGCGAGCUAUUUCAAUACCUAGGAAAUAUUUUAGGGGUCCCAAAUCCUUGAUAUGAAAGAAAAAUGCAAAUAUUUUUUGAACCUUGUAAUGGCCAACUCAUUGUUUCCCAUGAUAAGAAUGUCGUCAACAUAUAUCAACAAAUAAAUUGAUGAAGUACCUUCAAUCCAAGUAAACAAGGCAUAGUCGUGCUUGGAGUGCUGGAAUCCUGCGCCGAUUAGUGCAGUAGUGAAUUUGGCAUACCACUGUCUAGAAGCUUGUUUAAGUCUAUACAGGGAUUUGUGUAAACGACACACGUGAGACUCCCCCUGUCUGCGUAAACCCAGUGGAAGUUCCAUGUAAAUCUCUUCAUCUACGUCCCCAUGUAGGAAGGCAUUAUGAACAUCCAUCUAAUAUAGUUGUCAAUUACGAAGGGCUGCAAUAGAUAAAAAGGAACGAAUAGUAACUUUUUUAGCUACAGGGGACAAGGUUUCAUGGUAAUCAAAACCUUCCUGUUGCGUGAAACCCUUCACAACUAACCGAGCCUUGUAUCUCUCGAUGGAACCAUCUUCCUUGAACUUUAUCUUGUAAACCCAUUUGUAUCAAAUGGGUCUUCGAUGUGGAGGUAAAGGAACAAUGUCCCAUGUGUGGUUUUCAGUUAGUGCUUUAAGCUCAGCUUCCAUUGUAUCCUACCAUUUAGGGCCGCAUGCCGCCUCAUGAUAGGAAGACGGCUCCUAUUCUUUAGAAAUCCGACUGAUGCAGCAUAUAUGUUCUGGUGACAACUGACUAAAGAAAACGUAUAAAGAGACCAAAUAUUGUAUACCUAGAGAAUUUAGCAUAGGGCAUAUGUAAUCCUUUGUCCGGGUGGGUGAUCAUGUAUGUCUACCAAAAUGUCGAGGCUCCCCUACUCUUCCUUCCUCAGUAAUGAUAGGUAAGGAGUCUUGUGAAGAACACUGUAACUCUUGUUGUGAAGAAGUGACCGGAGAAUCGGAUGACUGAUUUUCCUCAUCUGAAAGAACAGAUAAUUCAGCUCCAUGAUGAACUGGAUUUGUUGUUAUUGGUGCAGGUUGUUCUAGUGCAAUGGUUACAUAUGGAGGUUCCAUACAUAAAUCUUCUUCUGAUAAAAAGGGGCGAUUAUUGGGAGCUGAGAUAGAGGAUGAGGGGGUACUUUCCCGAAAUGGAAAUAUGUCUUCAUGAAAAACCACAUCCCUGCUCACAAAGAAGUGCCCUGUAGAGAUCCCAUGACUCUAUAACCUUUUUGCAAGGAGGGAUAUCUCAUAAAAAUACAUGGAAUAGCACGAAGGUCCAUUUUAUCUUGAGGCCCUACUGUUGUGGCAUAACACAAGCAUCCAAAUACUCUGAGAUGAUCAAUUCUUACUUCCUUUUCAUAAAGCAAUUGAAAAGGUGUUCGCCUAUUGAGAAUCUAUGUUGACAUUUGAUUAAUCAAAUAGGCUGCCGUAACAACACAGUCUCCCUAAAAAUCUUCAGGAAUCGAAGCCUGGUAUUUAAGAGCACAAGCAACCUCAAAGAGGUGCCGAUGUUUACUCUCAACUAUCCCAUUCUGCUGAGGAGUAUAUGUGCAAUAGCUUUCAUGGAUUAUUCCCUUAGAUGAUAGAAAAGAAUCACACUCUCUAGUAUAGAAUUCAUGUCCAUUGUCCGUACGAGUUUUUUGAGCAAUUUUUUUUAAUUGAUUUUCAAUAAGAGUGAGAAACUUUGAUAGAGUUGGGAAAGUUUGGCUCUUUGACUGCAUGAGGAAAACCCAAGUCGCAUGACUAUAAUCAUCAACAAUGGUAAGAAAGAAUCGUGACCCAUCACGAUGUGGUGUGUGAUAAGGUCUCCAAAUAUCAAUGUGUAGUAAAGAGAAGGCAAUGCUGGCUCAAGAUGUGCUAGUGGGAAAUUGUGUCCGAGAUUGUUUAGCUAGGGGACAAAUGGGACAUUUCGGAUUAGGGAAACGUGCACUAUGACCCAAGCGUUGAUGGAAAAUAAGAUUUUUAUUAUUGAUAAUAGCAUUACAAGAAGUGCUUUUAUCAAAAACUUCAUAAGAACUAAUCCAAAAGUAAAGUCCUUGUGCGACACUACCCAAGCCCAUCGGUUUGCUAGUCGAAAGGUCCUGAAAGAAACAAUUGUCGAAGUUGAAAAUGACACCACAAGAAUUGCCUUCACAAGCUUUUGAGACGGAUAUCAGGUUGAACUCAAACUCUAGAAUAUGGAGGACAUUUUUUAGGACAAUAUCAAAGCUAAGGUGAACAAUUCCAACCUUAGUGACAUGAGUAACAUUGCCAUUCGAAAGUCACACGGUAUAUAGAUAUGGACUUUUCUGAGCAUGGGAAAAUAAUUUCUCAUUGCAUAUUAUAUGAUCACUUGCACUCGAAUCUAUAAUCCAUGCAUCAGUUAGUAUUGAGUUUGUUUUACCAAGGAUAGUACCUAAAAAGCCUGCACUCUUGUCACUUGUAGUUAAACGAUCCAAAGCCCUCAUGAUGUUCUGGUAUUGAUCUUAGGUAAUUGGUUGAUGUGCCCCAUCAUUCCUCAAUGCCAACACAUGAUAAGCAGAAAACUCAUUUUCCUUUUUUCUUUAUCACCCGGCUUGCCAUGCAAUUUCCAGCAAGUUUCAAUUGUAUGAUACAAACAUCUACAAUAUUCACAAAAUUUUCCUUUAUUUUUGGAAAUUUGCGCACCUGGUCUAUGCGAUGACAUGGCAUGACAUGGUCUAUUUGAUCCCAUAUAGAUGGGUACUGACGUGGCCAAGUGAGAGCCGUUAGAUUCAAUCGAGCCAAAGGAGGGAUAUUAACCGUUGGAUGUCUUUUGAUGUCCACCGUCGGAUGGCUUCUUCUGAUCUUAGCCAUCCAUCCGUGGGUUCUUAGGGUUCCCAAGAUUUAUCUUCCUCGCAGUUGCAAGGUGUCCGGUGCUCCCAAAGCUUCCGCUCCUUCCAUGGCCACCGAGUGUCGAAUCCAGCAAACUGGAGCCACCUGCGAGCGCAGCAGCAAGGGCGACUCCAUCAGUUGUCCAUGCAUGCUUGACCGUCACCAACCGUUGACUUUCUUCCUAAACGGCCAGUUGGUAGAUUCAGCCGAGCGACAGCGUCGACUCCAUCGUCAAGAUCUGUAACCUAAAGGUAGCGUACGUCUCAUUCAAGCUCAGUAAAAACCCCGUCACAUUCUCCAUUUCCUUUAUGGCCUUGUACUAACGAAGUAUGAUUUCAGGCCCCUCCAAUCGUUCCUCGGCCGCCUCGAGCUCAUUCCAAAGAGUCGAGAGCUGAUUGAAGCGAGCGGUAAUCGUAAGGAUCCCUUGCUUCAAAUCAAAGAGAGCCUGUGUUAUGCUGAAUAACUUCACCCGAUCUAGCCGUCCGUACAUCUCACAAAUGCUUUCCUAGUAGGUUCUCGAGUCCUCUGUUGGAGGGAGUCCUACUACAACGUCCGGCACAAGGCAGUUUCCGAUUCAAGUACAUACCAAUUGAUUACACCGUCGCCAAUGCCAUUGAAGCCGUUCAUCUAAUGGGUAAGGCACGGAUCCGUCAAGAAAACCCUCUUUGUCUUUGGUGAUGAGGACUCUACGGAAAUCGCGCGCCCAAGUGCUGUAGUUAUCGGGGCCGAUGAGUUGUAGCUGGAUGAGUUUCAGAUCUGGCCCAUCUACCGGUGAAGUGAAGAGAGGGUCGCCGACUUCGAGUUGGCUGUCAUUGCCAAUGGGAAACAGGUACAGUGCAUAGCCGAAUCCAAAAAAUGAGUACGGGUUUGGUCCUUGACCCGGUAUGGACUCGAACCCUUGACCCUGCGUAGCUCCAUUUCCUUGGUUCAGAUCCCUUCUAUCCGGUUCUUGACUCAGGUCGCCUCCAUUUUUUUUAGGGCUCGGAUCUCCUCUGGAUUGUGGUCCAAAGACGUGGGAGCUUUCUCUCGCAUACGGGCCAUGUUGAGCCCACCCUUGUCCUGAACCAGCACCCUAUUAGCCUUGAACAAGGUACCACGGAAAUGCAGGCCAUUGCGUUAUACCAGAAGCAAAAGGAAAAAAAGGACCAUAAGCCAAAGGAAAAACAGGACCAGAAACAGAAGGAAAAAAAAUGGUGUUUUGAGGAUCCUCAAGUUUUUUGAUGACUGCAUCCUCCAGUUCAUUUGGAUUGAUCUGAACCAAUGAAGCUGAAGUUUGAUCUUGAGACAUUUCCUCCAAAGGUGAAUCUUGAGUAUUCCCUUUUCUUGCCAUGGUACAGAAGAUUGAAUUCCAACUUGGCUUUUUGGUUUGUUUUGCAGAUUGAAAAAUUGCAACAACAAUAACUCAAGAAAGAAAGAGGGCAAUUCCGAGAUCGCGGAAGCUAGGUCUGGGACCGAGGCUCUGAUACCAUGAUAGAAACUGAGGUGGAGUUGAGAGGAAAAAUAAUUUACAUAUUCUCAGUAUAUCUCUUGUACAAGUAUAAUCCUCCACUUAUAAUCUUAGUGAGAAGAAGUAAGAUGGGAAAGGAAAUAUACACUGAUUACAUAAUGAUUCUAUGUCCUAUUUUACCAAGCUAAUCACCAAUAAACCGAAUCAAUCACUAAUGCUCGGAUUGAUACUCAGAAUUGGUAUCUUCAUAUUUCCAACAUCAUGGUUCAAUGCUUGAAGCAAAAAGGCCAUGUGGUCACUGUUAUUGGGGACGACACAAAUGAUGCACUAGCCCUCAAGGAAGCUCACAUCGGGCUCUCGAUGGGCAUCCAAGGCACUGAGGUCACCAAGGAGAGCUCAGACAUAAUCAUCCUUGACGUCAACUUCGCCUCUGUGGUGAUGGUGUUGCGUUAGGGUCGAUGCAUCUACAUUAACAUCCAGAAUUUCAUCCAGUUCCAAUUAACGGUGAAUGUGGUAGCCCUCGUGAUCAACUCCGUGGCUACGUCUCCUCUGGCAAUGUCCUUCUAAUGGCAGUCCAACCCUUAUGGGUGAACCUCAUCAUGGACAUGCUCAAUGCCCUUGCCCUAGCCACUGAGCGUCCUGCCCGCAAGCUCAUGGAGAAGCCCCUUGUGGGCCGAACUGAGCCAUUCAUAACCAACAUCAUGUGGAAGAACGUCGUAGCACAAGUAACAUACCAAAUGGCCAUCCUUCUCACUCUACAAUUCAAGGGCGAAUCGAUCUUUGGGGCCGACAAGACGGUGAAGCGGAUGCUGAUAUUCAACAUGUUCAUCCUAUGCUAGGUCUUUAAUGAGUUCAACACGAGGAAGCUCGAGAAGAAGGUGUUCGAGGCCCUACAUAAGAACAAGUUGUUCCUUGGGAUCAUCUUCAUGAAGGUGGUCCUCCAAGUGAUGAUGGUUGAGUUCCUGAAGUGGUUUACCUACACAGAGCAGUUGAGCUAGGGCUAGUGGGGGGCAUGUAUUGGGUCCACGGCCGCAUCUUGGCCUAUCGAUUGGGUUGUCAAGUGCAUCCUAGUCCCUAAUACACCAAUCUUUGGCUUCUUGGGAUUCAAAACCAAGAAGUGUUGGAAAUUUUCUAUAAUAUGGGCUUACAUUAAUUAAUUAAUUUUCUAUUUUAAAUAAUCGGGUUAAUGGAUAUUCCAAUAUUAGUUAAACCCAAGAGUGAUCUUAUUGAAUUGGGUAUUGGCUGAUAUAGCUAGUAAUAGCACCUAGAGGGGGGUAAAUAGGUGUUUAAAUAAUUUCUCAAGAUAUGAAAGCAAUACUGGACUAAUAACAUAAAGGAAUCUCUCCUUUAGCUAACAAAUUGAACUAUGAUCAAAGUAAAGCAGAGAGUAAGGAAGAGAAGAUUGAACACAAGGUUUAUAGUGAUUCCGUUUAUUCCAAGCCUAUGUCCACUCUUCUACACUGACAACCUACUGGCUGGAUUUCACUAUGAAUAAAAGAGAUAUUACAGCACUGUUUUCCCUUGAUUCCAUAGUGUAGAUAUUCUAUCACACUUCCUCAAGAUCUCUCAAAGUAUAGACUCUCUUUUGUGUACAAGAUUUCGCUCAGCAAAUGAAUUAACUAAGAAUCAAAGAGCUUCAAACUUUGGAAUUCUUCUAUCGUGCACUCCUCGAACAACUGGAACGUCUUCCUUUUAUACUCCUUUGUGCCAUCAUACCUGUUGGCACUUAUCAAAGGAAUUCUUCCAAUCCUCCCGUUGGACAGAAUCAAUUACGAAGAUUAUUCGAGCUAUUAAAGGAACAUGUCAAUAGCCCAUCAAUCCUGCUCGCCCAUACAAUCAGAAUCUUGGUUUCCAUAAGUAGAACCUUUCAGGAAUACUUCGUCAAUCAUCGGAUCUUUAAUCAUUCUUGAUUUGAAUAAAGGAAUCUGUUAUGUCUUAUCCAGCCAAGAGAUCUUCUCCAGUCGAUAAAGCCAAAUCCUUAGAGAAGCACUCAGUUCGGGAUAGUCUUUCUUCAACGGAUUAGAAACUGUCAAUCAGAAUAGACUUUAAGUCUUGAGUCUGGUAGUCCGAAGGUCUUCAAACUUUAAUAGCAGAGUCUGCAAAUCUUCAGACCAAACUGAUAGAAACGUUUUGUCAACUUCAAAAUAUUCCAGAAAUAUUUCUCCAACAAUCUCCCCAUUUUUGAUGGUGACAAAACUUUCCUGCAGAUUUGAAUAACUUUGACCUGCAAAACAUUACUCAAGCAAAUAUGGAUAUCUCAUAAAGAUUAAUAGCUUAAUGAUAACACUAGAAUCUGCAACCACAGAAAAUAAGUUAGUAUUUCAUGAGAGUAAAGCCAUUCAUAAGAUAUCAAUAGUGCUUAAUAUAAACAACAUUCAAAUCCAAAUCCAUGUUUAGUCAUUCCAGACACAGAUACACAAGUCACACAUCAAAACAAACUAAAAAUUCAACAAGUCUCAACAAGUUUCAAGUUUAAGUUCAAAGAUUUCAAAUCUCGCAUCUCUCCCCCUUUUUGUCAUCAUCAUAAAAAGAAGUUGAGAUGGGAAUAGAAUGGAGUCAAGUUUGCUUGGGAAUGCGAACAAGCUGGAAAUCUCCCAUGGACUGGAUGAUGCCUUCCAGCUUUUUCAGAUCUUCCUUUAGAUGAUCCACCUCUUCACUUUUAGCAUUAGCUUGAAUCUGAAGAGCAAGAGCUUGGAUCUGAUCAAACAAUGAAACGGAAGAAGCUUGUCCUGCAUUCUUCAAGUUCUGAACUUCGCUUUCCAAAGCAUAUAUCUGACCCCGCAAUUCCAAAAGAACAUCAAUGAUUCUGCGAAAAUCUGCUGAGUUAUCAGUCUGCGUAUUGGCUUCGGUGCGAUCUGAUAGAGUAAAGGCAGACGAUGGUAUAUCAGCAUAAUCAUGCAGAUUUGGCGAUGACGCACCAUGUCCCUCCUCAGGAAAUUGAGAGGCAUGAAUGUCUUCUGGAUCUGCUGGAGAGCAAUUGACUCCUUCACUGUUAAUAUGAUAUGAGGACAUUCUUCUGUUUUCACUAUCUCCCCCUGUCUCCAUGGCUUCAGGUGGAGAAGAGUUUUCCCCAUGCUCUCCUUCCUUUUCUUCUUCAAACCUUUCCUCGUUAGUUUCUUUUUCUUCAGCUUCUUUCUCCUUUUCUUCCUUCUCCUUUGCUUCUCUCUCCUCUGCUUCUAUAUCUUCUUCUUUCUCCUGUUCUUCUCUCUCCUUUGCUUUUUUUUUUCUCUUGUUGUGCUACUAAUUCAGGAACAGAAUGACUCAUCUUCUUUAAUGCUAUAGCAGAAAUUGUGAGGUCAUCCUCAUCAUCUUCAUCAGUAAUGAGAGCUUUUCUCUUUUUGGAUGGAGUAACCAUAGGCUCCUUCCCUUUUCUUUUCGUUGCAGAAGAGACUUGAUGAGAUUUGACAGGGGUUUUCUCCUUAAAUUUCUCCAACGCCUUGUUGAGAUCUUUCAGACGCAUUUUGGACACCAUUUUCAGUCCUACCACCAUUUUGUCACAGGGUCGAACACAGAGAAUUUGUGGAGGCUGAAUAUUCAAAUGUCUGAAUAUCUUUGACACAAGACUUGGAUAAGGAAGUUGGCCCUUGUCCUUCACCACUACUCUAUACAUGUGAAACGGAAUAGUGUGAGGAAGAGAAAACUUUUUUCCAGCAUUAAUUGCGUACAUCAGCUUUGCCUCUGAGUUAGAAACAUCAGUCUUUAAAGUUGAUUUGGGUCUGAGGCAAUUUAUCACAAUUUUGUGAAGCGGAAUGUUGAACACAUGCAUCCUUGAGUAUGAAAUCCUUCCCUCUGUCAUUCUGUCUUUAACAAGUUCCAAUGUGGCACGAGCUAUAGAGACACUGAUGGGUUGAUAUCUCCCUCUCUCAACCCCAAUAAUAUCUGCCAACAUAUCCACAUCCACUACAAAGUCCUUAUCUCGGACACUGAAGGAGAUUCUAUUUGCAUCCAAGAAACUAAGAUUUGAAUAGAAAUAUGCGGUUAAUUGAGCAUAGGCUUCUGUGGUGUCGGAACAGAACUAUUCAAGUUGAAGAAAACUGAACUUUUCUCUCAAAUUGACAUUCACAGCAUCAAGGAAAUCAAAAUCUACACUCUUAGGGUUUAUUACCCCACGUUUCAACAAUUUGGAGUAUAGAUCAUUAUGUUCCUUCGAUCUAAACAAUUAUGUUCUUUUUCCUCGAAUUCUCGCCGCAACACCCAUUCUCGGUUGAAAUUCUUUGUACAAUUUGUCAUCAUCAUUUCCAUCUAUCGGAUUAAAACUUCCAACACGCGGAUCACUUGGGAUAUUUGCAAGGGUUUGUUCUGCCAUCCCCUUAGGAGCAAUUUCCAAACUCUCCAUUUUUCGCAAAAAGAUGUAUCCCUUGUCCUUAAGAAACUCAUCGAUGUAGUUCAAAGGAGUACCAAUGCUCUUUAAAGCAUGGUAGAGCUUAUAAAUAAAAGAGGUGGAGAAUGACGCUGCCGAGAAUGUUGUAGGCUCUGCUGCUGACUUAGUGACUCCUCUUCCUCGGUGAGAUCAAAGUGAGUAGGCCCCUUACUCAUUCGCCGUGGUCCCCUGCUUGCAAUCCUUGAAGACUUUCUUGAAGAUGACAUCUUUCUCAGUCUUUGAAAGAUUCAUUGCUUAACUUUCUCAAGAAAGAUGACAACUUUUUGAAGAUUAAACAAGGGAGAAAGACAGGAAUGGAAGAUCGAUGCUUUUUAGGGUUUUGGAGUUAAGUGAAGAGGAACCAAUUGUUUAUAGCUUAGUCGAAACGGGAGAAUGCCAAACGUCGUAAAGGAGGUUAAAAGAUACAUUUUUUAAAAAAUAACUGCCUUGUUUAAAAAAAUGGAUAACUGCCAUUAACUCAUUUUGAAAAGGAAAAAUUGCACUUUUCAUGGAACUUGAAGAUAGCAUAAAUCAAUCAUGAAUGGAUAAGUGAUCGUACCUUUACGAGAUUUAAUAUAAGAGAAAAUAAAAUAACUUACAGUCAAGAACCAUGAUUGUUUGAAACUGAGAGUCUCUAGACUUUAACUUCUUCAAGCUUCAAGAUGUUGAGUCCGGAACGAAUGAUUUCAAAUUGAUUUUUCUCCAAAGGCUUAGUAAAUAUAUAUCCACCAGUUGGUUCUUUGAGUCAACAAACUGAAUCGAAACUUCUCCAUUUUGAACAUGAUCUCUAAUGAAGUGAUGUUAAAUCUCUAUAUGCUUUACUCUUGAGUGAAGAAUUGGAUUUUUGGUAAGAUUAAUUACACUGGUGUUGUCACAGUUAAUCUCCGUGCAUGAAUUUUCAAUUCCAAAAUCUCUUAAUUGUUGUUUUAUCCACAGAAUUUGUGAACAACAGCUUCCGAGAGCUACAUAUUCUACUUCUGUUGUAGAAAGAGCUACUGUAUUUUGCUUCCUUGAAAACCAAGACACUGUCCUGCUUCCAAGUAACUGACAAGUACCCGAGGUGCUCUUUCUAUCAACUCUGCAACCGGCUAGAUCUGCAUCUAAAUAUCCAAGGAGAGUAAAGUCUCCUUUUUAAGGAUACCAAAGGCCGAUGCUUGAAGUUGAAGCAAUGUAUUUGAUAAUACGCUUUGCAGCACUUAGAUGAGAUUCUUCAGGGUCUGCUUGAAAUCUGGCACAAAUGCAAACACUAAGCAAAAUGUCAAGUCUAGAAGCAGUAAGAUAAAGAAGUGAACCGAUGAUACUCAUGUAUAGCUUCUGGUCAACUUUCUUUCCUCCUUCAUCUUUGUCGAUCUUCAAGGAACUUAACAUUGGUAUAUCAGUCUUUUUGCAAUUUUCAAGUCCAAACUUUUUGACAAGAUCGUUAGCAUAUUUUUCUUGAUGAGUAAAAGUCCCUUCCUUCAAUUGUUUCACUUGAAGUCCAAGAAAGAAGGUUAGUUCACCCAUCAUGCUCAUUUCAAAUUCAUCCUACAUAGACUUAGAGAAUUUCUUGCAUAAACUUUCAUUUGAGGAUCCAAAAAUGAUAUUAUCGACAUAUAUUUGAACAAAUAGAAAACUUUUGCUUUCUCUUUUGAUAAACAGAAUAGUAUCUACUUUACCUUUUUCAAAGCCAUUUUGAAUUAAAAACUUACUCAGUCUGUCGUACCAAGCUCGAGGUGCUUGCUUUAAUCCAUACAAGACUUUUUUCAGUUUAAAUACUAAGUCUAGCUUCCUUGGGUCUUCAAACCCAGGUGGUUGUUCCACAUAAACUUCCUCAUAGAUAAAUCCAUUCAGGAAAGCACUUUUGACGUCCAUUUGGAAUAACCUGAAAUUCUUAUAACAAGCAAAAUCAAGUAAUAAUCGAAUUACUUCUAACCUUACUACCGGUGCGUAAGUCUCGUCAUAGUCUAUCCCUUCUUCUUGCGUAUAUCCCUUGGCCACGAGUCUUGCUUUGUUUCUUACAACUUUACCUUUUUCAUUCAUCUUGUUCUUGAAAACCCAUUUAGCUCCAAUAAUAGAUUUACCUUUUGGUUUAAGAGUUAAUUCCCAGACAUCAUUGAUACCAAAUUGUCUGAGUUCUUCUUGCAUAGCUUCAAUCCAGCUUUCAUUAGAUAAAGCUUCUUCUAUGCUUUUUGGUUCUAUUUCAGGAAUAAGAGCCACAGCAAUAGACUCUUCGCGCCUUUUGGAGCUUGUGUGAAUUCCUUCAUUAAUGUCGCCAAUAAUGAGGUCUUUGGGAUGACUAGACUUAUGCUUCCAGUUACUGAUUGAUUUGUCAUGUUGAUAAUCACUUCCUUCAUUUGAAUCUUCAAUAACCAUUUGAUGCUGGUCUUUCAAAGUCUAAGUUGCUUCUUGAGAUUUAGACUUUGUAAAGUCUGGAGCAGGUUCAAAUUCUUCAAGAUAAGUCUGAGCAGAUUCAUUUUGCAUAGAAUCCUCCAAUACUCUGAGUUCUACUUUCCCAAUACGCAUGGUGUACAUAGAUCAAACUUUUGGUAUGACAAUUUGGGUAGACCACGAACAAGCUUCUUCGCUGAAAUUUUGGCUAUCUACUUCAUAUUGAUGUGCCCUAGCUUUCUGUGCCAUAAGCUCACUUCAUCUUGAAUUGAGAUUAGACAUUGCGAUUCAUCUGGUUUCACAUCCAAGAGGUAGAUAUUUCCAUGUCUUCGGCCCAUGAAUGACUGAGUAGAAUCUUUACUUGUUCCUGAACAUAUUCCCUCUUGAAAGUUGAUUUUGAAACCAGUGUCACACAGCUGACUGAUACUGAACAGAUUGUAGUUGAGUCCUUCCACUAGGGAAACAUUGCUUAUUGUGAGGUUUCCAAUCUUUACAGCCCUAAAUCCCACAAUUUUUCCUUUGAUGUUACCUCCAAAAGAAACUUUUCCACCAUUUACUUGAACGAGCUUUAUGAAGCAAUUUGAAUCUCCUGUCAUAUGUCUUGAGCAUCCAUCAUCCAGAUACCAUUUUACCUUUUUCUUGAUAGUGACCUGCAUUUAAAAAAAAAGACUCAAGCUUUCUUUGGUUCCCAUAUUUUCUUGGAUCCAUUGGUGUUAGUAUGAUAUGCGGUUUUUGCCCAUACUUUCUUAAUAUGUUUCCAAACCAUAUGACACUCUUUUUCAAAAUGAUCUGCACUACUGCAUUUUGAACAUUCGAGAGCAUUUCGACCCACCGGUUUUACAAAUUCUUUUUGAAAAUGAUUUUUGUAAAAUGUCUUUGAAGGUCUCUACUUAAUUCUUUCCUUCACUUUAGGAAAAUCAAUUAAAGGAAUGGUUUCUGCUAUCAUUCCCAAACCUGAUUUAUUAAAAUAAGGUCUUUGUGCUGAAAGAAUUUUUUUAAGUUUCUCAGAUCCUAUUGAGAAUCUUUUUGAAAUAUUUGAUAAGUCUUUUUUUUUAAAAUGUAUUUUCUUUUAAGAUAUUAUCUUCGCUUUCUUUAAAAGUAUAAAUAUUCGUGUCUAAAUGUUUCAACUUUUCUUUCAAAAUAUUUUCCUGUUGUUUUAGUGCAGAGUUUUCCUUUUUAAGUUCGAAAAUCCUUUUAAGAGAAGUCUUAAGACUAAAACACAGCUCAUCAAUGCAUUUAGAGACUUUAACAGGAAUUUUAAAGUUACUUACCUCAAAUUCACUGUUUGAAUCUGAGUCUGUCUCGAAGUUUGAAUCUGAAUCCGAUUGUGCCAUUAGACAUAUAUUGGCAUAAUUAUCAUCACUUUCUUCACACUCUGUAUCACUCUAGGUUUCUGCUUUAAAAGCUUUUGAUACUUUUCAGCUUUUCCUUUCUUCUUUUUCAGAAGAGGACAGUUGGGUCUGAUGUGUCCCUUUUUCUUACAUUCAAAGCAGACUACAUCUUUGUUUGAUUCAUCAUCAUCAACAGACUUGGUCUGUUGCUUUUGAAAACUCUGUUUCUUUGGAUUGAAUCUUCUUUCUUUUCUGUUCAGCUUUCUGAAUCUUCUUAUCAUGAGAGCAAGCUCCUCAUCAUCCAUAUUGUUUUCAGAAUCUGUGACAUUAGAAUCAUCAUUGGAUUUUAAUACAAUGGAUUUCUUACCUUUAGGAUCUUCAUCUUCAUUUAUUCGUUCCACUUCAUAAGACUGAAGAGUUCCAACCAACUCAUCGACAGACAGUGGCAUCAUUCUUUGUGUCUCUCUUAUUGAAGUCUUUAUGUGAUUCCAAUCCUUGGAGAGUUCACGCAGAAGCUUGUUUACUUUCAUGGGAUCAGAAAUUGGUUGCCCUUGAUUUUCAAGGCCAUUCACAAUCUUUGUAAAAUGACUAAACAUGUCAGUAAUAGAUUCUCCAGAUUUCAUUUUGAAUGCUUCACAUGGACCGAGGAGAAUGUUGAUUCUAGUCUCUUUCACUCGAUCAGUUCCUUCAUAGGUGAUAUGUAAUCUAUCCCAGACUUCUUUUGCUGUAACACAAGAAGAUAUUCUGUUAUAUUCAGUAGGUGAUAAAGCACAAUAUAAAGAAUAAAUUACUUUUGCAUCAAGAGCUUGUCUCUUGAUUAUCUCUUCCUGAGUCAUUUCACUUGACUCUACUGUUUCAUUUCCUCUCUAUGUGACAGAUGCAGCUUUAGGAGUGAUUCAUUUUUCUACAACAUCCCAUUCCAGAGGAUCCUUUGAUCAUAGAAACGCUUUCAUCUUGUUUUUCCAGAUGUUGUAAUCAUUUCCAUCAAAGUAAGGUGGUCUGGAAUUGCUCUGCCCUUCCACCAGCUCUGGAGCUAGCAUACUAUCCAUGGAUCUUUAACUCUGAAGUAAAACACUUCAAACAAAGUGAGUAGACAAGCUCUAAUACCAAUUGAUAUAUCUAGUAAUAGCAUCUAGAGGGGGGUGAAUAGGUGUUUAAAUAAUUUCUCAAGAUAUGAAAGCAAUACUGGACUAACAACAAAAAGGAAACUCUCCUUUAGUUAACAAAUUGAACUAUGAUCAAAGUAAAGCGGAGAGUAAGGAAGAGAAGAUUGAACACAAGGUUUAUAGUGGUUCGGCUUAUUCCAAGCCUACGUCCACUCUUUUACACUGACAGCCUACUGGCUGGAUUUCACUAUGAACAAAAGAGAUAUUACAGCACUGUUUUCCCUUGAUUCCGCAGUGUAGAUAUUCUAUCACACUUCCUCAAGGUCUCUCAAAGUAUAGACUCUCUUUUGUGUACAAGAUUUCGCUCAGCAAAUGAAUUGACUAAGAAUCAAAAAGCUUCAGACUUUGGAAUUCUUCUAUCGUGCACUCCUCGAACAACUAGAACGUCUUCCUUUUAUACUCAUUUGUGCCAUCAUACCCGUUGGCACUUACCAAAGGAAUUCUUCCAAUCCUCCCGUUGGACAGAAUCAAUUAGGAAGAUUAUUCGAGCUAUUAAAGGAACGCGUCGAUAGCCCAUCAAUCAUGCUCGCCCAUACAAUCAGGAUCUUGGUUUCCAUAAGUAGAACCUUCCAAGAAUACUUCAUCAAUCAUCGGAUCUUUAAUCAUUCUUGAUUUGAAUAAAGGAAUCCGUUAUGUCUUAUCCAGCCAAGAGAUCUUCUCCAGUCGAUAAGGCCAAAUCCUUAGAGAAGCACUUAGUUCUGGAUAGCCUUUCUUCAACGGAUUAAAAACUGUCAAUCAGAAUAGACUUUGAGUCUUGAGUUUGGCAGUCCGGAGGUCUUCAGAUUUUAAUAGCAGAGUCUUCAAAUCUUCAGACCAGACUGAUAGAAACGUUUUGUCAACUUCAAAAUAUUCCAGAAAGAUUUCUCCAACAUUGGCAUCUAUUGAUAACGGGCUUAGUUGAGCAACAAAGUGUAGGCAAUUAUGUUUGACUGAAGCCCGUAAUGGGAAAGGUCCAGUUGACACAUUAUUUAUUACGAUUUGCUAGAUCCCCUUUCUAGCCUAUAAAAAAGUAGGUUAUAUCUAUCAGUUGCUUUAAUCCCAUUAAAAGCUACUAUAUCGAAAUAGGUCAUAAAGAGGAAAAUAUAACAUUCCGAUAGAUCUUUGAUUAUCAGACUGAUCUAUUUUUUUCAAGUGAAGCAAUGGCUCAAAUAGGUAAGUUUUAAUUUCACCGGGCUUAUUGAUCUCAGUAUUUUACAAUCAUAUAUGAAUCCGAUUCUUCUUGAUUGAUUAGUUGUUUAUGUGAAUAAUUUUCUACAUGUGGUAUUAGAGCCUAUCAUAUAUGACUGUAGAACCUAAAAAAACAAAAAAAAAAUAUGAAAAAAUUCGAAAUUUUCCUCUUUAAGCCUAUGGGCAUUAUUUUUUCAUGUGGAUUUUUUGCUCAAUUGAUCUUGAAACCAUAGGGCUUUUAUUUUACAUGUUGAGAUCUUUUCAACCAUAUAUAAUUUGUAUAUCUCAUGUAGAAAAUUAUUAACAUAAACAACUAAUCAAUCAAGAAGAAUUAGAUCCAUAUAUGACUGUAAAACACCGAGAUCAAUAAGCACGGCGAAACUAAAACGUACCUAUUUGAGCUAUUGCUUCACUUUAAAAAAAAAAAAUAGAUCAGUCUGAUAAUCAAAUAUCUAUCGGAAUGACAUAUUUUCCUCUCUAUGAUUUAUUUCGAUAUAGCAGCUUUCAAUGGGAUUAAAGCAGCUGAUAGGUAUAACCUACCUUUUUAUAAGCUAGAGAUGGGACCUAGCAAAUCGUAAUCAAUAACGUGUCAACUAGGCCAUUCCCAUUACAGGUUUCAGUUAAAUACAAUUACCUACACUUUACUGCUCAAUUAGGCCCGUUAUCAAUAGAUGUCAAUACUCAAUUCAAUAAGAUCACUCUUGGGUUUAACUAAUAUUGGAAUAUCCAUUAACCCGAUUAUUUAAAAUAGAAAAUUAAUUAAUUAAUGUAAGCCCAUAUUAUAGAAAAUUUUCAACAUUCUCCCACUUGGGCCAUAUUAAUUAACUUAUUUUAUUUUAAAAAAAAGAUUUUAUAUUGAAAAAUACACUAUCGGUUUAAUAACUAAAAAAAAUUGUUUUAUGUGGCCACAACUUUAAAAAAUAAUAUUCCAAUAACGACAUCUCAAAACCAAUCCAAUCCUAUAUAACCUUAUUAUAGGACUAUGGAGAUCAAUGUGUUAAGAAAAUAUCACAACACAUGACCUUCCACAAUCACAUAUAACAAGCAUUAUAUUUUCAUGGAUCAUGGGCUUAAUAGUGUAAUAAGAAAUAGUGCUAACAUGUGAUCAAAAUAUACAUUACUUCUUAUCGCUCCUCAAUGCAAUUUCUCAAUGACAUGAAACUGCAUUAACGUAAUUUCUAAACAAUACGAAAUUGCGUGACUAUGUCACAAUCCAACAUGAGAUCUCAUAAUCAAUAACAUCUAUUCAUCUUUAAAUUAAAAAAAUUUUAAAGAUACUGUUUUAUACUUCCAUUUCUCAAUUAAUAGGAGAAAUGAUAACAAUAGAAUCAAUAAUAAAGAUCAUUGAAAAUAAAUGCUUUAAUAGACAUCAUAAAAGCAUUAUCAAUUUGUAUAUAACUAUAAUAUUCAGAAAUACAAAUUAUAUAACUCCCAUUAAUAAAAGAAUCUAAAGAAUCUAAAAUACAUAUAUUCUUUACAUGUUCUUUAAACUAAAUGGGUCGUAAGCCUUUUGUUAAAGGAUCAUCCAACAUGGACUUAGUUCUAAUAUUCUCAACCACAAUAUCUUCCUUUUUGACCAAGUCAUUAACAAUUUAAUAUUUGAUCAAGUUAAUAUUUCAACUGUGGCAUUAUUGUUAUUUACAGCAAAGGUAAAUGUUUGUCACACAUAAUGUAAUAAAAUCAAUUAUGGUUGUUAACACAUAAAUUUUAGCUAUUUUAUUUACUUGUUUGUCGUAUAAAGCAUUUCAUAACAUUUACAUUCUUUAACUUAUCUUUUUUUUUUUAAUAAAAAGAGGAUGAGAAAUAAUCUAUAAAAUAAAAUAUUUUGUUAUGGAGGGAAAUUUUGAAAGAUUUCAAAGAUUGGAUAAGGGAGCCUUAUCAAAAGACAAUCUUCAAUGGUGGAGCGAAUUAUCUUGGAAAAUCAUGACAAAGGAUUUUAGAUUUUGGAGCCAUUUUCUCGUUAAGCGCAUCUCCCUUUUCGAAGGAUGAUCUUUAGCGAUUGGGUCGAUAUAUGCAAAUCUUCGUGGGCAAAACAAACAAGGUGUUUUUGCUCUAUAAAUAGGGGCAAGGCUUCGGAAAUGGGGGCUUGGCUUCGUUGAAGGAGAAAAAAAAAAGUAAAAAGUGAAAAAAAGAGACUGGUGAGUGAGACGUGUGAGGGUUCGAGGAAAAAGCAGAAGAAAGGAGAGAGAGGAGACGUACGAAGUGACAUGAGGGAGCAGAGGAGAGAAGAAAAAGAAAGGGGGAAACCGCGACUGUUCAUCUUCCUCGGAAGACCCCUCCGACCAUACCAGCCAUGCCCGCGUUGUCCGCUGCGCCAGCACCGCUCCCACCGUCGCUCCGCCGAUCCUGUCUUCGAACGCCAUCACCGCUGAAGCUUGCUGCCUUCGCCAUCGACGCUCGCAGCACCGGCGCUCGCCUCCGCCUGCACCGCUCCCCGCGGUGACCCGCUCGCCUCCACCCGCUCAUCUGCUGCGAGCACCCGACGAUCGUGACCCAACACCCAGCCGACGCCCCUGCAAUGCUCCGCUCACCUGUCCGUGACUCCACGAGCACCGCCGCCACUUCACCAGGCCCCGAGUCGUCGCGCCUCACCCGCAAUCUGCAGCGCUCACAUUGCGCGCCCUUGUCCACGACGACCACCCGAUGUCGCACCAGCAAACCACACAGCAGGCUGCCCGUCGCCCUCCUCCUGCCGGCGAUCCCUACAUCGACGACCCUCAAUUGCCCGAGUGCCGCGCGCCAUCGUCGGCUGUUCCCCACAUCCACGACCCAACACCCGAAGCCAGCAGCCCGCGCCCGAUGACCGUGUUCCCACCUUUGCUGGCGCUAUGCCUCUGCCCAGCCUCACCGCCACCGCCCGCCAGCCGCGCCAGACGCCACACCUCCACUAGUCCCCUCGCCGGAGCUCCGACACCAGUCAGCCACCACCGGCGUCGCCCAUUGUCCUCUUUUCUAACCCAUUAGGUAGUUUUUUUUUUUUUUAAUUUCCCUUUAUUAUAUGUUGUUUUAUUUACCUUUUUUUUAAGUCUUAAUAUUAUUGUAUAGGAAGGUGAUUUUCAUUUUAUAAAUAUUGUAGGCAUUAUAUAUAGGGAUUUGCUUAAAAUUAUUAUAAUUUUUAAUUUGAUCCUUAAGAUGUCGGAUCAUUUUUUAAUUAUAUUAAUUUUUAAGAAUUUUUAUAGUAUUUUGAGUAUUAUAUCAUUAUAAUUAUUAAUUUGAUACGUAAGAUUUCGGAUCAGAUUUUUAAUUAUUUUGAAUAUUUUUAUAUAUUAUGCUGUUUAGGGUUGAAAUAAUUGUUAAUUUAAUCCAUGAUACGAUGGAUUAUUUUUUCAGUUAUUUUAAUUCUUAUUUGAUGAAUACCUUGAUUAUUUAGAUAUAAUUACUUGUCUUGAAAAAACACUAAAAAACAUAAAAAUCAAAAAAAUCAAAAAAUAAAAUCUUGCCUUAGAGUAUGUUGGUUUAGUAAGUUAAGAUUGCAUUUUUAGGAUUGCACUUUUGGAUAAUUUUUUUGAAUAGAUUAGGAUUGGAUUUAAUUUUUUUAGAGAGGCUUAGAUAAUCUUUGCAUGUUUGAAUAACCUCAUUUUUCUAAAAAAUAGUUUUCUAAGAUAGGAUAGGGUUUAAGUCAAAUUAACCCUUAAAAUAAAUUAGAAAAUUAUUCAUUUUAGAUAGGUUAAUUAGGGUUUUUAUUAAUUCCAAAUUUCAAAUAAAAAACACAAAAAUAUUAGGUGCAUGUCAAUUAGGGCGCGUUUGGUUGUGUUUCUGUUUAAAAAUUGUUCCAGGGAACAGAAAUAGAAAAAAGUGUUUCUGUUCCGGGGAACAAUUUUUGAACAAAAAUACGCGUUUGGUAAACUUGUUCCGGGAAUAAAAAAUAAACAUAAACAUGUUUGGUAAAUUUGGAUAAUUUUUUUAUUUCUUUUAUUUUUUAUAUUUUUUUCUUUUUUUUCCUUUUUUUUCUUUUUUCUUUUUCAUUUUUUUUCUUCUUUUGGCCGGUCGCCGGCCAAGGCCUUGGCCGGUGACCGGCUGGUGAGGGCCAAGCUCUGUCUGAGGAGGACGAUGUAACCCAACUCUGAACCAACUUACAUUGAGCCCGAACCGUGUCGGUUGGUUUGCAUCUUCAAUUUGUUCAUUUCUGGUUAUCCCAGAUAGCGGAUAUGGAUUCAAAACAACUUUCCUCCUCCUUGCACUGUGAUAAUUUACGCCUUCAAUCACCAAAGUCCUGAACUACAAGAGCAACAUUACAUACAUCGUCCCACAGACUCUCAACUGGAUGACGAGCUAGACCAGUUAAAAGGCCCAUCCCAUCUUUCACAAUCGUGAUCUACAUCAUACCUCGCAAGUNNNNNNNNNNNNNNNNNNNNNNNNNNNNNNNNNNNNNNNNNNNNNNNNNNNNNNNNNNNNNNNNNNNNNNNNNNNNNNNNNNNNNNNNNNNNNNNNNNNNNNNNNNNNNNNNNNNNNNNNNNNNNNNNNNNNNNNNNNNNNNNNNNNNNNNNNNNNNNNNNNNNNNNNNNNNNNNNNNNNNNNNNNNNNNNNNNNNNNNNNNNNNNNNNNNNNNNNNNNNNNNNNNNNNNNNNNNNNNNNNNNNNNNNNNNNNNNNNNNNNNNNNNNNNNNNNNNNNNNNNNNNNNNNNNNNNNNNNNNNNNNNNNNNNNNNNNNNNNNNNNNNNNNNNNNNNNNNNNNNNNNNNNNNNNNNNNNNNNNNNNNNNNNNNNNNNNNNNNNNNNNNNNNNNNNNNNNNNNNNNNNNNNNNNNNNNNNNNNNNNNNNNNNNNNNNNNNNNNNNNNNNNNNNNNNNNNNNNNNNNNNNNNNNNNNNNNNNNNNNNNNNNNNNNNNNNNNNNNNNNNNNNNNNNNNNNNNNNNNNNNNNNNNNNNNNNNNNNNNNNNNNNNNNNNNNNNNNNNNNNNNNNNNNNNNNNNNNNNNNNNNNNNNNNNNNNNNNNNNNNNNNNNNNNNNNNNNNNNNNNNNNNNNNNNNNNNNNNNNNNNNNNNNNNNNNNNNNNNNNNNNNNNNNNNNNNNNNNNNNNNNNNNNNNNNNNNNNNNNNNNNNNNNNNNNNNNNNNNNNNNNNNNNNNNNNNNNNNNNNNNNNNNNNNNNNNNNNNNNNNNNNNNNNNNNNNNNNNNNNNNNNNNNNNNNNNNNNNNNNNNNNNNNNNNNNNNNNNNNNNNNNNNNNNNNNNNNNNNNNNNNNNNNNNNNNNNNNNNNNNNNNNNNNNNNNNNNNNNNNNNNNNNNNNNNNNNNNNNNNNNNNNNNNNNNNNNNNNNNNNNNNNNNNNNNNNNNNNNNNNNNNNNNNNNNNNNNNNNNNNNNNNNNNNNNNNNNNNNNNNNNNNNNNNNNNNNNNNNNNNNNNNNNNNNNNNNNNNNNNNNNNNNNNNNNNNNNNNNNNNNNNNNNNNNNNNNNNNNNNNNNNNNNNNNNNNNNNNNNNNNNNNNNNNNNNNNNNNNNNNNNNNNNNNNNNNNNNNNNNNNNNNNNNNNNNNNNNNNNNNNNNNNNNNNNNNNNNNNNNNNNNNNNNNNNNNNNNNNNNNNNNNNNNNNNNNNNNNNNNNNNNNNNNNNNNNNNNNNNNNNNNNNNNNNNNNNNNNNNNNNNNNNNNNNNNNNNNNNNNNNNNNNNNNNNNNNNNNNNNNNNNNNNNNNNNNNNNNNNNNNNNNNNNNNNNNNNNNNNNNNNNNNNNNNNNNNNNNNNNNNNNNNNNNNNNNNNNNNNNNNNNNNNNNNNNNNNNNNNNNNNNNNNNNNNNNNNNNNNNNNNNNNNNNNNNNNNNNNNNNNNNNNNNNNNNNNNNNNNNNNNNNNNNNNNNNNNNNNNNNNNNNNNNNNNNNNNNNNNNNNNNNNNNNNNNNNNNNNNNNNNNNNNNNNNNNNNNNNNNNNNNNNNNNNNNNNNNNNNNNNNNNNNNNNNNNNNNNNNNNNNNNNNNNNNNNNNNNNNNNNNNNNNNNNNNNNNNNNNNNNNNNNNNNNNNNNNNNNNNNNNNNNNNNNNNNNNNNNNNNNNNNNNNNNNNNNNNNNNNNNNNNNNNNNNNNNNNNNNNNNNNNNNNNNNNNNNNNNNNNNNNNNNNNNNNNNNNNNNNNNNNNNNNNNNNNNNNNNNNNNNNNNNNNNNNNNNNNNNNNNNNNNNNNNNNNNNNNNNNNNNNNNNNNNNNNNNNNNNNNNNNNNNNNNNNNNNNNNNNNNNNNNNNNNNNNNNNNNNNNNNNNNNNNNNNNNNNNNNNNNNNNNNNNNNNNNNNNNNNNNNNNNNNNNNNNNNNNNNNNNNNNNNNNNNNNNNNNNNNNNNNNNNNNNNNNNNNNNNNNNNNNNNNNNNNNNNNNNNNNNNNNNNNNNNNNNNNNNNNNNNNNNNNNNNNNNNNNNNNNNNNNNNNNNNNNNNNNNNNNNNNNNNNNNNNNNNNNNNNNNNNNNNNNNNNNNNNNNNNNNNNNNNNNNNNNNNNNNNNNNNNNNNNNNNNNNNNNNNNNNNNNNNNNNNNNNNNNNNNNNNNNNNNNNNNNNNNNNNNNNNNNNNNNNNNNNNNNNNNNNNNNNNNNNNNNNNNNNNNNNNNNNNNNNNNNNNNNNNNNNNNNNNNNNNNNNNNNNNNNNNNNNNNNNNNNNNNNNNNNNNNNNNNNNNNNNNNNNNNNNNNNNNNNNNNNNNNNNNNNNNNNNNNNNNNNNNNNNNNNNNNNNNNNNNNNNNNNNNNNNNNNNNNNNNNNNNNNNNNNNNNNNNNNNNNNNNNNNNNNNNNNNNNNNNNNNNNNNNNNNNNNNNNNNNNNNNNNNNNNNNNNNNNNNNNNNNNNNNNNNNNNNNNNNNNNNNNNNNNNNNNNNNNNNNNNNNNNNNNNNNNNNNNNNNNNNNNNNNNNNNNNNNNNNNNNNNNNNNNNNNNNNNNNNNNNNNNNNNNNNNNNNNNNNNNNNNNNNNNNNNNNNNNNNNNNNNNNNNNNNNNNNNNNNNNNNNNNNNNNNNNNNNNNNNNNNNNNNNNNNNNNNNNNNNNNNNNNNNNNNNNNNNNNNNNNNNNNNNNNNNNNNNNNNNNNNNNNNNNNNNNNNNNNNNNNNNNNNNNNNNNNNNNNNNNNNNNNNNNNNNNNNNNNNNNNNNNNNNNNNNNNNNNNNNNNNNNNNNNNNNNNNNNNNNNNNNNNNNNNNNNNNNNNNNNNNNNNNNNNNNNNNNNNNNNNNNNNNNNNNNNNNNNNNNNNNNNNNNNNNNNNNNNNNNNNNNNNNNNNNNNNNNNNNNNNNNNNNNNNNNNNNNNNNNNNNNNNNNNNNNNNNNNNNNNNNNNNNNNNNNNNNNNNNNNNNNNNNNNNNNNNNNNNNNNNNNNNNNNNNNNNNNNNNNNNNNNNNNNNNNNNNNNNNNNNNNNNNNNNNNNNNNNNNNNNNNNNNNNNNNNNNNNNNNNNNNNNNNNNNNNNNNNNNNNNNNNNNNNNNNNNNNNNNNNNNNNNNNNNNNNNNNNNNNNNNNNNNNNNNNNNNNNNNNNNNNNNNNNNNNNNNNNNNNNNNNNNNNNNNNNNNNNNNNNNNNNNNNNNNNNNNNNNNNNNNNNNNNNNNNNNNNNNNNNNNNNNNNNNNNNNNNNNNNNNNNNNNNNNNNNNNNNNNNNNNNNNNNNNNNNNNNNNNNNNNNNNNNNNNNNNNNNNNNNNNNNNNNNNNNNNNNNNNNNNNNNNNNNNNNNNNNNNNNNNNNNNNNNNNNNNNNNNNNNNNNNNNNNNNNNNNNNNNNNNNNNNNNNNNNNNNNNNNNNNNNNNNNNNNNNNNNNNNNNNNNNNNNNNNNNNNNNNNNNNNNNNNNNNNNNNNNNNNNNNNNNNNNNNNNNNNNNNNNNNNNNNNNNNNNNNNNNNNNNNNNNNNNNNNNNNNNNNNNNNNNNNNNNNNNNNNNNNNNNNNNNNNNNNNNNNNNNNNNNNNNNNNNNNNNNNNNNNNNNNNNNNNNNNNNNNNNNNNNNNNNNNNNNNNNNNNNNNNNNNNNNNNNNNNNNNNNNNNNNNNNNNNNNNNNNNNNNNNNNNNNNNNNNNNNNNNNNNNNNNNNNNNNNNNNNNNNNNNNNNNNNNNNNNNNNNNNNNNNNNNNNNNNNNNNNNNNNNNNNNNNNNNNNNNNNNNNNNNNNNNNNNNNNNNNNNNNNNNNNNNNNNNNNNNNNNNNNNNNNNNNNNNNNNNNNNNNNNNNNNNNNNNNNNNNNNNNNNNNNNNNNNNNNNNNNNNNNNNNNNNNNNNNNNNNNNNNNNNNNNNNNNNNNNNNNNNNNNNNNNNNNNNNNNNNNNNNNNNNNNNNNNNNNNNNNNNNNNNNNNNNNNNNNNNNNNNNNNNNNNNNNNNNNNNNNNNNNNNNNNNNNNNNNNNNNNNNNNNNNNNNNNNNNNNNNNNNNNNNNNNNNNNNNNNNNNNNNNNNNNNNNNNNNNNNNNNNNNNNNNNNNNNNNNNNNNNNNNNNNNNNNNNNNNNNNNNNNNNNNNNNNNNNNNNNNNNNNNNNNNNNNNNNNNNNNNNNNNNNNNNNNNNNNNNNNNNNNNNNNNNNNNNNNNNNNNNNNNNNNNNNNNNNNNNNNNNNNNNNNNNNNNNNNNNNNNNNNNNNNNNNNNNNNNNNNNNNNNNNNNNNNNNNNNNNNNNNNNNNNNNNNNNNNNNNNNNNNNNNNNNNNNNNNNNNNNNNNNNNNNNNNNNNNNNNNNNNNNNNNNNNNNNNNNNNNNNNNNNNNNNNNNNNNNNNNNNNNNNNNNNNNNNNNNNNNNNNNNNNNNNNNNNNNNNNNNNNNNNNNNNNNNNNNNNNNNNNNNNNNNNNNNNNNNNNNNNNNNNNNNNNNNNNNNNUACGUUUGUGGUACAAUGCCAAAUGCAUGAGCCUACAUAGUUUGAAGUAAAUCUAAUGCACGUCGGCAUUCGCGUGGCGCCAUGACACCCCAACGCGUGCAGGCCUUGCAACCAUCGUUCGUGGAGUAUAAUGAAAUUUAAACAACCCGCGCCCUCACCCAGCUACGGCGAGCCUCGCCGUGGCUAGGCGAGGCCGCCGGCCAAAAGAAAGAAGAACAAGAAAAUAAGAGAAAAAAGAAAAAGAAAAAAAAAAUGUUUCUCAUUUGUGUUCCAGAAACAAGAAACACAAAAUUUGUGUUUCUUGUUUCUGUUUCUUUUUUGUUCCUGGGAACAAAAGAACAAAAAAGGAACAGAAACGCACCCAAACGCGUUUCUGUUCCUUUUUUGUUCCCAGGAACAAAAAAACAAAAAAAAAAGUGUUUAAAAACAAAAAAAAUAAACACAACCAAACGCAGCCUUAGUUUGCGUGUUAGGUUCAUUUAAUUAGAACUAAUUUGUUAAUAAAGUUAGGUCAUGUAGUUAAAUGCAUGUUUUAUGAUAAGGUUCCAAUUAAAGGAAAAAUCCAAAAAAAAAAUAAUUACUUGAUUUAAGUGUGUGGAAUUUACUUUGUGCAAUUUAUUUUAUUCAAUGUUUAAUAAUGAUUGAGCAUAUGUGUGAUCACCCAAUUGCAUGAUAGUAAUAUAGGUUAAAAUAAAUCCAAAUUGCUUGCAAAAACAUUUUUUGUAAAUUAAAAAGAAAUGGUACCGAAAGGAUAUUAGAUAAAUCUAGUGUAACCAAGUCUCCAUAUCCAUAGUCUCUGGUUCGUAAAAGUAAAAUAAUCCUCCCAUUAUUUUACUUAAGUGUCUAAUCGAUUUACUAUAAACCUAUUAGUGGUGACUCAUACUUAAUAAUCUUUUGCAUGUUAAAUAUUUGAACUUUAAGUCGCGAAUUGGUAUGAGUUUAGGAGAGCCCGAGCUAAGUUUAAAGACUUCGUAGUCCACUAACCUAGUUUUAGGUGGUGCACCUGAAAUUUAGGUCGUGACAAUGGUCAAUAAGCAAUUCAACAAAAAUAAUUAGUACAUCAUAAACUCCCCUUUAGACAGAGUAUACAAUGCACUAUUACUUUCCACAGCAUGAAGUUUAUAAAGUAACAAUAAGGAGAACUACAUAUAAUUGUCAAGAAUCUAUCCCAUUUUAGCAUAUAAAUCAUUUAAAUUAUACAUCUCCAUAAUAUCAAUAUAGAUAGGAAUUACAUAUAAUAUUUCAAAAUAAGAAGCUCAUGAGGAAAAUUGUGCACAAAGAACAGUAGGAACACUAGCCCUAACUUAAUGCUUUUCGUUAUGUUGGUAUAUUGAAUUUGUCCUUGAAGUAGUGUGAUUUUUUUUCCUUUACCCAGAAAAUGGGGAAUAUGUAAUCUAUCGAUGUAAUAUAUUCAAUUGAAAGAAAGCAUUCUCAAGGAAUGAGUAAUCAAUCAAUCUUUUGGCACAGGUCAAAAGAUUGAGCUCAGCUUGUUUGAGCUCAAUAUGUCAACCCAAUCUUCUAAAAAGAAUUGACUCGAGUCAAAUUACAGCGCUUCAAACCAAAGCCCAAUACUAUUCUUUUAAUAUUUCAUUCUUUUAAUAUUCAGAUUUUGUUUUUAUGUUACGCUAGGAAAUGAGAGAAUUGGCUUGAAUUAUAAGCAAAUCAUGUCGUGGAGUGAUGUCGAUUUGUUGCAUCUCUGUCCCCAUUGAUGUCCAGCUAAGCAUGCAACUUCAAAUAUGAGCUAGAAGAAUGAUGAAUUUUAUGAGACGAGUGAAUCAGUAUGAAUUAGGGAUAGGUGAUAUCAGGGAACAAAUUCAUGACGCAUACAAUUAUAGCUAAUACAAAUGAUUAAUUUGUAUUAAAUAUAUGAUAAGGGCUCGAAGUACUCUAGAUAAUGACUUAAAGUGAACCUUAUCUCAAAUAGAAGCUUAAAGUACCCCAAUUUUAUUAAUUAAAGAUCUGAAGUUGAUCUUAUUUCAAAUAAGAACCUAAAGUGACCAUGUUAGUUUCAAAGAAUGACUUGACAUCAGCCAAGGGCAUUUCUAUCCUUUACAUUUUCUUUCAUUUUUCCCUUUUCUAUUUUUUUAUAAAAAAAAAAGGGCUAAAAAAAAGGAAAAAAACCCAAGCAGGAGGGAUAGAGGCAACCUUCCCUUGCCUAUGGCCCUUGCCCCAAUGCUAAUGGGGCAUUAGCCAUGGUCAACACGGUUGCAAGCGCCUCAACGAGGCCCUGGUCAGAAUUGGCAGAAGGCGUAGCACAAACUUCUCUCCCUUAGGUAUUGGUGAGGAAUCGACCCUUGCCUUUGAUCAACAAGGUCACUAGCCGUUGCUAAAGCAUCAGUGACCCCACUGGCCAUGGUCGAAACCACACUGGGGAUAGGGUGACGGCCAUAGGUGAUGUGGAAGGGCUAGCCUAUCCCUCUCGGCUAGGUUUUCUUUUUCUUUUUUAUGGAAGAAAAUAAAGAAAGGAAAAUAAAUAAUAUUUAAAAAAAAGGCAACAAAAAUGAGUAAAUGUAAAGGAUGGAACUGAGACCAAUAUGGCCACUUCAUGCCUUAUUUGAAAUAAUGUUUACUUCAUACUCUUAUUUAAGAAAAUGUGGGCAUUUAAGGCCCUUAUUUGAGAUAAUUUCACUUUAAGCCCUCAUUUGAGAAAUUGAGAGCACUUUGAACUCUUAUUUAGAAUUUUUCCUUUAAUCAAUUUCCAAUUUUGAUUUUCUUUUUUUCGAGUUAUCUUAUAGAAAGUCAAGGACAAAAGUCAACUUUAGUGAUCUGAUAGUGCCAAGUGGAAGGGCCAUCACUCAAUAGAAAAAAGUUAAUAUAGGAAUAAUAAGCUGAUCUUCACCAAAAAUGAACUUGACUUUCGUUUUUGUUUUCCUUUCCAAAGUAACUCUCAUCAAUUAGCAUCAUGCGGAGCAAAUAACUAUUGAAAGUAUCUAAGUAGUAAGUCCACCCCAAAAUGAGUCUUACUUUGACUUUCUUAGAGCCUCUAUUAAAUCAAUGCGAUUUAGGAGAAAUCAAGAAAGUAUAAUUUCUAAUUAAUGCAAACUAGGUGGGGUCUUAUUCUUAGAAUUUGGAAUGUGGACAUGAAAAAUUAAGGGCGAGCUAAGUUUAAUACUAUUGUUAGGAUCAAGCAAUUGAAAGUUUCGAUUGAAAAGGAAAUUGGUAAGAUGAUCAACACGUGCAGAUUGACAAUAGUAUGGAGUCCUACUCAGAGCUGUUGAAUGAAUUCUACAUGAAGGAAGGUAUAGUGAGACACCACACUUGUACGAGUGAAUCACAAUAGGUUGCAAAUUUGAUGAGCAAAACAUUAUUAGAGACAACCCAUCAAAUACUCUCUAAUGCUAACAUAUGCACUUAGGACGACAAGCAACUCGAUGAAUAAAGCUUCAUCAACUGCAAUUGGAUGUUGCACUUCCGAGUGGUUAGGUAACUUUGCUUAUUAUUAUAUUAUUGGAAUAUUUGGUUGUCUAUAUUAUGUUUGAGUGAGUGAUAGUAAGCUUGGUAAAAGGGCAAAAAUGUGCAUGUUCCUAGACUAUGUAUAAUAUGAUUAGAUUUACUGGUUAUGGUGCUUGAAAUUAAAUUCACCUAAUAUAAGCACAAAAAUUACACUUUAUGAGUCUCCAAUACUUCUAGAUAUGAGCAUUUGUGGUAGUGUUUAUACGAACAAUGUGUAGCUUAAGAUGGAGUUGAAACCAGAAACUCCUAAAAAAAGUGGGUACUAACACGAUAAUUGACAUAGAUAAUAUUUGUAACUAGGUGGAGCCCAGAAAGGCAACAGUUCUUAUAACUGUUGAAUUUGAUAAGGUGUGUGUUCGAUCUUCUAAUAGAUAUGGAUGCACCAGUAGUUUUGCAUUAUCUAUGAUUGAGGAGGUUGCGUUGAAAAAUUCAAAAAUCAUUGUGGAGCAUGUCGCAACCAAAAUUUUCAGGGUAUGUACCACCUAAGAUCUGGCUAAUGGAUUGUUAAGCCUAGACUUAACUUGGGCUCUCCCAAGCCCAUACCAAUUCGCAACUUAAGUUCGAAUUCUUAACAUACAAAUGAUUUUCAAUCAGAAAUCACCACUAAUCUAUUUUCUAGUGGGUCGAUUAGAAACCCAAGUAAAGUAACGGAAGAUUUACUUUACUCCUACGAACCAGAGAUUGUGAGUUCGAGAACUUGAUUACGCUAGAUUUCUCCAACGCCCUUUCAAUGCAUUUUUCUUUUAUUUUCAAAAAUACUUUGACAAGCAGCUUAAAUUGAUUUUAAAUCUAUUUCCCUAACAUGUGAGGCGAUCAUGCAGGUGCGCAAACCACCAAUUUAACACCCAAGUAAAGCAGUAAAUAAAUUGUAGGACUUAUCUUAUAGUAACGAAAGCAUCUAUAUUGUUAUAUCAGAAUUCACAUCAACAACCUUAGAUAUUAUGUCUAAUUAACAUGCAAUUUCUUUUUUUCAUUUUCACUUAAUUAAUGAGAAUCAAAUCCAUAUGCAAUGCAAUGCUUCUAAUCUAAUAUGAAAUGAUAUGACAUGGUAGUAUAGCCUAAACUAUAUGACAUGGGUAAAAGAAAUGCAAUAAUUAAAUGUGCAAUCUAAAUUAAUCUAAUGACUUAAUUCUAAUGACGAGCAAUUUCCAAUUAAAUAGACCUAGCAAUAAUUACCAAAUCUAAUUCUAUAUGACAUGCAAUGACAUUUUUUAUUUUAUUUUAUUUAAAAAAGAAUGCAAUCUAUCCUAGGAAUUGAAACUAAUUUAUCCUAUGUCAUUUUUUUCAUUUUUAAUUUGAAAUUCGAAAUUAGAAAAAUAUGAAAAUUAUCUAGCUAAAUUAAGAUUUUAUCCAACUUAUAUUAAGAAGUAGGUCAGACUAAACCCUAAUUUAAACCAGGAUAUUAUCUUAACCUAGCAAUCUCUAACCUAAGAUGCAAUCUAUCUAAAAAGAUUAAUUUAAAUGCCUUAAUUCUACAUGACAUAUGCAUGAUGAUUUUUUGUUUUUUUAUUAAUUUCGAAAUUAAAAAAUUGCCACAUGCAACUUAAAUAAAAGAAAAAACUAACAUCCUAAACGAAUGCAUUUUUUUUUUCAUUUUUUCAAAAAUUUGAAAUAAAUAAAUUGCCUAUUCUAAACAUCCAGGAUAACCUUAAAACAAUGAAUAUUCUAAAACAAACCUAAUCUAACUCAGAUUUUUUUCGGAUUUUUCCUUUCUUUUACGGGAGAUAUCAAAAUAAGACAUCAAGAACAACACGACAACAAAUCAGGCAAGAUAUCAUCCAUGUCCAUUUUGGAAAUAAAUUGACGAAUCGUAUCUCGCGCAUAAGAUCGGAUUGACCAAUUUUCAAAUAAAAUCACGAAUUGUAUCUCAAGUGUAAGAUCGGAUUGGCGAUUUUUCCGUGCGAUUGCUUGUCAUAUUUCAAGCAUGAAAUCGGACUAUCAAUCAUACGCACGUUGCGAAAUUAGGAAAAUUUCCUAAAUCAUGAGGGAUUAAGAGAUCUUUCGGAUAUGGCAAUAUCAGUCAAACAUUCAAAGAAAGAUUGCGAUAUUACAAAUUAGGCAACGAGAUAUAUGAAAAUCAAAUUGAUCGAGAGUCUUACCUAAUUCACAAUGUCACGUGGGUGACCUCCAAAUUCGGAUGGACGAUGGGUCACGGAAAUCACGGUGAGGAAGGCUGGCGAUUAGUAGCAUGCACGAUUGCUCGGUAAUCGUCGGGGGUGUUCCACAAGACCGAGUAUUUGGAAUUCUGUUUGAGAACUUCAGCUUUUUUUCACUUUGCUAUCAAACUUCACCUUUUGCAAGUUCACAUCGUGUGCCCACUAUUCUUUCACUCGCAAUUUGGUGUCUUUUGUUUGACCAAGUCUCAAGCUCCACUCAAUCUCUUGAAGACCUCAUCAUAUCCUCCCUUGGCCAUCCAAAACGUGUGUUGCUGACAAUAUCUCAAUUGCAGGUUUGUAGAUAGCCAGGGAUGUGUGGACUACGAUUGUGAGAGUUACGUAACUUGCAAGGGAAACAAAGAAACAAAACUUGCCAAAUCUAAAUUGCGAGUCGACUGGUGGAACACGUUGAGGCACAGCAAGUUGCCAUUGCCGAUCGUUGAGCGAGGACCGGACCACCACAAGGAACCGAGAGCAACGGUGCAGUAAGUUGUUUGCAUUACUGGACCUCACGAUGACUAAGGGUGCGUUUGGGAAGAUUUUUGGGGAAAGUCCUUGAGAAAAUGUAAAGGCCUUUGAGUCGAGGGUGUUUUUCAAAAUGCAAAGUGUGUUUGGUAAAUUUAUUUGUGAAAGUCCAUUGUGAAGUAUACUUGUGCAAAAUAGUGUUUGGGUAAAUUAAAUUUGCAAAAUACUUUUAUUAUUAACAAAAAAAGGAAAGUUGGCCGGCCAAGGCUUCGCCGGUUACCGCCGGCCAAGGCUUCGCGCUAGCAAAGGGUAGGCGAUCCGGCAAGGGCCGCUGCGACCCUCACCGCGCCGUCACGCAACCCACCGUGCAGCGAAGGUCACCACGAGGUCGCGGAGGAUCUGGGUCGCGGCGAGGUCCUGGUUCGCCUAGGUCGCCGCAACCUCCGGCGACCUCUGCGACCAAGAUCUAGGUCGCCACGACCUCCGUGACCUCCGCGACCCAGUUCUGAGUCGCCGCGAGGUCGUGGGUCGCCGGAGGUCACGGCAACAGACCUUGCCACAACCUAGGCGAUCUCCACGACCCAGAUCUGAGUCUCGGAGGUCGCCGGAGGUCGCCGCAACCGACCUCGCCGUGACCUAGGCAACCGAUGCAACCCAGAUUUGGGUCGCGCGACUAGUCGGCGACGGUUACCGGCCUCUCUCCAACCCGUCGCCGAUCCAUCGCCACCUCGCCAACCUCUCUCCAACCCGUCGCCGACCCAUCGCCACCUCGUCGGCCAAGUCGCCACCUCGCCUGCUGACAUCUCAGAAUUCGAUGAAGAGGAAGAUGAACAGUGCAUCAGGCCUUCCGAAAAUGCUGAAAGCCCAAGGCAGCCUAGGACCUACCUUAGGCUUUCGGCCUUUGGAAGGCCAGCAUUUCUUCAAGGCAAGUCUAAAUUUUUUUCCCAAACACCCAAUAUUUGGGCAAAUGGGCUUUGAGUACCCAAAGGUACUUGGCAAAGCUGGUGCCAAACGCACCCUAAGCGGGCUACCGAGAAGUUGCUGUAUUUUCACCAAAAAUCUGCACGCAGAUGGUAAAACAUUGUAUAAACAUGACCGACUAUCGUGAAAGCUCAUUGGGCUGGCUGCAAAAGAAAACAUCAAAUUUGCGAGAUAACUUGUAAUCGUCAAGAGCAAAAUUGAUAUUGCAAGGGAACUCAGAAAGUUUCACUCUUUGGGCACCAGGUUAGGCAAAAGUGUUAUAGACGCAAGGCUCAGCAACCCAUAAGGUGUCAGGGACUGGUCGUCGCUAGAUGGACCGCUCCGUGAUGAUUGAACUGGCGGAUCUAGAGUGGGGCCAAGAAUCGGGGAAGCUCGCCAAGUUGCAGCGAUGGUGAUGAGCUCUUGGAAUGCCGAUGAGGAUUCCCUGGACUUGAUCGCGAGCCCGGCACGAAGAAACGCUCGGUUGCCUUUCUUUCUCUUGACUUGAAUCCGUAGCCUCAUUUUGGCUUUUCCUUCGUAUUGUGGCCGGGAAAAGCUUCAAUUAGUUGAACCUGAUAGUGAGUGAGGGAAGACUAACCCUCUCGUGUAUGCGAGUCUCUCUCUACCCUCUAGUAGCAUUGUCUUCUCCACAAACCCUAGAUCUGAUCCUCUUUCUUGUUUUUUCGUCCCUUUUACACAAUGAUUCACAAAAAAACAAAAACCCUAAACAAUGUUUCGUCCGAUCUAGCUUAUGCUGAGUGCGGAGGCUUUCUUUUCAUUAAAUGGAACAGUAAUCUCGGUUGGUCAGCUGGAGCUCUGGUUUACGAGGCUCGCACUAUGAUUGGAUCUCUCUUCCUCCUUCUACAUGUUGGCGGAGCUGAUGGUUUUGUAGUAAUGCUUGGGAUUGCUUGGAAUUCACGCAGUAGCCGUUGGUGAUGUGAGUACGAUUCUGGCUCUAGACUUCUGGCAUAGUUUGUGCGUGGUGUGAGUACGAUUUGUGUGACACCCCGAACCCUUCUUAGGUCAUCACCAGCGCGGAUGUUACACUUGAUUUCCUUUUGCAUCUUGUACUUGAACAAGUGUCAUUAAUCACAGGCAUUUUUUUUUUUCAAAAGCGGUCCCAGCGCGACUCUUAGCGGAAGCAAAUUAAACAUCACCAUCUAUCCCCCUACCAAUCCAUGAUACAAAUCAGAAUUUAAAAGAUAAGCCAUGCCACUUUUAUUUACAUAUUAUCGUGAUGGGUUUUUCAUGGGUCGAUACAACAAAAGGAGACCAAGAUUUUCAACCACACUCGGCCUCAUCCCAAAAAGAUACUACGACCCCUAAAGAAAAUCACAUGACAUCCCCCCAUCCAACCGUGGUAGCUACUCCCAAAAAGAUGACACCAGCUCUCUACCCUUCACGCAACCAUCACACCCAUCCAGGUGCAUCGGGUGGUGGUGGCGGCAACAUCCCCCUAAACACUCCGUCUCGGCGGACAUGAACAGACAAAAACUCCUAGAUGAUUGGGCCCUCAGCCAGGCCCAUGUCGUACAUGACUAGCACACGCACUCGCACAAAUGUCAGUCCAGGGAUAGUGAUGCAGUCGAUCUCCGUACAUUCUACUUCUACAUCUGACGGAAUACCAUAGAAGGUGCCUCGCGUGACGGUAGGAAGCGGCAUCUUUCUAAUCUGAAAUGUUAUCCCCAAAAGGGGUGAGUACGACUACUCAGCAGAUAGGGAAAUCCAAUAACAUUCCAAUGCAUCAUGCAUAUCAUCACUCGUUGCAAGCAUCACUUACCUUGUAAUCAUGCGUAUCAUGCAUCAUCACAUCAUAUAUAUCAUCAUCAUCAUGGCAUAUCAUAUAUCAUUAUCAUCAUCAUGCAUUUCAUCAUGCAUAUCAUACCAUGGAUGAUCAUCAUGUCACAUCACACAUCACCCUCAUGCAUCAUCAUGCAUAUACUAUCAUAGGUGAUCAUCACAUCACAUCACAUGCCAUCAUCGUCAUGCAUCAUCAUGCAUAUAUUAUCAUAGGCGAUCAUCACAUCACAUCACAUGCCAUCAUCGUCAUGCAUCAUCAUGCAUAUAUUAUCAUAGGUGAUCAUCAUCAUGCAUCAUCAUGUCAUGAGUUAAUUAUCAUCCUUAUCUUUCAAUUUUUUUUUAUCACCACAUCACCCAUUCCUCAAAUCAUCAGUCUCAUCAUCAACCCUUCGGGCAGAAACCUCCGACAGGGUUCCAUCAUCAAUCUCAUCAUUAACCCUUCGGGCAGAAACCUCCGACAGGGCUCCCGGCAAACUCAGCCAUCCCAUGGCCACCGGGCUUCCAGCCCCCCACAUUCCGGACAUCUCGCAUCUCAACUAGCAUCACGAGGCAUUCCCUUCGGGCAGAAACCUCCGACAGGGCUUCCGGCCCCCCACAUUCCGGGCAUCCUGAAACUCCCAGGGAAUCUCUAGAAUUACGCCUCCAGGCCACCAGACAACAUCCUCCACCACAACCUCAUUCUCAUCCACAAUUAUCCUUUUAUCUCAAUUUAACAUGGCAAUUGGCAUGGCAUCAAACAAAUCACACUUGCAUUUCAAUUCUCAUGUCAUACACAUGCCAAAGCUUAAUCACAUAUGCAUUUCAACUUAAUACAUGUACAAAGAUCUCAUCACACAAGUGCCACACAAAUGAAGUUGAAUCCAUGGCCAAAUAUAAAUCUAUUUUAUUUUAUUUUAUUUUUAUUUUAUUAUUUUAUUAUUAUUAUAUUUUUUAUUAUAUUAUUAUAUUUAUUUAUUUUCAUAAAUAAAUAUUAAAUUUAAUAUCUAUGAUUUUCCCAAAAUCAUGAUACUCAAAAAUCAUUAAACAAACAAGUAAAAUCACAAUUUCACACAAAAUUCGUAGCCAAAUUGAAUUUCUCAUAAUUUCACAAUUUUCACAAACUAGCACCUUAUAUUCGGAUAAUGGCCAGACUUGCACAGUUUCCAAAUAAAUUCGAUUAAAAUACCCAUAUGGCCUCCAACAAUUACGAAAUUUGACAGGGUGAUAGCCAACACAUUUUCGUGCAUUUUUCAUGAAGAACUCUAAGCCAAAUUAUUUUUAUAUUAAUUUCUACAACCCUACGAAGCUUCUGGAAUCACGACCGCGACGUCCAGAACACACUCCUCCGAAUUUCUUAGUUUUCACCCAUCAAUUCUCUUUCGUUUCUUCUGAAAUUUGAGUAUAUUAUGUACCAAGGUGUCCUUUACAAGUUUCAUGAAGAGAUCUAGGCCAAAUAAUCAGAUUAUGGUCACCAUUUUUGUCCAUGAAGUCUCGAGUGUCUCGGUACACCUCACCAGAAUCAACCAUCUCCAAGAUCUAACCGAUUCACCAAGUUAUAAUUGUUAUUUUUGCUUCAAAUUUGAGUAUGUUGUAGCUUAAGGUUUUUCCUACAACUUUCAAGAAGACAACAAAGUGAGAUCUCCAACAGAAAUCAACAUGCAAACAAGAAAUCGACAAGAGGUCAGUGAAAAUUUCGUAGAUCUAAGUCUCCGUACAAUAGAACUUUUGACCCCUCAAAUCUCCAUCGUUUUCUACGAAUUUUUAGUAUGUCAUAGUAAAGGACGUUAGCUUCAACUUUAAUGAAGACACCGAAGCCAAAAUCGAACUUCAAACCCACAUGCAAACUCGAACAAGCUACUGACUCCAACAAACCGAACGAGAACAGUCACACGGUUUGCAAAAACAUCAACUCUUACCUCGGUUUUUCGCGCAAAUCACACCUAUAAUCUAACAUGCAAACACCACAACAAACAUGCAAGGGAAGUUAUGGACUCCACUUGCCUUAUAGGUGAACAAGCAACGACGAACGGCGACGGGGCACGGCGAUCGGACGGCGAGCACACGGCAGCACCUCCCUCUCGGCUCCGCCUCCUCUCUCUCCCUCUCGGUUUCUCUCUUCUGCUCGGGCUCUCUCUCUCUCGCACACCUCUCUCUUUGGGCGAAAAUGAAGCAAGAAGAACCGGCCACUCCUCUUCUCUCUCUCUUUUUAUAUCCCCUAAAGCCCAUGAUUAGUAAUCAUUGCUUUGCCUAUAAUCCCACCAAUGCAUGCUCUUGCCAUUUGCCACUUGUAAUUUUUAUUUUUAUUUUUGAGUUUGAAUGGGCUUGGGCUUAGGCCCAUCCGGCCAUUCCCCCUUGUGCUGGUCGAGCUCCCUUCUUGGGCCCUAAUGGGCCGACUAGCUUGGCCCACCAAGCUUUAGGCUAAUGGGCCCAAGGCCCAUUUCAAUAAUUAACUCCUUUUUUUUCUUUUUCUUUGAAUUUCUUUCUAUAAAUAUUUCCAAAUUCAAAUUUCAUCUUGGCCAAAGUCUUAGGAUAUUUUUGCUCAUUGAAAUUUAAAUCAUAUGGCCAAGCAUAGAUUAUUAAUUCAAAUACACAAAUCAUCAAAUUAAAAGACAAAUUGGCUAAGGCAUAAGCCAAAAGAAAUUCUAUCACCUAAUCAAAGAUUUUUAACACACCUUAAGGCUCGGCCUUGAAUUUCUGGGAUGCCACAAUUUGGGUCUGCACUUUUUGAAAGAAAUCACUGUAGAUAUACUGUGAAAAGGGUCUGAUCAGCGUAUGGGUCCAGAUUUGAUGAGGAUACCUACUGAAAAUAGUGUUGAGUUCUCUGUCAGCAAGGUGCUUGGAAAAAUGUCCAAGAGGAAUUUCAGCUGAAUUCAUAAGUAUUGACAACCUUCAGAGCGACUUACCUUGCCUCUCUUAGUAUGUCAAUGCUGAUGUCCGACACUGCUUUUCUUUUUAGUAUCUUUUGCUCUUUAACCUAGUCAGACGGCAUGGAUAGUAAAGAAGAAAAUGAGUUGCGGGUAGCGGCAUUAUGUAAACGAUUAGGACAUCUCUGGUAUGAGGAAGAUGUGGUUGAAGUAAACCUGGAGAUAUCCUUACAAAAAAGAAAUGAAUGCAAUAGAACAAUUUUGGGUAAACUAUACUCUAAACCCAAUGUCAAUUUUCCUGCAUUUUUCACAACUAUGAAGAAAGCAUGGAAAACAUAAGCAGUAGAAUGUGCACAAAAAGGACCAGGUCUCUUUACCUUUGUAUUUCAAUCAAAGGUGGAAAAGGAUAGAAUUCUCAAAUCAGCACCUUGUUUUACUCCAGCAAUUUGCUUUUAUUGAAACAGUGCGAGCCUGAAAUUACAGAACACUGUUAUGAUUUCUCUAGAGCAGCUUUCUGGGUAAGAAUUGGAGGUAUUCCCCCUGGUUGGAGGGUUGAAAAAGUUUACCAUGAUCUGGGGGAAAAGCUAGGCCAGGUCCAGGAAAUACAGCUCGAAACCAUGGGAAAUCUGUAGCAAAAAGGAGGAAGAGUUAGAGUGGAAGUAGACCUAUCUACUCCUCUGAAAGCAGGAACCAUUUUGGACAUUGGCAAUAAAUGGUUGUGGGUAGAAUUUAAAUACAAGUGAUUACCCCAUUAUUGCUACUCAUGUGGCAGAAUAGGCCACUACGCACAAGAUUGUUCAGAAAUCCCUUAUUCAAAAUCACCAUGGGCAGUCGACAAAAUUGGCUCCUUUGGACCAUGGCUGAAAGUAGAAGUCAGUGAUCAUAGCCCUUAUUGGGAGGCUUUUUAUGGCAACAUCGAAGAAGACAUUAUAGUAGAAGAAACCAUACCUGUAGCAACUUCUCCAGAUAGAGAGCAGGAUAUAACUAUACAAGAGAAAGGUCCAGAAAUGCGCCUAGCAGCUUGCAGCAAAAAAAGAGUAGAAAGUCCCAUGGAGCCGGAGAUAAUGGAAGUCCCUGUUACAAAUCAGCAGGUACUUAAAGAUCAUGGAAAACAGAUCAUUUGCUCAGACGCUCCCAUACAGAACUCUCUGAAAAUAGGAAAGAGCAGCAAAAAGAACAUGAAUGUGCAAAAAGCUAAGAAGCAUAAAUGUUUACCUGAACCUACCCCUCUUCUCAUCGAUGAUUCAGGCAUGACGGAGACUCCAGUGAAGUAGCUCAAGGAUGGAACAGAUUGGGCUUUGGUGGCUAGCCCUAAUAAGCCACCAAAGACGACAUGAAAAUCAUUAGUUGGAAUUGUCAGGGGUUGGGCAACCCCCUGACAAUCUAGGAACUAAGAGCAUUAAUUGCUCUUGAAAGGCCCAGUAUAGUUUUUCUAAUGGAGACUAAAAAUAAAGCAACGAUGGUGGAAAGUAUAUGCAGGAAACUUCAAUUUCAACACUUAUUCUUAGCAAACCCAAUGGGUAUAGCAGGGGGAUUGGCGUUAAUGUGGAAUGAGGACGUAACAUUGCAAGUGCAAAGCAGUUCAAAACAAUUUAUUGAUGUCAAAUGCACUGAUCCAGCCAGGAAAACAGUUAUGCAGAUUACUUUUAUUCACGCUUCCACAAAUUUUGGCGAGAGGAUACAGUUAUGGCAGCAAUUGAAGACAUUAAAACCUCACAGUUCCAAUCCAUGGAUAUGCAUGUGGGAUUUUAACAAGAUUCUAUAUGUAUGGGAGAAAGUUGGGAAAAGAGAAGCAGAUAAUAAAAGAAUAGUAGCUUUUAGGGAUAUGCUCAAUGAGUUAUCUCUAAUGGACAUGGAUAGCCAAGGAUGUGUAUUUACGUGGGCAAACAACAGAGAAAGGGAGGAUCUUGUUAAAAAAAAAAGACUGGAUAGGGUAUUAUGUACCUUGAAAUGGCGAGUUAUCUUUCAUAAGGCAGAAAUCCAUGCACUUCCAACAAUAGGCUCGGACAACAGCCCUCUUGUCUUGAGGCUAUACCUUGCACGCAGGAAAAGAAGAAGAGAAUUUAAAAUGGAAGCUUUCUGGUUAGAAAAUGAAGAAUAUCAUGAUGUUAUUCACCACGCAUGGACCCAUACAGCCUUUCCCCAAGCCACUUUUUCAGAAAAACUUCAGGAGACCUCAAAACAACUGACACAAUAGAGUCAAAAGAAGUUUGCUCAUGCACCCAGUAGGAUAAAAGAGUUAACUUAGGCCCUAACAGCCAUAACCAAUCAGCCACAACAGCAUCAAAGCAGAAAGGAAGUGAAAAGCAUCAUUCACAAGAUAGACACACUAAGAAAGCAGGAGGAACAAUAUUGGGGAUUGAGGUCAAGAAUUAAAUGGUUACAAUGGGGAGACAAAAAUACACGAUUUUUUUCAUGCCACAACAGUUCAAAGGAGGCGUAGAAAUCAUAUUACAAUGCUGCAAUUGGAAGAUAACAGAUGGUGUCGGGAUCCAGGAGAAAUCAGAAAUCAUAUCCAAGCUUAUUACAGCAAUUUAUAUAAAACAGAAGGGGAACGAAAUUAUCAGCCAAUCUUAAACCAAUGCCACUCUCCUAUUGAUGAUCGUAUAAAGGCAUCCCUGGUGGCUACUCCCACGAUGGAGGAAAUUAGAACAUCAGUUUUUCAACUGGGAGCCUUGAAAGCGCCUGGUCCUGAUGGGUUCAAUGGCAUGUUCUAUCAAAAUGAUUGGGAUAUUAUUCAGCCUGACCUAUUCCAUCUAGUGCAGAGUUUCUUCAACACAGGUGUGUUAAAUCCUCAUUUAAAUCAAACAUAUAUUGCCUUGAUUCCCAAAGUGAAAAAUACUGAGACAAUUAGUCAGUUCAAACCCAUCAAUCUUUGUAACUUUAGUUAUAAAAUUAUCUCAAAACUACUAGCAAAUAGACUGAAGAAGUGGCUGCCAGAGAUAAUCGCACCUGAACAGAGUGCCUUCGUUCAGGGGCAACAGAUACAGGAUAACAUCCUCAUUGUGCAGGAAGUGUUACACCAGAUGCGCAUCACCAAAAGAAAGAAAAAACAUCAGGCAGUACUCAAAUUAGACAUGCAGAAAGCAUAUAACAUAAUUGAAUGGGAUUUUGUUCGGGAUUGCAUGCUGAAAAUGGGUUUUUCAGAGAAAUGGGUGGCUCUAAUAAUGCCAUGCAUAACAACAGUGACCUUCAGUGUUAAGCUCAAUGGCAAACCUACCCAUUUUUUCAGUCCAUCCAGAGGUCUAAGGCAAGGAGAUCCCCUGUCACCUUAUUUAUUCAUCUUAAUCACAAAUGUGUUAACAUGGUUGAUGCAAAAAGCAGUAGCAGAAGGCAGCAUACAGGGUAUACAGCUCAACAGGAAGCUCUCUCACCUUCUUUUCGCGGAUGAUAUUAUUUUUUUCAUGGAUGGCACUUUAAAGGAAUGUCAGAAUCUGACCCUUACAAUUAACCAGUAUUGUUAUGCAAUGGGGCAAGCUGUUAACUUAAACAAGUCAGGGGUUUAUUUUAGUAAGAAUUGUCCCUUACCACUUAAGAGGAACAUGGCUCAAGAACUAAGAGUGCAUGUUUUUGACAAGACAAGAAAAUACUUAGGUAUCCCUACAAAAUUGGGACAAUCUAAAAAAGAAUUAUUUGCAUUGAUACUAACCAGAGUAAACUCAAAGCUGGAGGGUUGGAAGGAAAGGUUACUUAGCAAAGCAGGAAAGGAAGUCUUGAUUAAGAGUGGUGCAGGCCAUACCAACCUAUGCCAUGUCGAUCUUUAAGCUGUUAGUGUCCAUCUGCAGAGCAAUUGAAAGGCAAAUAGCUUCAUUCUGGUGGCAGAAAGGAGAUACAAAGAAAGGCAUCCAUUGGAAGAACUGGGAAGCUAUGAAGAAAAGAAAUGAUGAAGGAGGGAUGGGGUUCAAAAACUUAAUUACCUUCAACUGUGCAAUGCUUAGUAAACAAGUUGGCGGUUGCACACUUCCCCGCAUGCAUUAUGGAGUAAAGUUUUAAAGGGCAUAUAUUUUCCUCAUGGAGAUGUAUGGAAUGCACAAAAGGGCUAGCGAUCAUCGUGGGGCUGGCAAAGCAUGCUAUUGGGGGUGAGAUUCUAUUAAAACAGAUAUCAAAUGGUUAGUCAGGGAUGGCAAAUCAAUCAAAAUCAGGGAGGAUAAAUGGCUAUCACAAGAGUUAACAGGAGGACCAGUAAACCAAGCAGAACCAACCAUGGUGGAAGGUUUGAUCAAUGAAGAUUCUCGAACAUGGAAGCAGACCCUCAUUCAUCAGUAUUUUGAGGAGAAAAUAGCAAAUGAGAUUCUAGCUAUUCCCUGAGUAAAGACCCCAAACCAAACAGCCGAAUAUGGACAGGGAACAGUAAAGGUGAAUUUACGGUGAAGAGCGGAUAUAACAGGGCCCAUGCAUCGACCACCAAACUAAACCUACAGAAAGCUUCUUGUUCUUACUAGCCCCCCCGAAAUUUAGGGACACAGAUCUGGAGUCUCGAUGUCCCACCGAAAAUCCGAACCUUUCUAUGGAGCAUCUAUCAAAAUGCCGUUCCCACAAGGGAGAAUCUCUACAAAAAAAAAAAAAAAAAAAAAGAUCAACCCUUAUCCUUUAUGUCAGAUAUGUUACACACAUGUUGAAACCACUGAACAUAUAUUCCUAUUUUGUAGGUGGACAAAACAAAUCUAGAAAGACAACAGGCUACAAGGAACGAAUUUGAUGAAACAAUUCCAACGGCUCGAUCAGUGGCUCCUAGCGGUUUUCGACUCACAAAGGAAAUUACUUGAGCGCAAGUUCAUCGCAGGGGUUCUCUGGCAGAUCUGGAAGGCUCGAAACUCACGGAUCUUCAGAGAAAAAGCCCCAAACCCGACGAAUGUCCUUGAUCUCGCACAAACCCAGAAUAUAGCCUUCAGUAGAGGAACGACGAAAAAGCCAAACCAAACUACAACUCAACACUUACCAGAGGACUGGACACCAUCGGGAAAUCGUGAGUUGAAAUUGAACGUUGAUGCGUCAUGGGUACUAGGAGAAUUCCUUUGUUCUGUUGCCGGAAUCGCCAGGGACAAAGCGGGGUGUGUCGUCGACGGAUUUGCAGCGGAGGCUAGGGUUUCUUCGUCAGUACAAGCAGAAGUGGAAGCCCUUCUACACGGGUUACGCUUUCUCACGAACUGGAAGUCGUCUCACGUGCAAGAUGCACGAAGUCAAGCAGUUCACUUUAUUUGUGAAAGCGACAGUUUAGCGGUGGUGGAUUUCGUCAUGGGCCGGGCCGAGAUACCGUGGAAUUUAAGAGACAUAAUUCAACAAUGCCGACAAGAGCUUCUUCUCUGCCAAAACGUAUCAGUAACCUAUUGUCCCCGAGAGGCAAAUUAAGCGGCUGAUUGGCUGGUACACACACAUCAUGCAAAGAAACUCCCGCUAAAUUGGGCGCAUAGACCCCCUCUAUCUCUCUGGGAUAUUUUAGUUUCAGAUUGUCCAUCGUCGUUGUGUUCUAAGACUACUUAAUCUAAUGCAUCAAUAUUUCUUUUAUAAAAAAAAAAAAGAACUUGAUAGUGAGUGGGUGUCUGACUAGAUCGGCAAACCACACUCACGAGAACGGCCACCAAUGUCACUGCCGCAUCACCGUCUUCAAUUAUGAAGGGCUCUUGCCAUCUUUCGGGCUCUCGCCAUCUUUCUCCCCUAGCUACCCCUCACGUAUAUCGCUCUCCUCUUUGUGUGGCCGGGUGUUCGCACAUAUGUGGCCCUCCCCCAAAACCCUACGCAAACAACUUAUUUAUAGGGCGAGGAUUAGGGUUUUAAUUUUUCCAAAUUCAUAUCCACAAAAAUUCUUUUCAAAACGCAAUAUUUGUUUUUUUUUCCAAACGUAAUAUUUGCUUUUGAAUUGAAAUCUCACAAAGAUAAAUCCGUAAAAUCUCUCCAAGGAUACGGGCUUGGGCCGAUUUGCUUUCUUCGUGGGCUUAGCUCGACUCAUCAAAUUAAAGUUUCUGAACCAUCAACUUGAACCCAUCCAUUACCGAUCCAAUGUAAAUGCAAAUAAAAAAUAAAUGCACCUAAAACUAUAUGCUAUGCGAUUAACUAUUUUUUCAGGGAUAAAAUUAAUCCUUAAUUUUUUAAUACGAUAAAUGACUAAAUGGGUCGCCAAAAUUUAGGUGUCAACAGAGCAGUUAAAAAUGCAUAUACAACUAGUGUUCUAAUGAGGUCCACGAUUCCAACAAAGUUCAAGCAAUGCUAAGAAUCAGAAGAUGUCUAUGGCAGUUUGAACUCGUGAAAAGUUGUGGGAGAUUAGCAAUGAAGUUCAGAUUCCAAUGAUGUGAUGGUAACUUGGGUCAAAGGGGUUUUCUAUUUUGGAUCCAACUCUUGUCAAUAUUUAAGAUUUUUUUUUUUUUUUGUGAAGAGUAUUGAAGAGGAGCUUGUGUUUAUGAAUUACAUCUCGAGUGUUUGAAGUCAUGAAAAAUAUUGUGGUAAUUCUUUAGGUAAAUCCUUUGUGAGGUGGAGAGAUAAUUUCAUGAGAAAUUGUAGCUUGUGAUGGCUAAAUGUUGCAUGAAUUAUUUGGUAUAAUUAAGAGCUGCAAAAUACUAAGUACAUUUGACUGACUCAGUGUGAUCUAUAGUGGACUUUGUACAGCCCUUCCAUGGACAUAGGUCACAUCGAUCGAAUUUCGUAAAUUUGAUGUUCUAUUUAUUUCCUUGUGCCGUUUAUUCUAUUGAUCAAUCACUUUCUUUUUGCAACAUUAUAUGUGUAAGGGAUGAAGAAAAUUUUUCUCCUUAAGAGUUCUUAUUUUUCGCAUUAUCAAAUGUUGCGAGUUCAUACUAGGGUUACGACGAAACUGGGGGAGGUAGUGGAAAACGUGUUUCCACGAUUGAGUUCAUUCGACGGGCUUGGGACGGGGGAGUCAACGAAAGGUCAAAAGAUAUGCAGAGAUGGGAGACCCAAUGCUGCCUUGUUAUGGAAGGUUUGCAACUCGAAAAUGGAGUAUAUAAUGCUCUCUAUGUAAAAGAUAUAUAAUAUUUUAAUUGGUGCGGCAGAAAUUGCACUUCGCAAGUUUGUCGACAAAGAGAAUAUUGCCAUGUGGAUUUAGGUCAAGUCAAAUCAACGAUUGGUACUUACCAUUCAUCGCGAGAACAUUGGCUAAUGAUAUAAAUUGCUUUGUAACAUAGGAACGCAAUAUCAUAUAUGAGUUAUUGCCCGUAAUAAAAACAAGGUAUUGACAUUAAUACCACUGGAAAGGGCUAAGGGAUGGACCGAAUCAUGCGUAAAAAGCCACACUCCAAACCCAUCUGAGUAAAGAUAAAACGGAAGAAAAAAUAUUCCUCCUAGAAGGUCGUCUCGAUCAGAUGAGGAUCGAAGAUUGAGGGUCCUGUUGCAUCUAAGAAUAAUUUUUAAUUUAUUUAUUUUGCAUAAACGAGUGUUUAAACUAUGUCUACCUGCAUUUUUCUUGAAUGUUUCCUUCCACCUCCAUUUUUGAAUCGUUUCCGUCUCAUGCAGAAGCAUCUGUAUUGACCAAUGGGAGAACACGAGAGUCGAGAGACGCAUGCAAUACGCUAUUGCUCUCUUUCGUAGUAAAUGCUUUUACCAAGGAAGACUUUUUGCUCGAAAACUUUGUCGUCGUCUCUCCAACUCGACCGGCGGGACUAAUUAUAAAGGCUGAAUGCAUCACCAGCUCUUGAAUUCUCUUGAUCACGACGACCCGUUCAAUUUUUUUAACAAAUAAUAAUAUGUUUGUUGACGUAGACUCUCAUGUCAGCUUCUGACGGACGAGCAGCCGACACGGAAUCUCAAAAAGAAGUCAAACUGAGAUGUGUGUGUGUGUGAGAGAGGGAAAGAGAUAUAGAGAGGGACGUGCUUUCACAUUUUUCUCAUGGUUUUUGGCUAUAUUGUUAAGGUCACUCGUCUAAAUCCUUAUUUUCUCGAUGCAUGCAAUUUUUUUUAAUUGGAAAUAUUACAUCGACUGGUUGCACAUUCCUUACGAGCUUAAUUUUCCUCACGAGCUUCUUGCUAUUCAAUCCCAAGUAGCUGUAAGAUUGGUGUAUCAGGGACCCGAAUGCAUUUAACUACCCAACCGAUAGGCCAAGAUGCAGCCGCGAUCCCUACACAUGCACCCCAUUGUCCCCAGCUCAACCGCACCGUGACAGCAAACUGCUUCAGGAACUCGACCAUUACCACCUGGAGGACCACUGUCACAGAGAUGAUCCCGAGGAACAGCUUGUUCUUGUGAAUGCCCUCGAACACGUUCUGCUUCUCGAUGUUCCUCGCAUUGAAUUCAUUGAAGACCUGGCACAGGACGAACGCAUUAAAUAUUAGCGUCCGCUUCACCGCCUCGUCCAUGCCAAAGAUCGAUUCACCCUUGAAUUGUAGAGUGAGGAGGAUGGCCACUUGGUAAAUUGCUUGUCCCACCAGAUUCCUCCACAUGACGUUUGUUAUGAGCGGCUCGGUGCGGCCCACAAGGGGCUUUUUCAUGAGCUCCCCGGUGGGCAGCUCUGUGGACAAGGCGAAGGCGCCAAGCGUGUCCACGAUCAGGUUCACCCAUAAGAGCUGGAAGGCUGUCAAAGGGAUGUCACCGGAGGAGACCGCAGCCACGAAGUUGAUCAAAAGGGCUGCAAUGUUCACCGUGAGCUGAAACUGGAUGAACUUCUGGAUGUUAUCAUAGACGCAUCGACCCCACAGCAACACCUUCACCACGGACGCAAAGUCGUCGAUGAUGAUAUCCGAGCUCUCUUUGGCGACCUCGGUGCCUUGGAUGCCCAUCGAGACCCCAAUGUCGGCUUCCUUUAGGGCCUGUGCAUCGUUCAUGCCGUCCCCUGUGACGGCGACCACAUGGCCUUUCUGCCUUAAGCACUGAACCAUGAGGAACUUAUCGUCAGACGAGGAGCUCGCCAUGACCCGAAUUUUCUCGACUCUCCGAAGCUUCUCCUCCGAGGUGUAAUAGCGGAACUCAGCUCCUUCCACGGUGGCUUCGUUGGAGGCAUCGUCCCCAGGCUUGAGAAUACCGCACUCCGUGGCGAUGGCCUUAGCGGUGAAGAUGUUGUCUCCCGUUAUCAUCAUGAUGUUCACUUCUGCCUCUUGACAAGCUUGGACCGCACUCUUCACGCCGGGAUGGCAUGGGUCCUUAAUUCCGACAAGUCCUAUUAAUGUCAGGCCACGUUCUUGGAUCUUCUUCCCGUCUUCUCUUUCUAGGAUCGUUUCCUCUAAGACUUGUUUAUGAGCGAAAGCGACGCACCUGAGGCUGCUCGUCACCAUCCCCCGGAUAAUGUGCUCGACGCUCUCCCUUUCAUCUUCGUCAAAAUCUUUCAUCAUCCCCGACCCGUCAUAGAAGCUCGAGCACAUCGCCAAGAUCAUCUCUGGCGCUCCUUUCCAGUGCACAUGGACCGUGUCAUCCGCGCUCUUCUUCAUCAGGACGCCGCUUCUCCUCUUCUGCGAGUUGAAGGCUUCGACUUGGAUGACUUCACAGCUCUUCUUUGUCUCGUCCAUGUCCAUGUUCAAUUGAGCAACCGCCCAGGAAAUAAUCGCUUUUUCGGUGGGACUAUUGGAGAGCUCAUACUCCGAUCCUGAAGGCAGCCUAUAGACGAUGCUCGUGGUGUUCAAAGCAACUCCGUCCCGAAUCAAAUCCAGGACAAUAUUGGGGACAGAGGACCACGCAUUUUCCACCACGGAGUCUUGGCCGACCCAGAAUUCCGUCACUUUCAUCUCGUUCAUUGUGAGAGUGCCAGUCUUGUCGGUGCAAAUAAUGGUGGCUGACCCCAUUGUCUCGCAGGCUGAAAGCUUCCUCACCAUCACCUGAUCCACCAUCAUCCUCUUCAUGGAAUGAACAAGAGUGAUUGUUACCGCGAGUGGCAAGCCUUCGGGAAUCAAGACCACCACGAUUGUCACUGCGGCUACAAUGUUGCCUACCACGGAGUUCAUGAUGUUGUCACCCAUCGUUUGGCCUGGAACGGAUUCCCGUUUCCUGUGCUUGUCCUGUUUGUUUCCCGUGAAGUAGCAAAUUAGCAGGACGACAAGAACCAGAAAAUUGACUGCCAAGCCGACUUUGCUAAUCGAUGAGGUGAGCUUGUUGAGCCGAGCCUGUAAAGGGGUCUGCUCGCUGAUGUCACGGUUGAUUGGCCUCGUCAUCUCGCCCCCCAUUGUGUUCAUCCCGACUGAUGUGACCAACAUCCGAGCAGACCCAUCAGCAACCUCUGUUCCAGAGAACAGGAAAGGAUUUUGAUUGCUCUUCUCUUCCAUGCAGCCACUCUUCCCGGUCAUGCUUGAUUCGUCCACCUAAAUUGACACGAGAAUGAGACGAUAGGAUGCGGUCAAAGAAAAUAAAACCUCAAUACAUAUUAACACGAGAAGAAAUGGAUUAUGACAAACUAUGCAGUAUCAAACAGAAUACCGUACACAUGUACAUCACUUUGGACUAAUUACUUAAUUAAUUAAUCAACCGGGGCUCGAACUUGGUAAUACUAAUACUAUAUAUUUCUGGAGGAAUCUAACAUGAGUUAAUUAGCGAAUCUAAUGCAAACAAACAGUACAAAUUCCCGUCCGUACCAGCAAGGACUGCCCCUCGAGUAACAACCCAUCUGCCGGGAUUUGAUCGUGUUUCUUCAAACAAACGACAUCUCCGACAACAAUCUCGGAUAUGGAAACCUUGCGCGGCUGUCCCUUCCUGAUCAUAUCGAUGAGAAUAUCACCGCUCGCCCCAUACAAUUUAUCGAACUGCCAGUUCUGCCGGCAAUUCCUCAUGGCCGACACCACGAUCAUGAGGAAAACUGUGAAGAAUGGGCUCCCGCCAUUGUGCCAGCCUCCCUUGAGCCCGUUCUCCUUGAUCGCAAAACCGGGUGAAAGCCCAGCGCAAACAAGAAGAAUCAAGAGCAUGAGGUCCUUGAAAGCCUCGAACACAAAGUGGAAGAAGCCCUUGGUGGGUGGCUUGAAUGUGUUGACGCCGAAUGCGUUUUGCCUGCGAGUGACGUCGUCCGGUUCGCCGCUAAUACCGCGAGAGACAUCAGUUUUGAGGGCCGAGGCGACUUUGCUGACAUCGCCGAAUUCUCUGAGCCAGUUGAGGUUCUUGUCCUUGACCAGCUUCGUGAGCUGCGACUGAUCAAUAUGGAAGGAGCUGGGUUGAUCGGAGGGAGCGCUCGGAGCAUGAUCAGGGAUUGAAGCGAGCGAUUGGAGCUGCGACUGUUCAGUCUGGAAGGAGCUGGAUUGAUCAGAGCGAGCUCUCGGAGCCUGAACGGGGAUUGAAAUCGAAGUGUAGGAAGGGUCGAGCGGUCGAAGUUGUGACUGAUCAAUCUCGAAGGAGCUGAGUUGAUCGGAGGGAGGGCGCAGAGCCUGAUCGGGGAUUAAAAUCGAAGUGUAGGAAGGGUCGAGCGGUCGAAGUUGUGACUGAUCAAUCUCGAAGGAGCUGAGUUGAUCGGAGCGAGGGCGCAGAGCCUGAUCGGGGAUUAAAAUCGAAGUGUAGGAAGGAGCAAGAGGUCGAAGCUGUGACUGUCCAGUCUGGAAGGAGCUGGGUGGAUUGGAGCGAGCGCUCGGAGCCUGGUCGGGGAUUGAAAUCGAAGCGUGGGAAGGAGAUUUUCCAGGGAACUUGUCAGUUUUCUUUGCGAAGGUAGUGAUGGCUCGGGAGCAAUAGAUGGUGGCGAAGGCCAAACGCCAUCGCUUGGCGAACCUGCGCAUAGCGAGCGGGUGGAGAGAGACCUCGUAGCGGAUGGAGUCGCCGCUGAGAAUGCUCGUCAUCGCUCGGAAGAGACGCACAGUCGCACAAUGCAAAUGGCAACACGAAAAGGAGGAAAAACUCUGAAGUUCGGUGUUUCGUUAGCCGCUGAAAAGUGCAACGUUCGCAUUUAUAUACGUGCCGGAGCUGAACGAGAGGGUCACGUCGUUCGUGCGAGGUUGUCAGGAAUUUGCCUCGCGCAGCGCGGCGACCUCUGCUUGCUUUUUCUAAGUUAUACGAAAAGGACUGGACCGGGGAUAAGUCAGGCCCGGUCGUCGCUAUCGAUAUUUCCACGCACCUUCUGCUCCUGUAAAAAAAUGGGGCCCGAUCCAUGCUCGGUGGGGAGAUCGCGCUUGAAUCAUUGUCUAAAGUGGGGCACGAAUUCCGUUUGUCUUGAGUAAACCAUCAAUCAGGGGAGGACACGUGUACGUGCCCACCUCUUAUCCGUCCCCGUCAGCUGUCCCCCUAAUACUUUUGGUCAUUGCCGCGUUGCUUCUUACACGGGCGGGCGGUCAUUGCCCCUCCACAAACCCGGCGGGGCAGGUAAAAGUCAAUAUGACGUCGAGCUCUACAUGUGCUUUUUAAGCGCAUUCCCGAUAUGCCCAUGUUCACAAAUGGAUAUACAAGCCAAAUUUCGUUCUCACCAAAGAGUGGAACGGGCCCUUAAUUUUCUCACCAAAUUUCGUUCUGACUUGGCAUGACUCGCUCGCUUCUCUUCUUGGAAGAAAAUGCUUCCCCCUACGCGGCCACUGAGCUUCAAGGAAAGUUCGUAGCCAAGUACCUGGAAUUCCCCGAACCGUCAUCUGUCUAUCCUAAAAUGUCGGCCUCUUCGUCGUACCAAAACCCAUAUGAACAACACUACCAUCGUCUCUUCCGUUAUGGCUUCAAUAGCACCUACAUAUCGAGACCAGAUCCCGCUAAAACGACGGCACUGUUUUUUAUUUACCAUCAGUACUGGCGCCACAGUGACCCCAAAUUCCCUUAUACGUGGAUUUGGCAGCCCAAGCCAUGGAAAUCAAAGAUAUAGAAGGCCAUAACUAAUAGAUAUUGAAAAGCAAAACCACAGGGUAUUAUCGUUUUAUUACGGAAUGAAAACACUGUGAAAUGUUCCUUACCAAAAAAAAAAACACUGUGAAAUGUUGAAUUUGGAAAUCUUUUUUAUAGUUCUUUUUAAUGGCAUAAAAAUGUUUUCACUACUUCCAGCCAAAUCUCAAUAAAAUGCGUGUACUCUUCACUUCUUAAAUGAUCCAAAAACGCAUGGACUCUUACUUUAGAGAUACAUUAAAUUUUCCACCAUGCAAACUUAUGAAUUCGCUCGAAAUCAUAGAUUCGGAAAGCUAGCUUUUGUUUUGGGGGCGAAAAGAACUCGGUUCACUAACCCUUGUUCAAUAUUUAUCUGCUAAUUUUCUUCUUUUUCUAAUUGAAACAUAUGAAUUUUUUAUUGAAAAAAAUUUAAAUAUCAUCAUCGCUAUGCCUUGCUAACGAGUCCUAUGUCUGCGUCGGUACCAUUAGUCACAUUUUCUUAACAGCUUACAUGUAUGAAAAUCUAAAUGGUGAGUCUUUUUAUCCACAUUCAAGAUCGUCAUCGGAGACGUCCUUUGUUUGGAGAUCGGAGAUCAAGUUCCGGCAGAAAUUUAAUCGACUAAAUAAUUGCCUUAUUUGGCUCUUGUAUCUGCAUGUUUUUUGACUUUUUGUUCACUCAUCGUCCACGUCCAAAGCCCGGUAAAUUGCUCAAACGCGGUUUUUUUUCCAUUUGAGGGGCUUCGCGGAAAGCCCCCUUCCCCUCCGGUCCCCUCUCCUCCCCUAUAAUAAUACAAGUUGCUUGGCCGAAAGUUUCGUAUCACGUGAUGAAACAUCUUUCAUGAAACGACUAUGCCGUGAUGAAAUAUUUUUCAUUAAAAAUCACUUUUUGAUUUUCAUUUAGGGAAACAAGUUCUGUGACUACUCUAGAUAGGAAAUAUAACAGAACUUUACUUCAAAUGAAAAACAGUACAAACUGUGCUGAAAUUUAAUCGCCAACAAAGCUUGGGGAAAUACAACCACUUCAACAUAGCUGAGCAUAAACAAAUUAUGUUGAAAUUUAAGUGACGACAAAACUUGAAAACGCAAUGAUGCUACGCUCGAAUUUAAUCAAUGAUGUGACACCCAAGAUAAAAAUACAUGCUGAAUCAAGCGAGGCCAACCCUCUCCCAGCCCUAGCCACCGGCGAAAAGGAAGAAGAAGAACCAAAAAAAAGGGGGAAAGAAAAAUGAAAAAAUGAAAAAAUGGAUAAAUGAUAAAAAUACCCUCGAUCGCCGAAAAGUCAGGCCCUUAUUUGAAAUAGACUUAACUACUUCGAGCUCUUAUUUAAAAGAGAUAUAAUCACUUCAGACAUUCAUUUGAAAUAAAAUUUAUUUCAAACCUUUAUUUUGAUAAAGUAAUAGCAUUUCAAGCCCUUAUUUAAAAUAAUGUCUACUUUGAGCAUUUAUUUGAGAACAUGAUAGCACUUUAAGCAUUUUUACAAAAGAGAGUAAUAUAGUAUUGCAUUUCUCUCAACUCUCGCGUUCUCAUUCGUCAAUACAAUGUUUCUUCUUGAGAGGGGGGGGGGGGGUGGAUUCCAGAAUGCGGGCGGAAGGAAACAUCCAGGAAACGCGGAGCAAGAUCAUGACAGAUGAUUAGUCAUCUGCGAUUCCUUCGUGCAAAACAAACUAAUUAAAAAUUAUUGUUAGGUAGGUGCAGAAAGAUCCUCAAUCUUGGACCCUUGUCUGAUUCAAGUUGUUAAAUUAAUUUUUCGAAUUUGAAUUAAUUUGUUAAAUCAAAUUUGUUAACAGAAAUUUCUCCUUGAAGAUUUGAAUUCAGAUGAAGACGCCCUUGUUUCAUGGACUUGUCUCGGACGUAUGAGCAAAAAAAAAAAAGCAAGGGGCGCUAAAGGACAAUAUAUGAGCACAUUAUUUUUUAUUUUAUCUAUUUAACUUUUAGGAGCAGACACGUCUUUUGCUAAAAGAACAAAUAAAGAAACUCUAUCUUUGCUGCAAAAGCUGAAUCCUUGUUGAAGUUGCACAGCGGUGGGUGCAGGUCAAAGUUGUUGACUUACGGCACACAUGCAGAGCGACGAGCACCGCACAAGAAAUAAGAAUGUGAGGCCGUACGAAAAGAAAUGAACUAGCAGGCAAGUUCUUGUUUUUGGCGUAAGGUUCGUGCUUGAACGCGGUGAUUUUAUGUCGUGAAUUUCCCGUUUAAGUGAAUUAUUUAUUUAUAAAUGUUUUAGAUUUGUCGCUAAAUUUAAAUAUAAAAAACUCUCGAGCAUGUAAAUGAUUGUAGACUUUGAUUCUCCAAUUAUAGUAGAAUAUUUACUAUAAACUCUUUUCAUGGAUAUAGGUAUCGAUACUCGAUCCGAAUAACGUAAAUCUCUAGUGUCUUAUUAUUUCUCAUUUAUUUCUUUGGUAUUUUUCACAUUGACUUAUUUGCAAGAUCUUGUCAUCGCUGUAUAUUAUAUUUCAACACAAGUAACUCUUCUAGAUAGAGUAUUUCUUCUUCUGUUUUUUCUUUACCUAGAUGGUUUUGGAGCGUGGCUUCUUCCUUGGUGAUUUGGUCUAAUCCCCUAAGGCUACGUUUGGUCGUCCGGAUAAUAAUCAUGAUAAAAUAGGAUAAAGUAGGAUAUUAAAUCAGUUGGAUAAUAAAGGCGGACAUAUCUAAUCCUAUCAAGUGUUUAGUGCACUUCAGGAUAAGAUUAAAAAAUAAAUAUAAUAUUUAUUUAAAUUAUAAAACUAAAAAAUAGAAAAUUCAAUUAAUUAAAGGCCAUGGAAAAACCCUAGAUCUAGGAAUUGUGGCCACCUCCGCAGUGGCCACCAUUGAAAACGGCAAGUGAUAUCUUCUCUUUUUGUUAAGUUCUUUCUUUCUUUAAAAAAGAAAAAAAUCUUAUCCAAUCCGGGCUUAUCUCACCCCCUCCCCCGGAUUUUUUAUCCAGCGUUUUAUCCGGAUAUAUCCAAGUUUGUCCGAUCCGGUGAACAUUCCCAAACAUCGGAUAGGAUAAUUGUUAUCCUAUCCAGACUCAAAUCCGGACUACCAAACGCAGCAUAAUUCUUUCAAAUUGUGUUAAUGCGAAUCCAUGUUCUCAUGACAUGUGACAAUCCAUAUUUGACACCGUGUUCUCGAGAUUCAUAACGAUUUAUAUCAUUAGCCAAUAUCCUCAAGACCAACUAUAAGGAACAAGUCGGCUGAUUUCACUGAACCUAUAUCAGCACAAGGCAAUGUCCUAUAUGUUUAUCACCAUACAAGGCUGCGUCCCUCGAUUUCGCUGAAACCCUUGUAAUUCCGUUAUACAAAUGAAGCCACCCUCUAGUUCAGCCCAAGCUAUAUGAGGAUAUUGUCUCAAACAUCAUUCCACGAAUUCGACUAAUAAUCGGGGGAGGAGGAUCCCAAGCCUUUCUGGCUCUUCCCAGCAACAACGAGCAUUCUCGGCGGCAACGACGCCUGCCCCGAGGCCUCUCUCGACUUGCCCGCUAUGUCCGAGAUUGCCAAGAAAUGGCGUUUGGCCUUCGCCACCAUCCGUUGCUCCCGAGCCUUCACUGCCUCCGCAGAGAAAACUAAGAAGCUCCCAGCAAAAUCUCCUUCCUACACUUCAAUUUCGAUCCCCGAUCAGGCUCCUAGCGCUCACUCCGACCCACCCUGCUCCUUCAAGAUGGGUCAGUCACAGCUCACCAAACUGGUCAAGGACAAGGACCUCGACCACCUCAGACACUUUGGGGGUGUCAACAAAGUCGCCUCGGCCCUCGAAACUGAUGUCAAUGCUGGAGUUAGCGGUGAACCGGACGACGUCUCUCACAAGCAAAAGGUAUUCGGCGUCAACGCAUACAAGCAGCCCGCCAGGGGCUUCUUCCACUUCGUGCUCGAGGCUUUCACGGACCUCAAAAUCACGAUUUGGCUCGGGUCGUGGAUCAAGGAGAAUGGGGUCCAGGAAGGCUGGUACGACGCAGGGAGCACAUUCGUCAUGGUGUUCCUCAUGAUCGCGAUGUCAGCCGUGAGCCAUCACCGGCAAAACCAACAAUUCGAUGAACUGUCUCGGGUGAGUGGUAAUAUUCUCAUCGAUGUGAUAAGGAAGGGUCAGCCGCAGCAGGUUUCCAUAUUCGAGAUCGUGGUUGGAGACGUUGUUUGUUUGAAGAUAGUGCGAUCAAGUCCCGGCAGACGGGCUGUUCAUCGACGGGCACUCCUUGCAGGUGUGGAUGACUAUUUGAACUAUUGACCGCAUUAGAUUCUCAUAUUAACAAAUAGAAAGUCAAUUCAAAAGUUUAAGUUUUUAUAAUGAACUAUUUAAUAAUAGUAUCAAAGCUUAUGGUUGAUUGAUGAGCAUUCCAAUGUGUACUGAUGUUUGGUGAAUGUAUCAAAGAAUGAAUCUCAUGACAAACAUGGAUUCAGAGUAAUCUUCAUGGUUCGGUCUAGAGAAAGAGACCGAGAUGAAGCUGGGCAUUGAAGAGUCAAGUUGAGAUGUGUAGGUUCAAAAACAUAUAUAUAUUAAAAGGAGAAAAGACCUAAUAAUAAAUUCAUACAUGAUGAAAGAUUGAUGAUACGUACAUGUGAAUUAUGUUUUCAAAAUCCACAUUGAAGAGUGUGGAGCACUUAAUAUAUCCUAGUUUGUCAUAAUUCAUUAGUUUAAACUUUUGAGCAAAGUUGGGUCUAACUAAAUAGGUUUAUGGGCUUGAACUAAAACUCUCCCUUGUUGAUCUCUCUAUUAGGCUUUUUUGGUGUAACAUAAUAACAGUUUCCUUCUGCCUAUAAAGCUUAAACUUUUAUGUUGAUAAUUUUAACAUGGUUAGAGCCAAGUUCUGCCCCUUCACGUGUGCGUCACUCCCAUUAGUCAAAUUUCACUUGUCACUCCUAAUCCACUGUGCACGUGAGAGUGUGAAAUAUCCUAAGUUACUUGAGAAUGUGGUUUAUAUAAUAUUUAUAUACAUUUGGUCUUUCCAAACUUUGAGGUUGAAUUUUUUUAUCAUUAUUUCAUGUUGGCUUUAUCCAUUCAUGUAUGGAUUUAGUAUUACCAAGUUCGAGCACAAGUUAAUUAGUCCAAAUAGAUGUACAUGUGUCUAAUAUUCUGUUUGAUACUAGGCACCUUUACCUUUCAUAAUCUUAAUUCUAUGACGAAAAGAGAAAUCUUUGAUUUUAAGUCAAAGUUCCGGUCAUGGUAGAACGAACCUUGUUAAAAGUUAAAACAUACUCCACUUGUUCGUGUUAAUAUUUAUUCGGGGUUCAUUUUCUUUGUUUAAAGUUGAGACCGGAACGCAUUGUAUCGUGUCACCCUAGCAUCACUAAAUCAUGUGCGACGUUUGUAUGGUCAAUUUAGGUUGACGAAUCGAGCAUGACCGGGGAGAGUGAUCACGUCGAAGUGAACAGCAAUCAGAAUCCAUUCCUGUUCUCUGGAACGAAGGUUGCUGAUGGUUCGGCUCAGAUGCUGGUUACAUCGAUUGGGAUGAACGCCGCGUGGGGCGAGAUGAUGAGCUCCAUCAGCGCAACAGUAGCGAGCAGACCACUUUACCGGCUCAGCUCAACAAGCUCAAAUAAGUGUGGGAUAAAAUUUUUACUUUUGUGAAUUAGAAUUUUAAGAGAUUCAGUGAUUUGAUUACUUUACAUUAAAUUAACAUCAUUUUAAUACAUUUUCUCUUACUUUGAAAAAUAUUUUGCAAGCAGUUUUUUUGACAUUAAACCCAAAUCCCCUGACAUGUAAUGGGUAUUCAUGCGGGUGUGUAAUCAAAUAACGUAACACUCAAUGAUAAAAAAUAAAUAUAUAAAUUACUAAGAAUAGGGUUAUCCUCAAUGCAAAGAAAAAGAUUACCUUGCCGUGGUUAAUAUCUUUAAUAUAUACAAAGUGUUAAUUAAAAAUGUUUGCCUAGCCUAAAUAUAAUUUUUAUAUGCCUAUGCAAUUCCAAAUAAUUAUUUUUUAGGUUUUUCCUUAUUUAUGAAAACUAAAUUAUAUGCAAUUUUAAGCUAAGCUUAGCGUGCAUGAAUUAUUAAACUGUAACAUAACCUAAUUUUAAUGAUGGACAAAAAUUAUGAACUAAUCUACACGACAUGCAAUCGAUUUUAUAUGAUAUAUAUAUAUAUAUAUAUAUAUAUAUAUGCAUGUUAUUUUGCGAUUUUCUUUUGAGAUUAAAAUGGGAAAUUUCCUAAAAUAUGAUAUUACCCAAUUGAAAUUACGAAAUAAUUUAUAUUAAAUCCUACUUUAAAUUAAGCAAUUUCUUAAAUAGCUACGCAGUUCCUAAGUAUGCAAUUCUAAACUAAGAAACGCCUAUCCUAACGUUCAAUGCAUUAUAUAUAUAUUUCUACAAAAUAGGAAAGCUUAUUAAAAAUAAUUCAACUAUCGAAUCCAACUCAAGAAAGGAAUCAAACAUUAUCGAUUACCUAAUCUUAAUUCUUAAAGAUCAAAUUCCUAAAUAUUCACUCCAAACCAACGAGAGAAUCGUAUAAUUCAAAUUAUUCAAUUAAUAUAUUUGAAUUGAGUUUAGUUUAGGAGAUUACCUAAUUGAGAUUUAAUUGCAACAAGAUUAGCUACGAUGUUCUUGGGGAUCAUCUACGUGAUGGUGGUCCUCCAGGUGGUGAUGGUCGAGUUCCUAAAGCGUGGUUCGUUGUCACAGAGUGGUUGAGCUGGGGACAAUGGGCGCAUCUGUCGGGAUCGCAGCCACGUCUUGGCUCAUCGGUUGGGUCAUCAAGUGCAUUCCAAUCCCUGAUACACCAAUCUUACAGCUGCUAUCGACAAGCAAGAAGCUCAUGAGGAAAAUUGUGCACAAAGAACAAUUUAUAAGGUUUAGGAACGCUAAUUGGGUUUAACUCAAAUCUUCUUAUUGUGCUGGUAUAUUGAAUUUCUCCUGAUGCAGUGUGAUUUUUUUUCCUUUUAACUAAAAAAAUAAGGAAUGUGUCGAUGUAAUUUUUCCAAUUCAAAGAAAGCAUUCAUUGAGAAAAUAAGAAAUAAGAUAAGUGACCUCAAUAUAGCCAAGAACGUGUAGAACAAAAUCAUAAGAAUAAUGUGGAAGCACAAACAGACUAAACUAAUAUGAAUUACGUACAUAGAUUACAUCGAGGCAAGGAACAAAUUCAUGAUGCAUAUUAGUCAUAUUUCUAAUUAACUCAAAUUAAGCCGCCCUUAUUUUUGGAAUUCAGAAUGCGAACGUAACAACAUCAAUAUCGGAUAGUGAAAGAGGUUUAAUCUCUCUCACACACAGACACAUACUUCAGUUUAACUCCAAAAAGUCUUCCUAAAUAAAGCAUUUAUUAGGAAAGAGAGUAAUAGAGUAUUGCUUCUCUUAACUCUCGCGUUCUCAUUCGUCAAUAAUAUGUUUUAUCAUGAGAGGGGGAUUCCUAAAAUGCGAGUGGAAGGAAACAUCCAGGAAACGCGGAGCAAGAUCAGGACAGAUGAUGAGUCAACCGUGCGAUUCCUUCAUGCAAAACAAAUUAAUUUAAAAUUAUUCUAAGGUAGGUGCAGCAAGAUCCUCAAUCUUUGACCCUUUUCUGAUUCAGUUAACUCUUCUAGAAAGAGAAUUUCUUCUUCUGACUUUUUCUUU
rnacentral:lncRNA from 1 species